GUGGAACAUUGAAGUAUGCGAUAUUAUUCGAGAAAUACUCCCGGAUAAUCAGAAUAGAAGUAGAGUAUUAAUAACACUCACUGAAAUUAAGAUGGUCACCUCAUUUCAGCUCGAAGACAGAGAGAACAUUCGGCUUGAUUUAGUGCCUACUGGAGGACCAUUGAGAGCUACAUAUAAAGGAUGGCCUUUCCUCAUCUUAUAUCAUGGAAGCAUCUCAUUUGAAGAAAAUAUAGAGGAAGCAGUGGAGAUACCCCUUGUGUUUCGGUACUUCAAAUGUUGCAGUUUACCUUUUUGCUUGAAACUUUGUUUUCUCUACUUAUCUGUGUUUCCCGCACACCUAGAGAUAUCCACCAGGCAGUUAUAUCAGUUGUGGAUAGCUGAAGGUUUCAUCCCAGACAAUAGUGAGGCAACUGCUGAGAAUUACUUAGAACAACUAAUCAAGGGAGGCUUUGUUGAAGCAAAUAAGAGAAAAGCCGGAGGCACUAUCAACACAUGCUCUAUUCCUGGUCGUUGGCGUCCCAUGUUGUUCACGGUUCCUUCUGAUGUGGAAUUCAUCUUUUCCCCUUUCGUGGAUGGUAAAUCAGGAAAAAAAGCCAAACGGUUAAACGCUGUUGAAAGAUGGGAUGAUUUUGUUUGCUUAGAUGAUUAUGACUCGCAACUGCAUUCUUUCUUGUGCUGCUCUCCAGAAAGCCGCCACAUUGACCCCAUAGAUUGGGAGAAAAUUUGUGGAAUGUUCAAACUUCUCAGAGUGUUGGACUUGGGAUCUCUUGUUCUCAUCCAGUAUCCAUCCGGAAUUGAAAAUUUAUUUCUUUUGAGAUAUUUGAAGUUGAAUAUCCCUUCCCUCAAAAGCCUGCCUUCCUCAUUAUUAAGCAAUCUUCUGAACCUCUACACCCUAGACAUGCCCUUUAGCUAUAUAGAUCAUACGGCAGAUGAAUUUUGGAAGAUGAACAAACUCAGACAUCUAAAUUUUGGGUCAAUCACACUUCCUGCGCAUCCAGGAAAAUACUGUGGCUCUCUGGAAAAUCUAAAUUUCAUUUCACCCUUGCACCCUUGCUGCUGUACUGAAGAUAUAUUGGGCAGGCUACCUAAUCUUCAAAAUCUCCGAAUACAGGGAGAUUUAAGUUAUGAUCAAUCUUUGCUGUCGAAAAGUCUCUGCAGAUUGAGCUGUCUCGAGUCAUUGAAGCUGGCGAAUGAAAGCAAGAUGCCACGGCUCUCCAAAAUCGUCCUUGCUGAAUACCUAUUUCCUCAUAGUCUAACCCACUUGAGUUUUUCUAAUACUGACCUAAUGGAUGAUCCCAUGCCGACACUAGAAAAGCUGCCGCUUCUUCAAGUGCUCAAACUGAAGCAAAAUUCGUAUUCAGGUGGUAAGCUGACUUGUGGCUCUGAUGGUUUUCCAAAUCUCAAGGUAUUGCACCUGAAAUCAAUGUUAUGGCUAGGGGAGUGGACUAUUGGGAUUGGAGCCAUGCCAAAACUGGAAUGCUUGAUUAUCAACCCUUGUGCUUACUUGAAAAAGAUGCCUGAACAGCUCUGGGGCAUAAAGAGCUUAAACAAGUUCGAUUGCUGGUGGCCUCAGCCAGAGCUAAGACAAAAGCUACGGGAAUUUGAGGAUAAGGAACAGUGCGGCAUUCAACUAUAUCCUUGCGGAAUUUGAUUAGCCCCUAUUGAAUUUGAUGUAUGUUUCUCGUUUUACCCAAUUUCUUCAAAUUUUAAUUAUUUAUCCAAUUGCAUAUACUUUUUUUUUCCCCUUCUCUUCAAUACAAAAAAGGUUUUACAAAUUGUUUUCUUCUAAUUUGUCUCAACAUUAAGUACCCUUUAGAGUUUCCAAUGCUCACCCCAAUCAUCAAGCCCUCUUUAGCAGCAGUGGAGACAUAAGUAUAUUCAACCAUGAGCCUAGAAGACUUCGGCGUUCAUUUGUUUUAAUAGUUAAGGAAAAAAAUGUAAUUUAAAAUUCUUAUUUUUCACAAUUUCUUCAAUGAUUUGUGUAGGUGAAAUCAGAGCAGAAAACAUCAUAACUGCAGCCCGAGCUUCAAUUUCAACCAGAAUCCUUUCUGUCUUCACUUCUGCUGUCUACACAAAUAAAUAAGAAGUUUCGUUUCGGAUUUUUCAGUUGAGAGUUCAUUGAUUUGUGCUUCAGCCUCGGUUCGUUAAUUGUGUACAAAAAAUAAAUAAUAUUUGUGAUGCUUUCUAGUGUUUGGGUUGAGUUGAAUGUGUUUUCUGUCUUUUGUUCUGUUGCUUGCUCUGAAAUCCUGUUUCAGAGGCUGGGCAAGUCUGGCACUCAAUAUGUUUCGUUUAUUUCGAGAAAAGAUUGAUUAUUGAUGAACUUCACACUUGGCUGAAUAUCUUAGUAAACGUUCUUGUGGAGAAAUCCUAAUACCCGCUUAGGCACUACAAUAAGGCAGAAAUACUAAUACUGCUUUACAUUUGUUGAUUGAUUAACAGCUUUGUUCUCUGCUGCUCUUUCUUUAUCUGAUACAGAAAAUUCCUUCAAUAUGAUUGCUAGUUGCUACUAACUAUCGAAGUAUUCCUCCUUUGGCUCAUUCAAUGGAAUAUGAGGGACAUAUUACUGAGACUGAGCCACGCUUCAUUGCCUUCCCGGAGAAAGUUGAAGUUUGGGCCGUGUACUUGGGACUGGAAUGAAGAGCGGCAGCGAAAUGAUUACAAGAAUUGCCAUUUAGAGGGGCUUUUUUGUGACUACUGAUGUGUCCCUCUAAUGGUUCAAUAAAUUGAAACCACGUCUAAUAAAAGGCUAGAAAAAAGCCGUGUAUAGUAAGCAGCGACUUUCAAUAAUAGAAUUUUGCGUGCAAGUGUGUGCAUUCGAGAAAGCAAAGUAUAAGUUUUUGUAUAGCUAUAGCCUACGGUAUAUGUGCGAGCACCUAAGAUAUAUUUUGCAGUGAGCAUUGACACGACAUCAAAUAUUUUUUCCUAGAGCAUGCAUGAAAACAUCUAUAAAAUUCAAGAAGGUAUAACUGCAAUCCCUCGUUCAAAUUUAUAACAAAUCAAUUAUAAAAAUAUUCGGAGCGAAAUUAUGUUUUAUAUUAGAUCACAUGUUAAAAUAGUUAUCAAGAUAUGCAUGUAUAUACUAUUUGCAUAAAUAAAAUGUACUGCGACAUUAUGUAAUGCAUUUGAGUGGGCAAAGGAGGAACUUUAUCACUUGCAAGGCUUUUUUGUUUGUCGUUACCCAAACCAAUUUGCUUGAAUAUAUCCUGCAAGAGCCUUUUUCAUUGCUACCAUAUGCCAUGGUUGUGAACUAAAAGUUUCUUAAACGCAAGAUUUAUGUUAAAAGAUUUUUCAUAACCAGUCUUUUAACACCAUUUUCAUCCACAUCUGUUUAACAACCGGUCUUAAUAACCUGUCUUUAUUGCUUUACCCGUACGUAAAUAGAAAGCAGUUAUAAUGUAUUUGCUGUAUUUAAUUAAAUCAAUUGUAUUAAAUUAAAUCAAGUGAUGAAAUUUGGUACAGGCCAAAGAAAAAAAAAUAAAUGUAGAAAUUUAAUUUGGUUUGUUAGCAUUCCAUUACUUGGCCAAUUUCCUUAACACUGAAUGAUUGAAUAAAUUUUUAAUUUUUCGUUUUCAAGAGUUUAUUGGAUUUGUUUGGAGGUAAAUUUGGAAGGAUAUUUAUGGACUAAUUGAAAGCUGACAUGUGGUAUAAGAGUAAUAAAUAACAAGUUUGAACGGUGAAACAAAAAAAAGACACCUCGACUGUCCUACACAAGCUAAUCAAGGAAAAGAAUAAAGUUUGGUAAAAUUAGCGUGAAAAGCAAGCUCAUUUGAUAUUUGAGUAAAGAGGUGCCAUGCAGUAGAAAAGAUUAAACUACCCUGUGGUACCCAAUCUAAAUAUAUUCACUUAAAAGGGGCAAGAGAAGGACUCAAUUUUUCUUUUUCUUUCUCUGCGACUCUCUUGAGCUCGAAUCACAACUAGAAAUUGAUUCAAUUCAAAUAAAAAAAUCAAUGAAAAAAACAACCAACCAUUAGUUAAAGUAUUGGAUAUGACUAUUUGCACUCAUCUAUUAAAUUUAAAAAAUUAAGUUAUACUUUGUACAAUCUUUAAAAUACUAAAAAUUUUUAAGCAUAUUAAAUUAAUUACAUUUAUUUACUCAAAACAAUACUCAAAGAAAAUUCUUUAAAAAAAUUUAGCAUAUCAUACUGAAGUUUUUAUUGACAAAUCGGCAAAUCCUAAUUGUGCAUAAAUAUGUAGCGUGCUUAUUACGUGUCUUGUAGCAUGCUUAUUACGUGUCUUUUCGCGUGCCAUGCUUUGGCCCAUCUCUAAUUGUACCGUGCUUUUAAGGCCCGCGUGCCUAAAAUUUUAGGCCCGACACGACCCACAUGCGUGCUGUGCCGUACCGCGUGCUCUACCGAAACAUGCUCGUGUCAUGCCGUGCUAUACAGACAUGUGCCGUGCCUCGUGCUGCCCAACCCAUUGGCCAUCACUAAACACACCCUCCACCACAAAUUACAGAUCCUCAGAAAAUAGAUUCUCCAAUAGAGGUGGUGAUGAACUUAUAGGUGCAAGCCAUGUAGCGGAGCGGAGCAGCGCUUCGGCUGAUCUUUCAAUAAAUAAUGACAAGAUUCCUAUCAGAAAUGAUAAUGGCAAUAAUAAUGAUAAGGAAACUAAAAACUCUGAAUAGCGAUUUGGCAAUGGCAAUCAAUCAGAGCAUAGGUUGCUUACUUAAAUAGGUGAGAACUUUGUACCACUCACGGAUCUCCAAUCAUCCAUCUCUGACACUAAUAUGUCUUCUAAGAACUCUGAAUAGCGAUUAAUGAUACGUGGAAGCUGCGUAAAAGUUAUGACAACAACAAAAUCAGCUUCAUGUUGCCUAAAAUACAAUUAAAUAUAACUAUAAAGAACUUUGUUGGGAAAUAUAAAUAGCAGCUACUUCAUCGUGAUCUUGGAAAUAAUAUUUUGAAUAAUAACAUUUUCCAGAAAAAGACAAGGAACAAUAGAAAAUAUUGAAGAAGCAAAAAAUACUGUACACUGUAGAGACCUCUCCUCAAAACUUUACUGUAAUUACCAAUUGUGACCGAGGAACUCAUUGCCACUCAUCAUCUAUAGUAUACAUAUAACUUUUAACACCUUAGCAAGGAAGUUACCUGCUCAGAUAGAAUACCGGAGAUGCCCACAACUGCUCCUGGCUUAGCAUAAGAAACAAUAUGAUCUGCUAAUUGCGGCAGAGGAUUAAGAAGAAUAUUUGCAAUAACUACAUCAUACUCCUCUGUCUCAGAAAUCCCUCUAAUUUCGUGUGAGCUCAAAUAUUCCACUACUCCGUCUACCCUUUCAUUCAUGGAGGCCGUGAAGGUUCUGUCUGGAACCAAGUGUAGUUUUAUUUUCUUAGGUCCUAUGUUGUUUAAAGCAGCAUUUUGAUGGGCAGAUUUGAUUACCUGGGGAUCUAUAUCAACUCCAACAAACAUGGCAGCACCGAACUAAAUUCACAAAAGAAUUGACUUUGUUUCACAUUGUACAACAGAAAGAAAAUUAUGCUACAGUAAUGGGUCGAUAUUUAUAGCUGCAGUAGCAAAGUUAAUAGUUGAUUACCUUGAUUGCUGCAAUUCCAAGAAUUCCUGAACCCGUGCCAUAGUCCAAGAAGAGUUCUCCUCCUUUUAUCAAGCUUCGUAACAACAAAAGACACAACUUAGUGGUGGCGUGCUCGCAAGUUCCAAAUGCCAAUCCAGGAUUCAAAAUUAUAUUUGUUGCUUGAACAUCCUGUAGCGAGCAAAAAAAUAAAAUUAUUGAUAAGAUGUGUUAACCAUUGCUCAAAGCUAAAAUUUUUCUUUGUAAAGAAUUAAAAGAAGUAAAAAUGCAAGGGAGACUAUUCCAGCAGUCAAACGGAUUUGCAAUGAGAAUGCCAAGUCGGUGUGUUUGGAUUACUCUUCCUAAUUUUAGAAUUUCCGCGUAAACUAUCAGGCAAAUUCACUAGAACCUUAGGUCAUUAGGCAGAGGGGCCCAAUAAUAAAUAAGCAGCUAUAUUGAAGACUUAACUAAUGUGGGAUUAAAUCAACAUUAUGAUUUUGCAAAUGAAAGUUCCUCAUUGAUGAAAUUUAAAGACUUGGAAGCAAUUAGCUCAUAAGACUUCUGCAGAAGCAAUGAAGAAGAGGGUACCCUAUAAAAGAUGAGAAAUUACUGCAACAAAACCUCCAAAGAGAGUGAGAUAAUCAUACUGGUGGUGUACUCCACUCGGGCACAAUCCAUAGUCCUUUUGUCACCUCAACGGGAUGAAAUGAUUCCUGCAACAUGUAAGAAAAUAGAAUCAAAUUAACAUAACAUAAUUCCAUUUAUACCAUUGUGAUAGAGAGAAAAAGGAGAGCAAACAAACCUGAGCUUUCUUUAUCCAGUUGCAUUGCUCUCCCAUUUUAACUUCAUAACGUGGUAUCUCUUUCAAGCCUAUGGAAUUAGCAGCAUUUAAUAUGCACUCAUCCACGUCUUUGCAUUCAGGAAAUAUGGAAUCAAUAUAGAUCUGCAUAAAACAAAUCUGUAAGUAAUAUUUAAAACAACUGUAGUUUUUAUUCAGAAGCCACUCUACAUUCAACAAAAUCUAAGACCAACUAGUAACAUUAUAAUGGCGUCUUAGAGGCACUCUUUUAACACAGAAAGAAGCCAAUUUUCAAUUCCAUACCAAACAUUGAAAAUUUUGUACUUAUUUAGUAUUAUUAUUAUUAAUUUUUUCCUCUGGCUACCUUUCUAGCAAGUGAGCCAACAAAGUCAACAAAAAUCUAAGGCCAACUGGUAACAUUACAUUGGAAUUUACAUUUGCAAAUGGGAUAUGAGUUUCAUUUCUUGUUUAUUGUUACUCUCAACAUCCUUUACAAGAUAUGAAUCAAUAAUAUAAAAAAAAAAGAAAAGAAAAAAAAGAAGGCAGAAAUUAAAAUACAAAGUUUCAACCUUAUCAGAAUUCUCAUCAGCAUCAUUAUCAUGUUCAUCCACGCUUGUAGAACUUGCACCGAAACAUAGAAGAGCUUCAGAAAACAUAUCCUGACAACACAAGUUAAGGCACCUCAAUUUUAAUGCCAAAUAAUUACUAAUUCAAAAUGCUUAAAAACACAGACAAGUGAAAAAAGUGAAACAAACUAAGGCAAGUUUUUGACAGCAAAUGCGAACUGAGAGAUAAGGAGAUUCCGCUAACGGAGGGUAGAUAGAGGAUAAGGAUGUGCAUGGAGAAGAAGAAGAAGAAGAAGAACAGGCUGAAACUUUUAUGAGAACGGAAGAGAGUGUUGUUGACUGGGUUCUGGGUUUUUGUUUUAUGAGCGUAAAUAGAUUCUGAUGGCGGGUGAGCUGUUUGUACGGAAGACGUUUGAAGAAAUGACCCAAUGAGAAGAAUGACAUCGCCGCCCUGCUUUAUUAAGAUAGUUGUUUAUCUCAAGGUGCGUCUUCGAUUCGCAGAGGACUCAAAUAAUUUAUUUUCUAUCACAAUUUAUUUCCGCUCCCUUCUGAGUAGGAAGUAGUGCUGAUUUCCGAGCUAUCUUCUCAAUAAAACUUUCAACUAUUAUAACAAUUCAAAGAAAAUAUAAUUAUAUACUAACAUAAAGUGGAAAGUCAAUUAAAUUGGAUUGUUUGAUUAGAUUGGAUCAAAUACGGGACGGUUAACUUCUAAAUUCUGUAAGAUAUCCCUUUCAAAAUAAGUAAAAUAGAGGUGGUCCUAAGUGGACCACACUCCAUUCUCAUUAAAGGGUUGUAUUUAUAGAAAUUGUACAUAAAAGAAAGCUAUCGACACCCUCUAAGACUUUCAUAGAACCCUGCGCCUAGAACAAUAGAACUUACAAAAAGAGAAUAGAGCGGAGCUAUUGGCACCUCUAAAAGAAUUCUUAUAUCUUAAAUUUAUAUUUUUAACUUUAAUCAAAUCACAUUUGACAAUUCAUCUCUCUUCCGCUAACCCCACAUGGGUUUUAUUUUUAUUAAAUAAGAAAUAAUUUUGUUGUUAUAGUGAAAUUAUUUUUUAUUUUUAUUCUUAAAUUAGUGGUUUCUGUUGGACUAAAAUUUUUAGUUCAUUAUUUUCAAAUUAUGAAAGACUUAUUGUCUUUUACUAUUUUGGCUACUUGUUCUCUUGAUUUUAUCGAUUUAUGUGUUCAUAUAAAAACAUGUGAAUUGUCCCAUUCAGAGUAUAAAAUGAUAUUGGAUUAGUUUCUAGCAAUCUUUUUUAGCAUAAAAGAAAUAUUUAUUUAAUUCUUUUUUUUCUCUCUCGUAUAGUAAAGUUAGUGAGAAAGAAGUGUACAAGGACGUUUGUGGAAUUAAAAUAGCUCCACUUAAGAGGAUGGCCUUGAGUAUUUCUUAUCUAGUUUUUAGAUUCUAUUUUCUACUAGUUCAACUUACUUCAUAGUAAUAUUUUGAUAUAUUUUCCCAUGGAAUGAUAAAAUUAAGUUAAGUAAUAAUAUAAAUUCUAUAUUAUAAGAAUCUUAUACACAUAUAAGAAUAAGAAUAAAAAGUUGGAAAAAGAAGUUCAAAGAAUUUUAAAUUGAAAAGUUGAUUCUCAUGUGCCGAACAAGGGCUUCAGAUUAAAUUGUUGAAAAAGUUUUGUAAUAAAAGAUUUUUGUUUUCAUAUGAUUUUUUAACAAAAAAGAAUAUAUAAGGUUAUUUGCGGAAUUAACAUAGGUGUUGUUAAAAGUAGUGUGAUUUACAUAUGUCAUUAACGGAGUAAUUUUAGAAGAGAUGUUUUAUGAAGAGUUUAAAGUGGUGCUAAUAGUUUCAUUUAUUGACAAAUGGGUCAAAAAAACAUCCAAAAGCUUCAAAGGCCUUUCAUAAUACUCAUAAUGGAACACAAAAUAGUUAAUUAUACUUUACAACUCAAAUUUUUUUUUAACAUUUUACAACUCAAAACACGCUAGAAGAUUUUUAAUAUUUCUUAGUUAACUAUAAGAUACUAUAUAAGUAUAUAUAACAAAACAAGAAUAUAUUGAUUGAUACCAUAUAUUUGAUACAAAUGAAUAGAAAAUCUCUCACUUGAUAGAAUAUAUAUAACAUAUGACAAGUUACAUACAUCUAAUUUGUCAAAAAAAUGGGCUAUCUAGAUGGUCAACACCAUCUUUCGUUGGAAAAGAAAACAAAAGAAGAAUGGAGAAUGAGGAGCCGCAAUCUAGAAGCUGUAAAUGUUUGAAGAAGAAAUAAGAGGCACACGGCUUUGACAAAAGAAAGAAGGAAAAUAUAUAUAUAUAUAAUUGAUGAAUAGUGCCAAAGCUUUCUCUAUAAAUAGAAACGAAGAGAAUGAGCAAAUUAAUUUCAUUCAGAAAGCAAUUUAGGGAGUUGAGAGAGAGUUUAAGAGCUUGCAUUUAUAAGCUCUUGUUACAGUGAUUGAGAGAGUUUGGGUGUAUUGGGGUUUUAGGUAGUGAGCUAAAAUACUACAAUACUUGUAACUCCUUUUCACUAGUAAAAUAUUUCCUUCUGUCUUCACCCGUGGAUGUAGGCUAAAAGCCGAACCACGUAAUUUCUGGUGUCCUCUAUUGUGCUUGUUCUUUAUUUUAUUUCCAAUUUCAUUUUAGCUGCGGUCCUGCUUCACCCACCAAUUUCCUAACAUAAUUUUCUGCAUGCAUAUGGAAAAAAAAUUAAUUGUUUAAAUUUCUAAUUUGUCAAAUCGAGGUUUGAUUUCUGAAUUUUUUUAGUUGUCAAGUGGAUUAAAUUCCCCCCCAUAUACACUGUCUAGAGAAACUCAUGAAUCUAAACAAACCAAACCUAUAUUAAAUUUAAUAAUAUCAUUAUCCUCAGACUCUUAGUUUUGCACUUUUGCUUGCAUAAACAUUAUGGAAUUUAAACUUAAAUCCACAUUAAGAUAAUAACAAUUAACAUGUGAAACAAUUUAUUGCUGCUCUGCUAUAUUAAGAUAGUUGUUUAUCUAAGGGUGCGUCUUCGAUUCGCAGAGGACUCAAACAAUUUAUUUUCGAUUACAAUUUAUUUCCCCUCCCAUCUGUAGGAAUUAGUGCCGAUUUUCGAGCAAUCUUCUCGAUAAUAACAAUUAACAUUUCAAAGAAAAUAUAAUUAUAUAUGAACAUAAAGCGGUGAGUCAUUGGAUUAGAUCAAAUAAGGAGAUGGUUACCUUAUAAAUUCUUUAAGGUACACCCAUCUAAAAUAAGUAAAAUAGAGAUGGUCGACAUGUAAAAUAUAUAAGGUGGCGAGGUCCAUCUAAUAAUUCGAUAUUGUUUAACCUACACGCAUAUUAAUGAAAGUUAUUGACACCCUCUAAGACUCUCAGCCUAAAACUUGCAGAACUACAAAAAGAGACUAGAGUGGAACUAUUGGCACAUCAAAAAGAAUUCUUAUAUAUUAAAUUUAUAUUUUUAACUUUAAUCAAAUCACGUUUGACAAUCCAUGUCUCUUCUUCUAACCCCACAUGGGUUUUAUUUUUAUUAAAUAAAAUAUAGUUUUGUUGUUGUAUGGAAAAUGUUUUUUAUUUUAUUUUUAUUCUUAAAUUAGUGGUUUCUGUUGGAUUGAAAAUUUUAGUUCAUUAUUUUCAAAUUAUGAAAGGCUUACCAUUUUGGCUUCUUGUUCUCUUGAUUUUUUUCAAUUUAUGCGUUCAUAUAAAAGCACGUGAAUUGUCACAUUCAGCGUGUAAAAUGAUAUUGGAUUAGCUUCUAGCAAUCUUUUUUAGUAUAAAAGAAAUAUAUAUUUAAUUCUUUUUUCUCUCUCUCAUAGUAAAGUUAAUGAGAAAGAAGUGUACAAGGACGUUUGUGGAAUUAAAAUAGCUCCACUCAAGAGGAUGGCCUACAGUAUUUCUUACCUAGUUUUUAGAUUUUAUUUUCUACUAGUUUAACUUACUUCAUAGUAAUAUUUUGAUAUCUUUUCCCAUGGAAUGAUAAAAAAAACUAAUAAUAUGAAUUCUUUAUUAUAAAAUUCGUAUAUACAUAUAAUAAUAAGAAUAAAAAGUUGGAAAACAAAGCUCAAAAAAUUUUAAAUUGAAAAGUUGAUUCUCAUGUGCCGAACAAGGGCUUCAAAUUAAAUUGGUGAAAAAGUUUCGUAAUAAAAGAUUUUUGUUUUCAUAUGAUUUUUUAAGAAAAAAGAAUAUAUAAAGUUAUUUCUGAAAUUAACAUAGGUGUUGUUAAAAGUAGAAUAUAUAUAGCAUAUGACAAGUUACAUACAUCUAAUUUUCUGCAUGCAUAUGGAACAAAUUCAAUUGUUUAAAUUUCUAAUUUGUCAAAUCAAGGUUUGAUUUCUGAAAUUUUUAGCUGUCAAAUGGAUUAAAUUUCCCCCCAUACAUACUGUCUAGAGAAACUCAUGAAUCUAAACGAACCAAACCCAUAUUAAAUUUAAUAAUAUCACUUUCCUCAGACUCUCAGUUUUGCACUUCUGUUUACAUAAACAUUAUGGAACUUAAACUUAAAUCCACAUUUUUCAUCACUCUCUUCGUGGCCUCAUGUGUGUUCCAUAAUGUUCUCUUCCUCAUCUUUUUGGUGCAUGCAUAAUUAACUAUAAUAUGACAACCAAUUGGUUGGCAUUUAUAUACGCAGGUGUGUUGUUUUAUAUUUCCAUGCCGGCAGUUGAUGCUCAACCGGAAUCAAAAGCAGUCACUUGUAAAAGCAAUGCCGACUGUGACAAUCCCUGUCAGCAACCGGAAUCAAAAGCAGUCACUUGUAAAAGCAAUGCCGACUGCGACAAUCCCUGUCAGUCGUUUCGAAUGCGAUCUUGAUACCCAUCUCUGCAUUUGUGUUCCUGCCCGCAAUUCGAUGACGUGUUGUUGAGGAGAUUAAAGCUUGUAUUGCAAGUUCUAGUGAUAUUUUGGAUGCUGAAUUGCAAAGUUUGUAACGUUACAAUCUUUGUUUCAUUUCUUACAUCACAUGUCAAAUAAAAGUAUCAACUAACUAAGAAUUGCUGCCUCUCUUCUGAUAUGCAUAUUAAAAUUGUGGUAAAAAAUUUACAAAUCAUCUCCAUGUGAUUGGUCCUAUUAUACAAUGUUGUACCAUACAUUUGUUGAAGUCUUUAAGGCUUGGAAUUAUACAAUUUUUAAAAUUUUCAGUAUUUUUUUGACUUUCGAGCUGGGUUCGGACUUUUUAGCCGGAGCCCAAGACCAGCCAGAAUACUUAGAAAACUUGCUCUAGCUAGACUUGAUUUUUCUGCCAUUCCUACUUAGAAUUCUAUUAUCAUUGAUUUCAUUGAUGGAUUGUUAUAUUUUUAACACUAAGGGCUCAAAUGAAAAUAAUUAUAAAUAGUGUCUUAUGAUGUAAUACUUUCAAAAAGGUGAGAGCUCAUAUAAUACUGAUAUUUGAAUCAAAAAAUGAUACAGUAGUGAGAAAACAACUAUAGAUUUUAUUUAUAAUGUUAAAUAAAAAAUUAUAACUAUUUUUCAAUUAACAUUAUAACAUUGCACAAUUUACUAUUAUUUUUGUCAUCCGUUGUUAGAACUCUUUAUCAUUUUUCAUUUCUUAAAAAAGAAUGCUAAAAAGAAAAUUGAACAUAUAUUAACUAUAAAAUUUUACAAACUAUUUAGUACUUGCUCUAAAUCUGGUCGAAGAAAUAAGACAGCAUCACACAUGAUUAAGAAUGCAUAUUUAUUUGAGUAAUUUUACAUUUAUAACCCUGGGAUACAAAUUUUAUUUGUGAUAUAAAUACAUGCAAGUCUCGCAAAAAAUUUAACAACGAACACCCGACAAUAUAUCUUCUUUUUAGACAAGCUUUUACAGGCCCAGUGGAAUUGUUUUUACCCUUUCUUUCUUUCUUUCUUUCUUAAAAGUGGAUGUAUAAAACAAAUUGGUCUUGAUCGAUACUUGACGAUGUCCUGUUUAUUUUUCUCUGAUUUAUUCUUUUUUCAUCAUAUGGAAGACGAGAUUAUUGUAAGAUUCUGCCUUGAUCUGUUCUAAUUUUAGAGUCAACGAUCUUGAUUCAACUUCUUGACUGGAGAACUAGCUAAGAGAAGGGAGGUAUGGGAGCCAGCACUACUGUUUGAAUUGAGAGCUUUAAAGCAUAGUUUCUUUUCAACUCUCUGUCUACUUACUUUAAAGCAUGCCACAGGACUGAUUACAGGGUGGUACCGAGAGAGGAGGAGAUAUGGACAUCAACUUCAGACUAUUUUCAGAGAGGCUGAGAAGGGUGUUAGCUGGUGAAGAAGUCACGUUGCCUGAUGCUGCAAAACAACCUAUUCACAACUUUCAUGCCGAGAUUGAAAUCGUUACUUCUUUGCUGAGGGACUUUGAAGAUGAUAUCUCCUGCCUUCUGGUGCAAAAAAUAGGAGACCUUGAAAUUGACAACCCAGAUCUGGCGACCGUUAUGGACGAAAUCAACUGUUUUACGUAUGAAUCUGAGAAGGUGAUUGACACAUUCAUCAACAGCAUCAGUGAACAGAAGAGUCAAAGCAGCUGCAGCGAGGAUAUUUUUGAUGCUCUGCAAGGACUCCAAAGCAGAAUCACUGAUAUUAAGCAACGGAUGCAACAACUUAAGCACAUGGAUUCCGAAAUCAUUGAUCGCAUCAAAACUUUUGAAGCUGAAGCCGCUAUAUCUUCAUCUUCUAAAAGUAGGGACACCGUGGGUCUAGAUGAUAGAAUGGAGGAGUUGUUAGAUCUAUUGAUCGAGGGACCACCUCAGCUUUCAGUGGUGGCCAUACUUGAUAGCAUUGGGUUGGACAAGGCGGCUUUCGCCGGAGAGGCUUACACCAGCAGUUAUGCGAAGCAUUAUUUUGAUUGUCACGCUUGGGUUCCAGGGACUUAUCCGUAUGAUGCUGACCAAAUGUUAGAUAUCGUUAUUAAGUUUCUGAUGCCUUCAUCUAGGUUGAGUGAAAUAAUGGAUAAAAAUUAUGAAAUGAAAAAAAUAAUUCUUAAUGAAUAUCUAAUGACUAAGCGGUAUUUGAUUGUGCUUGAUGAUGUGUGGAGCACAGAUGAAUUGGAUGCUAUUCGAGAAACCCUUCCGGAUAAUCAGAAUGGAAGUAGAGUAUUAAUAACACUCACUGAAAUUAAGCUGGUCACCUCAUUUCAGCUCGAAGACGGAGAGAACAUUCGGCUUGAUUUAGUGCCCACUGGAGGACCAUUGAGAGCUACAUACCAAGAAUGGCCUUUCCUCAUCUUAUAUCAUGGAAGCAUCUCAUUAGAAGAAAAUAUAACGGAAGCAGUGGAGAUACCCCUUGUGCUUCGGUACUUCAAAUGUUGCAGUUUACCUUUUUGCUUGAAACUUUGUUUUCUCUACUUAUCUGUGUUUGCCGCACACCUAGAGAUAUCCACCAGGCAGUUAUAUCAGUUGUGGAUAGCUGAAGGUUUCAUUCCAGACAAUAGUGAGGCAACUGCUGAGAGUUACUUAGAACAACUAAUCAAGGAAGGCUUUGUUGAAGCUACUAUAAGUAUAUAUAACAAAACAAGAAUUUAUUGAUCGAUAACAUACAUUUGAUACAAAUGAAGUAGAAAAUCUUCCACCUAAUAGAAUAUAUAUAGUAUAUGAGAAGUUACAUGCACCUAAUUUUCUGCAUGCAUAUGGAAAAAAAAAAUUAAUUGUUUAAAUUUCUAAUUUGUCAAAUCGAGGUUUGAUUUCUGAAAUUUUUAGCUGUCAAAUGGAUUAAAUUUCCCCCCAUAUAUACUGUCUAGAGAAACUCAUGAAUCUAAACGAACCAAACCAAUAUUAAAUUUAAUAAUAUCACUAUCCUCAGAUUGCACUUCUGUUUACGUAAACAUUAUGGAACUUAAACUUAAACCCACAUUUUUCAUCACUCUCUUGGUGGGCUCAUGUUUGUUCCUUAAUCUUCUCUUCCUCAUCUUUUUAAUGCAUGCAUAAUUAGCUAUAAUAUGACAACUAAUUGGUUGGCAUUUAUAUUUGCAGUUGUGUUAUUAGCAUUAGGCUAAUUAAUUGUUUGGCAGGUGAAUUGUUUUAUAUUUCCACGCCGGCAGUUGAUGCUCAACUGGAAUCAAAAGCAGUCACUUGUAAAAGCAAUGCUGACUGUGACAAUCCCUGUCAUUCGUUCGAAUAUGAUCUUAAUACCCAUCUCUGCGUUUGUGUUCCUGGCCGCAAUUCGACGUGUUGUUGAAGAGAUUAAAGCUUGUAUUGCAAGUUCUAGUGAUAUUUGGGAUGCUGAAUUGCAAAGUUUGUAACGUUACAAUCUUUGUUUCAUUUCUUACAUCAUAUGUCAAAUAAAAGUAUCAACUAAGAAUUGCUGCCUCUCUUCUAUUAUGCAUAUUAAAAUCGUGUACAAAAAUUUACAAAUCAUCUCCAUGUACUAUACAUUUGGAGAAGUCAUUGAGUUUUUUUUUUUUUGGUUAAAGCCAAGCCAAAAAGCCUGAAGUAUGCAUUCUAUAUUUUUUUAAAAACUUUUUUCAUUAUAUUUUACAAAUUUAUAGUUUAUAAAAUUUAGUUUUUUCUUUGUUAGAUUAGGCUUUAAAAGUUGGGCGACUUAAAACUUUAAAUAUAUGCUGUGAGUGGAUUAAAUAUAUGUUAAAAGUUAUGUUUUAAUUACAAUAAUAUAUAUUUUCAAAAUUUUUAAUAUUUUUUGGGCUUUCGAGCUGGAUUUGGGCUUUUUAGCCGAAGCCCAAGUCUAACCAGAAUACUUAGAAAACAUGCUCUAGCUGGAUCGGAUUUUUCUGCUACUCCUACUUAGAAUUCAAUUACCAUUGAUUUCAUUGAUGGAUUGUUAUUAUAAAUAGUGUCUUAAGAUUUAAUCCUUUAAAAAAGGUGAGGGUUCAUAUAAUACUGAUAUUUGAAUCAUUGAAUGAUACAAUGAUGACAAAAGAGCUAUAAAUUUUAUUUAUAGUGUUAAAUAAAUAUUAUAAUUAUUUUUCAAUUAACUUUGUAACAUUACAAAAUUUACUAUUAUUUUUGUCACCCUUAUGUCGCUGUUAGAACUCUUUAUUGUUUUUAGUUUCUUAAAAAAGAAUGCUAAAAAGAUCUCCAAAUUUCUACGGGAUAUGUAUGUAGUUUUAAAAUAAACAUGUAUUAAAUAUAAAAUUUUACAAACGAUUUAGUACUUUCUCCGAAUCUCGUUGAAGAAAUAAGGCAGCAUCGUACAUGAUUAAGAAUGCAUAUUUAUUUGAGUAAUUUUACAUUUUUAACCAUGGGAUACAAAUUUUAUUUGUGAUAUACAUACAUGCAAGUCUCGCAAUAAAUUUAACACACCAUACAUGAUUUUGCAUUUUUCCACAGCAUAAAUUAUUAAAUAAUUGAUGUCCUGUUUAUUUUUCUCUGCUUUAUUCUUUUUACAACAUAUGGAAGACGAGAGUAUUGUAAGAUUAUGCCUUGAUCUAUUCUAAUUUGAGAGUCAACGAUCUUGAUUCAACUUCUUGACUGGAGAACUAGCUAAGAGAAGGGAGGUAUUGGAGCCAGCACUAAUGUUUGAAUUGAGAGCUUUAAAGCAUAUUUUCCUUUUAAUUAUUUCUUUGCAUGCUCUUGGACAGAUUUCAGGGUGGAUCUGAGGGAGGAGGAGAUAUGGACAUCAACUUUAGACUAUUUUCAGAGAGGCUGAGAAGGGUGUUAGCUGGUGAAGAAGUCACGUUGCUUAAUGCUGCGAAACAACCUAUUCAGAACCUUCAUGCCCAGACCGAAAUCGUUACUUCUUGGCUGAGGGAAUUUGAAUAUGAUAUCUCCUGCCUUCUGUUCGAAAAAAUGGCGGAGGAGGAAAUUGAAAACCCAGAUCUGGCGACCGUGAAUCUGAGAAGGUGAUUGACACAUUCAUCAACAGCAUCACUCAACAAAAGAGUCAAAGCAGAUACAGCAAGGACAUUUGUGAUGCUCUGCAAGGACUCCAAAGCAGAAUCACUGAGAUUAAGCAACGAGUUUAACAACUUAAGCACAUCGAUUCCGAAAUGAUUGAUGAGUUCAGAAGUGUUGAAGCUGAAUCAUGUUAUUUUCCUGCAUCUUCAUCUUAUAAGAAUAGGAAUACGGUGGGCCUAGAUGAUAGAAUGGAGGAGUUGUUAGAUCUAUUGAUCGAGGGACCAACUCAGCUUUCGGUGGUGGCCAUACUCGAUAGCAUUGGGUUGGACAAGACGGCUUUCACUGCGGAGGCAUACAAUAGCAGUUAUAUGAAGCAUUAUUUUGAUUAUCUCGCUUGGAUUCCAGCGCCUUAUCACUAUGACCCUGACCAAAUAUUAGAUAUCGUUGCUGUGAUUCUUUUGCCUUUUUCUAUGUUUAGUAAAAUAAAGGAUAAAGAUUACGAAAUGAAAAAAAUUAUUCUUGGUGAAUAUCUAAUGACUAAGCGGUAUUUGAUUGUGCUUGAUGAUGUGUGGAGCACAAAUGUAUUGGAUGUUGUUCAAGAAAUCCUUCCGGAUAAUCAGAAUGGAAGUAGAGUAUUAAUAACACUCACUCAAAUUAAGAUGAUCACCUCAUUUCAGCUCGAAGACAGAGAGAACAUUCGGCUUGAUUUAGUGCCCACUGGAGGACCAUUGAGAGCUACAUACCAAGGAUGGCCUUUCCUCAUCUUAUAUCAUGGAAGCAUCUCAUUAGAAGAAAAUAUAGAGGAAGUAUUCAAUAUACCCACUGGGAAUCUAACCUUCGUAUGUUGCAAGCUACCUUUUCACUUGAAACUUUGUUUUCUCUACUUAUCAUUGUUUCCCGCACACCUAGAGAUAUCCACCAGGCAGUUAUAUCAGUUGUGGAUAGCUGAAGGUUUUGUUUGUGGGAUAUGCUUCGACGAAGACCAGCAGUGAUGAGCAGACAUCUGAUAACAGGGUUCCUCGAGCAGGUAUAUCUUGUAAGAGUCUGGUAUCCGGGGGAGCAGGAGCAGGAAAAUCCUGCUCAUCCACGAGCACGUCAUCCACGAGGCCAAUCUCUUGUUGGAAGCAUAGAGCCAUUCCUGCUUCAUUCCUGCUAAAGGUUGAGUCGAGGAGACCCGGUCAACGACAGUUGGCGAGGCGUGCUCUCCAGUCCGAGAAUCAAGGCACGGAGGUCACGCAACCACCCACGACUACGGAAAUAGGGCAUCCACUUUCGAGAGGUGGGAGGAUAACGAGCGCGAAUGGAGGGAAGGCCCGAGUUCAGAAGUGGCCUAUAAAAAGGUAGCCAACGAAGGUAAAAUGGUUAGAUUUUUUGAGAUUGCAACUAAGAAAAGAGAGCUUUAAGAAUUGAAACUAAAGAGAAGCCAUAAGAUUCGUGGCAAACAUUCCUAGAACCUUCAUAUCUGAUUUGAGCGUCGGAGGGUUUACGCCGGGAAAACAACCGGCGUACUCUGACCUGCUUCUGUGUACGCAGGAACUUUUAGAGAAGAAACCUUACGAGGAGAGAUCCUGGUCGUGGUAGAGUUGGUCGAGCAGAGGUCCUGGUCUUGGUAGAGAAGACAACCAGAAUCUCGCAUCAACAUUUUGGCGCCGUCUGUGGGGAGCUGAUAAAAAAGCUUCUGUUAAUAACAAGAAGAGGAGUGAAGCAAGUGGAAAGGCAAUGGAGACAGGAGGAAGUAGUGCACAAGGGGGUGAUAUGAGUAUUAAUGAUUUCGUGACGCUGAGGGAGAUAGCUAGUGAAGCACGGGAAAAAGCCAUGUUCGACCGGAUGGAACGAAUGGAAAAGCAGAUGGAGACCCUGACAACCAUCCUACAUGAGUUGCGGAGUGAACGAAGGGGAACCCAGGAGGAAAGGGUGAGAGGUGGUGGAGUGACACCAGGUCCCGGUAGUACGAGGAGAAGUCAAACCACCGGAAGAUUUGGUGGUGAGAGAGGUAACAUACCUCUGCGGGGGGAAUUUCAUAAAGAGGAAGAGCAAUCCCCGGCAAGACAGAUUUUUGACGAGGACGACGGGGUGACGAAUGCAGAGGAAACUGAGUUGAGGCGACACGUGCAUGAUGUAGAGCAAGAGCGGGAUCAAGUUGCAGCAUGUGACCCUGGGCGUGCAGUGCAGCUGGAGGAGGAAGUGCGCAGACUAGCGCAGAUAAUUGACGACAUGCAAGGAAGGAGCAGAGCUCCUGGUUGGAGGAUAAUGCUGGACGGAGAAUCACCACUCGCAGCAGAGAUCAUGAGGCCAGUUAUUCCGAGAGAUUUCCGCCUCCCAGACCUUAGAUAUUCGGGACGAAUUGAUCCGCUGGUGCACAUAGAGCGCUUCAACGACAUAACCGGGGUACAAGGAUUAUCUCAAUCCCAAAGGUGCAGGGUGUUCCCACUAUCCCUUGAGGGAGGUGCACGCGAGUGGUACAGGAAACUUCCUCGGGGGAGCAUUAAAACCUUCGAGCAGAUGUGCCAGGAAUUUGCAGAGCAGUUUCGUGGGGCAAUGGCACCAGAAGAUGACAUGAUGAAGUUGAAAAACAUGAAGCAGGGGGAACAAGAAACCCUUCGGGAAUUCAUCAAGAGGUUUCAUCGUGUUGUCCUCGAUUUGGGAGCCUUCAACCAUCCUCAGGCAUUAAAGGGACUGAAAGAAAGGGUGAAGAUAGGAAGACUGUGGUACAAUUUGAGAAGCCCAGUUAUUCAGACGUAUGCAGCCGCAUACGAGCAGGCUAAGAAGGACAUUGAGAUUGAAGAGGAAAAGGCAGCACGGAUCAAGACAGACCAGUUAUAAGGGUUAGGAAAGAAAGAGAAGAAAGCAUUACCAGGGAAUGAGCCGAUAAGGAGGAGGGACCACCAUGCCUCAGGUAGUGGAGCAGAAGGUCGGGUAACUGCUUACCAGCCUCAUCAGAGGCCACCACAGUAUCAACGCAGUAGGGUGCAACCUCCUCGUUCCCCAGCUAGGGAGCCUUGGAGAAGGCAUGACUCGGCAUAUGGUGGUCUUCAUCAACACCCCCACGGUAAUAGAGGGAGUAGACCAGAAGUGCUGCCACCGCCUCCAGCUCAGAACGGAGCAAAUAGAGAAAUGGCAGUGCACCUGAUCGACCAGAACCAGGACUAUGGGCGGUAUACUUCCUUGAAGAUGUCCCUGGACGAGGUGUACGAGGCCAUAAAGGACCGAGGGUUGCUGUAUCUCCGUGUCCCAAUAAUAAAACUACGCAGCAGGAGAGAUAGGGGACGCUAUUGUAAGUUCCAUGGCACUCAUGACCAUACCACAGCAGAAUGCCGAGAUCUCAAGACCCAGGUUGAAGAUUUGGUGAGAAAUCGGUACCUGGAUGAGUUUAUAGAUGGGACCUUCCCAAUGGUAGCCUCGACAAGUGAAGGGGAGCAGAGUGACAUGAACUUGAGGCGUGAGCAGCCUACAGUAAGGGUGAUAGCUGGGGGCCCAACAUUGGCCGGAGAUUCCAACAGAUUGAGGAAGAAUUAUGCUAGAUACGCCAUGACCAGUAAAGAGGUAUUCUUUAACAUCCCAGCAGCCAAACGAGCAAGGGUCAGGCAAGUGCCAAUCAUGUGGACGGAUGAAGAUGAGGAAGGGAUUCUAUACCCCCACGAGGAUGCUUUAGUCAUCAAGGCUACUGUCGCUAGCAAGAAGUUUGACCGAAUAUUGAUUGAUACAGGGAGCUCAGUUGAUGUGUUAUUUAAGUCAACUUUGGAGGAGAUGGGAAUAGCAGACCAGAAGUUGGAGUACACCAAUACCUCCUUGAAGGGGUUCGGAGGAGGAAAACUAGUCCCUCUGGGCGUGGUCGAGCUGCCUAUCACGAUUGGGAGCUCCCCGACAGAAAGGACAAUGAUACUGGACUUUGUGGUGGUGGAUGAAGAAGGUCCUUACCAGAUGAUCCUAGGUCGGCCAUUUCUAAGGAUGAGCAAAGCGGUACUGUCCAACCAUUAUUUGGGUCUCAAGUACCGGGUGAAUGGGGUAGUUGGAGUGGUACGAGGAGACCAGAGAAUCGCAAGAAGCUGCUACUCCUCGGCAGCAAGGGAAACAAUGCAGAUAACAUCCCUGGAUACCUGAGUGGAAAACAAGAAUAGCAGACAAGAACCUGUAGAGGAGCUGGAGACAGUAAGCUUGGGACUAGAGAAUCCGGGAAAGAUGAUCAGAAUCGGGUCGAGACUUAAGGAAGAGCUGAAGCAGGAGUUGGUGAAAUGCUUACAGGCUCAUGCAGAUGUGUUUGCUUGGACACAUGAAGACAUGCCAGGGAUUGAUCCUGAGGUAGCAUGCCAUAAGCUGGCAAUAAAGAAAGGUGCUCGAGCAGUAAGGCAGAAAAGGAGGUGCUUCAACCAGGAGAGAUAUGAGGCUAUAAAUGGCGAGGUGGAGAAGCUCUUGAGAGCAGGGUUCAUUCGGGAAGUCAAUUACCCUGAGUGGAUAUCGAAUGUGGUGUUGGUAAAGAAGGCAAAUGGCAAGUGGAGGAUGUGUGUAGAUUUCACAGAUUUUAAUAAGGCGUGCCCAAAAGACAGCUUUCCUUUACCAAAGAUCGAUCAGCUAGUAGAUUCAACUGCUGGACACGGCCUGCUUAGCUUCAUGGAUGCAUUCUCGAGAUAUAACCAGAUCCCCAUGUACGAGCAGGAUCAGGAGACCACGACUUUCAUUACUAACCAGGGCUUGUUCUGUUACAGGGUAAUGCCAUUUGGUCUUAAAAAUGCUGGGGCCACAUGCCAGAGGCUGGUGAACAAAGUCUUUAAGCCAUUGAUCGGGAGAACCAUGGAGGUGUACGUGGACGACAUGAUAACCAAGUCGAAAAUCCCGAAGGAACAUGUCGGACACCUCGAGGAGACAUUCGGGCUUUUGAGGAAGUAUAAGAUGAAGCUCAACCCGGAAAAGUGUGCUUUUGGGGUCGAGUCAGGGAAAUUCCUUGGAUUCAUGGUGAGCCAUAGGGGGAUUGAAGCAAAUCCCGAGAAGAUCCAGGCGAUCGUGCAGAUGAGGUCUCCUCGUAGCCUGAAGAAGGUGCAAAGCCUCACGGGGAGGUUGGCGGUGUUGAGCAGAUUCAUAUCCAAGGCUACAGAUAAGUGUCAACCAUUCUUUCAAGUGAUAAGGAGGGGAAAGAAAACAGAGUGGACCCCAGAAUGCGAGGACGCCUUCCAGAACUUGAAGCAGUACUUGCAGCUAGCACCUCUGCUGUCCACACCGAGGGAUGGGGAUAAGUUAUUUUGUAUUUGGCGAUAUCAGAUCGGGCCACAAGUUCUGUUCUGGCGAGAGAGGAAGAAGGGGUUUAGUAUCCAAUAUACUACACCAGCAAGGCCCUGCUCGACGCUGAGACCAGAUACCCACCGUUGGAAAAAUGGGCGCUUGCCCUUGUGGUUGCUGCUCGGAAGCUGAGGCCAUACUUUCAAGCAUUCCCAGUCUCGGUAAUAACAAACCAGCCAUUGCGUCAAACUUUGCACAAGCCAGAUGCUUCUGGUCAGCUCGUCUAGUGGGCUAUAGAGCUGAGUGAGUUCGACAUAGACUACAAACCUCGAGCAGCGAUAAAGGCUCAGGCAAUGGACGAUUUCGUAGCAGAAUUCACAGAGCCCGAAGUAUGUUUGGACCAACGAGAUGUAGUUACAGACAGUAGCGAAGCUCAAGUAUGGCAAAGGUCUGUAGAUGGGUCAUCAAGGGAGUAGGGAUCAGGAACAGGGAUUGUCUUAGAAGGCCCAAGGGGGAGGAGAUCUCUUAUGCUGUAAAGUUAGAAUUCACAGCCACAAAUAACCAGGCAGAGUAUGAAGCCUUGAUAGCAGGUUUGGAAUUGGCUAAGGUCGUGAAAGCAGAUAGAGUGAAGAUCAGAACUGAUUCCCAGCUGGUUGCGAAUCAUGUCAGUGAAAAAUUUCAACUGAGAGAGGAGAAGAUGAAGCAGUACCUGAAGAUAGUCAGGCAGAUGAUGGGGAAAUUUGAAGUUGUGGAGGUGGUACAAAUCCCCAAGGAGCAGAAUAGUCGAGCAAAUAUUUUGGCCAGGAUGGCAGCGGUAGCAGACCCAAAAAUGCCAAAGUCGAUCCCUCUGGAGGUGAAGUCCAGCCCGAGUAUCGAGCAGAAUUUGGGGGUGCUGCGGAUAGAAAAAAAAUGCUCGUGGAUGGACCCGAUAAUUUCAUACCUUAAAGACGGGGUAUUGCCACCAGAUAAGCUGCGAGCUCAGAAGAUUAGAGCCCAUGCCUCGAGAUACACGAUGAUUGAUGGGGUAUUGUAUCGGCAAAGAUAUACACUACCUUUCCUUCGAUGUUUGGAUGAGGACGACGCGGAUUACGUACUGAGAGAAGUACAUGAAGGAAUUUACGGAAAUCAUUCUGGUGGGAGAUUCUUGGCCCAUAAGGUUCUAAGGCAGGGAUAUUUCUAGCCGAAAAUGCACCAGGAUGCGCAAGGGAAGACCAGGAGCUGUGUAAGCUGCCAGAGUUUUGCAAGUUUCUCCAACCAACCAUCAGAGAAGCUCACCUCCAUGGCCUCCCCUUGGCCAUUUGCUCAAUGGGGAAUUGAUCUGAUCGGCCCGUUGCCAAAGGGACGAGGAGCAGCAACACAUGCAAUAGUUGCUAUAGACUACUUCACGAAGUGGAUAGAGGUAGAAGCCUUUAGCAGGAUCACAGAGAAGAAAACAACAGACUUUGUGUGGAGAAACCUGGUCUGUUGAUAUGGGAUCCCAUAUGCCUUGGUAACGGAUAAUGGCAGGCAGUUCGAUAAUCACAGCUUCAGGGAUUUCUGCCAGAACCUAGGGAUAGAGCUGAAGUAUUGCUCGCCUGCUCACACUCAAUCGAAUGGACAAGUAGAAGCAGCCAAUAAGACCAUCAAGAGGCUUUUGAAAACCAGGCUUGGGGCAAAAAAGGGUGCAUGGGUUGAUGAGCUGUCAGGUGUUCUAUGGGCAUACAGGACAACCCAUAAGACAGCAACUGGGGAGACACCGUUUGCCUUGGCCUUCGGACAUGAAGCGGUCGUACCAGCCGAGAUAUUAACGACCACGAACCGGACAGAACAUUUCAAUGAACAGGAGAACAACGAGCAGAUGUGCCUGAAUCUAGAUAUGCUAAUGGAAAAGAGGGAGCAAGCAGCAGAACGAUCAGCCAUUUACCAGCAAAGGGUUGCUCGUUAUUAUAACCAGAAAGUGAAUGUACGGCAAUUUCAGGUCGGAGACGGGUACUGAGAAGAGUGAAUCAGAGCACCAAAGACUCGACUCAAGGAGUUCUGGGACCGAACUGGGAAGGGCCAUAUAGGGUCAAGCAGAUAGUGGGACCCGGAGCUUACAAGCUGGUUCACACGGACGGCCACGAGGUGAAACGCCCAUGGAACGCAGUACACCUCCAAAAAUACUUCCAGUAAGACUUAUUCACAUAUUAAAGCUAUUUCUGCCCGUGCUCGUUGUCUUUUAUUUUUUAUGUCAAAACAAUUUCAUGUAAGAUUUAAUCCUGCAAUUAAUGGAACGUUGAGGAAUUUCAUUCACUUGAAACUGUGAAAAAUUCUAAGGCAUGCAAAGGCUCACCAAGUCUCAAAGCUUGUUUUAUGGCGAGACAGAAGCCAAGCGUGCCAGGAUCUGCUCGACCGCACGAAGGCGAGCAGAAUCCCAAGCAUUGAAGAAUUUUCUAAGGCAUGCAAAGGCUUACCAAGUCUCAAAGCCUGUUUUAUGGCGAGACAGAAGCCAAGCGUGCCAGGAUCUGCUCGACCGCACGAAGGCGAGCAGAAUCCCAAGCAUCGAAAUAUUUUCUAAGGCAUGCAAAGGCUCACCAAGUCUCAAAGCCUGUUUUAUGGCGAGACAGAAGCCAAGCGUGCCAGGAUCUGCUCGACCGCACGAAGGCGAGCAGAAUCCCCAAGCAUCGAAAUAUUUUCUAAGGCAUGCGAAGGCUCACCAAGUCUCAAAGCCUGUUUUAUGGCGAGACAGAAGCCAAGCGUACCAGGAUCUGCUCGACCGCGCGAAGGCGAGCAGAAUCCCCAAGCAUCGAAAUAUUUUCUAAGGCAUGCAAAGGCUCACCGAGUCUUAAAGCCUAUUUAUGGCGAGACCAGAAGCCAAGCAUGCCAAGAUCUGCUCGACCACGCGAAGGCGAGCAGAAUCCCCAAGCAUCGAAAUAUUUUCAAAGGCAUGUGAAGGCUCACUAAGUCUCAAAGCCUGUUUAUGGCGAGACCGGAAGCCAAGCAUGCCAGGAUUUACUCGACCGAGCAAAGGCGAGCAGAAUCCCAAGUCAUGUAGCAAGACCAUAUGCUAAGCCAGAGCCUGUUCGACCAAGCGAAGGCGAGCAGACUCUCAAACGUAAAAAUAACUUGUGAAUACAAAUGCAAGAAAGUAAUCAAAAAUAGUUUUCAUUAAUUUAUCAAUAGCCAACAAAGCUGUCCAUUACAACACAAGAAACAUGUUCAAGAAGAUGGCAGAUCAGUUAGCCGAGCAGCAUCGGUUGACUGGACCUCCUCAGGUGCAGGGGGGUAUCACCAGUGUGUCUGGGGGGGUGCUCGCCUCGCCAACAUCAGCAGGGAUUGCACGAGGAUGAGAGUUUUCCUCAUCAAUCACGAUUGGCUCUACCCCUUCGGCAUCUUCCUUGGCCGCCUCCUCGUCCAUGUGUUGAGCAACACCAGCUGCAAGGUCAUCCAUCUUUAGAUCAGGAUGCUGCUUCCCGAGGACGGCCAUGAUGCAACGAUAGGAAUGCCGAAGUCCCUGGUCGUACUGGUUGUCGGCUUAAUUCUCUAAGUUCUCGACCUGAACUCGGUGGGAAUCGCGGAGAGAUUCGAGCUGAGCCUCAUACAUAGCCUUCUGCCUUUGAAGAUCCUCCUUGACCUUGGUCAGCUCUUCCUCGAAGGUAAUGGCUUUUGCUUGAGUAAGAGAUUCUUGCUCUAUCAGCUUCAGGUUCUCGACAUUCAGCUCCCCUGCUUUCUUCUCGGCAUCGUCAGCUCUGGUCAUCGCCGACUGAAUGUCCUCCUUCAUCUUCCUGUCAUAACGGCCAACCUUGGCCUUAUAGUAGGUGGUCAUACAGCUGAGAUGGAAAGCGCUAUACUGCAUGGCUCCCACCAGCUCGCCUAAGGUGCAGCCAUCAAAGUCCUCCAGGUCCUUCUUGCUCACGAGUUUGGAAAGCUCGUUGAGAUAUGGGGCCAAGUGUUCUGCUUGGCUGUCAGAUAAACGAGAUCUAGGCCCGACAGGAGGAGAAGAGGAAGCAGGAUCAGUGGCUGCUCCACUAGUUUCUCCGACUUUGGCAGGAAGAGGAGGUAGAGUCUUCAAGGGAGGAACUUGUUGCACAAUGUUAACCCGCUUCGCAGUGGGAGCGUCCUUGCUCUGGUCCCUCUUCGCAGUUUGAGGUCGAGGACGCUUCCGAGUCAGAGCCUCAAUCACAACAUCCUCCAUCUUAUGGCCGGGGGACACCAAACAAGACUCGAGUAGGUUAUAAGUAGUUAUCAGCUCUCGGCUCGAGCAAGAAUUGACUAGUACAGCCUCGAUCCGUUUGAGCUGGUCAGGUUUGAGCGGAAAGUGAACACCCCAAGAACUUGCAACACAAACAGACACUUGGUUAGAGACAAAUCAGUAAAGCGAGAACAAUUUUGGAUACAAGACAUCUAAAGCGAGCAGGCAACCUGGGACCGUGAAACGGGGUGGGACGCGAUAGUCCUUUCCGUCUAUUUGUGCAACUUGACCCCAAGUACCCCCAACAAAAAAGAAUUUCCUCUUCCAAGUCCCACUUCCACCAGUUGGAAGAUCAGUUAUGGGUUUUCUGCUCUUGGUACUAGAUUGGAAGUAGUACCAGCCGGCAUCUUUGGGGCUGCUCUUUAGCUGGUACAGGUGCUUCACCUCAUCAACCGUGGGCUCGCUUUGGCAACAUCUGUCCCACAAUAUGAACAGACUAGAGAGCACUCUCCACCCGUUGGGAUUCAGCUGACCAGGAGCCAGAUUUAGCCCGUUAAGUAUAUGGGCAAAGUAGGGUUGCAAGGGACACCUCAGCCCAUACUUAAAGCUCUCCAGAAACAAGGUAACGUAUCCCCUAGGAGGCCGGCUAGGUGUAUCCUUUUUUCCUGGGAUCUUAAGAGAUAUUUCACCAGGAAUACUAUACCUAAGUCGGAGGUCAUUGAGCUCGUCAAAUGUGGUCGUGCACGUCAUGUAAUCAAUGGCAUAAUCCCGCGACAAGGCUCUACCUCCUACUGUACUCCGCCCUUCUGGUUGUAAUGUUCCUGAUGGGGACGCCUCACCAAAAUCACCUUCCCCAUCCCCACUCAAGGUGUUUUCUGAAUCGGAAGAUCCCUCCUCACCACUAUUUCCGCUUGAGGAGGUUGUUUGGGGGGACAUCCUCCUAGCGCUAGUACCAACACCAGACCUAAUGGGUUCUAAGGGGAUCGGUGAGCAGAUUAGGUAAGAAAUCUAGCCCGUCGUCAUCAAUCUCAACGACUUUCUCUUUACCUUUCGACAUUCCCUAAGCAAUAACCAGAACACCACCAAUUACUACCUAAGCAAAGCAAAGAGAAAAGAAAUUAUCUACAGCUAUCCGAGAUCGAUGAGAUAGAAGUAAUACCUGAAGUAGUGGUUCAGUCGGAGAAGGACAGGGAUGGAGGCUUUUAUGCCGGAGCUUCUUUGCCAGAGAGAGACAGGGAACGAGAUGGAGAAAACGACAAAUUUUCCUUUAAGAGAAGGUUGUGGGUUUUCCUAAUGGAGAGUGAACUCUUGGGUUGCCGGCAUUUAACAGCACCGAAUCCCAAGGGUCUCGUAAUUGUUGGUUUGAAAUUCAAAUAGAGGGGUAGAUUUCCGCCACAUCAACUCGUCCGUAAUUAAAUACGACACGACUCUUGGCAGCCUUUUUCCUAUCCCGCGCAAGCAAGGACUGUCAAGUUUCUACUGUCGACUUACUGCGUUACCCAACACCAGAAACUGGGGGACCGGUGUUUGUGGGAUAUGCUUCGACGAAGACCAGCAGUGAUGAGCAGACAUCUGAUAACAGGGUUCCUCGAGCAGGUAUAUCUUGUAAGAGUUUGGUAUCCGGGGGAGCAGGAGCAGGAAUAUCUUGCUCAUCCACGAGCACGUCAUCCACGAGGCCAAUCUCCUAUUGGAAGCAUAGAGCCAUUCCUGCUUCAUUCCUGCUAAGGGUUGAGUCGAGGAGACCCGGUCAACGACAGUUGGCGAGGCGUGCUCUCCAGUCCGAGAAUCAAGGCACGAAGGCCACACAACCACCCACGACUGCGGAAAUGGGGCAUCCAAUUUCGAGAGGUGGGCGGAUAACGAGUGCGAAUGGAGGGAAGGCCCGAGUUCAGAAGUGGCCUAUAAAAAGGUAGCCAACGAAGGUAAAAGGGUUAGAUUUUUUGAGAUUGCAACUAAGAAAAGAGAGCUUUAAGAACUGAAACUAAAGAGAAGCCAUAAGAUUCGUGGCAAACAUUCCCAGAACCUUCAUAUCUAACUUGAGCGUCGGAGAGUUUAUGCCGGGAAAACAACCGGCGUACUCUGACCUGCUUCUGUGUACGCAGGAACUUUUGGAGAAAAAACCUUACAAGGAGAGAUCCUGGUCGUGGUAGAGUUGGUCGAGUAGAGGUCUUGGUCUUGGUAGAGAAGGCAACCAGAAUCUCGCAUCAACAGGUUUCAUUCCAGACAACAGUGAGGCAACUGCUGGGAAGUACGUAGAGCAACUAAUCAAUAGAGGCUUUGUUGAUGCAAGGAAGAGAAGAGCUGGAGGCACUAUCAACACAUGCUCUGUUCGUGGUCGUUGCCGUCCUGUGUUGUUAGCAGUGGCUUUCAAGGCAGAAUUUAUCUUUUUCUCAUUCAUGGAUCCAGAAGGUAAAUCACGAAAGAAUGUCAAACCGAUCAACGUUUUUGAAAAACAGAGUAAUUUUGCUUGCUUAGAUGAUUAUGACUCGCACAUGCAUUCUUUGUUGUACUUCACUUCAAAAAGAGACCACCUUGACCCAAUAGAUUGGGAGAAAAUUUGCAGAAUGUUCAAACUUCUCAGAGUAUUGGACUUGGGAUCUCUUGUUCUCAUCCAAUAUCCAUCCGGAAUUGAAAAUUUAUUUCUUUUGAGAUAUUUAAAGUUGAAUAUCCCUUCCCUCAAAAUCCUGCCUUCAUCAUUAUUAAGCAAUCUUCUGAACCUUUACACCCUAGACAUGCUCUUUAGCUAUAUAGAUCAUACAACAGAUGAAUUUUGGAAGAUGAACAAACUCAGGCAUCUAAAUUUUGGGUCAAUCACACUUCCUGCGCAUCCAGGAAAAUAUUGCGGCUCUCUGGAAAAUCUCAAUUUCAUUUCAGCCUUGCAUCCUUGCUGCUGUACUGAAGAUAUAUUGGGCAGACUACCUAAUCUCCGAAAUCUCCGGAUUCGGGGAGAUUUAAGUUAUUAUCAAUUUUUGUUGUCCCAAAAUAUUUGCAGAUUGAGUUGCCUCGAGUCAUUGAAGUUGGUGAAUGAAAGCAAGAUGCCACGGAUCUCCAAAAUCAUCCUUGCUGAAUACCUAUUUCCUCAUAGUCUAACCCACUUGAGUUUUUCUAAUACUAACCUAAUGGAUGAUCCCAUGUCGACACUAGAAAAGCUGCCGCUUCUUCAAGUGCUCAAAUUGAAGCAAAACUCGUAUUCAGGUAGAAAACUGACUUGUGGUUCUGAUGCUUUUCCAAGGCUUAAGGUAUUGCACAUGAAAUCAAUACUAUGGCUAGAGGAGUGGACUAUGGGGACUGGGGCCAUGCCAAAACUAGAAUGCUUGCUUAUCAACCCUUGUGCUUACUUGAAAAGGGUUCCUGAACAGCUCUAGUGCAUAAAGAGCUUAAACAAAUUCGAUUGCUGGUGGCCUCAGCCAGAGCUGAGACAAAAGCUACGGGAAUUCAAGGAUAAGGAGCAGUAUGGCGUUCAACUUUAUCCUUACAGAAUUUGAUUAGCCCUGAUUGAGUUUGAUGUAAGUUUUUUCUUCUUCCCCAAUAACUUCAACCUUUAAUUAUUGAUCUAAUUUCAUAUAAAAGUUUUUUUUUCCUCCACAAUAGAUUUGAUAGUAUGCAGCUGCCUAAACUAUAAUCAUAAUAUAAAGUGUUUUCUACAUUCUAAUUGUGGUUGCUUCUAAUUUUUGUCUCAAAAUAAACUUGAAGUGUCCAUCACAGUUCCUGAUGCUGACACCAUUCAUUAAAAAAUGUAUGAUAAAAUCUUCAAUCAGUUGUAUGUGCAGGUAAAAGCAGAGCGGAAAAUAUCUUAACUGUACUGCAGCCAAAGUUUCAAUUUCAACCAGAAUCCAGCCUUCAUCCUUUCAGUGUUCACUUCUGCUGAGUUGUCUACACGUUGUUUGGUUUCUUUGUUUUCAAGGAUUUGCAUGCUAAAAGUAAUAAUGUCAUGUUCAGAUUAAUAUAUUGUACAAAAGUCUGAUUAAUUGUUUUACUUUCUAUUUUCAGUUUCACUGGUGUGUAUUCAAUUUGUCAACAUUCAAAUUGAUAUAUGUUAUGUUUUUAUUUUUAUUUUAUUUCUUUCUCUAGUUUUUAAGUAGCGGUACAGUUCAACUUCAAGCUUAGUACUUCAGUUAGAAGAAUAGUAUUUGUGCUUUGAUCUCAUCUCAUCAUCUCAACACAGGCAGAACGACAUUGUUGUUCGGUUUUUUGGAAUUUCACCGACGUGUCGGUCAUUAUAAGGGCGAGAAUGCUGGUCAAACGUCAGUUGGGGUUAGUUAAAAAGGUGCAGGAAAAUUCUGGGAUUGUUAUAGAUGGCCUUUAUCAUAGUUUAUAAGGCUGGUUGAUGGGUCAUCUUCUCAUAUCUCAUCAAAGCUAUGGAGAGAGAGAGAGAGAGAGAGAGAGAGAGAGAGAGAGAGAGUUAAAGUAGAAAGUUGUAUAUUCUUGUUCUCUGUAACAAGCUCUACAUCCUGGUAACCUUGAUUUGUGAAAUAGUGAAAGCUUGAAAGCUUGUAUCCUUGUCUUCACUGGAUUUAGGCACUUUGAUUCAAUUUUUAGUUCGGAUUUCUGAGAACGAGUCUUCAUACAUCAAAUCAAAGAUGGUCUAAGGUGUUUGAUCUUGGUACUGUCAGAGGAUUAAACACAACAAAAAGAAACUGGGGCAUAUUGCCUAAUCUUCAUAGUCUUCAGAUAUAUGGAGAUUAAGCCCUUGUAAAAUCAAAAACCAGCACUAAUCCUUGGUGAUUUGGAGCAGAAGAUUUAACGAGUAAAGUUCUGAAAGUGGAAGAUUUAAUCUAUAGUGCUGCUCGUUUUGGAAGCUUUGCUAGAAUUGAUGACUGAAUUCUUUCUCUAUUGAUUGAUUAGCAGCCCCACAGCAUGCUAAUGGUUUUCACAUUUUUCCCUCCCACAGCAUGCAGAGGGUGCCUGUAGUGCAAAGAAGUUGAUGGCACGCAGGAUGUGCUGCUCACUCUCAAUUCCUUACAAUCACACCAAAGCCGUCUUUUGCAGCAGAGAAAUACCCGUUUGCGUUAAAAAUGAUCCUUGUAGCCAUUGAGAUUAAUUGAUUAAAUGGAGUUGACAAAUGAAACAAAAACGGAAAAAAAAAAAAUUCAAUUCUACCAAAAUCAUUCAUCCAUUAAUACCCACGUUGAAUAAAACUCAACAUCCUUUUUUUCUAUUCCUUUCAAUAAAAAAAUAUUAAUUUAAUAUAUAUAUAUAUAUAUAGAGAGAGAGAGAGAGAGAGAGCUUCUUAAGUGCAUAUACUUAACAUUAUAUGGUGUUAUAGCGAAUCUACACAUAAUCUGCAUUUAGUGCAUCCACAUUUGAGAAUUUCUAUAUAUCAAAGCUUUCAAAGGCAGAAGUUUAAAUAUGAAUUUUGUGCGGAUUCACUACAAAAUCAUAUGAUGUUAACAUGCUUUUACAAUUGACUAUAAUACCACAUGAUGUUAUAGAAAAUCCACACGAAAUCUUUAUUAUAUAAAGAGAGAGAUCUUGCUUUGCUUUAUAAUUGAAUAUAGGGCAGUGAUAUUCCCACCCCUCAAAUUUUGUAAACCUACCUCGCCUUAAAAAAUUAAAUCAUAAAAAAUUCACAUUAUUUUUAACGAUUUCAAAUUAUUAAGAAUAAAAUUAAGCAAUUGACUAAUUAAAUCCUCAUUAAAUAAUUAAAAUACAUUUAUGAUAUGAUAUUCCAAAACAUUUAUGCUAUUUUUCUCAUAAAAUUUAUUAAUUAUAAGAAGGAUCUGAUUGAUUAAUUGUUUAAAAUUUUAUUUAUUUUAAAUUAAAAAAGCGUGAAUUAUUUUUUAAAUAAUUCUUUGAAAUGAUUUAAAUGCGGCACGUGUCCCAUCAAGUUAAAACCUGAAGUUGAUUUAAAUUUUAUUUUAUUUUAUUUUGGAACAGAAACCAAGUAGCGAGGCCCCGUUCUUCAGGAAAUUCCGAGCUAAGUUAAUCAACAUUUCCACUAAUUAUUUUUAUUUUCUUCCAAAGUUAAUUUAAUUAGAUCAAUUUCUGGCUUCCUACUUAAAUUGCAUAUCCAAUUUGGGGGUUGAUUUUUGGAGAUGGAGAUAAACUGAAACAUUAAUUGAAAUCGAUUGAGAAAAAAAAAAUCGAUUGAGAUUGAAAGUUCUUUAUUACCCAACAUACAGAAUACAUAUGCAAUUAAUUCAAAUUUCUAAAAUUACUGUAAUUGUUGGCAAUGUGGGGUUUUUUUUUCGUUGGGGGGGGGGGUGUCUGAAAUUUGCAUGCAUGCCUUAAUUGAGUUUUAUCACUUUAAAUCCUAAUUACUAAUGUUUUUUCUGUUAAUGGUUGAAAAUAAGAUAAGAAGAGAGAAGGUGAACUUGAAGAAGUAUAAGAAGACAAGACAUGUGAUGAUGUUGAUGUGUUUAUGUGAAUAAAGACAUAAAAAUACAUGUAAUGAUGUUGAUGUGUUUUUUCUUUGUCCAAGUUUUUCCGUUGAUGUUCUAAAGUUUGCAUAUAUAUGUUUCAAGAAACAAAUGGAAAUUAAAUAGUACAUAAAGGUGAACUCACAUCGUCAACUAAAGGUUACACUACCAUUUGCCCAAUGGUUCCAUUUCUAUUAUCAUUUUCUUUAGUCACAGAAAUAUCAUCGGACUCAAAUUCAUCAGUAUAAGAAGAGGGACAAGGACAAGGACAGGGUGAGUCUAUUGUAUGACAACAGCAAGUCUACAAUUUAGUUUUAUUUCUGCUGCUGCACUGAGGAAUCACUAGCAUCAACCACCUACUUUAUUACCGUUGCUUCGUUUUUCUCUUGAAGACGGUUGACUUGAUGAAAUAACACUUCUAAUGAGGCUGCCUUAAAGAAAGCAUAUAUGUUAAUCACCUGUUGUAAUCUCAUGCCAAAAUCAUUUCAGUUCCUGCUCAUAAAAUUAGUUACUUCAACCUUUGUCAUAUGUAUUCUCCACUGCUUCAAGAUACUUAGAUAGUGAAUGUGUCUAAAUUCCAACUCAAAAGAUUCAUUUGAGAAAAAAUUCUUUAGAUGGUCAUGUAGAGUUCUAAUUUAUCUCCGUAUCAUACACAAAAUACUUGAAACCUACACAUCAAUGAUCAAUGUUCAUCUUUUAUUGACAAUCCCAAUUCUCAUAUGUGUUUGGAAAGAAAUUAGAUUCACAGGCAUUCUAGAAAUAUCUGGUGUAUUUCAAUGACAAUGAUGCCAAGUCAUGUCUCAUGGCGUCCAAAAAAAUAAAAAUGGUGAUGUAUGUGGAGGAAGAUCGUUAGCUCAAUUAAAACUACACCUCGAUCAUUUCUGGACUCAUCAACAAGAGGUAAUUUCUUACUUUGUGAACAAAUUUUGUGUCUUAUAAUUUUUUUCUGUAUUUAUAUACUUACAUGCUGUUUUGUAAUUAUAUAGCCACCAAAGCCUGGACAUGGAGAUGUGUGUUUUGUUAUGUUUAGUCCAUUUAUAAGAUCAUGUGUCAUGUGAUCUAUAAGUCUACUUAAUGGUUGCAAUCAAAUGAGUUCAUGUCCAGAUUGUGAAGUUAGUUAAUUUCAACAUAUAGCAAUGAUUGUAUCCAUUGCUUUUAUGACGUUGCUAUGUUAUUGCUUCUUUAAUAAGUGGCAGACAUGAUUUUCUAGUUUUCCACAGCUUAAAUUGUUAAAUAAUUGAUAAUGCUCUUGUGCUUACUCUGUUCUUUUCUUUUUAGAUAAGCUUUAUGGUCCCAGUGGAAUUGUUUUCACCCUUUCUUUAUUGACAGUGGAUGUAUAAAAAAAAUUGGUCUUGAUUGAUACUUGAUGAUGUUGUAGUUAUUUCUCCCUGCUUUAUUCUUUUUGCAACAUAUGUGUUGUGCCAAAUACCAGUAAAGAAAUGAUAAUGGCUCCCCAAGACUCACUCAAGAAUGGUUCUUGAGUCUAAAACUAAUCAAUCUGUACUCAGUUUAAAGGAUGUUGUAACAGCCCAGUCAAUAAAAACUAAUCAAUGAAAGGAUUAAAAGAAUCAGAAAGAACAAUACACAUAAAGCUUAUAGUGGUUCGGCUAUGGAAGCCUACGUCCACUGUGAAAAAAUGAAUCCAAGUUUUAUUGAAUUGAUUGUCUACAGAGAACAAGCUUUUACAGAGAAUAUAACAACUAACAACCACUGGCGUUAUUCCUGAGUAUCCAGCUAUAUAUACAAGCUCUUUCUCGAUCAAACACCAGCAAGUUUCCCCUAUGUUUAGUGACGAAGAGCAGCAGCUUCCCGCGCUAAUUAACGGCUUUACAGACUUCUGAUAAGCCUUCAUUACACGUGUCUUCAUCUCUAUUAUACUAAGUAACAAAACGACAGUUCAAGCAGCCGUUUUGGUUAAGUGAAUCAUGUGCAAAUCACAUGCCUUCUUUGUAUACACAGAUGACACGGUAUCCUUGUCAUAUAGCUAUCUCAGGAUUGUCAACCGACAUGUCAUGGUGUUGACAAAUCUUCAACCGACUUGUUGCACUUGACUAUAAACUGAUUUGCAGUUCAUAUUCAACAUUCUCCACAUUGAGCUCAAAUCAUCCAUUCCUCAGGUUCACCCUUCCACUUCUUUCCUUCAGUCUAUACCCUGCAGAUGCCAGCUGAGUUCAAGCAGAACUCAAACUUAGCUCCUGGUACAGCUUUGGUAAGCAUGUCAGCAAUGUUGGUAUCAGUGUGUGUUUUAGCCAGCUUAAUCACACCCUUUGAUAUUUCCAAUCUGACAAAGUGAAGCUUGAUAUCAAUAUGCUUGGUCUUUUCGUGGUGAAUCUGGUUCUUACUCAGACAUAUAGCACUUUGGCUGUCACAAUGAAUUGUGAUUUAUUUUUGUUCAAAUCCCAGUUCUGUUACCAUCCCUCUAAGCCAGAUGGCUUCUUUGAUUGCCUCUGCAGCUGCUGUGUAUUCUGCCUCAGUUGUUGAUAGAGCAACAAUACUCUGCAGUGAAGCCUUUCAGUUUAUGGUGCAGCCAUUAAGCAUGAACAGAAAGCCUGUUAAGGACCUUCUUUUAUCCAGAUCUCCAGCAUAAUCUGAAUCUACAUAACCCUCCACACUAACCUCUGUAUAUUUCUCAGCUCCAUAGAUCAAACCAUAACCAGUUGUACCAGCAAGGUAUCUUAAGAUCCACACAACAGCCCUCCAAUGAUCCUUCCCUGGGUUUGCCAUAUACCUGCUUACCACACUCACUGCAUUAGAGAGAUCAGGCCUAGUCAGGACCAUUGCGUACAUUAAACAUCCAACAGCACUUGAGUAUGGAAAUUUAUUCAUUUAAGCCUUCUCAGCAUCAGAGUUUGGACACUGUUGGCAGGACAGUCUGAAAUGAGAGGGCAGUGGUGUUUGUACUGGUUUACAUUUAUCCAUAUUGAGCUUCUCAAGUACUUUCCUAAUGUAUUUUUGCUGUGUUAGGCUUAGGAUACCAUUCUUCCUGUCUCUCUUUAGCUAAACUCCAAGGAUCUUCUUUGCAGCACCUAGAUCCUUCAUCUCAAAUGUAUUGCUCAGCUGCUGCUUCAGUUCAUUGAUGAACUCCAUCUCCUUACAAGCUAUUAACAUGUCGUCUACAUAGAGUAGCAGGUAGAUCUUAUCACCACCUUCUAUGGUUUUAAAGUAAACACAGCAGUCAAAACUGCUCCUUUGAAAACCAUGAUAUGACAUAAACCUGUCAAACCUUAGAUACCACAGUCUUGGAGAUUGUUUUAAUCCAUACAGUGACUUCCUUAAAUGACAUACAUGAUCAGCCUUUUCUGGAUCCUCAUACCCUUCAGGUUGUGACAUCACUAUCAUCUCAUCUAUUUCACCAUGCAGGAAGGCAGUCUUCACAUCCAUCUGUUCAAGAUGCAUGUCUUGUACAGCCACUAGAGAUAACAGGAUCCUCAGGGAAGCAUGUCUCACCACAGGGGAGAAAACUUCUGUAAAGUCAACACCCUCUUUCUGAGUGAAACCUUUUGCAACCAACCUGGCUUUGUAUCUUUGUGGCUCAACAUCUGGAAUUCCCUCCUUAAUCCUGUAAAUCCAUUUGCAUCCUACUAUCCUCUUGUUUGCUGGUCUUUCAAUGAGAUUCCAGGUGUGAUUCUUUUUUAAAGACAUCAUUUCCUCAUCCAUAGCCUUGAUCCAUUCUUCUGCCUUAUCACUGUUAAUAGCUUCUGAGUAUGGUCUAGGUUCAUUUGUUGCUAUUUCAUGUGCUGCUGUUAAUGCAAAUGCAAUUAGAUCUGCAUAUGCAUAUCUUCUAGGAGGUCUUAUCACUCUCUUUUCUCUGUCCCUCACUAACUGAUAAUCUUCACAUCUCUCUUGAUCACUUGUUGUUUCAUUCUCAGUGUCAUGUAUUUCCAUGUCUGUUAUGUCUCCAGCCUCUGAUCUUGAUUUCUGUUUCUGGUUUGAGUUUGACAGCUCCACUUCAAGAUAAGAUCUCUCAUCUUUAUCUUUCAGUUCUGCAUUUGUAGUUUUUAAGGAUACUGAUUGUUGGAGCAUCUCAGCUUCAUUAAAUACCACAUCUCUGCUUAUGAUUGCUUUUGGUGGCUUCAUGUCUGUGCACCAUAGUUUAUACCCUUUUACCCCUUCAGGGUAACCAAGAAAUACACACUUCAAUGCCCUGGGUUCUAAUUUGCCUUAUUUGAUGUGAGCAUAUGCUGGACAACCAAAGAUCUUCAAACUAGAGUAAUCUACUGGUUUACCAUACCAAAGUUCAUAUGGUGUCUUGAAGUUAAUUCCUGUAAAAGAGCUUCUGUUCGCAAUAUGACAAGCUGUUGACAGAGCCUCAGCCCACAAGGACAUAGGUAGCUUAGAGUGAAUGAGCAUACACCUCACUUUGUCAACUAAGGUUCUGUUCAUCCUCUCAGCUAAUCCAUUUUGCUGAGGUGCAUAUCUUACUGUUCUGUGCCUCAUGAUUCCAUGCUUGCUGCAAAAUUCUUCAAACUUCUUAUUGCAGAAUUCUAAUCCAUUAUCAGUUCUGAGCUUCUUAACCUUCCUAUUAGUCUGAGUUUCAAUUAGUGUUUUCCAGUUCUUGAAUUGUUCAAACACUUCAUCUUUGUUCUUCAGCACAUACACCCAAACCAUUCUAGAAUGGUCAUCAAUUAGAGAUAGAAAGUACCUUGCCCCUCCUAAGGAUGCUGUCUGUGUAGGUCCCCACAGAUCAGCAUGUACGUAUUCUAGAGUUCCUCUUGAAACAUGUGCACCAGUGCUGAAUUUGACUCUUGAGGAUUUACCUAGGACACACUCCUCACAAAAUUCCAAGGGCUCUAUUUUAUCUUCACCUAAGACUCCUGUUUUGAUAGUUCUCUCAAGCUUCUCUCACUCAUAUGGCCUAAUUUAAAGUGCCACAAUAAAGUUUUGUUUAGAUUCUGGUUUGAAACUCCAACAUCUCCUGUGACUACAGACCCCUAGAGCACAUACAGGCCAUUGUCUAAGUUUCCUUUCAUCAACACCAUAGACCCUUUCAACACCUUCAAAGUGCCUGACUCAAGCUUGAUAACACACCCCAUUUUGUCAAGCAUGCCAAGAGAAAUUAAGUUCCUCUUUAAAUCAGGGAUAUGUCUGACAUUUGGUAAUUCUCUUAUUGUGCCAUCAAGCAUUUUCAGUUUAAUGGUGCCCCUGCCAAUUACUCUACAACUAGCAUCAUUUCCCAUUACAACUAUCCCACCAUCAUAGGUUUCAUAGUUCUUAAAGAAAUUUCUAUUAGGGCACAUAUGGAAUGAACAACCAGAAUCUAAAACCCAGUUACCUCUAGAUGCACCAUCAGAGACUAUGAGAACUCCAGCAGAGUCAUAACCAUCAGAUUCUUGUCCUUCUGAUGCAACAGUAGCAUCUCUAGUCUUCUCUUUUGUUUCUUUGCUUUUAUAUUUCCUCUCUGGACAAUCCUUUUUGAAGUGGCCUUCCUUGUGGCAAUUAAAGCACUUCAUAUUCUUGGGUCUGGACUUGGAUCUUUUCUUCUUUCCUUGACCACCUUCUCUCUUUUAUGGUCUCCCUCUAACUGUUAAUCCUUCCCCAUGACUUGCUUCUUUCUUGGUUGCAGCCUUGGAGCUCAAUGUCUCUUUUACAUCCACCAUCGAAAGAGACUGUCUUCCAUACAUGAGAGUGUCAACUAGAUGCUCAUAAGAGCUUGGUAAAGAGCACAACAGAAUCAUGGCUUUAUCUUCAUCAUCAAUCUUUACAUUAAUGUCUUUAAGAUCCAAAAUGAUCUUGUUAAAGGCAUCAAUGUGAUCAGAGAUUGAUGAACCCCCUUCUAUCUGCAAUGUGUAAAGCUUCUUUUUAGUGGCUAACCUCUUAGCCAUGGACUUUUUGGCAUACAAGUCUUCAAGCUUCUUCCACAAUCCAGCAGCAGUUGUCUCUCCUCCCACUUCUCUAAGUACACCAUAUCCGAGGCUUAAGAUAAUUGCACUAUGUGCCCUAUCAAGCACAUCUGGAAGAUCAUCCUCUGAUAUCUUCCUUGGUUUCUUGGGUGAUGUGAUUUCGGCAAGGGCUUCAUCCAGGCCUUGAUGUACCAGUAGUGCUUUCAUCUUGAGUCUCCAUAGGUGAAAGUCAUUUUCACCAGUAAACUUUUCUAUUUCAAGUUUAGGACCAGUCAUCUUUAGAUCAAGAAUUUCAGAGAGAGGCUCUAAUACUAAUUUAUUGUGCCAAAUACUAGUAAAGAACUGAUAAUGGCUCCCCAAGACUCACUCAAGAAUGGUUCUUGAAUCUAAAACUAAUCAAUCUGUACUCAGUUUAAAGGAUGUUGUAACAGCCCAGUCAACAAAAACUAAUCAAUGAAAGGAUUAAAAGAAUCAGAAAGAACAAUACAUAAAAAGCUUAUAGUGGUUCGGCUAUGGAAGCCUACGUCCACCGUGAAAGAAUGAAUCCAAGUUUUAUUGAAUCGAUUGUCUACAGAGAACAAGCUUUUACAGAGAAUAUAACAACUAACAACCACUGACGUUAUUCCUGAGUAUCCAGCUAUAUAUACAAGCUCUAGCUCGAUCAAACACCAGCAAGUUUCCCCUGUGUUUAGUGAUGAAGAGCAGCAGCUUCCCGCGCUAAUUAACGGCUUAACAGACUUCUGAUAAGCCUUCAUUACACUUGUCUUCAUCUCUGUUAUACUAAGUAACAAAACGACAGUUCAAGCAGCUGUUUUGGUUAAGUGAAUCACGUGCAAACCACAUGCCUUCUUUGCAUACACAGAUGACACAGUAUCCUUGUCAUAUAGCUAUCUCAGGACUGUCAACUGACAUGUCAUGGUGUUGACAAAUCUUCAACCGACUUGUCGCACUUGACUAUAAAUUGAUUUGUAGUUCAUAUUUAACAAUAUGGAAGACUGAGUAUUGUAAGAUUCAUUUCCCGCACUGCUCUGCCUUGAUCUGUUCUAAUUUGAGAGUCAGCAAUCUUGAUUCAACUUCUUGGGUGGAGUACUAGCUAAGAGAAGGGAGGCAUGGGAGCCAGCACUAAUUUUUGAAUUGAAGAGAUAUGGGCAUCAACUUCAGACUAUUUUCAGAGAGGCUGAGAAGGGUGUUAGCUGGCGAAGAAGUCACAUUGCCUGAUGCUGCAAAAUAACCUAUUCAGAAUCUUUGUACCGAGGUUGAAAUCGUUACUUCUUGGCUGAGGGACUUUGAAUAUGAUAUGUCCUGGCUUCUGCUGCAAAAAAAUAGGAGAAGAUGAAAUUGACAACCCAGACCUUGGGACCAUUAAUUGCUUUACAUAUGAAUAUGAGAAGGUCAUUGACAUAUUCUCAACAGCAUCACCCAACAUAAGAGUCAAAGCAGGUGCAACAACUUCAGUACAUCGAUUCCGGAAUCAUUGAUGAUUUCAAAAGUAUUGAAGAUGAAGCCGAUUAUUUUCCUGCAUCAUCAUCUUCUAAGAAUAGGGGCACGGUGGGUCUAGAAGACAGAAUGGAGGAGUUGUUAGAUAUAUUAAGAGAGGGACCACCUCAGCUUUCAGUGGUGGCCAUCUUGAUAGCAUUGGGUUGGGCAAGGUGGCUUUCACUGCAGAGGCUUACAGCAGCAGUGAUGUGAAGCAUUAUUUUAAUUGUCACGCUUGGGUUCCAAAGCCUUACAGCUAUGAUGCUGAUGGUGACCAAAUAUUAGAUAUCAUUAUUAAGUUUCUAAUGCCUUCAUCUAGGUUGAGUGUAAUAAAGGAUAAAAAUUAUGAAAUGAAAAAAAAAAUUCUUCAUGAAUAUCUAAUGAUCAAGUGGUAUUUGAUUGUGAUUGAUGAUGUGUGGAGCAUUGAAGUGUGGGAUGUUAUUCGAGAAAUACUUCCGGAUAAUCAGAAUGGAAGUGGAGUACUAAUAACACUCACUGAAAUUCAUAUCGUCACCUCAUUUCAGUUAAAAAGUGGACAUAAUAUUUGGCUUGAUUUAGUGCCCACUAAAGGACCAUUGAGAGUUGUUUACCUUUUUGCUUGAAACUUUGUUUUCCUUACUUAUCUGUGUUUCCUGUACACCUAGAGACAUCCACCAAGCAGUUAUAUCAGUUGUGGAUAUCUGAAGGUUUCAUUCCAGACAAUAGCGAGGCAACUGCCGAGAAGUACUUGGAACCACUAAUGAAUAGAGUCUUUGUUGAUGCAAAGAAGAGAAGCGAUGGAGGCAGAAUCAACGCAUGCCCUAUUCGUAGUCGUUGAUGGGCUUCAUUAUUGCAAAUGGCUCUCAAAACGAAAUUUAUCUUUUCCCCUAUCCUGGAUCAAAAAGGUAAAUCACGAAAAAAUGUCAAACAUGUCUACGUUUUUUACAUUUUGCUUACUUAGAUGAUUGUGACUCGCACCUGCAUUCUUUGUUGCACUUCUAAAAGCGACCACCUUGACCCCAUAGAUUGGGUGAAAAUCGAUUGAGUAAUGGACUUGGGAUCUCUUGUUCUCAGCCAAUUUCCAUCCAAAAUUGAAACCUUAUUACUUUUGAUAUUUGAAGCUGAAUAUCCCUUCCCUCAAAAGCCUGGCUUCAUCACUAUUAAGAAAUCUCUGAAUCUGUACACCAUAGCCAUGCUAUUUAGCUACAUAAAUCAUACAACAGAUGAAUUUUGGAAGAUGAACAAACUCAGGCAUCUAAAGUUUGGCUCGAUCAUACUUCCUGAACAUCUAAGAAAAUAUUGCGGCUCUCUGGAAAAUCUCAAUUUCAUUACAGCCAUGUAUCCUUGCUGCUGUACUGAAGAUAUAUUGAACAGACCACCUAAUCCUCAAAAUCUCCAGAUAUGAUAUGAGGAGAUUUUUAUUUUUAUCAAUUUUUGAUGUCCCAAAGUCUUUGUAGAUUGAGAUGCCUCAAGUCAUUGAAGAUGGUGAAUGAAAGCAAGAUGCCAAGGCUCUCCAAAAUCGUCCUUGCCAAAUACCUACUUCCUCAAAGUCUAAUCCACUUGAGUUUCUCUAAUACUGAAAAAAUGGAUGAUCCCAUGCCUGCACUUGAACACUAGAAAAGUUGCCAGUUCUUCAAGUGCUCAAACUGAAGCAAAACUCAUAUUCAGGUCGAUAGCUGAUUUGUAGGUCUGAUGGUUUCCCAAAGCUCAAGAUAGUGCACCUGAAUUCAAUGCCAUGGCUAGAGGAGUGGACCAUGAGGCUUGGAGCCAGGCCAAAACUAGAAUGCUUGAUUCUCAAUUCUUGUGCUUACUGGAAAAAGAUUCCUGAACAGCUCUGGUGCAAAAAGAGCUUAAACAAAUUCGAGUGUUGGUGGCCUCAACCGGAGCUGAGACAAAAGCUACGGGACUUCGAGGAUAAGGCGCAGUAAGACAAUCAAGUAUAUCCUUAUGGAAUUUGAUUUGCAUGGAUUUAAUUAGAUGUAAGUUUUUCAUUUUAUGCAAUAUCAUAAACCUUUAAUUAUUAAUCUAAUUUCAUACAUAUGUUUUUUCUUUUCCUCAAUAUAUUUGAUAGUACGCAAAACAAAGAAACCCAACAAUGCCCUCCAUCAAUCCUAAGGACUCAUUAAUGAAAUACAAGUGUGCAACCUAAGAGGGGGGGUGAAUUGGAUUUUUAAAAUCUAUCCUAACAAAUCCACACAACAAGCAAUCUAAUGUCUUAACAAUAAUUGAAAACAAUAAGUUCAAUAAUAGCACAAUAAUUAAAGAGUAAGGGAGAAGAGAAACAAACACACGAAUUUUUACGUGGUUCGGCAAUCCCCGCCUACGUCCACGCCUACAAGCGAUCCAAGCUCGAGGAUUUCACUAUCCAAGCCUUUCCAAGGCUUCAACAAUUACAAUUGACUUCGAGGUGUCAAUAAACCUUUACAACAAAGAGAUUAUCUCCCAAUCUCUUCACUCAAGUGUCUCACACACUCAAAUUCUUACAAAUGAGAUGAACAAAUGAUGAUUACAAUGAAACUCACUCAAUGAGUAGAUAUACAAUGAUGAAGAACAAGAAAAGAUUCAAUGUUUGUAUUUCGCAAGUUUGAACACUCAAGAUAUCACGUGUGCCUUUUGUUUUUGCUUGUUGGAGAGCUUCAAAAUGAGUUGGAUUUGAGUUCUUAUAGCUUGAGCUCGAAAACUAGCCAUUACUCACAUUUUGGGCUAUCCGGUUUGCCGUUUAAUGGAAUCCGGUAAGCCGGAUUUAUGUUACCGUUAAGGCAAAAUUCAAAAUUUUGCCUAACCGGCUUGCCGGAUUCGAAAUCCGGUAAGCAGUUUUUGUUCUGGUGCUUACUGCCUGAAUUCGGCCUGCCGUUUAUCAGUAUCCGGUAAGCCACUUGCUACAGUAACCUGCUACAGUGAAAUUUUUCCCAUAUUUUCAGUUUGACCCCAAAACUUUAUAAAAACUGUAGUAUGGCCCAAAACGUUAUGAAAUUUUACAAAUAUGUCCAAUUUCAGAAUUUUUAAGUAAUACUUCGUUAAUCCCAAAACUUUUUGAAAUUAUGAUAUAGCCCAAACUUUGUGAAAUUAUAUAAUGACCCCAAAAACAUUUAAAUAAUUUCAAAUAAGUCCAAAUCCGAAAACUUUAAAAACAUUAUCAAAGCUUUUAAAAUACAUGUGGUUUGUUAUCAUCAAAAUCAAUAUUUAUAGCCAUAUAGGCUAACAAUGUCAUACAGGUUAUUAACUUUUUCUCAUUGUUAAGAUUAGUUGUUAAUAUUUUUUUGGUAAUUUUCUCAUUUUAAUGGCGUGGAUGGAUAUCUUUAGUAUUUUCUUUUACCUGUUGGGGCUGCCAGAACUCUGUUUUUUGAAAUUAACAUUUUGGAAUCUGUUUUACUUUCCCCGCCCCUAGAAUGUUCAAUUUUAAGGUGAUCUUUAAAAUUUUCGCAGAAGCAUGGUUAUACCAAUUUCUCUUCGAAAUGAUUGAGUUAAAUAUGACAUGGAGAAUCGCCAAUAUAGACAACUUAUUUUGAAACUUCUAGCAAAUUGAAAGUUUGGAAUUCAUUAGUGAAGUUCAUAAUGGUGAAAUGUUUGGUUUCAAUUGAUGGGAAUAGGCCCCAUGAACUGAUGUAGUGAUGGAUACUGAAUUGGGACAUGGUGUUUCUGGUUCAUGGAAUAUCUUGAAAGAAGUAUGAAAAGUGAUGCAAGACAACAAAAGAGACGUCUUCCUAAAAAAAUUGAAUGGCCUCGGCUUGAUUUCUAGGUGUGAUUCUUUUUUUUUCCUAUUUUAGGUAGAUAGCUCAUGGCUCAUUGAUGUGGUAAUGGAUUGGUUUGUUACCAAUAUUGGUAGUGUCGUUAAGGUGCACCAAAUUUAAAACCUUACCACUAAUAUAAAUAAUUAGUACAGAGCGAGUAAGGAUCGAUCCCACAGAGACUAUGCUAGUUAUAUUUAUUAUUAACUCCAAAGUAAGAUUUAAAAUAAAAUAAUAGUAAUAAUAAUAAUAAUAGUAAUAGUAAUAAUAAUAUAAAUUAAUCUAACUAAAGAAAAUGCCAAUUAAAAAUAAAAGGGGGAUUUAUGAAUUUUUAACUAAAUAGUAAGAAAUAAAGAAAUUAAAAUUACGAACAAGAAUUUAAUAAAAACUCUAAUUAAAGGAGAAAGAAAUAAUAAUGAUGAAAACUUUGGUUAAAGGAUCAUUCGCCACCACCAAACAUGCACAUAAUAUAUUAAUUCUAUCAUCAAUUUAUAUUGAAACUAUCAACUGUAGACAACAAUAAGCUCUGUUAGUCUCAAUUUUUCCUUAGUGUGUCGUUAGGCAAAAUAAGCUCUUCACCUAAUCUCUAACCAUUAAAUAAUUUAAAACAAGCUCUUUAAAUUUAAGAUAAUGGAAGCAUUAAACAAAGAAAGAUAUUAGGUUGAUUUAGGCAAUAAACACACAAGCUCGGAUUAUUUAACCUAGGUUAUGUUCUUCAAUUGAAAUCAUUGAUUCCAACCUACUACUAAUGAUUAAAAUAUCAAGACAAUUACGGAUCAAGAAUUUUAAUCUAGCAAUAAAAUUUAUUCAAGUCCUAUCUAAUUGGCCACUCAAACAAAACAAGAAUAAACCAUGAACAUUAAUUAUAGAAGAACAUAAACAAUCUCAAUUAAAUAAAUUGCUGAAGCUCAGUCUGCCUCACCAAAAGUGUCUGAACCUCAUCCAUAAGCUGCUGAAGAGUGACAUCUCCAGAGGUAGGAGGCCGUGGAGGUGAUGAAGCGGAUGCAGAUGCACUAGGAGCCGAAGCAACCGUAGAAGAAACUCGGCGUCUACGCUGCCCUCGAAAUGAUAGUGAGAAUAUUGGAAGCUGAUCAGCGGGAAUCACGGCAUUAAGUGGCCGAUCAUCACUUGGGGCUAGAAAGAUAAACUUGUUAUCGCUAUAUUUGACCCAAGUGUCAUUCUUCCACUCAAAGCCUAACCCAACAAUAACCUCAUCCCCAAUACCCUUGGAUGGCCUACAAGAAGGUUCUAGAAUCGGCACUUCAAAGAAUUUAAGAAUACGAGUAAUGAAGUGACCAUAGGGGAGAGAGCGGGUAAUCAAGGCUGGAAUGCUCAACAUGGUGCGAACAAUGGAAUAGCCCAAGUCAACCGGGCGACCUCUAAAAAUACAGUCAAUCAUGGCGACAUCCAUGUGAUACACCUCAUCCAAAUGUCCUGAUCUAGGAAGUACAAUAGACUGGAUGAUACGAAGCAAAAAACGAGUUUGAAGACAAAGACACUGAGUACGGAAAUGAAUGGUACAGUCUUCAACAGAGAGAUCAUUACGCCGACAAAUAUUACGAACGGCAUCAACAUGAACAUAAUCAUCAAUUUCAGGAGGUUUCCUAAGAGAAAAAAUGUCCAAGCCUUCAUCGGAAGAUCAUAGGAUGUUGUUCAAGUCCGAAUCAUCAAAUUCAAUCAAAACUCCUCCAACUUUGGUGAUUACUCGAUUCUCUUUCUCCGCGGAACAAUCCAUAUUCGAGUAAAAUACUUUCACCAAGUCGGGAUACACAUUCUCCUCAAUCAACAAUGCAUCAAUCCAACCAACAUCUCCCAACAAUUGAAAUAAAGUUCUAUGACUAAUCUGGAGAGAAUGUAAAACAUCCGGUAAAACAAAGAAAGUGUUGAGUACUUCACGAGUCCGAAAGUUUUGAUGAAACCUUUUGAUCAAGUGUUGCGUGUUCUGAAAGUGAAUGGACUCAAAGGUGGAUUGAUUGGAGGUGCCCCUUGCUUCCCGUGGCCGUGUGGAUGGUUGAACCGGUUCCUUGCCUUUUCUUCGAACCGGCCGAGAGCUUGACAUAUUGAUUUUGAUUGAUUUGAAGAUAAAAACACUAAAGAGAAUGAAGAAGAUGAAGAUUGGAGGUGAUUUGGUAAAACAAAAUUGAUCAAAAACGACUUGAGAGUGAGAAAUCUAGAGAGAGAAAAUUCGGCUCAAAACCUAGGUUGGAAUUGGGAUCUAAGGAUUUAGAUGUUGAAAACAGGUUUCAAGGAUGGUUUUGUGAUCUUAAUGAGAUGGGGAAUGAUUUUAUUGAUUCAAUUUGAUGUGAAAAUGGAAGAAAAAGAAGGAUGUUGGAGUGAGAAAGAGAGAAAAUGGAAACGAGUUUUAGAGAGAUGAAGAACCGGUAUGCCGAAUGCUUGAGGAAGAUGAAUAGUGCUUAAGAGAUCACGAAUCCGGUUUGCCGGAUUUUCUAACCGGUAGGCCGGUUGUGAACCCGAGAACAGCCAUCUUCAGCAAAUUUAAAAGGCACGAAUCCGGCUUGCCGGAUUUCCUAACCGGUAAGCCGGUUAGCAUGCAGAAAAGGAGAAAGCCGAAACCGGCUUUCCGAAAUUGAAAUCCGGUAAACCGGAUAUGGACCGAGAGAUGCAAGAGGCAAUUCGGCUUGCCGGUUUCCUUAACCGGCUGGCCGGUUUCGAGAGCCUCCAAAAAUAAUCGGUUUUCCGGAUGUCUUGAAGCGGAAAUCCGGUUUUGCUCCAGCAAAGCAUGCAUGCGAAUUCGGUUUUCCGGUUAUUGAUAACCGGUUGACCGGUUAUGAGGCAGUAAAUAUCCUUCCAAAUUCGGUUUUCCGGAUUGAAAAUCCGGUUUUCCGGAAUUUGUCCCGACAGGGAUCAAUAAGGAGAAAUAAUUUUCCGGAAGAAUGAAAAGGGAAUAUUUGCUAGCUCUUGUACUUGUAUUACACACCAUUUUAUUUCCGGCUUUAAAAAUUGAUUAAUUUUAAAUCAUUUCGAGAUUUAAAACUUUUCAAUAAGCCAUCUAAUGCAUGUAAUAUAAAAUCAUAAAAUCAUAAAUUUACAAGCACAUCAAGUUAUCUAAUUCAUGUAGCAUAAAACCAUAUGAUAACAAUCAUAUCAAGCCAUGAAUUAAAACAUGAAUUAAGAUUCAACAUUCAUCAUUCCAAGCUCAUGCCUAAUCUUUAUAAAAUGCUCUUCGCUAAGAGGUUUUGUAAAGAUAUCCGCAAGUUGAUUUUCAGUGGAAACAAAUUUAAUUACAACAUCCCCUUUUUGAACAUGAUCUCUAAGGAAAUGAUGUCUAAUCUCUAUAUGCUUAGUCCUAGAAUGUUGAAUGGGAUUCUUGGAAAGAUUUAUAGCACUAGUAUUGUCACAUAAGAUAGGAAUUUGAUCAAGUAUAAUGCCAUAGUCUCUAAGGGUUUGUUUCAUCCAAAGAAUUUGUGCACAACAACUACCUGCGGCAAUAUAUUCUGCCUCGGUGGUUGAAAGCGCAACUGAGUUUUGUUUCUUACUAAACCAAGAGACAAGAGAAUGACCUAGGAAGUGACAUGUUCCACUAGUACUUUUUCUAUCAACCUUAUACCCAGCAAAAUCAGCAUCCGAAUAACAAGUUAAAUCAAUGUGAGUUCCUCUAGGAUACCAAAGGCCAAGAUUAAUAGUACCAAUUAAAUACCGAAAAAUGCGUUUGACAGCAAGCAUGUGAGACUCUUUAGGACAAGAUUGAAAUCUAGCACACAAGCAAACACUAAACAUAAUAUCAGGCCUAUUAGCAGUCAAGUAGAGUAAGGAUCCGAUCAUACCUCGAUAAGUCUUGAUAUCAACUUCCUUACCUUUCUCAUAGGAGUGCUUGAUGGUAGUGCUCAUAGGAGUGCUUUUUGCCGUUCCAUUUUCAUAGCUAAAUCUUUUGAGUAGAUCUUUCACGUACUUGGCUUGGUUUAUGAAAAUUCCUUCCUCGUUUUGUUUGAUUUGAAGACCAAGGAAGUACUUCAACUCUCCCAUCAUACUCAUCUCAAACUCUUGGCUCAUACAUGAUGAAAAAUCUUUACACAACAACUCAUUAGUAGAACCAAAAAUAAUAUCAUCAACAUAUAUUUGAACAAUAAGUAUGUCUUGGUUCUUAUGCUUAACAAAAAGAGUUGUGUCCGCUUUUCCCAUUGGAAAAUCGUUAUCCAACAAGAAAUUUUUAAGCCUAUCAUACCAAGCUCUAGGUGCUUGUUUUAAACCAUACAAAGCCUUGGAUAACUUAUACACAUGAUCUGGAAACUUUUCAUUUUCAAAACCAGGAGGUUGUUUCACAUAAACUUCCUCCAUAAUGUAUCCAUUUAAGAAAGCACUCUUGAUAUCCAUUUGAUACAAAAUAAAAUUCUUAUGACAUGCAUAUGCUAACAACAUCCUGAUGGAUUCUAAUCUUGCUACAGGUGCAAAAGUUUCAUCAAAAUCAAUUCUUUCUUCUUGGUUGUAACCUUGAGCCACUAAUCUAGCUUUAUCUCUUACAACCACACCAGAUUCAUCCAUUUUGUUUCUAAAUACCCAUUUAGUACCUAUAAUGGAUUGAUGUUCCGGAUUAGGAACUAACUCCCACACAUUAUUUCUCUCAAAUUGAUUCAACUCCUCUUGCAUUGCCAUAAUCCAAGAUUCAUCAUUUUCCACAUCCGCAAAGGAUUUUAGUUCAAUUUGAGAAAUAAAUGCAGCAUGCUCACAUGUGUUUCUAAGAGAUGAUCUAGUGGUAACACCUCGUGAGGGAUCUCCUAAAAUUACAUCCUUAGGAUGAGAGGACACAUACCUCCACUCCUUGGGGAGUGUUUGUGAAGUACCUUCAUUUUGCUCUGCAUUUGUUUCUUCAUGAUGUUCCUCUUGAAUUCCAGGUGGUGUGUUUUCUUGGUUGCGAUUUGAUGCUUCUUCUUGUUGUUCUUCUUCUGCAUUAUCAUCAACAACAACUUUCUCCGUAGAGGAGGGGUUAGACUCAUCAAAUGUAACAUGCAUAGAUUCUUCCACAACUAAAGUUCUUUUAUUAUAAACUCUAUAAGCUUUGCUUGAAUUUGAAUAACCAAGAAAGAUACCAACAUCAGAUUUUGGAUCAAAUUUACCAAGAUUAUCUUUUGUGUUUAAAACAAAACAUUUGCAUCCAAAAACUUUAAAAUAACCAAUGUUGGGUUUUCUAUCUUUCCAAAGCUCAUAUGGAGUUUUAUUGAGAUUAGGUCUAAUCAACACCCGAUUUAAAACAUAACAAGCGGUGUUGACGGCUUCGGCCCAAAAAUACUUAGGCAAAGAAUUUUCAUUCAAAUGGUCCUAGCCAUUUCUUGAAUAGACCUAUUCUUUCUCUCUACUACUCCAUUUUGUUGUGGAGUCAUAGGUGAUGAAAAUUGAUGUUCAAUGCCAAGGUCAUUACAGAAAUUUUCAAAUGCAUGAUUUUCAAAUUCUCCACCAUGAUCACUUUUAAUACAAGUGAUGGAGUAACCUUUUUCAUUUUGAACCUUUUUACAGAAAAUUCGAAAUGCAUCAAUGGCAUCAUCCUUAUUAGCUAAGAACAAUACCCAUGUGUAUCUCGAAUAAUCAUCCACAAUUACAAAUGCAUAAAACUUGCCACUUAAACUAGCAUAUCUAGAAGGACCAAAUAAAUCUAUAUGAAGCAAUUGAAGUGGAAACAUGAUUUUUACUUUUGAAUGAAGUUUUGAUUUGUUUUCCAAAUUGGCAUGCUUCACAAGUUCUAUCUUUUUGAAAAUUGAUUUUUGGAAGACCUUUUACUAAAUCAUUUUUCACGAUUUUUGAAAUCAAAUCCAUGCUUGCAUGACCUAAUCUUCUAUGCCAUAACCAACCAUCAUCAUGCAAUGCGGAAAGACAUUUCUCAUUUGUUGAUGCACAAUCUAUAUUAAUGGUAUAGACAUUAACACAUCUAUUUCCUACAAACAAGACUUUCCCAUCACAUGCAUUCUCAAUAACACACUUUGAUUCAUCAAAGAUAACUCUAUAUCCUUUAUCACAUAAUUGACUAAUACUAAGCAAAUUGUGUUUCAAGUUUUCAACCAAACACACAUUUUCAAUGAGAGUAGAGGAUACAUUACCGACAUUUCCAAUCCCAAUGAUUUUUCCUUUUGAAUUAUCCCCAAAUGAAACAUCUCCACCAUUUUCGAUCUUGGUAAAGCUUGAAAACCAAGAAUAAUUCCCUGUCAUGUGUCUUGAACAGCCACUGUCCAAGUACCACUUAUUCUUCUUCUUCUUUGAGCCCUGUGGAGAAAAUCUCAAGCUUUAGGUACCCAAACCUUUUUGGGUCCUUGAGAGUUAGCAAUGGUUCCUUUCGGAACCCAAACACAUUUCAUACCAUAAUAUGCAUUUCUCUUCACCGCACAUCUAUUUUUCAUAUGGCCAUCUUGAUUGCAAUAAUGACAUACAAUUUUAUUGUUAAUAGAUGUAUUCUUCACAAAAUAACUCUUGUAAAAUUUUUGUUUCAAAUUCGGUUUAUAACCUAUGCCACUUUUGUCAAAUACACAUUUUUGUGAGUUUAGCAAAUUGUCCAACAUCUUUUGCCCAUUUGUAAAUUUUAGCACAAUUUCAUUUAAUUCAUUACUCUUCUUUCUAAGCAUUUCAUUCUCAUUUUUCAAGUCAUUCAUGUGUGACUCUAAGUGCUCAUGUGAAGUGCUAGAGUUCUCAAAUAAUGCAAUACUAUCAUGUAAUGUUUUGUUUUCUAAUUCUAGGCAUGUAAUCUUUGCACUAAAUGAAUCAUUUUCAUUCUUAAGCUCUAUCAUCUUCUUUUUAAGACUUAUAUUCUUUUUACAAAUCUUCAUUAGCUCAUCAUGCAAAUCAUUAAAAGUAUCAUGCAGUUCAUCAUAUGUAGGAGGAACACUUACCUCAUCAAGUUCAUCACAUGAUUCUUCCCCAAUGGCCAUGAGAGCUAAGUUUGUCAUUUCUUGUUGCUCAUCAUCGUCACUUGUUUCCUCAUCACUAUCAUCCCAUGUGGCCACCAUAGCCUUCUUCUUGAAUUUGUUGAGAAGAGGACAUUUCGGUCGUAUGUGUCCGGGCUUCUUGCAUUCAUAACAAGUGAUUGGCUCCUUCUUCUCCUUCUUAUUCUUGUAGCCUCUGAACUUUCUCUGCUCAUUAUUCUUCUUAUAAAAUUUUCUGAAUCUUCUAGCUAACAUAGCCAGCUCCUCAUCAUCCAUUUCGCUUUCCUCAUCACUCUCACGUUUUGAAGCCUUGAGAGCAAUGUUCUUCUUCUUUUCCUCAUGCCCUUUUUCAGCUGCCAAAUCUUCUUCAUAUGAAAUAAGAGAGCCAAUUAAAUCAUCAAUAGGUAACACAUUUAAAUCCUUGGCUUCCUCAAUGGUAGUCCUUUUUGGUCUCCAUUCCUUAGGUAGAGACCUAAUGAUUUUCUUGACUUUUUCGCUAUUUGAAAAAGUCUUUCCUAGGGCUCCUAGAGUGUUCACUAUGUCCGUGAAUCUAGUAUACAUAGAGUACACAUUUUCAUUUUGUUCCAUUUAGAACAAUUCAUAUUGUCGAGUGUACCUACUUAUUUUAUAUUCUUUCACUUGGUUCGUGCCUUCAUAGACAACCUCAAGUUUGUGCCAAAUCUCAUUAGCACUUUCGCAACUAGACACUCUAUGAAACUCUUUCUUAUCUAGUGCACAAAAUAAGGCAUUCAUGGCCUUGGAAUUUAGAGAAGCUUUUCUCUUUUCGAAUUCAUUCCAAUCCCGUGAAGGUUUUGGAAUAUCUUCUCCGACUUCAUUUUUAGUCAAAGGCAUGAAAGGACCAUCAUUAACGAUUUCCCAAAUCUCAUAAUCUAAGGCUUGCAAGUAAAUUCUCAUCCUAGUUUUCCAAUAUGGGUAAUCGUUUCCAUCAAAGUAAGGUGGUCUAGUGGUGGACUGCCCUUCCCUAAAUGUGGAAUCAUUUUGAGUUGCCAUUGAUCUUUAGUUCUAGAUGGUUAAAUCUAAAUAAGAGCACCUUGCUCUGAUACCAAUUGAAAUACAAGUGUGCAACCCAAGAGGGGGGUGAAUUGGAUUUUUAAAAUCUAUCCUAACAAAUCCACACAACAAGCAAUCUAAUGUCUUAACAAUAAUUGAAAACAAUAAGUUCAAUAAUAGCACAAUAAUUAAAGAGUAAGGGAGAAGAGAAACAAACACACGGAUUUUUACGUGGUUCGGCAAUCCCCGCCUACGUCCACGCCUCCAAGCGAUCCAAGCUCGAGGAUUUCACUAUCCAAGCCUUUCCAAGGCUUCAACAAUUACAAUUGACUUCGAGGUGUCAAUAAACCUUUACAACAAAGAGAUUAUCUCCCAAUCUCUUCACUCAAGUGUCUCACACACUCAAAUUCUUACAAAUGAGAUGAACAAAUGAUGAUUACAAUGAAACUCACUCAAUGAGUAGAUAUACAAUGAUGAAGAACAAGAAAAGAUUCAAUGUUUGUAUUUCGCAAGUUUGAACACUCAAGAUAUCACGUGUGCCUUUUGUUUUUGCUUGUUGGAGAGCUUCAAAAUGAGUUGGAUUUGAGUUCUUAUAGCUUGAGCUCGAAAACUAGCCGUUACUCACAUUUUGGGCUAUCCGGUUUGCCGUUUAAUGAAAUCCGGUAAGCCGGAUUUAUGUUACCGUUAAGGCAAAAUUCAAAAUUUUGCCUAACCGGCUUGCCGGAUUCGAAAUCCGGUAAGCCGUUUUCGUUCUGGUGCUUACUGCCCGAAUUCGGCCUGCCGUUUAUCAGUAUCCGGUAAGCCGCUUGCUACAGUAACCUGCUACAGUGAAAUUUUUCCCAUAUUUUUAGUUUGACCCCAAAACUUUAUAAAAACUGUAGUAUGGCCCAAAACGUUAUGAAACUUUGCAAAUAGGUCCAAUUUCAGAAUUUUUAAGUAAUGCUUCGUUAAUCCCAAAACUUCAUGAAAUUAUGACUUUGCCCAAACUUUGUGAAAUUAUAUAAUGACCCCAAAAACAUUUAAAUAAUUUCAAAUAAGUCCAAAUCUGAAAACUUUGAAAACAUUAUCAAAGCUUUUAAAAUACAUGUGGUUUGUUAUCAUCAAAAUCAAUAUUUAUAGCCAUAUAGGCUAACAAUUAAUGUGUAGACAACAGAAGUGAAUACUGAAAGGAUCAAGGCUGGAUUCUGGUUGAAAUUGAAACUUUUGCUGCACUACAGUUGACAAAUUUCCCGCCCUGAUUUCACCUGCGCAAGUAAUUUAAGAUCUGAAAUUAUAGUUUUUCCUCACUGUUCAACGAUCAAUACACAAGGGUUCUGAAAUUAUAGUUUUUCCUGACUGUUCAACAAUCAAUACACAAGGGAAAAUGGUCGGGGUCAGCAUCAGGAUCUGUGAUGAACACUUCAUCUCUAAUGUUGAGACAAAAAUUAGAAGCAACCACAAUUAGAAAACACUUUAUAGCAUUAGGAAGCAAGGAUCGGCUACAAGCAAUAGUGUCAAGUUUUUGGAUUCACUGUGUAUAUUCUAUUCGUGUGUCUUCAUUCUCGUAAUGUGCUUGAAACUCCAGCUCAGUGUGGACGUGUGUGGUUUGGUCGUACCAUGUGUAAUACAUGUUAAUGGUCAUAAUUAUCUUAAGGGAAUUCUGCAUCACUUCCAUUAGAAGAGAAGUUUGGAUGUAGGCAUCAUCGCUGCUGAAUCUACUGUUGAUUUGCUCUAUGUUUUCUAUAUUUUUUUAUUUCAAUUUCGGGGAUUGGGUUUCUAGCAUUGAUUGUUGAUACAUUAGAGGACUAAAUACAAGAAAUAGAAACUGGGGAAUAUUGCCUAAUCUUCAGAAUCUCCAAUUUUAUGGAGAUUUAAGCCCUUAUCAUUCAUAAAUAAAUUGAAUGCUGGAUUGUUAUUAUCUUAGAUUCUCUAAAUAAUAAUCCGAAUAAUAAUUAUAAAUGCUUGUUUUGAACAAAUACUACCUAUUAUUUUAAACUUUGGACUUAGAAAUUAUAAAUAGUAUUAGCAUGUGAAUUUUAAGGAAUUAGCUGAUUCUGUCCAAUUUUAAAGGUUGAUGCCUCAUGCUCACCUUAUAGUCAUUGGUUUUUGCUGAACAAAUGAAUGUGUAUCAUUUUUUUUCUUUUAUUUUCUGUUAUACUUUGAUUCCCCUGCUUCUAGCUGAUUAUGUUCUCCUUUAUAACGAGAAAGAAGUUAUUUUUUGUGCUCUUAUAUAUACAUGUUAAGCUUGGAUAUGUGUGGUUUGGUUUGUUUUAAUAAUAUGAUUGUGUGGUGUCAUCUGCAAUACUUUUUAAGGAUGCAAUCAAAUGAGUUUAUACCUUACAGUGAAUUUGGUUAAUUUCAAGAUAUCAUUUGUUGGGAUCUUCGGCUUUGGUUGCUAAUACAAAAUUCCUCAAAUCUCGAUUGGAAUUUGGGAAUCCGUCCUAAAUGAUACAAGAUUUGAUAAAAAUUUCUCAUUCUGAUUUAUUAUUCGAGUUGAGAUUCAAGAUCUAAUUUUCUUCCAACUUAAUAUUCAAGACGGGAUUUGAGAUGUCUGAAAAUCUCAUUUGAGAUCCCUUAGGCAAUCAAAUGAGUUCAUUUCCUUAUAAUGAAUAUGGUUAAUUUCAAGAUACCCUUUUUUGGAAUCUUCCGCUCUAACUGCUAAUACGUGAACGUAGGCUGGCAAAAUUAUCCAGAUACUAAUCGAGAUAGAAACCCUAUACAAGAUUUGUUACAAAUUUCUUAUCCCAAUUUUGAAUGUGGGUUAGGAUUUGAGACCCAUUUUAUACCGAUUCAUAAAUUUUUUUAUUUAGACAGUAACUGAUGACAUAUUAUUAGUUCAAAGCUCACGGAGUAAAGGUUGAAUUAUUGGUGCAAUCAUCCGUAAUUUUCUGCAAGCAUGCAACAUAUUAAGCAAGAGAAUAUUUAAUUAUUUUUUGGGUUCUGUUAUUAACAAUAAUGAUUUUGAAGAUAUUAGUGGGAGAAAAAUGGUUUUUUAAAAUCAUUUUCAAUCUUGAGAAAAAGUUUUCUUGCUGGCGUACACUGUCCUUCAUCUAUAUUCCAGUCUUCCAUUAUGUUAAAAAAAACAAAUAUGAAAAUAAAAAGAAAAUAGGACAUCAUCAAGUAUCAAUCAAAGAUCAAUUUGUUUUAUCCACUUUCAGGAAAGAAAAGGUAAAAACAAUCCCACUGGAGACCAUAAAGUUUAUCUCAAAAGAAAAAGCACUACAAUAGUCGAACACAAAGAAGAGUAAUAAUGAGAAAGGAGUUAAUUAUAAAUUAAAGAAUUGGUGUUUUUUUUUAAGGGUUCGGCAUCAUGUUUGCCUUCAUUUAGCAAAGGAUAUAUGAAAAAGAGAUGAAUAUUGCACUUUAGAUUUGAAUAAUUCCGAUUGGAUUUUGAAUUGUUUGGAUUAGGAAAAAAAAAUCAUUCGAAUCCAACCUGAAUCUCAAAUACAAUCAAUUCGAUUAAAAAUAAAUCGAUAUUUCAGAUGAAUUUGGUUUUAGAUUGUUCCGUAUUUAAAUGAUAUUUUAAAUUCAAAUGAUAUUUUAAAUUUGGAUUGAAUUCAGAUUUAGGUCUUUUUGACCAUUUUUACAAAAAAUCCAUGAAUUCUAUAUAUAUACAUACAUAUAUAUAUAUAUAUAGAUACAAUUGGAUUGUUUAGAUUAAAACAUCCAAAUUCAAAUCAGAUCUAUUCAAAUCCAAUCCAAUGCACACCUUUAGCCCUAUUGGAAUGAUCAUCUAACCAUUCAAAUUUCAAACUAUAACGUAUUCUGUUGUAGUUUGUAGAGCGCUUGAAAAGAAAAUCUCUAAACAAUAGCGACUAUUAUGCAUUUGAUGCAUCAAUGAAUCAGAUUCUAAGGUGAUGCUUUUUCUCUCUAAACAAGCUUUAUGGUCCUAGCGGAAUUAUUUUUAAUCUUUCAGUCUUUUGAGAGGGCCAAAAAGAAACUAGUCUUGAUAGCAUAUUUUACUUUCUUCAUACAUAUAUAUAUAUAUAAAACACAAAUUAUAAGACACCCUUUUAUCUUCUUGCAUAAAGAAUAUUUUAUAUACACGUACAUUAUACCUCAGGUUUUGUGCAGAAAAUCAUUAUUGUACAUCAAUAAUUUCUCAAUAUAAUUCCUCUUAUCAAUCAGUAUCCCCACGAUACCUGCAGCAUCUAGGUUUAAGAUUCAUUUUCCAGUACUGCUCUGCCUUGAUCUGUUCUACUUUGACAGCCACUUGAACUUGAUUCAACUUCUUGAGAGAAGGAGGUAUUGGUGCCAUCCUUAGUUGAUUAUGUUGACUAAUGUUGAAGUAAAAGGAGAGCUUUUAACCAUUUUUUUUAUAAUUAUUUUCUUUGCAUGCUAGGGCUGCUGGCUACUGACUACCGAGAGUGAAGGAGAUAUGGACAUCAACCUUGGACUAUUUUUAGAGAGACUGAGAAGGGUGCUAGCUGGUGAAGAAUUCACGGUGCCCGAUACCGCUGAACAACCUAUUCAGAACCUUUACACUGAGACCGAAAUCGUUGCUUCUUGGCUGAGGGACUCUGGAUACAACACUGCUUGGUUUAUGUAGCAAGUCAAUGCAGAAGACGGUCAAACUCUUGCAGAAUUAGAAGAUUUUAAGGCUAUCAUUGACAAAAUUCGUUGCUUUUCAUACGUAUAUGAGAAUGUGAUUGACACAUUUGCUAUCAGCAUCACUCAACAGAAGAGUCAAAGCGGAUGCAGCAAGGACAUUUGUGAUGCUCUGCUAGGACUCCAAAGCAAAAUCAUUGAUAUAAAACAACGGAUGCAGCAAGUUCAGCACAUCCACUCUGGAAUCGUUGAUGAGCUCAAAUCGAUUGAAGCAAAAGCCAGUAAUUUUCCUGCAUCCUCAUCUUUUAAGAAUAGGGACACGAUGGGUCUAGAUAAUAGAAUGGAGGAGUUAUUAGAUCUACUGAUAGAGGGACCGCCUCAACUUUCAGCAGUGGCCGUACUUGAUAGCAUUGGAUUGGACCAGACGGCUUUCGCUGCAGAGGCUUACAGAAGCAACUAUGUGAAGCAUUAUUUUGAUUGUCACGCUUGGGUUCAAGAGUCUUUACCAUAUGAUGCUGACCAAAUAUUAUACGACAUUAUUAAGUUUGUGAUGCCUUCACGUAGGUUGAGUGAAAUUAUGGAAGAAAGUUCGGAAAUGAAAAAAAUUAUUCUUCAUGAAUAUCUAAUGACCAAGCGUUAUUUGAUUGUGCUUGAUAAUGUGUGGAGAAUAUCAGUAUAGGAUGUUAUUCGAGAAAUACUUCCCGAUAAUAAGAAUGGAAGUAGAGUAUUGAUAACACUCAGUCGAAUUGAGAUCGUCGCCUCAUUUCAGUUCGAAAAUGGAGAGAACAUUGGGCUUGAUUUUGUGCCCAUUGGAGGACUAUUGAGAGUUACAUACCAAGGAUGGCCUUUCCACAUCUUAUAUCAUGGAAUCAUCUCACUGAACGAAAAUAUAGAGGAAGCACUUGAUGAACCCCGAGGGCUUCAACUCGUUGCAUAUUGUAUGUUACCUUUUUACUUGAAACUUUGUUGUCUCUACUUAUCUGUGUUUCCCAUACAUUUUGAGAUAUGCACCAAGCAAUUAUAUCAGUUGUGGAUAGCUGAAGGUUUCAUUCCAAACAACAACAAGGCAAUUGCUAAGAAGUACUUGGAACAACUAAUCAAUGGAGGCUUUGUUGAUGCAGAGAAGAGAAGUGAUAUAGGCAGAAUCAACACAUGCUCUAUUCUCGGGCGUUACAGCCCUGCGUUGUUGACUGUGGCUUUCGAGGGGGAAUUUAUCAUUUCCCCAAUCAUGGUUCAGGAAGUUAUAUUACGGGAAAAUGUGAAACGCUUCACCGCUCACGAAAAAUUGAAUGAUUUUGCAUUUUUAGAUGAUUUUGACUCGUUCCUCCAUUCUUUGUUGUACCUCACUUCAGGAAGCCAAUACCUUGACCCCAAUUAUUGCGAGAAAAUCUGUAAAAUGUUCAAAUUUCUCAGAGUAUUGGACUUGGGAUCUCUUGUUCUCAUUCGAUAUCUUUCCGGAAUCCAAAAUUUAUUUCUUUUGAGAUAUCUGAAGUUGAAUAUCCCUUCCCUCAAAACCCUAGCUUCGUCGUUAUUUAGCAGUUUAUUGAACCUGUACACCGUAGAAAUGCCCUUUAGCUGCAAAGAUCAUACAACAGAUGAAUUUUGGAAGAUGAGCAAACUGAGGUAUCUAAAUUUUGGCUCAAUCAUACUUCCUGCACAUCCAGGAAAAUAUUGCGGCUCUCUGGAAAAUCUCAAUUUCAUUUCAGCCUUGCAUCCUUGCCGCUAUACUGAGGAUUUAUUGGGCUGACUACCUAAUCUUUGAAAUCUCCAGAUAUGGGGAGACUUAAGUUAUUAUCAAUCUUUGUUGUCCAAAAGUCUCUGUAGAUUGAGCUGCCUCGAGUCAUUGAAGUUGGCGAAUGAAAGCAAGAUGCCACGAUGAUCCAAUAUUAUCCUUGCUGAAUACCAAUUUCCUCCAAUUUUAACCCACUUGAGUUUUUUGAAUAUUGAGCUAAUGGAUGAUCCCAUGCCCGCACUAGAAAAGCUGCCGGUUCUUCAGGUGCUCAAACUGAAGCAAAACGCGUAUUCAGGUAGAAAGCUAGCUUGUAGCCCUGAUGGCUUUCCAAAACUCAAGGUACUGCACCUUAAAUCAAUGCUAUGGCUAGAGGAAUAGACUAUGGGGAUUAGAGCCAUGUCGAAACUAGAAUGCUUGACAUCAACCCUUGUGCUCACUUAAAAAGGAUUCCUGAACAGCUCUGGUGCCUAAACAACUUUAACAAAUUAGAGUUAUGGUGGCCUGAGCCGGAGCUGAGACAAUAGCUACGGGAAUUUAAGGAUAAGGAGCAGUAUGGCAUUCAACUAUAUCCAUAUGGAAUUUGAUUAGCAUGGAUCGACUUUGAUGAAGUUUUUUUCUUUUCUAUCCAAUAACUUCAACCUCUAAUUAUUUAUCUAAUUUCAUGUAAACAUCUAUUUUCUAUGAUUGAUUCGAUAGUACGCAGUUGCCUAAAUAAUAAUUAUACCAUUAAGUGUUUUUUACAUUCUAAUUGUGGUUGCUUCUAAUUUUUGUCUCAACAAACACUUGGAAGUGUCCAUCACAUUUCCUAAUAUUGACACUAAUCAUUAAUCCCUCAUUUAUAGAAGAGGAAGAACCCGUAUGUAUUGGUUGUUGAAAUAAUCAAGAAAAACUGUAAAAUAAGAUCUUCAUUACUUGUAUGUGCAGGUCAAAGCAGAGCGGAAAAUAUCUCAGCAGCCAAAGUUUCAAUUUCAAUAAGAAUCCCGCUGUUUGGGGGAUAUACUUCGACAAGACCAGCCAUGAUGAGCAGAUAUCUGGUAGCAGGAUUCCACAAACAGGAAUAUUCUGUAGAAGUCUGGUAGCAGGUGAACACGAACAGGAAUAUUCUGCUCGUUCACAAAUGCACCAUCCACGGGGCCACAGCGGGAGCCAGCCUCCUACUAGUAGCAUAAGGCCAUUCCUGUUAGAGGUUGAGGUGGAGAGACUCGGUCAAUGACGGUUGCUAAGACGUGCACUCCUGCCCGAGAAUCAAGGCACGAAGUCCACUCAGCCACAACUACGAUAAUGAAGCAUCCACUUCCAAGAGUUGAGGGAGGUGAUAGACUUGGAUUGUAGGAAGGCCCGGAUUCAAAGGAAGGCUAUAAAAAGGUAACCAACGAAGGUAAACAGGUUAGACUUUUUGAGAUUAGAAUUGAGAAAAAGAGCUUUCUAUUGAGAGAUUAUAAAAAAGCCAUAAUAUUAGUGGCCGUGUUUCCCAGAAAGACAAAACCUACGUUUCUGACUUGAGCGUCGGAGGGUUUACGCUGGAAAAACACCCGGCGUGCUCUAACCUGUCUCUGUGUACACAUGAGUCUGCGGAGAGGAAGUCUUACGAGGAGAGAUUCUGGUCGUGGACGAGCAGAAAACCAGAAUCUCGCAUCAACAUUUUGGCGCCGUCUGUGGGGAGCUGAGCAAAAAGCUUAUGUUAAUAGAGAGAAGAAGAGGAAAGGAAGUGAGGGAACAAUCGAUGUAAGAGGAAGUAGUGUACAAGGAGGUGACUUGAGGUUUAACGAGUUCGUGAUGCUAAAAGAGAUAGCCAAUGAAGCACGGGAAAAAGUAAUGUAUGAGCGGAUGGAACGGAUGGAGAAACAGAUGGAGACCCUGACAACCAUCCUACACCAGCUGAGAAGUGAACGAAGGGGAGUUCAAGAGGAGGGGGUGAGAAGUGGCAGAAUGAUACCAGGGCACGAUAAUAUGAUGAGGUCGGACCACCAGAAGAUUUGGUGGUGAGGAAAUCCUUCGGGAAUUCAUCAAAAGGUUCCAUCGCGCUAUCCUCGAUUUGAGAGCCUUUAACCAUCCUCAGGCAUUAAGGGGAUUGAAAGAAGGGGUGAAGAUAGGACGGUUGUGGUACAAUUUGAGGAGUCCAACUAUUCAGACAUAUUCAGCCGCUUAUGAGCAGGCCAAGAAGGACAUUGAGAUUGAAGAGGAAAAGACAGCACGAAUUAAGACAGACCAGCUAGAAGGGUUGAGGAGGAAAAAGAAGAGAGCCCUACCAGGAAAUAAGGUCGAUUAAGAGGAAGGACCACCAUGCCUCAAGUAGUGGUGCAGGACGCCGGGUCACCUCUUACCAGCCUCAUCAGAGGCCACCCCAAUUUCAACGCAGCAGGGCGCAACCUCUUCGUUUACCAGCCAGGGAUUUAUGGAGAAAGCAUGACCCGACAUAUAGUCAUCCUUAUCCACACCCACACGGUGGUAGAUGAAGCAGACCAGAAGCAUCGUUACCCCCUCCAGUUCAGAACGGCACCAACAGGGAAAGGGCGGUACACAUGAUCGACUAGAGCCAAGAUUAUGGGCGAUAUACUUCCUUGAAGAUGCCCCUGGACGAGGUGUAUGAGGCCAUAAAGGAACGAGGAUUACUGUACCUCUCUACCCCAAUAACAAAGUUACCCAGCAGGAGAGAUAGGGGACGCUAUUGCAUGUUCCAUGGCACCCACGGUCAUACCACAGCUGAAUACAGAGAUCUCAAAACUCAGGUUGAAGAUUUGGUGAGAAAUCGAUACCUGGACGAGUUUGUAGAUGGGAUCUUCCCGAUGGUGGCCUCGUCAUGUGAAUGAGAGCAGAGUGAUAGGAACAUGAGCCACGAGCAGCCUAUAGUAAGAGUAAUUGCUGAGGGCCCAACAUUGGCGGGAGAUUCCAACAGAUUGAGGAAGAACUACGCUAGAUAUGCCAUGACUAGCAAAGAAGUGUUCUUCAACACCCCAGAAGUUCCGAUCAUGUGGACAUAUGAGGAUAAAGAAGGGAUUCUAUAUCCACAUGAGGAUGCCUUGGUCAUUAAAGCCACCACUACUAGCAAGAAGUUUGACCGGAUUCUGGUAGACACGGGAAGCUCGGUCGAUGUUUUGUUCAAGUCAACUCUAGAGGAGAUGGGAAUAGCAGACCUGAGGUUAGAGCAUACUAAUACCUCCUUGAAAGGAUUUGGUGGACGAAAGCUGGUUCCUCUAGGCGUGGUCGAACUGCCCAUCACAAUUGGCAGCUCCCCGAUAGAAAAGACUAUAAUCCUAGAUUUUGUGGUUGUCGAUGAAGAGGGUCCUUACCAGAUGAUUAUAGGCCGCCCCUUUUUGAGGAUGAGCAAAGCGAUGCUUUCCAACCAUUAUCUAGCUCUCAAGUAUUGGGUGAAUGGAGUGGUUGGGGUGGUACGAGGAGACCAGAGAAUUGCCCGAAGCUGUUACUCCACAGUAGUAAGGGAAGCAAUGCAGAUUACAUCACUUGAUACUCGAGUGGGAGCCAAGAAUGGCAUAUAAGAGCUUGUAGAGGAGCUGGAAAUAGUAAGCUUGGAACAAGGUGAUUCAGGAAAAACAAUAUGAAUUGGGUCGGGGCUUAAAGAAGAGCAGAAGCGGGAGCUGGUGCAUUGCUUGUGAGCUCACGCAGAUGUGUUUGCUUGGACACAUGAAGACAUGCCGGGAAUCGAUCCUGAGGUCGCCUGCCAUAAGUUGACAAUAAGGAAGGGUGCUCGGACGGUAAGGCAAAAAAGAAGGUGCUUCAACCAAGAGAGGUAUGAGGCUAUAAAUGGCGAGGUGGAGAAGCUCUUGAAGGCAGGGUUCGUUCGGGAAGUUAACUACCUUGAGUGGAUAUCGAAUGUGGUUUUAGUGAAAAAGACUAAUGGUAAAUGGAGGAUGUGUGUAGAUUUCAUAGACCUUAAUAAGGCGUGCCCGAAAGAUAGCUUUCCCCUACCCAAGAUCGACUAGCUGGUUGACUCAACAGCCGGGCAUGGCCUGCUUAGCUUCAUGGAUGUAUUUUCGGGAUACAACCAAAUCCCAGUGUUUGAGCAGGAUGAGGAGAGCACGGUAUUUAUCAGUAACCAGGGUUUGUUCUGUUAUAGGGUAAUGCCGUUCGGUCUUAAAAAUUCGGGUGCCACGUACCAGAGGUUGGUGAACAAAAUCUUUAAGCCGUUGAUUGGGAGAACAAUGGAGGUGUGUGUGGACAACAUGAUAACCAAAUCAAAAAACCCGAAGGAACAUGUCGAGUACCUCGAGGAGACAUUUGGAUUUUUGAGGAAGUACAAGAUAAAGCUCAACCCAGAGAAGUGUGCCUUUGGGGUCAAGUCGGGCAAAUUCCUUGGGUUCAUGGUGAGUCAUCGGGGGAUCGAGGUGAAUCCCGAUAAAAUCCAGGCAAUCGUGUAGAUGAGAUCUCCUCGUAACCUGAAGGAGAUACAGAGCCUUACAGGGAGGUUGACGGCAUUGAGUCGGUUCAUAUCCAAGGCGCAUAUAAGUGCCAGGCAUUCUUUCAAGUGAUAAGGAGAGGAAAGAAAAUAGAGUGGACCCCUGAAUGCGAAGAAGCCUUCCAGAAAUUAAAGCAAUAUUUGCAGCAAGCACCUUUGUUGUCCACACCGUGGGAUGGAGACAUGUUGUUCCUAUAUAUGGUGGUAUCGGAUCAUGCCACGAGUUCUGUUCUAGUGAGAGAGGAAGAAAGGGUUCAAUAUCCGAUAUAUUACACAAGCAAGGCCUUGCUCGAUGCUGAGACUAGAUACCCACAGUUAGAGAAAUGGGAACUUGCUCUUGUGGUUGCUGCUCGGAAGCUGAGGCCAUACUUCAAGCAUUCCCCAUCUCGGUAAUAACAAACCAAUUGUUACGAUAGACUCUACACAAGCCGGAUGCUUCUGGUCGGUUAGUGAAGUGGGUCAUAAAGUUGAGUGAGUUCGACAUAAGUUAUAAAUCCUGAGCAGCAAUAAAGGCCUAAGCAAUGGCCGAUUUCGUGGCAGAAUUCGCAGAGCCCGAAGUAGGUUUCAACCAGUUGGAUGCUGCUACAGUCAACAACGAAGAUCGGGUAUGGCAAGUGUCAGUGGAUGGAUUCUCAGGGGAGCAGGGGUCUAGAGCAGGGAUUGUUUUGGAAGGCCCAAAAGGGGAGGAGAUCUCUUAUGCUGUAAGGUUGGAGUUCACAACCACAAAUAACCAGGCAGAAUACGAAGCUCUAAUAACGGGCUUGAAAUUGGCUAAGACAGUGAAAGUGGAUAGGGUGGAAAUCUGAACUGAUUCCCAACUGGUUGCAAAUUAUGUCAGUGAAAGGUUUCAGCCGAGAGAUAGGAAGAUGGAACAAUAUUUGAAGAAAGUCAAGCAGAUGAUUGGGAAGUUUGAGGUGGUUGAGGUGAUACAAAUCCUAAGGGAGGAGAAUAGUCGAGCAUAUAUUUUGGCCAGGAUGACAGCUGUAAGAGAUCAAAAAAUGCCUAAGUCGGUCCCUUCGGAGGUGAAGUCCAGCCCUAACAUCGAGCAGAAUUUAGAGGUGCUGCGGAUAGAACAAAAAAGCUCGUGGAUGGACCCAAUGAUCUCGUACAUUAGGGAUGGGGUAUUAGCACCAGAUAAGUUACGAGUUCGGAAGAUCAAAGCUCAGGCGUCGAGGUACACAAUGAUUGAUGGGGUAUUAUAUCGGCGGGGAUAUACCCUACCGUUCCUUCGGUGUUUGGAUGAGGACGACGCAGAUUACGUACUGAGAGAAGUACAUGAAGGAGUUUGCGGAAACCAUUCUGGCACGAGGUCCCUUGCCCACAAGGCUCUAAGGCAGGGAUAUUUCUGGCCGACGAUGCACCAGGAUGUGCAGGAGAAAACCAGGAGUUGCAUGAGUUGCCAGAGUUUUACAAAUUUCUCUACCCAGCCACUAGAGAAGCUCACUUCUAUGGCCUUGCCAUGGCCAUUUGCUCAAUGGGGAAUUGAUUUGAUUGGGCCGUUGCCAAAGAGAUGAGGGGCAGCAACACAUGCAAUAAUAGCGAUAGACUAUUUCACGAAGUGGAUAGAGGUAGAAGCCCUCUGCAGGAUCACAGAGAAAAAGACGACUGACUUCGUAUAGAGAAACCUGGUCUGUCGGUACGGGAUGCCUUAUGCCCUGAUAGCAGACAAUGGGAGACAAAUUGACAACCAUAACUUCAGGGACUUCUGCCAGACCUCGGGAUAGAGCUGAAGUAUUGCUCGCCUGCUCACCCUCAGUCUAACGGACAAGUAGAAGCAGCUAAUAAGAUAAUCAAGAGGCUUUUGAAAACCAGGCUUGGAGCAAAAAAUGGAGCAUGGGUUGAUGAGCUACCAGGUGUAUUAUGGGCAUACAUGACAACCCACAAAACAGCAACCGGCGAAACUCCGUUCGCUUUGGCCUUCAGACAUGAAGCUGUUGUACCGAUCGAGAUAGGGGCGACCACGCACCUGACAGAUCACUUCGAUGAGUAGGAAAACAACGACCAGAUGUUCUUGAAUCUGGAUUUGCUGACCGAGAAGAGAGAGCAAGUAUUGAAGCGAUUAGCCGUCUACCAGCAGAGGGUUGCUCGGUAUUACAACCAGAAGGUGUGUAUACGACAGUUCAAGGUCGGCGAUUAGGUACUAAGGAGGGUGAAUCAGAACACGAAAGACUCGACACAAGGAGUACUUGGACCAAACUAGGAGGGGCCAUAUAGGGUCAAGCAGGUAGCUAGACCCGGAGCCUAUAAGCUUGUUCGCGCGGAUGGCCAUGAGGUGAAACGCCCCUGGAACGUAGCACACCUCAGGAAAUAUUUCCAGUAAGACCCGAUCAUACUUUAAAGUUAUUUAUAUUCGUCCUUGUUGUUAUUCGUUUUAUGUUAAAUCAAUCUCAUGUUAGCCGAAUUCAGUAAUUAAUGAAACAUUGAGGAAUUUCAAUCAGUUGUAAUGUUGUAAAGAUUUCUAAAGCAUGCAAAGGCUCACUAAGUCUCAAAGCCUGUUUUAUGGUGAGACAAGAAGCCAAGGAUGCUAAGGAUCUGCUCGACCGAGCGAGGACGAGCAGACUCUCAAAUGUUAUAAGAAUUUCUAAGGCAUGCAAAGGCUCACUAAGUCUCAAAGCCUGUUUUAUAGCGAGACCAAAAGCCAAGCAUGCCAAGGAUCUGCUCGACCGAGCGAAGGCGAGUAGACUCUCAAAUCUUAUAAGAAUUUCUAAGGCAUGCAAAGGCACCUUUAAGUCUCAAAGCCUGUUUUAUGGCGAGACCAGAAGCCAAGCAUGCCUAGAUCUGCUCAACCAAGUGAAGGCGAGCAGACUCUCAAAUGUUAUAAGAAUUUCUAAGGCAUGCAAAGGCUCACUAAGUCUUAAAGCCUGUUUUAUGGCAAGACCAAAAGCCAAAGCAUGCCAGGAUCUGCUCAACCAAGCGAAGACGAGCAAACAAUCAAACGUAAGGCAACGGGAAGCCGAACUUUUCGACACCUGCUCGACGACAAUGUAAGCGAACGAAAAAAUAAAAUAAUCUGCCAAGAGCUCGAAGCGGAGAAAGCAAAUAAGAGAAUUCUUAUUAAUCUGCCAAUAAUUAUGAAAAGCUGCUAGUCUUAACAUACAAUGUUCUAAAAAAGAAACCUACAACACAAGGUACAUUCAAGAGGACGGCAGGUCAGUAAGUUAGGCCGUCUUUACUGGCUGGUCCACCUCAGGAGCAGGGGGGUCUCACCAGUUGCUCCCGGGGGGGUACUUGCCUCGGCAACAUCAGCAGGGACUGCACGAGGAGGGGAGGGAACCUCUCCAGCUGCAUUUGGCUCCAACUCUUCGACAUCUUCUUUGGCUGCCUCCUCAUCCAUAUAUUGAGCAACACUAGCAGCAAGCUCAUCCAUCUUUAGAUCAGGAUGCUGCUUCCUUAAGACGACCAUGAUGUAGCGAUAAGAAUGCCGAAGCCCCUGGUCAUAUUGGUUGUUAGCUUCCUUCUCUAGGUUCUCGACCUGAACCUGGUGGGAAUCUUUGAGAGAUUCGAGCUGAGCCUCGUAAGUAGCCUUUUGUCUCUGCAGGUCCUUCUUGACCUUAGUCAGCUCCUCAUCAAGAGUGAUUAACUUUGCCUGCGCGAGAGACUCUAGCUCUAUCAACUUCAGAUUCUCAAGGUUGAGAUCUCUGACUUUCUUCUCGGCAGCGUUAGAUUUGGUUUUGGCCGACUAAACGUCUUUUCUCAUCUUUCGAUCAUAGCGGCUGACCUUCGCUUUAUAGUAAGUGGCCAUGUAGCCGAGAUGAAAAGCACUAUACUGCAUAGCCCCCACCAGCUCGCCCAGAGUGCUGCCAUCAAAGUCCUCUAAGUCCUUUUUUCUCACGAGCCUAGAAUACUCACUGAUAUAGGGGACCAGAUGCUCUGCUCGAUUGUCGGGCAAACGAGGUUUCGACCCCGCUGGUGGAGGAAGAGAAGUGGGAUCAGUGGCUGUUCCACUAGUUUCGCCGACUUUGGUAGGAGGAGGUGGUAGAAUCCUCAAGGGGGGACCUGCUCCGCGAUGUUCACCUGUUUCGUAGAAAAAGCAUCCUUAUUCUAGUCCUGCUUAGCAGCAGGAGGUUGAUGACGUUUUCGAUUCAAAGCCCCGAUCACAGUAUCCUCCAUCUUAAGAUCAGUGGACACCGGACGAGAUUCGAACAAGUUGUAAGUAGAUAGCAACUCUCGGCUCGAGGAGGAAUUGGCUAACACAGCCUUGACCUACUUGAGCGGCUCAGGUUUAAGCUUGUAGUGGACACCCCAAGAACCAGCAGUUCGAACAAAUAUUGGGUUAGAGAUAAAUAAAAAACGAGGACAACUAGGGAUACAAGACAUCUAAAGCGAGUAGGCAACCUAGGACUACGAAAUGGGAUGGGACGCGAUAGUUCUUCCUGUCAAUCUAUGCAACUUGACCCCAGGGACCCCCAGCAAAAAAUAAUUUUUUCUUCCAAUUCCCACCACCACCUGUUGGAAGAUCAGUUAUGUGUUUUCUAGUCUUGGUACUUGACAUGAAGUAAUACCAGCAGGUGUCUUUGGGGCUACUCUUUAGCUGGUACAAGUGCUUUACCUCAUUAAUUGUGGGCUCGCUCUGGCAGCAUCUAUCCCACAAUAUGAACAGACCAGAAAGCACCCUCCACCCAUUUGGGUUAAGUUGACCAGGAGCUAAGUUUAACCCACUAAGCAUUCGGGUAAAAUAGGGUUGUAGGGGGCACCUCAUCCCGAAUUUAAAACUUUCCAGAAACAGAGUAACGUUUCCCCUGGGAGGCCGGCUGGGAGUAUCUUUUUUUCAUAGGAUCCUAAGGGGUAUAUCAUCAGGAAUGUCAUACCUAGUCCGGAGGUCAACGAGGUCGUCUACUGUGGUCGUGCACGUGAUGAAGUCAAUAGCGUAAUGGAAUUCAAAUGGAGGGAUAGAUUUCUGCCAUAUCACUUCGCCCGCAAUUAAAUGCGACAUGACUCCUCAAAGGCUUUUCCUAUCAUGCGCAAGCCAGAACUGUUGAAUUUCUAUUGUUGGUCCACUAUGUUACCCAACACCAGAAACUGGGGGACCAAUGUUUGGGGGAUAUACUUCUACAAGACUAGCCAUGAUGAGUAGAUAUCUGGUAGCAGGAUUCCACGAACAGGAAUAUUUUCACAAGUCUGGUAGCAGGUGAACACGAAUAGGAAUAUUCUGCUCGUUCACGAAUGCACCAUCCACGGGGCCACAGUGGGAGCCGGCCUCCUGCUAGGAGCACAAGGCCAUUCCUACUAGAGGUUGAGGUGGGGAGACUCGGUCAAUGACGGUUGGCAAGACGUGCACUCCUGCCCGAGAAUCAAGGCACGAAGUCCACUAAGCCACAACUACGAUAAUAAAGCAUCCACUUCCGGGAGUUGAGGGAGGUGAUGGACGUGGAUUGUAGGAAGGCUCAGAUUUAAAGGAAGGCUAUAAAAAGGUAACCAACGAUGAUAAACGGGUUAGACUUUUUGAGAUUAGAACUGAGAAAAAGAGCUUUCUAUUGAAAGAUCAUAAAAGAGCCAUAAUAUUGGUGGCCGUAUUUCCCAAGAAGACAAAGCAUGCUUUUCUGACUUGAGCGUCAGAGGGUUUACGACGGAAAAACACCCGGCAUGCUCUGACCUGUCUUUGUGUACGCAGGAGUCUGUAGAGAGGAAGUCUGACGAGGAGAGAUCCUGGUUGUGGACGAGUUAGUUGAGGAGAGAUCCUGGUCGUGGACGAGUUAGUUGAGGAGAGAUCCUGGUUGUGGACGAGCAUAAAACUAGAAUCUCGCAUCAACACCAGCCUUCACUGAAAUUGUUUGGUUUCUUUGUUUUCAAGGAUAAUGUUAUAUUCGGAUUAAUAUUUUGUACAAAAGUUUGAUUGAUUGUUUUACUUUCUAUUUUCACAUUCAUUGGUGUGUAUUCAAUUUGUCAACAUUCAAGUUGCAUAUAUGUGAUUGUUUUUUAUUUUAUUUUUAUCUUGUUUCUAGUUUUUGAGUAGUGGUACACUUCAACUUCAAUUUCAUUACUUCAGUUUGACGAAAAGUGUUUGUGCUAUGAUCACUUCUCAUCAUCUUAAAACUGACUGAAUGAUAUUGUUAUUCGGUUUUUCAGAAUUUCACCGAUGUGUAGUUCAUUAUAAGGGUGACAAUGCUGGUCAAAAGUCAAACGGGGUUAGUUAAAAAAGUGCAGGGAAAUUUCGGGUUUGUUAGAAAUAGCCUUUGUUGUAGUUUAUAAGGCUGGUUGUUGGGUCAUCUUCACAGGUCUCAUCAAAGCCAUAGAAAGAGAGAGAGUUAAAGAGAAAAAGUUGUAUAUUCUUGGAAUGAUUGUGAAAUGGUCCUUGUUCUUCUGUGGAUGUAGGCACUUUGAUUCAAUUUUGAGUUUGGGUUUCUAGGAAUGAUUCUUGAUACGUCAAAGAGGGUCUUAGGUGUGUGAUCUUGGUACUAACAGAGGAUUAAACACAACAAAAAGAAACUGGGGCAUAUUGUCUAAUCUUUAUAGACUCCAAAUAUAUGGAGAUUUUAGCCCUAGUCAAUGUCCAACAGCCCUUGUAAAAUAAAAAACCAUCACUAAUCCUUGGUGACUUUAGGGAUCUAGUAAGGACUAGGUAGAAUUGAAGAGGAGAUUUAACGAGUGAAGUUCUGAAAGUGGAAGAUUUAAUCUAUAGCACGGAAGCUUAGUUAGAAUUGAUGACUGGAUUCUUUCUCUAUUGAUUGAUUUGCAGCCCAACUGCAUUAAGGGAAUAAAGAGGAGCUGUAGUCGUUCGCACAUUUUCUGUUCACAGCAUCCAGCGGGUGCCUUGUAAUGCAGUGCAAUGAAGUUGAUGGCACACAGGAUGUGCUGCUGCUCUCUCUCAAUUCCUUAUAAUCACAUCAAGGCCCUUGUUUGUAGCAGAGGAAUUCCCUUUUGUAUUAAAAUUGAUUCUGCUGCUCUGGUUGUCAUUGGAUUCUUAUGGUUUCUUCACUCAUUAGCCAGUAACAUAAUGUUGAGUUUAUUGAUUUUGUUAUCUUAAAAAUGUCCAAGACAUCUUGUGAUCAUGAUAUAUUGUCAUUUUAUUUUUAGACAAAAAGAUUGUUUUUCCAGUUAGCAAAUGUAUAUUGCGUUCAUUUUUGGAUUGGAAAAACAAAAAUUUGAAGAAGAAAAAUGAAAAUUAAUAAAAAAGAUUACAGGACAUCUGCAUCAUGUUCUUUUAUUUGAACUAAGUCUUUGUUUAACUUUUCUCCUUUUCCAUUUUGCAAAUUUAGUAUCUCUUUCUUUUCUUGAACCAAGAUAGUUUCCUUUACUUACAAGUAAAGUUUAAAUGACCUUGAUCUUCUAUUUUUCUCUUACCUUAUUUUUCUUUCACAAGCACGAUCAUUUUCAACGCUAUCAAAAUCAUCCAUCUAUCAAUACCCAAUUUGAAUAAAAUUCAGCAUCUUUUUUCCUUAUUCUUUCUAUGUAAUAAUUUGGUUGUGUUGCUUUUAAUCAAAAUAAAAUAUAUAUCGUCGGGAUUUCAAAGUUUGUGAUCACUUUAAGAAAAAAGCAGGUACUUUAUUAUUUGAAUUAUCCACAAAAUAACUCUAUUUUAUUAUUUUCAUCUUAUGAAUGUUAGAUGUACUAUAUAUCUGUGUUUGAUUCUUAUUUACAACCUAUGUUUUUGCUCACACGUUUCAUAUGUUGACAAGUCAGAUUAAAAAAAGAUAAAAAGAUCAACUUUCUUUUAUUCCAUUUGCAAAUGCAUUGACAAACAGUUUAAUUUGUUUAAUUAAUUUAUUUUUUUAAAAUCACGGUCUCUUUUAAUAAUUUGUUACUUUGCAUGUUAGAACAACAAGGUAAUGACAGAGGAAGAGAUAUGGACAUCAACUUCAGACUAUUUUCAGAGAGGUUAAGAAGGGUGUUAGCCAGUAAAGAAGUCACGUUGCCUGAUGCUGCAAAACAACCUAUUCAAAACCUUCUUGCCAAGAAUGAAAUCAUUACUUCUUGGCUGAGGGACUUUGAAUAUGAAACGUCCUGGCUUCUGGUGCAAAAAAUAGGAAAAGAGGAAAUUGAUGACCCUGAUCUCGGGAACAUUAUGGAUGAAAUCAAUUGCUUUCCUCAUCUUAUAUCAUGGAAGCAUCUCAUUAGAAGAAAAUAUAGGGGAAGCAAUGGAGAAGCCCCUUGGGCUUUGGUACUUCAAAUAUUGCAGGUCACCUUUUUGCUUGAAACUUUGUUUUCUCUACUUAUCUGUGUUUCCCACAUGCCUAGAGAUAUCCACUAAGAAGUUAUAUCGGUUGUGGAUAGUGUAAGAGAGAUUGUAACAUUUUUCAAUCUUUGGUUUGAUAUUCUAGAAGAAAACGGUUUGUCGUUUCUGGGGAAAAAGGCUAACUGUUUAAUUUCAGAGAGCAUGUUUUAUGUUCUAGAGAAAACGGCUAACCGUUUGGAGAAAAUGGUUAACCGUUUAGAGAAAACGGCUAACCGUUUAUUUCCAGAGAGCGUAUUUUUGCGUCAACUGAAAAAAUGGUUAGCAAGCUUGAAAAUUUCAUAUGUCAAUCGAUGCAAAUUCAAACUAAAAGAGUGCUUUGAAAUACACUCACUAAUUAAAUGUUAAAAUCGAAAGAUACAUUUUUGUAUGUAUAAGUUUAUCAUUAAUAAAUCUGAAAAAUAUUACAAUCUAGUGGGGGAUUGUAAGAGAGAUUGUAACAUUUUUCAAUCUUUGGUUUGAUAUUCUGGAAGAAAACGGUUUGCCAUUUCUGGGGAAAAAGGCUAACCGUUUAAUUCCAGAGAGCAUGUUUUCUGUUCUAGAGAAAACGACUAACCAUUUGGAGAAAACGGCCAAUCGUUUAUUUACAGAGAGCAUGUUUUCUGUUCUAGAGAAAAUGGCUAAUCGUUUAGAGAAAUCAGCUAACCGUUUAUUUACAGAGAGCAACUUAUUUGACAUUCUGGAAUAAAACGGCUCACCAUUAUUGAGAAAACGGCUAACCGUUUAUUUACAGAGAGUGUGUUUUUGCGUCAACUGGAAAAACAGUUAGCAAGCUUGAAAAUUUCAUAUGUCAAUCGAUGCAAAUUCAAACUAAAAGAGUGUCUUUGAAGAAGUGCCAUUUCUAAUGGUUGUAUUCUUUUAAAAAUAAACUUCUUCUUUAUUAAAAGAUAGACACACAAUUAGAUCAAUAUCAGAUUUUGCAGAUUUCAUGUAUGUUCUGGAAAUACAAUCUUAUUUUCUAGAGAUUGUAUUCAGGAUUUGAUAUAUCUUGGGGGUAAUUUGCGAUUAAAACUCUAUAGCAAACCAAGAUUGGUGAGGGCAAAUAAAACCUUAAAGGAAAGUAUGCAAAUACGUCUCAAAUCCUAAGAAAAUUUCUUUGUUCUUUGCCUCCAUAUUCGAAAAUUCACCAACAAUAUUUAAGGUUUUAUUUUUAUGCAAAUGGAGGCUGAGAAGAGUUUGAUGUCAUUUUUUAAUCCUAGUGUCCAUCUCGAUCGUUUUGAUGGAACUAAUUUCACUCGUUGGAAGGGAAAAUUGUUCUUCUUCCUUACUAUUCUUAAAUGGCAUAUGUUCUUGAUCCGAAAUUGGAACCAUUUCCGGAACCAAGAGAAGAUAAUACCGAAGUUGUUAAGGCUGCAAGGAAACGUCGUGAAGAAGAUGAAUUGGUGUGUCGGGGUCACAUGCUCAAUACGCUUUCUAACAGGUUAUAUGAUCUUUACAAUUCUAUGACUUCUCCAGUGGAAAUUUGGAAUGCUCUUGAGUACAAAUACAAAACAGAGAAAGAAGGUACUAACAAAUUUAUUGUCUCUAAAUAUUUUGAAUUUAUUAUGGUAGACACAAAAUCCAUUCUUGAUCAAAUACACGAGUUACAAAUUAUUGUUGCUAAGCUUCAAGAGUUAAAAGUUGAAAUUUCUUAAUCAUUUCAAGUUGGGGCUAUUAUUGCUAAAUUGCCUCAAAGUUGGAAUGAUUAUAGAAAGAAACUCCUUAAUAGUAAAGAAAACAUAACUUUAGAAGAAUUUCAAAAACACUUAGUAAUUGAAGAAGAGACUAGGUCUCGUGAAUCCAAGGAUAAGCAUGAUUCUACUAAAGUUAAUGUUGUUGAAGCUAGUAAAUUCUCAAAGAAUUUUAAAGUCAAGAAUGCCAAGAAAUUCAAGAAGUCCAACACACAAAAGUUUACUGGAAAUUAUUUCUUUUGUGGCAAGAAAGGCCAUCGCCAAAGUGAUUGCAGAUUCAAGAAGAAAAAGGAAUAAGUGAAUCCCCAUAAAGCUAAUGUUAUUUAAAAAAAUCUGAAGAGAUUUGUGCUAUGGUUUCUGAAAUGCAAAUUGGCAUGAUUACCGAAACCAAUAUGGCUGAAACUAAGUCCUAUGAUUGGUGGCUCGAUUCGGGUGCAACAAUUCAUGUUUGUAAUGAUAAGAAAUUUUUCUUAUCGUACAAAGAAGAAACGGAAGGACAAAUGGUUCUCAUGGAGAACAAUAAUGCAGCCAUAGCAGCAGGGAAAUGAGUAGUUGAGAUCAACUUCACUUCUGGAAAGAAAGUCACAUUGUAUAAUGUCUUUUAUGUACCUUCCGUUAGGAAGAAUCUUAUUUCUGCUAGUUGUAUGUGUAAGCAUGGGCUUAAGAAUAUGCUUGAGGGUAAUACUUGUAUUAUCUCAAAGAAUGGAUUAUUUGUUGGGGAAGGGUAUUCUUGUGAUGAAAUGUAGAAACUUAGCAUUAAUAAUAAUAAUAUCAACUUAGCUUAUAUUGUUGAGUCUUGUGAUGUUUGGCAUGCUAGAUUAGCACAUUUGAAUUUUAGAUCUUUGAAAUACAUGUCUAAGCAAGGUUUGAUUAAUUACAAUGAUGUUAAAGGUCAUAAGUGUAAAAUCUGCAUCCAAGCUAAAUUAACGAAGAAACCUUUUCCUAAAGUCAAACGAAAUACUCAAAUAUUGGAUUUAAUACAUACCGAUAUUUGUAAGUAUAAUGGUGUUUUAACAAGAGGAGGUAAGAGGUACUCUAUCACUUUUAUUGAUGAUUGUUCUAGAUACACUUAUGUGUAUUUACUUAGAACAAAAAAUGAAGCUUUUGAUAAAUUUAAAAAUUUCAAAUCUGAAGUUGAGAACCAAGAAGAUAAGAAAAUCAAAAUGAUUCGUAGUGAUAGAGGUGGUGAAUAUUUCUCAAUUGAAUUUAAUAAUUAUUGUGAAGAAUUUGGAAUUAUUCACCAAAGAUCAGCUCCAUUUACUCCUCAACAAAAUGGUUUGGCUGAAAGGAAGAAUAGGAUCUUCAGGGAUAUGAUAAAUUCCAUGAUCCUUAAUGCAAAACUACCAAAUAAUUUGUGGGGGAAAGUAUUACUCACUGCAUGUCAUAUUCAUAACAGAAUUACAUCUUUGAAAACACAUAAAUCUCCUUAUGAAAUUUGGAAAGGAAGAAAAUCAAACUUGAUGUAUUUAAGGGCCUGGGGUUGUUUAGCUUUUUAUAAACAUGAUCCUAAAUCAUCAAAGUUAAGUACUAGAUGUAUAAAGAGUGUUUUCGUAGGAUAUGCUGAAAAUUCCAAGGCUUAUAGGUUGUUAGAUUUAGAUUAUAAUGUGAUUGUGGAAUUUAUAGAUGUUGAAUUUAUUGAGAAUAAAUUUCAACAUGAUUCUAAUAUUGAAUUAGAAUCAAUUAUUGAUCAACCAUGUGUUAAUACUCCUGUUACCUCCACUAACAAUAAUAAAAGGAAAGAGUCUAUGACAUCUUUCGAACCAAGGAGGAGUCAACGUGAAAACAAAGAAAAGAGUUUAGCUCCAGAUUUUAUUUCAUCACAAGCACUACUCUUCUUGGUUGAAGGGGAUAGAAAGAAUGUACUUAAUAAAGUAUCAUUGUUGUUAAAUAUUGAAAAAGAUCCAAAGACAUUUAGCGAAGCUAUGUCUUCUAGAGACGCUUCUUUUUGGAGAGAGGCGGUAAAUAAUGAAAUGGAUUCGAUUAUGUCGAAUCAAACAUGGGUCUUGGUUGAUCUUCCUCUAGGAUCUAAACCAAUUAGCAGCAAAUGGGUAUUUAGAAGAAAGUACAAUAGUGAUGGUUCUUUGCAAACUUUUAAGGCUAGAUUAGUAGCUAAAGGGUUUAAGCAAAGAAAUGGUAUUGAUUAUUUCGAUACAUAUGCUCCGGUAGCAAGGUUAACUUCUAUAAGAGUGCUAUUUGCAAUUGCUUCAUUGAACAAUUUGUAUGUGCAUCAAAUGGAUGUUAAAACUGCUUUUCUUAAUAGUGAUCUUGAUGAAGAAAUCUAUAUGGAACAACAUGAGGGAUUUGUUUUGCCAGGAAAUGAGAAAAAGGUAUGCAAGUUAGUCAAAUCACUUUAUGGUUUGAAGCAAGCACCAAAACAAUGGCAUGAGAAGUUUGAUUCGGUAAUUUUAUCUCAUGGUUUUAAGCAUACUAAUACUGAUAAAUGUAUAUAUUUUAAAUUUACGAAUGAUUUUGGUGUGAUUAUAUGUGUUUAUGUUGAUGACUUGCUUAUCUUUGGAACAAAUAUGCAAGGAGUAGAUGAUACAAAGAAGUAUUUAACUUCACAAUUUAAGAUGAAAGAUCUUGGUGAAGUAGAUACUAUCUUAGGUGUCAAAGUGAAGAAACAUAGUGGGGGUUACUUAUUGUGUCAAUCUCAUUAUAUAGAGAAAGUGCUUCUUAAAUUCAAUUAUUUGAAAUUUAAAGAAGCCAAUACCUCAUAUGAUUCUAGUAUUAAAUUACUAGAGAAUUCAGGCCGAGUAGUAGCACAACUAGAAUAUGCUAGUGCUAUUGGUGGCUUGAUGUAUGCUAUGCAUUGUACGAUGCCUGAUAUAGCAUUUGCAAUUUAUAAAAUGUCAAGAUUCACGAGUAACCCUAGUGUUGAACACUGGAAAGCAAUUGGUAGGAUACUUGGUUAUCUUAAAAGGACCAUUAAUUUGAGUUUGUUUUAUAAUGAUUAUCCUGAAGUACUGGAAGGAUAUUCAGAUGCUAGUUGGGUAACCAAUACAAGAGAUAAUAAAUCCACUUCUGUUUGGAUUUUUACAAUUGCUAGAGGAGCGGUUUUUUGGACUUCAAAGAAACAAACGUGCAUAACUCAUUUAACAAUGGAAAGUGAGUUUAUAGCACUUGCAACUGCAGGCAAGGAAGCCGAAUGGCUGAGAAAUUUGUUGUUUGAUAUAAUGUUGUGGCCACAACCAAUGCCAUCUAUUUCUUUGUACUGCGAUAGUGAAGCUACAUUGUCUAGAGCUUAUAAUAAAGUGUAUUUCCAGAGAGCGUGUUUUUACGUCAACUGGAAAAACAGUUAGCAAGCUUGAAAAUUUCAUAUGUCAAUCGAUGCAAAUUCAAACUAAAAGAGUGUCUUUGAAGAAGUGAUAUUUCUAAUGGUUGUAUUCUUUUAAAAAUAAAAUUCUUCUUUAUUAAAAGAUAGACACACAAUUAGAUCAAUAUCAGAUUUUGCAGAUUUCAUAUAUGUUCUGGAAAUACAAUCUUAUUUGCUAGAGAUUGUAUUCAGGAUUUGAUAUAUCUUGGGGGUAGUUUGCCAUUAAAACUCUAUAGCAAACCAAGAUUGGUGAGGGCAAAUAAAACCUUAAAGGAAAGUGUGCAAACACGUCUCAAAUCCUAAGAAAUUUUCUUUGUUCUUUGCCUCCAUAUUCGAAAAUUCACCAACAGAUAGAUGAAGGUUUCAUUCCAGACAACAGUGAGGCAACUGCUGAGAAGUACUAAGAUCUACUAAUCAAUAGAGGCUUUGUUGAUACAAGGAAGAGAGGAGCUGGAAGCGCUAUCAACACAUGCUCUGUUCGUGGUCGUUGCCGUCCUGUGUUGUUAGCAGUGGCUUUCGAGGCGGAAUUUGUCUUUUUCCCGUUCGGGGAUCCAAAAGGUAAAUCACGAAAAAAUGUCAAACGGAUCAACGUUUUUGAAAAACAGAGUGAUUUUGCUCACCUAGAUGAUUAUGACUCGCACUUGCAUUCUUUGUUGUACUUCACUUCAAAAAGCGACUAUCUUGACCCAAUAAAUUGGGAGAAAAUUUGUAAAAUGUUAAAAUUUCUCAGAGGAUUGGACUUGGGAUCUCUUGUUCUCAUCCAUUAUCCAUCCGGAAUUGAAAAUUUAUUUCUUUUACGAUAUUUGAAGUUGAAUAUCCCUUCCCUCAAAAGCUUGCCUUCGCCAUUAUUAAGCAAUCUUCUGAACCUGUACACCCUAGACAUGCCCUUUAGCUAUAUAGAUCACACAGCAGAUGAAUUUUGGAAGAUGAACAACCUCAGGCAUCUGAAUUUUGGCUCAAUCACACUUCCUGCGCAUCCAGGAAAAUAUUGCGGCUCUCUGGAAAAUCUCAAUUUCUUUUCAGCCUUGCAUCCUUGCUGCUGUACUGAAGAUAUAUUGGGUAGACUACCUAAUCUUCGAAAUCUCCGGAUAUGGGGAGAUUUAAGUUAUUAUCAAUCUUUGUUGUCCCAAAGUCUUUGCACAUUGACUUGCCUCGAGUCAUUGAAGUUGGUGAACGAAAGCAAGAUGCCAACGCUCUCCAAAAUUGUCCUUGUUGAAUACCAAUUUCCUCCAAGACUGACCCACUUGAGUUUCUCUAAUACUGAACUUAUGGAGGAUCCCAUGCCCGCACUAGAAAAGCUGCCGCUUCUUCAAGUGCUCAAAUUGAAGCAAAAUUCGUAUUCAGGUAGGAAGCUGACUUGUGGCUCUGAUGGUUUUCCAAAUCUCAAGGUAUUGCACCUGAAAUCAAUGCUAUGGCUAGAGGAGUGGACUAUGGGGAUUUGAGCCAUGCCAAAACUAGAAUGCUUGAUUAUCAACCCUUGUGCUUAAUUGAAAAAGAUGCCUGAACAGCUCUGGUGCAUAAAGAGCUUAAACAAGUUCGAUUGCUGGUGGCCGCAGCUGGAGCUGAGACAAAAGCUACGGGAAUUCGAGGAUAAGGAGCAGUAUGGCAUUCAACUCUAUCCUUAUGGAAUUUGAUUAGCCCCGAUUGAAUUUGAUGUAAGUUUCUCUUUUUAUCCAAUUUCUUCAACUUUUAAUUAUUUAUCUAAUUUCGUAUACUUUCUAUUCAAUAUAUUUAUUUUCCUUCUCCUUCAGUUAAAUAGUUAAGCCCUCUUUAGAGUUUCUGAUAGUCACCCCAAUCAUUACGCCCUCUUUUGCCGCAGGGAGACUUCAGUACCCUUGUAUGUUCAACUAUGAGCCUAGGCGACAUUGGCAUUCAUUUGUUUUAAUAGUUAAGAUAAAAAAUGUAAUAUAAAAAUUUUUCUUUUUCACCAAUUUCUCCUAUGACUUGUGUAGGUGAAGUCCGAGCAGAAAAUAUCAAAACUGCAGCCUGUGUUUCAGUUUCAACCAGAAUCCUUUCAGUUAGUCUUCACUUCUGCUGUCUAUACAAAUAAGUCCUGAUCCUAUGGUGGACAUUUUUCUGCUUUCUUUGUAUCUACUGUCUACACGAUAAUAAGAAAUUUCGUUUCAGAUAUUCAGUUGAGCGUUGAUUGAUUGGUGCUUCGGGCCAUGGUUGGUUAAUUGUGUACAAAAAAAAUAAAUAAUAUUUGUGACGCCUUUCCAGUCUUGGAUUCAGUGGAAUGUAUUUUCUGUCUUUGUUCUGUUGCUUGCUUUGAAAUCCUUUUCUAAGACUGGGAAUGUUUGACACUCAAUAUGUUUGGUUUAUUUUGCGGAAAAGAUUGAUUAUUCACGAACUUCAUACACGGCUGACUCUCCUGGUAAAUAUUCUUGUGAAUAAGUACUAUGAUCCUCUUUUAGGCACUACAAUAAGGCCUUUUUCUCUUUUUUUUGGUGCACUAAAUUGUGUACACUAAAGCACACACGUUGUUGUGUCAGAAAAGGAUCCUUGCAGCCAUUGAGAUUAAUUGAUUAAAUGAAGUAGAAAAAAGAAAGAAAUCAAAAUCUUCAGGUCUAAUUAUCGCCAAUUCAUUCAGGAGGUAGAAUCAGAGAGGCCGUGUUAUAGCGGCAGCCUGAGAGAUCAUUUCAGCUGAAAAACUCAGAAUUUAUAAAGUUACGACUUCAUUCUCAUAAAUAUGAGGUUAAAAUGCAGAGGUUUGAUUUUAUAGGCUUCAGUCAAUGUAGUACAUUCUAGUUUUGGAUUCACUUGUAUAAAUUUUUAGUCUGUAAUUGUUUCAAAUCCUCUUAGUUUGGUUUGGACGUCAUUGGUAUCUUAUGGUUUCUUAAUCCAAUAAUAUAGUGUUGAACUAUCCGCGGAGAUGUUAACAUUCUUUUACAGGCACAAAUUGUCUGCAAAUGAAAAUAUAUAAAAUAAAAAGGACAAGUGAUAAAUGAGUUAAUCUGAGGAAAUUCGAACCUGUAUAAACAUAUUUUUAGUAUUUUGAAGGACCAAAAACCUCUCAAUACAAUUUUUCAGUUGCCAAAUAAAAUAUUUCAGCCUCCCAUUAUUAAGAUUGAUGCUAGUUUAAAUACUAACUUACAUAUAAAAUUUGAAACUAAAGAACAAGAGCAACAAUCCUAAACUAAGGCAAAUAAUUAGCUAAUUAACUAACAACUGGUUCUGGUUUAUUGAGUUCAAGUAUAUGUUAACACAUUAACCACAACCAACCAAAUAAAUAUAACUUAAAAUAAAAUAAAAUAAAAAUAUCUCAAGACUUGAAGAUCGGAUCACAUUCUCUUUUAAUAAACUAACGCAGGAAUUUCAUCUCUGUCAUCUUUUCCUUUCAAUCAAUUGUAUUCAUGUUUCUAUUACUGACUGAAAUGACCUAAAUUAGAUUGUGAAAGAUGAAAAUGAUAUAAAUGUCCAAAACAUCUUGCAAUCAGGGUUUCGUUUUCCCUUUCCUAAUCCUGUUAGCAAAAUCCUUUUAUUGAAAAAACACAAACCGGAAGAAGAAGAAGACGAUAAGCAGAUUAUAAAGGACGUCAGCAUCCUGUUAUUUUCUAGAACUAAGUCUUUGCUUUCUUUACUGUUUUUUAAGAUGCCUUCCUUUUGGUCUAGUAUGGUAUCUCUUUCUUUGCUUGAACCAACAUAUAAGUAAAGGCUAAAUGCUCCUUCCACUUUUCUCUUGACUUGUGUAAUCUUUCUCUGGUACUCAAGAUCGAAUAAAAUGCCAUUUCAGUAAAGCCAAUUAGAGUUCUUUUUGUUCCAUCGGCAAGUCAUUCUUGACUGUUUUGCCUCCGCUUGAAAGCUUCCGUGCAUCCAUUUAUCAGUACCCAAUUUGAAUACAAUUCAACUUUUUUUUUUCCCUUUUUGGUUUCUGUUUCUUCCAUGUAGUAGUUUGACUGAGAUGUUUAAGGGUGUGCUUGAGGUGUGGUAUUGCAUAGCAUUAGUGUGUAGGCCAAGCAUUACUUCAACAUAUCCCAUAUUUGACAAUUGAUUGGAAAGGAGUGAGCAGCAUUAAUCUUAGCUAAUGCGGUAGUUUGCAUUAGUUUUUUUUUUUUUUAAAUAUAAUAAUAAAAAAUAAGUAUAACUUUUAAUAUAAUAUUAAUUUUUUAAUUAUUAUAUUAUAAUUAUUAAUAUAAAUUAAUAAUUUUAUUAUUUAUUAUUAAAUAAUAUUAUAUCAUAUUUUAUUUUUUAUUAUAUAAAAAAUAUAAAUAAAAAAUAUAUUAUUUAUUUAUAUUAUAAUAAUUAAUAUAUAAAAUUGAUAAGUUAAUAAUAACUAAUAAUAAAUACUUAAUAACAUAUAAAAAUAAAAAUAUAACAUAAUAUUACAUUAUUUAAUUAUAUUAUUGUAAUUAGUAUAUAAAAAAUUGAUUAUUAUUUAAGAAUUUAAUAUAACUAAAAAUAAAUGUUUAAAUAUAAAUAGACUUGAAUAAUAUUAAUUUGAAAUUAACAAUAUAAAUAAUAAUAUAAAAUAUUAUUACACAUACUAUAGAAUUCUUACUUGGAUUAUUUUCUAAAUUAUAAUUUAAAUUAAUCACAAAAAAUUAAUACAGUCCAGUGCAACACCAAAUAUAGUAUAAUUAAAAAUUAAUACAGUACAGUAUAAUACCAAAUAUUGUACAAUAUUUUUGUAAUACAAUAUUUUUGUAAUACAAUACUAAUGCAAUAUAACAUAAUAUAAUACAUCUGCAUUAAAAGUAAUGCAAUACAAUAUAAUAAAAUGCAGUGUGCCAAACACACCCUAAGUUCAAUCACAAUAAAAUAUCGUGGGAUAUACGGAAGUCUGUGAGAGGUACUAUACUAUCUAAAUUAUCUACAAAGUAACUUCAUUUUAUUAAAUUCUUAUAAUCUGAAUAUUAGAUCCACUUGAUGUUUGUGAUUGAUUCUUAUUUACAAGGAUAAACUUUUGCUCGCAUUUUUCAUAUGAUGACAGUUGACGCAGAAAUCUGGUCGAGCUGUUUAGCGACCAGACAACACUUAGAUUUGUUGUUAUUGGGGAGACGGUUCUAUGUUGCUUCCUCACUAUCGAACAAGCUCCUACGAUCUCGAACACUUCCUCCAAGAACACUUGCAUUUAUAACAACUAGUCAAGGGACGCCACAAGUUUUUCAGGUGUAAACCCUCCGAUACUCAAGUCAGCUAUCCGGGUCUAUGAUAACUCUAUGAAAUGAGAGUUAUCAUGGUACUUUUAAACUUAAAUCAUUAUUACUUAGAGAGUAAAUGACAUGUUUUUAUUGCAUUUUAGUUAUAUCUUGCAUGAGUAUCAAUUUUAGUUUAGUUUUAAUAAAUUUUGUUGUUUUAGAAUAAUUUGUGUGCUUAGAUUGUGUGCAUAAUUGUAGAUGAUUGGAAGCUCAAAUUUAAGGAAGGAAUGCUGCUGCAAUAGGCUUGCAAAAAUGGGAAAAGAACUUGAUUACAGAAGAAUUAAAGCAAAUUUGGAACGGUGCAGUUGCUGUAUCCGUUGUUGCAGCAUCCAUUGUUGUACCAAUCCUGGAGCAUUGAUAGAGAAGAUAAAACCCAUAACUAACAUCCCCACUGCGGGUGGAAAUUGGUAAAGCAAGUUUUUUUUUUUUUGUUGGGGGUAAUUGAAGUCGAGUAAUGUCUAUAGAUGAUAGGAAUAUUCAUGUUCCUUUUGGUUUCUUGACUCAAGGUUGCUUACUGGCUUAAGACAUUUUUCAUUCUACUCACUCAGUUAAAUUAUACCAUUCCAACGUGAUCUUGGCUUAUGCUACAGAUUCCUAGAGUGUGGUCUACAACAUUAAGAGCAUAUUACUGAACAAGGUUGAGGUCACUUUAGUAAAUUCUUGCUCAUGUAGAGAUCUACUUUCUAUUUAUAGCUUGGUCGACUCACAUUUAACGUCAAACACUCACGAUAUGGAGGACGUUGUGGUCAGAGCCUUGAACAGGAAACGCCCCCAUUCUAGUGGUGCUAAAGGGAGUUUGAGCAAAUAUGCUUCUUGGAAAAGCACCUUGGUACUGCAGAAAAAGUUUCUUUUCUGAAGACUCUCCCGCCUCCUCUACCUAAGGUAAGUGAAACAAGUGGGGCUUGUUAGCCUAUACGACUAUAAAUAUUGAUUUUGAUGAUAACAAACUACAUGUGUUGGUUAAACAAAGAUUUAUGUAUUGAGAUUUUAUAAUAAGAAAAUGAUUUUAUGGAGUUAAGUUGUUUUUCAAGUUAUGGACUAAAAUGAAAUAAUUUUACAAUCUUUGAUUUUAAUAAAUAUUGUUUUGAAUUUUCGGAUUUGGACCUAUUUGAAAAUAUUUAAAUAUUUUGGGUUAUUCUAUAAUUUCACAUAUUUUGGGUCAUAUUAUAAUUUCAAAAAGUUUUGGGAUUAAUAAAACAAUAUUUAGAAAUUCCGAAAUUGGACUUAUUUGAAAAGAUUCAUAACGUUUUGGGCCAUAAUAUAGUUAUAUAAAGUUUUGGGGUCAAACUAUAAUUUUAGAAAAUAAUUCACUGUAGCAGUUACUGUAGUAAGCGGCUAUUCGAAUCCUGACAAACGGUAGACCGGAUUUGGGUAGUAAGCUUCUGGAACAUAAACGACUAUUCGGAUUUCAUAAGCGGCAUACCGGAUGUUCAAAAAUUCAAAUUUUGGCUGUAACAGUAACAUUAAGCGGCUAACCGGAUGUCCAUAAAUGGUAAGCCGGUUAUCACCAAAAUGUGCAUAACGGCUAGUUUUUGAGCUCAAACUAUAUACACUGAAAUCCAAUUCAUUUUCAAUUUCUCCAGCAAGCAAAAACAAAAAGCACACAUCAUAUCUUGAGCUCUCAAUUUACAAAUCAUUAUUCAUUGAAUCAUCUUUGUUCUUCAAUUUGUUCCUCUACUCUUUAAGAGAGUUUAUUUUGUUGUAAUUUUCAUUUCUUCAUCUUAAUUGUGAGUGUUUGAGUGUGUGAGACACUUGAGUGAAGAGAUUGAGAGAUAAUCUCUUUGUUGUAAAGGUUCAUUGACACCUUGAAGUCAAUUGUAAACAUUUGAAGUCUUGGAAGGCUUGGAUUGUGAAAUCCUCAAGCUUGGAUCUCUUGGAGGCGUGGACGUAGGCGGGGAUUGCCGAACCACGUAAAAAUUCAUGUAUUUGUUUCUCUUCUCUCUUACUCAUUUGUUAUUGUCCUUUUAUUGAACUUAUUGCUUUCGAAUUUAUUAAGGCAUUAGAUUGGAUUAUUGUGUGGUUUUGUUAGGAUAAUUUUUAAAAUACCAAUUCAUCCCCCCUCUUGGGUUGCAUACUUGUAUUUCAGGGUUGCUAGUGACAAAGGUCCCACCACAUCUCCUCAUCUUGUUGGCUAUAAAUUUCAACUUCCAAAUGAGUGACCCAAAUAUCUGGUCCUUUAUAUCAAUGAGCAUAGUAAACUAGUGAAGAAGAAAUCUGUUGAGGAUUUAAAGGCCAUACACUCGGGAUCUGGUAGGCGUUCUUCAAUUCGGUGUGUUUCAGCUGGGCAUCCUGGCCGCUUAUUACAAAGCAAAAGUUAGUCGCUAUAGGAGGAAAAUAAAUGAUGAUAUUUAAACUUUGAAGAAGAGAGCGGCCAGCUUUAUCUCAAGAACUUAAAGCUUGUGGAACAAAUGUUCUUCUCUGAAGCUAGGGUAGUCUAACUUGAGAAAGAGUUGGCCAAUAUUAAGGAAGAAUUGCCACCCAAAAAAUCUCUUAUGAUUCUCAGUUGGAAUAACUUCAAGCAGUUCACCAGGACUAGAUCAAGGCUUUAGAAAAUGAGGUUAAUGACAACUACAAUGAGGGGUUUAAACACUCUUAUCGGUGUAUUACGACUGCCUCGAGAAGCAACAUCUUGACCUAAAAAUGGAUGAACUGGCAGUCGAUAUUAUUUAAUAUAUGAAGGAACAAGCAACCAAAGAAAACGCAGAAAAAAGAGGCCCUGCUGUAACUAGCGAAACCACCACUCCUCUUAUUGCAGCUGGCGAGACUACUAUUCCUCCUACUAAAACUAGCGAGACCCCGACUCCUCCUCUAACUAGUGACAAUUCAUCGAGAGUAAACCCUCUCGUAAACACUUAAAUUUCUUAGAUGUGACAAAUUAUCUCUUUUAAUCAACAGACCUUUUGUACAAUGUUGUACUUCUUUUUCGUUAAUGUUAUAAAUGUUUUCUUGCCCUUCCAAAUUUUCAUGAUUGAUUGUAUGCUCGUCCUGUUGCUAAUGAACAAAUGUUGGUAUAUUUUGACUUUGGUCACACCUCGAGGAGGCUUCGAGACUAAAAGUCUUAUAUUUGACUUAGAAAUUUAUUUAUGUAUGAUUACCUAUUUGCCUUCAGUUGGUUGAAUAGGUUUUGGCAAAUUUGUCGUUUUAUCUCGCCUUGAGGAGGCUUUGAGACUUAAAGGCUUAUACUUGCAUUAAAAAAUAUUUAUGCAUCAUUGCCUGUUUACCUUCUUGGUUGAGCAGGUUCUGGUAAAUUGGACUUUUUAUCUCGCUUUGAAGAGGCUUUGAGACUCAAAGUCUUAUACUUGCUUUAGAAAAUAUUUACACAUGAUUGCCUGCUUGCCUUCAAUUGGUCAUGCAAGUUCUGGAAAUUUUGACUAUUUAUCUCACGCCGAGGAGGUUUUGAGACUUAAUGUCUUAUACUUACCGUAGAAAAUAUUAACGUAUAAUUGUCUGCUCACCAUCACUUGGUUGAGCAGGUUUUGGCAAAUUUGACUUUUUAUCUUGCCUUGAGGAUACUUUGAGACUUAAAGUCUUAUACUUGCCUUAGAAAAUAUUUAUACAUGACUGCCUGCUUGCCUUCGCUUGGUUGAGCAGGUUUUGGCAAAUUUGAAUUUCCAUCUCGCUUCAAGAAGGCUUUGAGACUUAAAAUCUAUGAUUUGCCUUAGAAACAUUUAAUACAAAACAAGGGGAAUAAUCAAAUGAAUGGAUUUUACUGCACCCAUCUUAUUUACAACUCUAUGAACUACAAACAAAGUAAUUUAAAGAUACUAAUUCGUUAAGAAAUUCGACCAUCUAAUUUCAUGAAAACUUUACUGAAAGUACUUCUUUAGUUGCUCUGCAUUCCAGGAUUUCUUGACUUUUCAUCCAUCUGCGUAGGCAAGCUUGUACACUCUUAGUCUAACUGCCCUUAGAACUUUGUAAGGUCCUUCCCGGUUGGGGAUGAGCACUCCAUGGUUUAGAUAUCUGGUGCUUUGAUUUAUCUUUUUGAGCACCCAAUCAUUACUUUUGAAUUGUUGUACUCAAAAGUUCUAAUUGUAAUAACAAACAAUCCUUUGUUGAUAGACUGUUACUCUUUUUAAGGUAACUGAUCUCUUAUUGGCGAGCAAAUAUAGGUUUAAGCACAUCUGUUGUUGUUUUUGUCCUCGUUAAGGCUCCUUGUCCGGUGAGUACUCAUCCUGUUUUUUGCUGGCGCGACUACCUAAUAACCAAAAGCUAAUGCAGAAAGGAUCCCACCUGUGGUGUUCUUAUGAGUAGUUCUGUAAGCCUAAAGAACACCGGGAAACUUCUCGACCCAUGCUCCCUUUUUCUCCCAUAAUCGAGUCUUCAAGAGUUUUUUAAUAGCUUUGUUUGCUGCUUCUACUUAUCCAUUUGCCUUCGAAUGAGCUGGCGAGCAAAAUCUUAGCUUGAUGUUUAAGCUCUUGUAAAAAUAGUUAUAGCUGUUAAAUUGUUUACCGUUAUUUGUUAUGAGGUUAUAAGGGAUUCCAUAUCUGCACAGGAUGUUCCUUUAAAUAAAGUCAGUCGUCUUCUUCUUUGUUAUCCUACUAAACGACUUGAUUUCGACCUACUUCGUGAAAUAAUCUAUUGCCAGAAUAAUAUGAGUGGCGGCUCAUCGCCCUUUCAGUAAAGGCCUAAUCAGGUCUAUUUCCCCACUAAGCAAAUGGCCAUAGUUUUUUCUGGCGGCUGUGCUAGAUAACAAGCAAAGCUUUGCCAACUCUUGCAGCUCCUGGUCUUUUCUUGUGCAUUUUGACCAUCAUUGGCUAGAAAUAUCCUUACCUUAGUGAAAUACAAGUAUGCAACCCAAGAGGGGGGUGAAUUGGGAUUCUAAAAAUUAUUCAAUUUAUAAAGAAAAACUUACUGCAAAUAUAAUCCAAAUUCAAAGCAAUAACAAUUAAGUUGAUCACAAUAUAAAGAGAUAAGGGAAGAGGGAUUCAAACACAGAGAUUUUUACGUGGUUCGGCCAACCUCGCCUACAUCCACGCCUCCAAGCUUUCUGGGCUUGAGGAUCCACUAAGCAAGCCUCCAAGGCUUCAAAUGCUUACACUUGACUUCCAAGGUGUCAAUAAACCUUUACAACAAGAGAUUAUCCCCAAUCUCUUAACCCAAGUGUAUCCCAACACUUACAAUCACUCAAAGUAAAAGAUUACAAAUUGAUUUGCCUCUCACAAUAUAUAGGAUUACACAAUGGUGCUUAAUAUGUGAAUAGAUGAAGCAAGAAUGUGUUCUAAGCUCUAUGAAGAUUGUAUUCUCGAAUAUUAGCUCAAUGGUCGUGUUGUGAUAAACUUUCUUUGAAUUUGAAUGAGCUAAAUGGUUAACCGUUUCGGUUGGUCAAAGUUACCAUUGGGCCAGAUUUCAAAUAAACGGUUUGCCGUUUAGGAUUAACCUUUUGCCGUUAAAUUCUAGAGACCUGCAAGAUGAACAUUAGUUAUCCGUUUACACUAAACGGUUAAGGACUUGCAUAAAGUGACUUCUCUGGAUAUUAUCGGUUAACCGUUUUUAAUAAACGGUUAGCCGUUUGUCUCCAGUAACCUGCAAACAAUUUAGCCUUAUCAGGUUUUGUUACUUAGUGCCAGAGGAGAACAACCUUCAAUUCUGGACGUUAUCAGUUAACCAUUAAAAAUAAACGGUUCACCGUUAAGUUCCAGUAGCCUUCUCAUCUUUUGAGUUUUCCGUCUUUCAUAAACGGUUAGAGCUUUAGGCAUUAUGUUGCUCUCUGGAAUUAAUCGGUUAACCGUUUAAAUAAACGGUUUACCGUUAAGUUCCAGUAACCUUCCCAUCUUUUGUGUUUUCCAUUUUUUAUAAACGGUUAGAGGUUUAGGAAAUAUGUUGCUCUCUGGCUGUUAUCGGUUAAUCGUUUAAAUAAACGGUUCACUGUUUAUAACCAGAAUUGCAUUUUAAACUAGUUUUUGCAGAGAAUCUUUUUCUAAUUUGAAAGUCCAUCUUUUAUGAAGAAUGAAUGGAAUGAUUACUAAGGCUUUCGUUUAUUAGGAAAUAGCUCCAAUAUUUUUAUCAAAAACCAUUUAAAAUUUGUUAUCAUCAAAAUCAAUAUUAUUAACAUAUUCAUGUUAACACUUAGGGCUUUGAAGGCCAACGAUCUCGCCCCUAAGUGAUUUUCGCAAACUCCUUCAUGUACAUCCCUCUGCACAUAAUAUGCCUCAUCUUCAUCCAAGCAUAGUAAAAAAGGUAAGGUAUACCCUCGCCUAUACAACACCCUAUUAAUCAACGUAUAUUUAGACAAUUAACAUUUGAGUUUUCAUGCUCGCAUCUUAUCUGCUGGUAAUGUUCUAUCUUGAAUAUAUGAAAUUAUCAAAUUCAUCCAUGCGUUUCGCCCAUCUAUCCACUUUUUUUCUGAAUCCUGCUCGAUAUGGGGAGAGGCUUUAACUUCAAUGGGAAUGGACUUUGGCAUCCUUGCAUCUGUUGUAACAGCCAUUCUAGCUAAGAUAUCUGCUCAAUAAUUAUUUGCCCUUAAGAUCUACUCCACGUCAACUAGUCAAACUUCUCAAUUAUUUGUCUAGCCUUCUUUAAGUAUUGUUGUAUCUUUUCACCCCAAGGUUGAAAGUUCUCAUUGCAAUGGUUAGCAACAAGCUGAGAAUUUGUUUGAACUCUCACUUUGCUUGCUCAAGCAGCCUAGGCCAACUUCAAUCCCACUAUGAAGGCUUUGUAUUUUGCUUGAUUAUUGGUUGCCUUAAAUUCAAACCUUAAGGCAUAAGAGAUUUAUUCUCCAUCGAGACUUUCUAAGAUCACUCAUGCCCUUACUCUUUCCUCGCUUGAAGAGCCAUCCACCGUUAUCAGCCAGACUUUAUCCCCAUUACUCCUAGUAACCGCCUGAUCACCACUAGCUUUCGUGUAUGGUUUUGUGAGUUCUACUAUAAAAUUCGCUAAUGCUUGUGCUUUGAUUGCUGCUUGGGGUUUGUAACUUAUAUCGAACUCACUUAACUCCACCGAACACUUCACCAAUCAUCCGAAAACCUCUGGUUUAUGUAUUGUGUGUUAUAACAGUUGAUCCGUAAUCACGACGAUUGAAAAGGCCUAAAAAUAUAGCCUUAGUUUUCAAGCAGCAACAAUAAGGUGAAGGGCCCAUUUUUUCAUCAUCGAAUAUCUAGUCUCAGCAUUGAGCAGGACUUUGCUAGUGUAGUAAAUCAGAUAUCCAGCCAUCGAAGGCACCAUGCGGGGCACCGGUGCUGUUCCAAUGGAAGCAUGAUGGCUCACUUCGACUCUGCAUCAACUACCGAGCCCUUAACAAAGUGACCAUGUAGAACAAGUAUCCCAUACUACUGAUUACAGACUUGUUCAACCAACUUGGAUACGCCAAGUGCUUCUCCAAGCUUGAGCUUAGAUCGGUAUAUUACCAAGUACGGAGUGCAGAGGGAGAUGAGCUAAACACCGCUUGUGUGACGAGAUAUGGGGCGUACGAGUUCAAAGUCAUGCCUUUUGGCCUCACCAACGCUCCAGCCACAUUCUACAUGCUCAUGAACUGUAUAUUCCAGCCAUACCUUGAUCAGUUUAUGGUGGUGUAUCUUGAUGACAUUGUGGUUUACAAUGGCACCUUAGCAAAGCAUGCCGAGCACUUGCGAGUUGUGUUCAGGGUGUUGCGGGACAAUGAGCUGUUUGUUAAGCGGGAGAAGCGUUCGGUCGCUAAACUGGAGGUUGAUUUUCUUGGCCACAAAAUCAGAGAUGGGACGUUGCUCAUAGACAAGGCUAAGGUCCAAGCCAUUGCGAAAUGGGAGCCGCCCUAGAAGGUGACCGAGUUGAGCUAUUUCUUAAGCCUUGCCAACUACUACCGGAGAUUCAACAAGGGUUAUUCUGCCAUUGCUGCACCACUCAUCGAUUUGCUCAAGAAGAGUAACAAGUGGGAAUGGAUGGAGAGGAGCCAACAAGCCUUCGAUGCCCUCAAGAAGGUCGUGACGGAAGAGUCGGCACUAGCGCUACCAAACCAUGCCUUACCAUUUGAGGUACACACAUAUUUUUUUGAUUUUACUAUUGGGGGUGUACUGAUGUAAGCUGAACAUCCUAUAGCCUUUGAAAGCUAAAAACUCAACAAUACUGAGCGGUGAUAUACAGUAUAAGAGAAGGAGAUCACUGUGAUAAUGCACUAUUUACGCACAUAGAGGCACCACUUGCUUGGGUCCAAGUUCAUGGUGAAGACGGACAAUGUAGCGAAGAUGAACAUCCCAUAGCCUUUGAACACCAAAAGAAACUAAGUCUGAAACAAGCGAGACGGCAUGAUUUCUUGGCUGAGUUCGACUAUGUACUGAAGUAUAAGCCAUGAAGGGCCAAUUUAGUAGUGGAUGCCUUAAGUCGGAAGGUCGAGCUUGUUGCCAUGAGCCGGAUACAAAGGGAGCUUCUUACGCUCAUAAAUGAGAGAACGUAGCAUGAUCCCUUAGCCAAACGACUGGUUUCCCUCGUGCAACAGAGGAAAUCGAAGAGAUUUUGGGUUGAGGAUGGUCUUUCGUACUCCAAGGGACGAUGUGUCUAUGUUCCAAAGUGGGGAAACUUGAUGCAGAACUUGAUCAAGGAGUGUCAUAACACCAAAUGGGCUAGACACCUAGGACAAAGGCGGGAACGAGCCUUGCUUGAGUCGGCAUACUAUUGGCCUCAGAUGUGGGAUGAGGUGGAGUAGUUUUUACAGACAUGCUUAGUGUGCCAAUAGGGCAAAGUGUAGCAACAAUGUCCCGCAGGGUUACUUGAGCCACUGCCCACACCGAAUCGAUCGUGAGAAAGCACAUCGAUGGAUUUCUUCACUUGUCUUCCAAAGUUCGAGGGGUUUGCGACUAUUGUUGUGGUGGUGGAUUGCUUCUCCAAGUAAGCCACUCUCAUUCCCGCCCCGAAGGAGUGUACAAUAGAGGACUCAUCCAAGCUUUUCUUUAAGCUUGUGGUGAAGUAUUGAGGACUUCCAAAAUCCAUCAUUAGCGACUGUGACAAUUGGUUUACAGGGAGGUUUUGGACUGAGUUGUUCAAGCUCAUGGGGUCGGCACUGCACUUCUCUACGAGAUUUCACCCACAGACCGAGGGGCCAACGGAGAGAGUGAAUGCCUUAUUGGAGUUGUACUUGUGGCAUUUUGUAAGCACCAACCAGCAUGAUUGGGCGAAGUUGCUGGACGUGCCUAAUUUUUCUACAACUUGCAAUGGAGUGAGGUUACUUCGAGGAGCCCUUUCGAGGUGAUCAUGGGACAGCAGUUGCUAACGCCAUGCACACUUAUCACAGGCUACACUGGGAGGUGUCAUGCAGCAUACUAGGUGGCUAAAUCGUGGCAUGAGCAAGCGGACAUAUCACGGGCGCACCUUGACAAGGCGAUCAAGUGGAUGAAGAAGUAGGCGGAUAACAAGUGUAGACAUUUGGAGUUCAAUGUGGGGGACAUGAUGCUAGUGAAGAUCCUACCAUCCCAACACAAGUCUACCCGUUCACUAUACAAGGGCCUUAUUCGGAAGUAUGAGGGUUCAUUUCCCAUCAUCAAGAAGGUCGACAAUGUGUCAUACAAGCUAGAGUUGCCCUCUUAGAUAAAACUCUAUCUGAUCUUCCAUGUGAGUUGCUUAAAGCCAUACCAUAGGGGUACCAAAGAUCCGAAGUGGGGAGAAUUUAAGCGCCCUCCACUCGGCAAUACGAGGGCGUAUGACAAAGAAGUGGAGACCAUCUUGGCCGAUCGAGUGGUUUGGAAGAAGAGUUUUCCGCCAUGCCAAGACUACUUUGUCAAAUGGAAGAGACUACACGAGAGUGAAGCAAGUUGGAAGCUCGCAAAAGAUUUUUGGUAGUUUUAAGACAAAAUCAAAGACUUCCACAGCGAGUCGACGAGGACGUCUCCGGAUUAGGAGGGGGAGAAUGUCAUGGCCAAAGCCUCUAAGUAACAUGGACUGGACCCAUGGAUGAUUAUAGACUUAUGUAGUGUGUAGAUAUUUCUCAUGUACUUAUUAUAGGUAGGUGGUAGGUAGUAGUUGAGCAUUAACCUACUCUAUUGUACUCUAUAUACAAGAGGGGCCUCAUUUGGCCAAUACACACAAGACAUAACAAACAAAACAACAUACAUAGCUUGUAAGUAUUUUAUCGAGCAAUAUAAGUCCUUUCCUCUUAUCUUGUGUGAGUUUGAGUGAAUACACAUUUCGAUUUUCGAAUCCAGUAACAGAUUUGAGUGUAUGGCUGACUUAGGGCCAAGAGAGUGUGAAUUUAAUGCAUAAGGCUGCAAGUCACAGCGUGGGAUAUAACUAGGCCAUUAAACAAGGCAAAAGAAAGAAAAGAUUUUUCACUCUAUUUAUUAUGCCAGCAAGACUUUUGCAUAUGAUAAAUUCAUGGCUUAUUUGGUUGGCACCAAAGUGACUGUUUAUAUAGAUCACUCGGCUAUAAAGUAUUUGAUUUCAAAGAAGGAUGCCAAACCAAGGUUGAUUACGUGGAUUCUAUUGUUACAAGAGUUUGACUUAGAGAUUAAGGACAAAAAAGGUACUGAGAAUCAAGUAGCAAAUCAUCUUUCAAGGCUGGAAGUAGAUGAAAGCACUCUGACCUAGCAACAUAUCACAUAAAUAUUUCCUGAUAAGCAAUUGUUAAUGCUACAACACUCUUAAAUGUUGCAGCAAUUUGGAUUUCCAUGGUAUGUAGAUUUUGUUAAUUAUUUGGUGAGUGGACUAUUUCCACCUGAUUUAAGUUAUCAGCAGAAAAAGAGGUUUCUUUAUGAUGUAAAAAGUUAUUUGUGGGAUGAGCCUUACUUGUAAAAGAUAUGUUCAGACCAUGUAAUCAGAAGAUGCGUACCAAAUCAAAAAAUUUCAAACAUCAUGCAAUCUUGUCAUCCUGCAGCAUAUGGAGGACACUUUGGAGGGCACAAGGCAGCAACAAAAGUCUUUCAAUCAUAUUACUACUAGCCCUAUAUUUUUAAAAAUGCUUAUGAGUUUGUUAAAUAUUGUAACAGGUGUCAAGGGGCAGGGAACAUGUCUGAAAAGCAUUAGAUGCCACUCUCAAAAGCAUGAGUAGCCCAAAGCUAUUGAACAUAUUGAAACCCCACCAAUUAGUCCAGCUCAGAGCUAGAAAAAGAAACAACCAGCUGCUAAAUCUUUAGGUUCACCUAAGGAACAUUCGCGAAGUACAAAUAAGAAGAAGUGAACCUUUUUCAGCAAGAGCUGCGACAAAACAUCCAACAACAAGGGAGUAUCCCCUGCCAACCCAAUUUAAUUUUCCAACUUCUGAAACGUUUCUUUUCUUUUAUUUAUUUUCGAUUCUUUAUUUUGUAUUUCUUUAUUGUUAGUGUAUGCAUGUUUGUCUUUGCUUUAUGUUGUGUACUUGUGAGGACACAACACCUCUCAAGUUUGAGGGGGUUGUCCUACAAUGUAAUGUGUUUAUUAAUGCAUGUGUUUGACUGUUUGUGUUAUGUGUGUAGCUCUGUUAUCCAGUAGUUGUUAGUGGAUUAUAAAACCCAAUGAGGAUAAAUUGUGUGUUAAAUGUGAGAAUGAACGACUGCCAAGUAAGGAUAGUUUAUAGAUGAAUGUUGAAGCUCUCUCUUUACCAUUAGGCUUUGGUUGAGUUUGUGAGUAUACUGUAGCAAAGCCAGAAAGACCAAAAAAGUUAGAAAAUAUCUCAAGUUUGGGGGGGGGGGGGAUUUUUUAGAUUUAUCAUAAAUUAUGCUUCAAUGGCUUAAGUUGCUGAGUAAUCAAGGCUGAGUAUGUACCCUAUAUGCAGACUUAAGUAAAAAGGCAGUAAGAGCUAUGAGCAUUACUAUAGCAACUAAAACAAAAACAAAAAAGAAAAGAAAAAAAGAGAAAGGUCCUCUGUCUAAGAUAUUGAGUAGUCAGGUCUGUUUAUGAGCCCCGUGUUCAGCCUUAAGUUAAAAGUGUCUAUAGAUAAGACUAUAUUAUAACAUUGCUGCAACAACUUUGAUAUGUACAUUGGUUAAGUAAUUGGGUGCCAUUAUUACAAGUGAUAGACAUUCACAUGAAAAAUCAAUAAUGAUACAUUAAAGAGAAUUUGACUAAAUAAAAAGAAAAAAAAACUUUGUUGUAGCACAGUUUAAACCUAUUUGUGACUUCUACUUCCUUAGAUAUGAAUGUACUUAGGUUCUAUCUUUGAGUUAUGUGUAAUGUCUGUGUGAUGCGGCAGCACCUAUAGAACUUGAAUAAAGUGACACACACUGUAAUACCCCAAAUUUCCUAAGGGUAUUUAAGUCUUUUUAGUUUUUAGUGAUCCCUUUUACCCUAGUAUAAAUAGAACAAGAUGUCUUUUCCAUUAUGAGAGAGGAAGAAGGAGAAAUCCGCUAAGACAAAAAAAAAAUGACAAAAGAGAGAGAAGAGAUAGAGAGAAAAGAGAGAAAAGAAAAGAAAAAGAGAAGAAGAAAGUCUUCUUCUUCUUCUUCUUCUUUGUUCUGCCACGACAACACAUGAGAUCAAAUUGCAUAAUUUGAAUUGCGUAUUGUUGAGAGAAGAUUUGGAUUUGCAGGUAAUUUUUAAUUCUUGGUUUUUAUUAAUUCGUUAUGGAGAAGUAUGAUUGCAAUAGAAGUAGAAACUUAAGAUUUUAUAGAAAUAUGCUGACAGUGAAUUAUUACGAAAAUUAUAGUAAUUUGUACAAAUUGAUUUUGAUUCUGAUUUUUGGAUAUGUUAAACUAGACAUCGUCUAGAACGCUUUGCAACUUGUUUCAAGUUAAUCGGAUAAGAUUUCAAUUAAUUAUGAUUUUUCAAAGUCAAGUCUGAAAACCUGGAAAUUUAUGAUUGCAAUGAAUAACGUGAAUUGCGAAAUUAGUUUUACCAUAGCUAGACUUCUUCAAAACUUAUGAAAUCUGGACCAAUGAUUUUUAUAUAUGGCUAGUAUGAUUCUGUAAUUUUUCAUGAUUUUAUGAUAACGAAAUAAAUUGUUUUGUAUUUUUAAAGCAAGUGUGUUCAAAACAGAAAACUGUUUGACAAUAUUGAUGAUGUGUGAAACAUCAAUUAUUUUCAAUCGUUUUUGAAGGAAUUAUGUUAUGAAGUUUUUAUCAAUGAACUUUCAAUGUGUCAGCAUAUGGCCUGUAAAAUUUUAGAUUAUUCCAAUAAGGGAAUAAUUUAUUACAAAUCAGAGAAUAUGGACUGUUAUGUUUUGAGGGCCGAUAAUUGAGAACAUUUGAGGUUGAGCUUAGGAGUUGUUUAAAUUGAGAUAUUUGAGGACAUUAGAGUUUAUGAUUGAGAUUUGAUUAUAUAUUAUGAGGAUUUAUUGAUGAUUUUAGGUUGAUGAUAUCAGUACGCAUUUGUUACAUGAGGAUGCCAAGAGGUAAGUAAACUAGACUUUAAAAUGAAUCACAAUAAACAAUACAUAUGUUUGACUUGUAUGAAAGGCCUACUUUGAUAUGUACGAAUAUGGAUUUAUAUGUCUCUGCUAAUGUGUUUAUGUGAUGUGUUGCUAUGUAUUGGGCGUGAUUAUGUACAUGGGCAUAUGUAUGUGUGAUGGUUCAUUGGUAUGAGCACGAAAAUACAUUGAGUUUUCUAUGAAUGAGAAAGUGGAUUUUAGCAAAUGAGAAUUCUGUUUUAUGAGAUUUUGCAUUGGGGGCCACCUCUUGAGACUAUGCGGGGGCCACCUCUUGAGGGUCAAAGCGUCGCAAAGUGCCACACAUGGUGGAAAGUGCCACGCACAGCACAAAGUGCCACAAUUGCAGAAUAUGUAUUUCAAUGAAAGAAAAUAUGAAAGUUUGAAAGCGACAGAAAGAGAUUUUGAUGAAUUUAUUUUACAAUAUUUCCAAAAGAUCAUGACAUAUCAUCCAUCUGCAUUAUGUAUAAGUAUGUAUGUACUUUCGUAUAAGAAAAACUAGUUUGCUUACUGAGUUUUAUACUCAUUAUAGUUCAUUGUGAUUCAGUUUUCAGAAGUCAGGAUUGAUUCGUGAUGAGUGAGAAGUUGAAGAUGGUAGAUGGUUCGGCUAAAUUUUUAAGUUAUUCCGCUAACUUUUGUAUUUGAGGCUCGAAUUUUAUCGUUUGUAAAGAGUUAUUUAAAUUCAUAUGUGAGUUGUGGUCAGAUUUGCCCUCGGAGUUCGGGCUGGGUGUUACACACACACUUUGGACAGUGUAAGGCCUAUGUCUUGAGUUUUAGAAAAUGUAUAUUUAUAAAGGAGAAAAUCGUCAUUUUACAUUUCAAGUUUUACUAACAACUCUUACUUUUAUGUAUUUAAACUUCUUGUAAUUUAAUUAUGUGUGUUUUAUUUUAAUUAAGUAUUUUAUGUAUUUUAGGGGCAUCAUAGUCAUUUCACAAUAAACGAGAGAUCAGACGGUAAAACAGACAUCACUUUUGAACUCAGGACGGUCGAAAACCUUAGGAGAAGCAUAAAAGAAAAAAUGGCAUUAUUCACAUGUACGGUACUGUCUACAUUACUGUUCAUGACAUUGUUCACAUACACGGAUCGAUGGCAUGGCAUUGACUGAUGAGGUGUCACGAUCCUAUUGGACUAAAAUUCUUAUGCACUGUUGAUUGGUGACGUGGCAGCAUAUCAAUGGAUCAAAAAUCGCGCGUACGGUACAUGCAUCACACAAGAUUAUUUUCAACCAAACCGCGUCACUGUUCAAUACGGGUCAAAAUCGUGUUACUGUUCAAACCGCGUACUGUUGACUGAUGACGUGGCGUAAUUCUAAGCGUCCAAACUGUUUUUAAUCCGAUGGCCAUGAUUUACUCAAUGUAUCUAUAAAAAGGGGGGCUCCCCCCCCCCCCAAUUUGAUAUCUCUGAAUCCAUUUUUAAACUCCAUUUUAUGUAAUUCCUUCUCUAUCUUGUAUUUUCUACAUAUUUUAAUAAAUUUCUAUUUUGCCCCUUGUUCAAUUAUGAGUAGCUAAUUUUCUUUCAAGCUUGGGUUGAAAGUGAAGUCUCAACAUGUGUCAUGGGUUUUAUUUGGUAAAUUUAUUUUCUCUUCCCCUCUAGGUUUUGUGGAUGUUUUGACUUCUCGUCGACAAAUAAUAAUAAUCUUGUCUAGAUACCGCCCUGGUUUCACCGGCUCCCUAGUACAAGGUUAUUAUUAUUUGGCACGAUAAGCCCUUAGCACCAUAUUGAUUAGAGUGUGGUUCAUGAGGUGUGGAUUCCCCCCUCAUGAUUUAAUUGGCAUUAAUAAGGAAUAUUUAACCCAUGGUGCAUGUUGAUACGGAUCCAGCUACCCAAGUGCCACAUUUCAAUAGAAUUCUCUUCAAUUUAUUCUCGCCAUUUCAAUUCCAAAUUUAAGAUAAUCUAAGUCACUUUCACCACAAAUCCAACCGCCCUCAUACAAAAUUAAUUCUACAUAUAAUUAAAAUCCACCUCCUCGCGAGAUCGACACUCGUCACCAUUAAUCUAUUCUACAAUAGAUUUAUGCACUUGCGAGUUCAAUAAAAUUUGCACAACAAGUUUUUGGCGCCGUUGCCGGGGAGGUAAGUUAUUUUAAUUUUUAGAAUUAAUUUUUGUGAAUAAUUUUUUUUAUUUGUUUUCUUGUAUUUUUUUAUUAAAAAGAAAAGCAAAAAAAAAGUGAAUCUGCAUUUAGAGGUUAGUAUUUCUUUUCUUUUUCUCUUUUUUAAAAUUCUGUAAUUUAAUUUUCAAGUUAUUUUUUUCUUCUUUGUAAUUUUUUUUUAUCUUACUAAUUUUUUUUAGUUAAUUUAUUUUACGUAUUUUUUUUUUGUGUGUAUUUUUAUAGUAAGGUUGUAAUAACGCGAUAAGGUUAGUACCGUAAUUUCUCCUUCUUCUUUAUUUUUUAUUUGUUUUGUUCUCAUUUAUUUUUGUGUUUCUUGCAUGCAUGAUCGUAGGUCGUUAUUACCUAAUCUUGAACCUAUAAACCUUGAACUAGAAAAAAUACUUCGCACAUACAAGCACGUUAAAAAUAAAUUUGAAAUGGAUUUGCAACAACAACAAGCACCACAUGAGAGGCCAUUUAAGGACUAUUUUAGUCCCUUAGCUAAUUUGAGUACAUCAUGUAUAAGAUACCCAAAUGUAGCUGCUAGGAGUUUUGAACUAAAACCUAGCAUGCUAAAUUGUCUCCCAACAUUCUAUGGCCUAGAAAAUGAGGACCCAUAUAAUCAUUUGAAUGAUUUUCAUGUUGUUUGUCAAACAUUUAAAUAUGAGAAUUUUUCAGACGAUGAUGUUAAACUCAAAAUUUUCCAUUUUCUCUAAAGGAUUGAGCUCGUUUAUGGCUCAAUACAUUGCCUGCCAAUAGCAUUACAUCAUGGGAAUAAAUUGUAACUAAAUUUUUGAAUAAAUAUUUCCCAGUGCAUAAAACCAAUGCUAUUCGCAGGGAAAUCUCGGAGUUUACCCAGAGAGAAGACGAGCAGUUUUUCGAAACAUGCAUUGAUUAUAGAAAGUUGAAUUCUGUCACACGUAAAGACCAUUUUCCUUUACCAUUUAUUGAUCAAAUGCUUGAUAGAUUAGCAGGCCAUGAAUUUUAUUGCUAAUGGCAACAAGUGGAGGAGAGCUAAUGUCAAAAAGUGCAUAAGAGAUUUGGGAAUUUUUCCAAUGACAAGCAGAUAAUCCCCAACAACGGAGUCGAUCACUCCGGAAUACUAGAAGAAUUAAGGGAGUAAAUGAGGUUCACAUUGGCGAGUCAACUUCGGGAAUCAAAGAAGUCAAGGAGAUGGUUGAAGGUCGCUCUCGACAAAUAGCAUCGUUAACGACUGCUACAUCAACAGAACCACAUGACCCUGACUCAUAUCCAGAUCAAGCCAAUGCUAUAGGUGCAAUGAGAAAACCAUCAAAUUACAACCCAUACUCCAACACAUAUAACCCUGGAUGGAGAGACCAUCCCAAUUUUUCAUAGUCUCAAGGAUUCUAAUAGAAUGGACCAGCAGCUCCAGCUCCACCAAUGCAACCAAUUCCUCAAGCCUCUCAGCCAUCAUUUAGACCAUACAAUUCGAACCAAAAUUACUCUCAACCCAGACCAUGGGAGGAUGCAUUCCAGAAUUUCAGGAAUGCUACUCACUCCACGAUUGAACAACAGAACCGCACCAUUGAUGGACUACGAAAUGAGUUGGGAGCAGGCUUCAACUCACAAGCUCAAUCAGUUUCAAGCCUCGAGAAGAUGGUGGAACAACUUGCUUAUUCAGUUCAGACCUUAGCAAUGACUAUUAAGAAAGGUAAAUUUCCAAGUCAACCAGUGCCUAAUCCUAAAGGAGUGCAUGAAGCAAGUACCAAUUCACCACAGCAGCAUGGAGAGGUCAAAGCAGUCAUGACCUUGCUAAAAGGAAAGGAAGACGACAACAAAGUGGAGAUACCGGUGACAAAACAAAAUCAAAUUGUAUAUGUGAAUGUUGAGGACUCAUCACCGGAGGAGAAAGAAGAAACCAACCUACGAGAAAGGAAAAUCCACAGGUGACAUUCUUGAAAUUUUCAAACAGGUAAGCGUUAACAUCCCUUUACUUGAUGCUAUAAAGCAAGUUCCAUCUUAUGCCAAGUUUCUUAAAGACCUUUGUACUAAAAAGAUAAAUAUUCAUGUUCAAAAGAAUGCAUUUUUAACAGAAAAAGUUAGUUCUAUACUCCAACACAAAAUUCCUCUAAAAUGCAAAGACUCAGGCUCCCCCACUAUCUCAUGUAGUAUAGGGAACCAAACAAUUGAGAAUGCUUUGUUAGAUUUAGGAGCUAGUGUAAAUCUGUUGCCUUAUUCAGUUUUCGUGAAACUUGGACUGAGAGAAUUACACCCAACUCCAAUGGUGUUACAGCUUGCAGAUCGGUCCACGAAAAUACCUCGUGGUAUUGUAGAGGACGUGCUUAUCUAGGUAGACAAGCUUUAGUUUCCUGUUGAUUUCAUUGUAAUUGACACUCAACCAAUAUGCAGUUGUCCUUCGACAACAUGAUUAUGGAGUUAAACAUCUUCAACAUUGCCAAAUAACCUCACAAUGUAGAUGAUAGAAUUAUCGAUGUGGAUUUAAUUGAAACAUUAGUUGAUAAUACUUUUCUUUUAAACCUUAGUGAUGACCCUUUACAAACAUGCUUAACUCACUUUGGUUUGGAUUUUGAUAUUGACAGGUCGGUCGAUGAGGUCAACGCCUUACUUGACUCAGCACUAUCCAUGGACACUAAUAAAUGGAAGUCAAGAGUUGAACAACUAGCACCAUCAGAGAAGAAACUCACCCCAUCAUCAGAAUAUAAAAGGUAUAAACCCAAUAGACUGCAUGCAUUACAUUCAUCUUGAUGAAAAUGCUAAACCUACCAGGGAAAUGCAACGUCGGUUAAAUCCUAACAUGAAAGAAUUUGUUAGAACCGAAAUCCUUAAACUAUUAGACGCAUGUAUCAUUUACCCAAUUUCUGAUAGUUCAUGGGUCAGUCCUGUACAAGUUAUCCCCAAAAAUUCAGGACUCACAGUAGUUACCAAGGCUGAUAAUGAAUUGAUACCCACUAGAGUGACUACAGGAUGACGUGUGUGCAUUGAUUAUAGAAAGUUGAAUUCUGUCACGCGUAAAGAUCAUUUUCCUUUACCAUUUAUUGAUCAAAUACUUGAUAGAUUAGCAGGCCAUGAAUUUUAUUGCUUUCUAGAUGGCUACUCAGGAUAUAAUCAGAUUCCUAUAGCACCAAAAGAUCAAGAGAAGAUCACUUUCACUUGCCCUUUUGGCACUUUUGCAUAUAGGAGAAUGCCAUUUGGAUUAUAUAAUGCACCUGCUAUAUUUCAACGAUGCAUGUUGAGCAUUUUUCUGAUAUGGUUGAACGAUUCCUUGAAGUCUUUAUAGAUGACUUUUCUGUUUUUGGUGAUUCAUUUUAUCAAUGUUUACAUCAUCUAACAUUAGUUCUGCAAAGAUGUAUCGAGAAGAACUUAGUCUUAAAUUGGGAGAAGUGCCAUUUUAUAGUAAAACAAGGUAUUGUUCUCGGUCACGUCAUUUCGAGCAAAGGUAUUGAGGUUGACAAAGCCAAAGUGGGUCUCAUUUCUAAUCUUCCUCCACCUAAAACAGUCAGAGAAGUGAGAUCUUUCCUUGGGCAUGCUGGUUUCUAUAGACGUUUCAUUAAAGAUUUUAGUAAAGUUUCUAGACCCUUAUGCAAUUUACUUGCAUAGGAUGUACCUUUUGUCUUUGAUGAUUCAUGUCUUGUGGCAUUUGAAAAGUUAAAGCAGUUGUUGACAUCAUCACCCAUCAUUCACCCCCUAAACUGGAGCUUACCAUUUGAGCUCAUGUGUGAUGCAUCUGAUUAUGCAGUAGGAGCAGUAUUAGGAUAAAGAGUUGAUCGAAUUCCCCAUGUUAUUUACUAUGCUAGUAUGACAUUGAAUGAUGCACAAUUGAACUAUUCAACUACUGAAAAAGAAAUGCUAGCGGUAGUGUUUGCAUUAGAGAAAUUCUGAUCUUAUCUCAUUCGUUGUAAAAUAAUUAUAUUCACAGAUCAUGCUACUCUUAAAUAUUUUCUCACAAAGAAAGAUGCAAAAGCUAAACUAGUUCGUUGGGUGUUACUUCUGUAGGAAUUCGACUUGGAAUUUAAAAAUAAGAAAGGCACAGAAAAUGUUGUGGCAAACCAUCUCUCUCGUCUCCAUUUUGACACAAUUACUGAACCUUUAACAUUGAAUGAGUCAUUUCCAGAUGAACAAUUGAUGAGUGUGGAAGUAUUGCCAUGGUAUGCUGACAUCGUGAAUUAUCUUAUUACAGGUCAACUUCCAGAGCAUUGGACCAAGCAAGACAAGGCCAAAUUUUUUGCAGAAAUAAAGAAUUUCUUUUGGGAUGACUCGUAUUUGUUCAAAUAUUGUGCAGAUCAAAUUGUUAGAUGAUGUGUCCCAGAAGUGAAAUUCAAAUAAUCGUUUCAUUCUGCCAUGAACAAGCUUGUGGAGGCCAUUUCAGUGCUAAGAAAACAACAACUAAAGUUUUACAAUGUGGUUUCUAUUGGCCAGCUAUAUUUUGAGACGCUUACACUUUCUGUUCUUCAUGUGAUAGGUGUCAACGAAUGGGGAGCAUUACACGAAGGAAUAUGAUACCACUAAAUCCAAUUUUAGUGGUUGGGAUUUUUGACGUAUGGGAUAUCGACUUCAUGGGACCCUUUCCUCAUUCUUUUAGCCAUCAAUAUAUAUUGGUUGUUGUUGACUACGUAUCGAAAUGGGUAGAAGCAAUUCCAUGUAGAACUAAUGAUCACAAGGUGGUGAUAGGAUUUUUGAAAAGCAACAUUGUUUCACGCUUUGGAUUCCCUUGAGCGAUAAUCAAUGAUAGUGGUGCCCACUUUUGUAACAAAGCAUUCAAAACUCUUUUGACAAAGCAUUCAAUCACUCAUAAAGUGGCGACCCCAUAUCAUCCGCAAACCAGUGGCCAAGUUGAGAUCUCCAAUCGAGAAAUAAAGCACAUAUUAGAAAAGACGGUGAGGCCAGACAGAAAAGAUUGGUCAUUAAGACUUGAUGAUGUAUUAUGGGCAUAUAGAACGGCUUUCAAGACCUCGAUUGGGAUGUCACCCUACAGGCUAGUGUAUGGAAAAGCUUGCCACCUACCCGUGGUACUCGAGCAUCAUGCAUAUUGGGCCAUCAAGAAAUUCAACUUUGACAUGCAGCAAGCUAGCUCAGAAAGAAGAUUACAACUGACAGAACUUGAAGAAAUUCGCAAUGAUGAAUACGAAAAUGCCAAGAUUUACAAGCAGCGAAUGAAAGUCUUUCAUGACAAGCAACUUAUGAGAAAAUCUUUCACUCCAGGUCAGAAAGUGCUUUUAUUCAAUUCUCGUUUGCACCUAUUCCCAGGUAAGUUACGCUCUCGAUGGUCUGGCCCAUUUAUUGUUCAUAUUGUUUUUCCACAUGGGGCAAUUGAAAUUAAGGACCUAAAGAAUGGUGUCACGUUUAAAGUUAAUAGUCAAAUAUUAAAGCCAUAUCUAGAAUACCAACCACAUGGAGAGGACACUGAAAUAAAUUUGAGUGACCCACCAGAUUUGAAUUAAGUUUGUUUUCUUUCCUUUCGGUGAUUUGAUUUUUUUUCUUCUUUCUUUCUUUUUAUUAUUCUUUUGCUAAUUAUUUUUGCAUCAGUGUGUUUGUUUAACCAUUAAGUUUUCUCUUAUUAUUGUUAAUCAUGAGUGUCAUAGCUAAACAGUUCCUCCUGAACAUUCUUAAACCACUUUAACGUGUAAAAUCUCAUCUCAAAAGAUAGAUUCGAUUUUGUAAGACACUUCGUAUUUGGGCUCUGCAACCACCAAAGUGAGUAUCCUAUGUUGAGGAUUUAGAAAGCCAACUCAGAGACAUUGAGAGAGGUGUCUACAACAUCUAGUUGGAGCUUGAGGUAAAUUCAAUAAGAGGACGAUUUUAAUUUUCUUUGUGUGUUUUAAUUUAUUUUUCUAUUUGUGUGCUUUAGUUUGUUACCCCGGUGAAGUGGCGGAUAACGGUACUCCGUGACAAUCAAGUCGGUUACUUCAGUUUCCCAUAAUAACUGAUAUUCUGAGGCGAAGGUAUGGACAUAAAUCAGAUCUUAGUAAAGCUUCACAAUCGAUUCCCUUCACUUCCUCAUAAUGCCCUCCUUACAAUCUAUAAAGCCCGGUCCGAACGCAUGUGAUUGCUCAUGAGGAAUAAUAUACCUGUUGACAUCCGUUGGUUAAUCGAGGCAAAAGUACGAUUGGCAGGUGAGUUACCUCCAAAAUUUAUUGCAUACAUGCCUGGUUAUGGUAAAGGAAAUUAUGCAAGAAAACGAAGAGCUCGAAAAAUUUAUGUUGCUUGUCAUAAGUGUGCCUGAAUGAGUUGCGAUAAAAAACCAUGUUCUUUAGGAAUGGUGUCUGAUAACAGGGAAGAUAAGAUUCAAUUCAUUAGGGAUGGCUUGAGUAAGGAGUCAUUGGAUAAUAUCCUUUUGUCUCUUGAAACGCAUCCCAAUGGAUAUGUGCAAGGAGCGAUUCUCCAGUUAUGGCCAUUAUUUCAGAAAGAGCAUGCACGAUAUAGUCUUGGGAAUCUGACUAUAAACGAUCCUGUUUGCCAGUUUAUAAGAAAAUUGGAUAGGAAGCCUAUCCUCGACCCAUAGAGGGCGUUCAAGCUGUUUCUGGACGUAAAACCAGAGGAAGAUGUGAGCCACAGUCGCAACUACCUGUAAAUAUCCUUUUACUUCACUGUUAUUUUAUUUCACUGUUGUUUUAUCAUUUGCAUUAUUGUCUUGAAUAAUUUUAUUUUAUCAUUGUUUCUUUUUCUUUUUACUGUUUCCUUUUUGACUCGCGAGCCAUGUGCUUUACACAUUAUUUGACACUGACAUGCUACCUCAUACACAGCUGUGACCCACUGUUACCAAGAUUCUUAAAUAUGAUUUUUUUGUCAAUCACUCACAAAUUAUUUUUGAGAAGUAUCCCAAUAGCAGCUACUCCCAAUAGACAAUUCAAGAACAUUUGUGUGUUUUCUGGAUUUAACUAUGGCAAACAUAAAGAGUUCGUUGAAGCAGCCAUAGAUCUUGGUCGAAGCAUAACAGAGAGAAAAUUACAUAUGGUGUAUGGAGGAGGUAACCGAGGGUUAUCAAAAUUAGUCUUAGAAGCUGUUUUUGUCAGAGGAAGUCAAGUGUUAGGCAUCAUCCCAAGAGCGCUAAAACCUUUGGGCAGUUUGUCUGACUCACCAACUGGAGAAGAGUUAGUCGUCUCAGAUAUGCAAGAAAAAAUAACUUAAAUGCUUAAUCAUGCUGAUGCUUUUAUUUUCCUUCCAGGAGAUCUUGCAACACUAGAGGCACUUAUCACACUAGCAUCUUGGGCCCAUCUGCACAUUCACCAGAAACCCAUCGGUUUGUUAAAUGUCAAUAACUUUUAUGAUGACUUUAUCGUAUUUCUUAACCAUGCAAUAAAAAAUUAUUUCAUUCCUUCCAAUGCGAAAAAACUUUUUAUUUGUGCUCACAUUGCUAAUGAGAUACUUGAUCUAUUACAAGCUUAUAAACCGGAGCCAGACCCCUGGACCUUUGUGUUAGAGCGUCUAAAUAAUGAUGGUAACAGUAGCUGCAGUAAGAAGUACAAAUUAGAUUUAACUCUCCACCUAUAAAUAUUUUUUUCUGUGUUGCACCACCCAGGUGAUGUCUUCUAAACUCUACUUCUUUCCUUUAAAAUAUUGAGGACAAUGUUUCGUUCUGGUUGGGGGGAGGGAAAAGUCGACAAUUGUGCAAUCUUGGUUGAGUUUUUACUAAUUUUUUGUUGUAGAAACUAAUUGUUGCUAACUUUUUAUGUUGAAGAUGGCUGAAUAUGGAGUGUAGUGACUCUGGAAACGCAUCCUCAUCGUUUGGAAAAAAAACAAAAAAAAAUUAAAAAACAAAAAAAAAGUUCAAACAUUUUCUUUUUCUUCAUUAAGUUUUGAUGUUCAUUUUUCUUCUUCUUUUUAAAUUAUCCUUUAUAAAUAUACAUUUACAAAUUUUUGAGUCGAAGAUGGCUAAUUGUGGAGUGUAGUGCCUCUAGAAACGCAUCAUCUAAGUUAAAAAAAAAAGAAAACCAUUUUCGUUUUCUAUCAUUUUAAGUGUAACUUUUCUAAUUAGUUUUUCUGCAUCAUUUUCACAUUUCUGCAUGCAUAUUUUCCUUUCAUGUUUAGAAUAGGUUGGGGGGUAGAAUGUUGUUUGAAAAAAAAAUUGUGUGAUUUGUUUUAACAUUGGAUGAUAUGAUGAAUUUUGAAUUUUAGUAUUUGUAUUAUCUCUGGUCUUAAGUGAUGUUACGCUAUGUUUGCUACUCUACAUGUUGAUGUCGGGAAAAAUAUGAGUUGCUUGAAGGAAUGAACAUGUCAUAAUAAGUACCAAGUAAGUUUUUGAGCCUAUCAUUUUUCUUGGAGAGUAACUAUUUUGCCCAUUCUUUAUACAGCUUAGCAAUUUAUUAUUUUAUACACGGUCUCUAGAUAUCUUUUGAGUUAACCCUUAAAAAAAAUUGUAAAAUUAAAAAAAAAAGAAGAAAAAAAAGAAGAAAAAAAUGUGUGUUGCUACAUUUGGAGGCCCAUCUAACUAGUAGAUAUGGAAGAUUAUUUAGAGCCCUAAAAGACAAUGGAAAUGCCAUCUUUGAUCCGUUUGAGCCUUUCUAGCCAUCCAUUUUGUGAAAUAUUAAUAGUUAACCCUUUUGAGCCUUUAAAAAAAAAGAAGAACAUUUUCUUUGUCAACUUAUCAUCAUGACCCACUUCGAUUUGGAGUAUUACCCGAUAUCUUAUAAGUUCCAUCACCUAUUUAUGUUUGAGAAAAAUGUAAAUAAUUAUUUUGUUAAGUGACGUUGUGCCAAAAAAAAAACAAAAAAAAAACAAAAAUUGUUGUUUCAAAAAGAAAAAAAAACAAUAAUAGGUGAAAUCUAUCUUCCAACUUUCAAAAAAAAAAAACUCUGCAUUUUUCUCAAACAUACACUUUGUUUUCCUUAUUUCCCUUCUUUGUUAGCCAUGUCUCUAACCUACAUUACGUCCUAAUAAAAGUCUUUCUUGAUUUUAGGGAACUAUAGUUUGAAGUAGAAGCUAGUUAUAUGGGCUAAAAAGAUGUAGUGGUGCAUAAAAAAAAUAAUAUAAAUAAAUAAAUAAAUAUCUUUGCCAUGACUGUUUGCAUAAUGGGGGAUCGACUUAAUUGGAGCGUUACCCAAAGGGCGAGGAGCAACUUCUAAUACUAUUGUGGCUAUAGAUUAUUUCACGAAAUGGGAGAAAGUUGAUGCUCUUAGUAAGAUCACGAAAAAGAAGACAACUGAUUUUAUUUGAAAGAACCUCAUAUGCAAGUAUGGAAUUCCUUAUGCCUUGAUAAUAGACAAUGUUAGGCAAUUCGAUAAUCACAACUUUAAAGAGUUUUGUCAUAACUUGGGUAUAUAACUGAAAUUUUGCUUGCCAACUCACUUGAAAGCCAACGGGCAGGUAGAGGCAAUGAACAUGACAAAAAAAAAAAGCUUUUGAAAGCUCAAUUAGGGAAAAAGAAUGGGACAUGGGUUGAUAAACUGUCACGUGUGCUCUAAGCAUAUAGAACCACUCAUAAGACUACCACAAGAGAAAAACAUUCGCCCUGGCUUUUGGUCAUGAAGUGAUGGUCCCUUCAGUGGGGUGACUACCCACCGAACGAAGUAUUUUAACGAGGAGGAAAAUGACAAGCAAAUUUGCUUAAACUUGGACUUACUAACUGAAAGAAAUGAGCUCGUGUCGAGAAAGGUAGUAGUUUACCAACAGAGAGUUGCUCACUAAUACAACUAGAAGGGUGAAUCAGAAUACCAGAGACUAAAGCCAGAGAGUAUUCAGUUUUAACUAGGAGGACGAGAAGCAGGGCCAAAGGCCUACAAGUUAGCUUAUACAAAUGCUCGCAAGGUCAAACGAUCAUGGAAUGCCGAGCACUUAAAGAAGUACUUCUAGUAAGCGUUCUCCGUAGUCAGCUAGUUAUUUUUUUUAUAAUUAUUUAAUGUUUAUGUUCAAUUUGUUUCUUAUACCACUUGAAGCCAAUUUAUUUCUUGUAAUUCCUGAAGUAUUGAAUAAUAUGAGCCAGAUAAAGUUCACUCAUUUAACUUUUUCUAUUUCUAAGGCAAGUAAAAGCUUGAAGUCUCAAAUCCUCCUCGAGGCGAGACAAAAGUCAAACUUGCCAAAACCUGCUCACUAAUGACAAGACGAGAGGUAGUUAAUUAUGUAAAUAUUUUCUAAGGCAAAAGAUAAAGCUUGAAGUCUCAAAGCCUCAUCAAGGCGAGACAAAAAGUCAAAUUUGCCAGAACUUGCUCAAUCAAGUGACGGCGAGCAGGCAGUAAAUUAUAUAAAUAUUCUCUAAGGCAAAUAUAAAAAUAUUUUAAGGUAAGUAAGGGCUUCAAGUCUCAAAAGAGGCGAGACCAAAGUCAAACUUGCCAGAAUCUGCUCGUUAAUGAUAAGAUGAGUAGGCGGUUAAUUAUGUAAAUAUUUUCUAAGUGAAGGCUUGAAGUCUCGGAGUCUUUUCGAGGUGAGACAAAAAGUCAAAAUUUUCAGAACCUACUUGAUCGAGCGAAGACAAGUAGGCCAUCAUGCAUUAAUAUAUUCUAAGGUAAGAAUAAUAUUUUUAAAUCAUAAAGCCUCCUCGAGGUAAGAUAAGUUUGAUAGGAUCUGCUCGUUAAUAAUAAGAUGAGUAGACAAUUACUAACGAAAACAUUCUAAGACAAGUGUAAAUUACGUAAGGCUCAAAGCCUCUUAGAGGCGAAAGCCAAUGUCUUCCAACAUAUGUUUAUUAGUGCUAAUCCGAGCAAAUAAUUAUUUGUGGGUAUUUAUAAAGACUAGGAAAUAUUCAUAACAUUGAAGAAAAAGAAGACAGUGUUUACAAAAAGUUAUUGAUUAAAAGAUAAACAUCUUAUUACAUUCAAGAUGGAGGGUCUAAGGGAGGAUCUGCUCUCAAUGAGUUGUCAUUAGUUGGAGGAGAAAUGGGAGUCUUGCCAGUUGCACCAAGAGGAGUGGUGGCCUUACUAGCAGUAAUAGAAGGAAUGGCCUUACCGGUUACAGCAAGGUCUCUUUUUUCCACAUCCCCUUUAGCUACCUACUCAUUUAUACAUUUAGUCACACCAACAGCCAACUCGUCCAUCUUCAGGUUGGGGUAUUGCCUCUCAAGGACGACCAUAAUACACCGAUAAGAGUGUCAGAGCCCCUCCUUAUAAUUAUUGUCGACCUCCUUUCCCAGGGCUUCAAUCAAAUUCAGGUGGGCUCCUCGAAGAAACUCUAACUAAGAUUUAUAAAAGUCCUUAUGGGUCGCAAGCUCUUCCUUAAUACUAGCCAGUUCCUUCUUGAGUUCAACCGCCUUGGCUUCAGAGAGAGACAUUUGCUCUACGAGCUUUAAGUUCUCGAGAUUAAGCUCUCUUAAUCUUUUUUUGGCCGACUCUUUUUUUAGCAGCUUGAAUGCCAUCCUUAAUUUUUUUGUCAUAAUGGCCAACUUUUACUUUGUAAUAAGUGGCCAGGGAGCCUAGUUAGAAUACACCAAACUAAAGAGCUUCUACCAACUCCCCAAGUGUACGAUCGUCGAAAUCCUCAAGGUCUUUCUUCUUUAUGAGCCUGCAAAACUUAUUGAUAUAGGGGACCAGAUACUCUGGUCGCUCAUUGGGAGACUGAGAUUUCUAGCCAACUGAAGGAGAAGAGGUGGCAGGGCCUUUAUUGCUUGUAGCUCCAUUUAUUUCAGCUGCCUUAGACAGAGGAGGUGAGAGAGCCUUCGAAGGGGAAUCUUUUUUUGUACUAUUGGGGCAUUUCUCUUAGGGAGUAUAUUUACUUGAACAUCCUUUCGCACUACCAGAAUAAGGGCGCUUUCUAUUCAAGGCUUGGAUUACAAUGUCUUCCAUAUCGUGGGCAUCUGACACUAGAUGUGAGUCGACCAAGCUAUGAGUGCAAAACAGAUCUCUAUAUAAGCAAGAAUUUGUUAAGGUGAUCUCAACCCUCUUCAACAAUUUUCUCUUAAUGUUAUAUAUCACGCUCAAAGAACUUGCAACACAAGCCAAGAUCGCGUUAAAAUGAUACAAUUCAACUAAGCGAGUUAAAAAAAAAGUCUUAAACUAGUAAGCAACCUGGAGUUGAGAAACGAGAAGGAAUAUGGACAUUCCCACCAUCCACAGAUGCCACAUGACCCCAGUUACACCUAGCAAAAAAGAACUUACUCUUCUAAUAUCCACCUCUAGUUGAGAGGUCGGUUAUAGGUUUUCUAGCCUUAGUACUUAACAUAAAGUAAUACCAGUCUGCACCUUUUGGGCUGCUCUUUAGCUGGUACAUGUGUUUUAUUUCAUUAAAAGUGGGUUCACUUUGCCCAUAUUUGUUCCACAAGACCAACAGAUAGAGAGCACCCUCCACCCAUUUACGCUUAAUUGACUAGGGGCUAAGUGUAGCCUUCCAAGCACUCGAACAAAAUAAGGCUAUAAGGGGAGUCUCAUCCAUAGUUUAAAACAUUCUAGGAACAAGGUGUCAUAUCCCUUAAGAGGCGGCUUGGUGUAUCCUUUUUACAUCAUCAAGAAUGUUGUAAAAUUUUCUAAGCCUAUUUAAUUCAUCUAUAAUUGUACUGCUUGCCAUUAAGUCAAUAAGGUAAUUUUUUACUAGAGCUCUACUACUUAACUUUCUUUUCUUCUCUGGUCUAACCUCAUCUGGUGAAGACUCUUUACCUUUAUCCUCAUCAGAGUCUCCCUCCUAAUAUCCACUUAAGGUCUGCUCUGUAUUAGAGGAGUCAUCGCUACUGUUUUCCGCAAAUGAGGUCCAAGCCUCAAAAGACAUCCUUCUAGCACUAUCUCUAGCAUUAGUAUCACCUAUCAAAUUUCAAGGGAUUCUCGGGUCGAAAAUGGGUUUCUUGAGUAAACUAGGCAAACACUCCAGUUCAUCAUCAUCAACCUCAAUUACUUAUUCUUUCCUCUUAAACAUCUUUUAAACAAACUUAGAACUAGAGCUGAAUAUCUUCAAACUCAAGAAAAAAUAAUACCUAAUGUUGAAGUACGAGAAACAAUACCUUAAGCGAGGAAAAGCCAGAAGCAAAGCAAUUUGUACGACUUGAUCUCCGAUGAAAAGAAUUGACUAUGUAACUGUUGGUUAAUUGUUAAUCAAAUGCUAUUGAUGCCAAUGUGCAAGUGUACACAACAAUUAAUAAAGUGAUGAGUAUUCAGAUCGUCUCCACAGGGAUUGAUGUUACCAGAAAUGCUACAGCAAUCACAAUAGUGCAAUCUACCUUUAUUUUGAAUGAACAAAUGUGAAGUUGUUUACUACUGAAAUUUAGAAUUGUGAGAAAAUAAAACGAAAUAAUGCAGUGAUGAAAUAAAGUAAAUAAAUUGCGUAGAAGGAUCAAAUGAGAAUAAGGUAGUUGAAUGAUCAAACGCUCUUUAUGGGUUGACUGUUUUUCAUCAAAUUAACAACAGUUGCUACAACACUGUCUAUAGCACUGGGCAGAAUUAUUUUGCAUCCUCAGCUGUCGCGUGUUGGAAUUCUCAUACCCUUAAGUAUCUUAGCAAUGACCAGUUGCUAUUCUACCUUCGGCAUGGCAUUACAAACAUCUAUUCUCUCCACCCUACAAGGUGAGUACUUAUGUCUAGUUUGUCACAAAUCUUAACUUCAAGUAUAGCUCUUAUGAGAUUCAAGAUAAACUUAAUCUAGGAAACUCGAAUUAAGAUCAAGUAUUACUCUAAUAAUAUCCACUAAGACAUGCCCUUUUGCGGCUCUAUCUUAACUUGAACCAUUAAAUGAGUGGUCAAUUGAAAUAACAGUUAUAAUAAUAGCUACUAAAGUAAAAUGCUAUAGCAAUUAUAUAGCAACUCAUAAGAACAGUAAAAAAACCCAUUAGAUUGUUUGUCACUCAACUACAAGCAAGUUUAGUUCAUAUUUUGAAAGAGAAAAACAAACAGAAACAUAUUAGUCCCGAAAUACAUUGGUUCAAUCAAAUAGUGAAGAAAAGAAUAAGUGGAGAACGACAAAAAGUGAAUCUAAAUAACUCUGCUCGAUUCUUCAAUGAUGCAGCAUCGGUUCCUUUAAAUUCUGAUCUUCUUCUUCUUUUUCUCUUGAUUUUCUCAAUGUUAAUUCCUUGUCGCCGUUUUAUGUGACGCGCGCCCCUUUUUGUAACGAUUCUUCCACCUUCAUAUCACAAUCUCAAUCAUGCAAAAUGGCCAUAGUAGAUCAGUUUUAGACUUAAGCUUCCUUCUGUCCAAAGUGUGUGUGUGCUACUUUGAUUGAAUUCUAGAGAUGCUACAACAUUACCAAGAGAUUUCAUGUAAUUCAGAGGUAGCACAAUUUUAUUCAGAUAUGGGGUAGCAGAAAUCUCACAUACUCAAACUGUGCUAUAUUUAAGAACAAAAACUUAAGAGUACUCAACUCUCUUCACUGCAACAUUUAUUUUUCAUAUGAAUGUUAAUCAAUUGGAGCAGAAUUUAUUUCAUAGCAGGUACAGUCCAACAAAAUUUUCCCCCAAACUUAAGAUAUUUUCUAUUCUUUUGGCUCUACUACAACAUUCUCAUAAAACUCCACCAAAGUUUAGGUGUCAGGACAUAAUUUCACUCUCCAUCUAUAACUAUCUUUACUUGGCAUUCUUAUAAUCACUACUUAACACUCAAUUUAUCUUCAUUAGGUUUUCAAAUCCAUACACAAAUAUUAGAUGGCAGAGCUUCACACAACACACGCAUAAACACAUAUUCAUAAUACACAGAAACACAACCCCCCCAAACUUUAAAUGGUGCUCUAUCCUCACAAGCACACAAAAAAAAACCACACAACCCAACAAGGACAUGGAGGAUGAAUUAGAAAAUAAACCACACAAAAUAAAAAUAUAAUGAAAGAAAAGUUGUUUAGAACUAAAUAGAAUGACUAGUAGGAAUGGGAUACUCCCCUGUUGUUUGGACACUGCUGCAACAUGGUGUAAUGACUUCAGCACUUUUUGGAUGCACUUCGCAGCUUAUUGUUGUGCAAAUUUUAAUGUACUCGCAAGCGCACGAAUCUAUUGUAGUAUAGACUAAUGGUGACGAGUGUCGAUCCCACAAGGAGGUGGAUUUUAAUUGUGUGUAGAAUUAAUUUUGUAAAUGGGUAGUUGGAUUUAUGGUGGAAAUGAUUUGGAAUAUGCUAAUACUUAAAUUAAAAUAGCGAGAAUAAAUUCUAAAAUUGGAAUUGCAAUGGAGAGAAUAAAUUGAAGAGAAAAUCUAUUAAAUUGACGUACUUGGGUAUCUGGAUCCGUAUCAACAUGCAUUAUGGGCUAAAUAAUCCGUAUUAAUGCCAAUUAAAUCAUGAGGGGGGAAUCCACACCUCAUGAACCACGCUCUAAUCAAUAUGGUGCUAAGGGCUUAUCGUGCCAAAUAAUAAUAACCUUGUACUAGAGGGCCGGUGAAACCAAGGCAGUACUAGACAAGAUUAGUAUUAUUUGUCGACGAGAAGUCAAAACAUCCACAAAAACUAGAGGGGAAGAGAAAAUAAAUUUACCAAAUAAAGCCCAUGACACAUGUUGAGACUUCACCUUCAACCCAAGCUUGAAAGAAAAUUAGCCACUCAUAAUUGAACUAGGGGUAAAAUGAGAAUUUAUUAAAAUACGAAGAAAAUACAAGAUGGAGAAGGAAUUACAGAAAAUGGAUCCCAAAAAUGGAUUGAGAGAUAUCAAAUUAGGGGGGGGAGGCCCCCUUUUUAUAGAUACAUGGAGUAAAUCAUGGCCAUCGGAUUAAAAACAGUUUGGACGCUCAGGAUUUCGCCACGUCAUCAGUCAACAGUACGCAGUUUGACCACGCGGAUGAACAGUAACACGGUUUGACUCGGAUGAACAGUAACGCGGUUUGACUCGGAUGAACAGUAACGCGGUUUGGUUGAAAAUAAUCUUGUGUGAUGCAUGUACCGUACACCGGAUUUUUCGUCCACUGAUAUGCUGCCACGUCACCAUCAACAGUACAUAAGAAUUUUAACCCAACAGGAUCGUGACACCUCAUCAGUCAAUGCCACAUCAUCGGUCAAUGCCACGUCAUCGAUCCAUCUAUGUGAACAGUGUUGUGAACAGUAACGUAGAUAGUACCGUACACGUGAAUAGUACCGCACAUAUGAAUAGUGCCAUUUUUCCUUUUAUGCUCCUCCUAAGGUUUUCGAUCGUCCUGAGUUCAAAAGUGAUGUCCGUUUUGCCGUCUGAUCUCUCCUUUAUUGUGAAAUGACUAUAAUGCCCCUAAAAUACAUAAAAUACUUAAUUAAAAUAAAACACAUGUAAUUAAAUCACAAGAAGGUUAAAUACAUAAAAGUAAAGGUUUUUAGUAAGACUUGAAAUGUAAAAUGACGGUCUUCUCCUUUAUAAAUAUGCAUUUUCUAACACUCAACACACUCCCCAACCAACUUAUUGCUAGUCCCUAGCAAAUAAAGCGAAAACAAAAUUCAAAUUCAAAAUAUUUUUUUUUUAAUAAAAACACUCGUAUUUAUUCCAUCAGAUUAAUGAUAGCAAUCAAAUAAAAGUAUAAGCAUUAUCUCCAGUCUAAAGCAACAUCACACCCACAUCAACCAUCCACAUGAAUCAGCCCAGUAGACUUUGUUAUAGCUACUUUCAAGAAUGACAUGUCAAACCCCAAAAUCUCACUGGAAGUAGUGACACUCUCACAAAGAAAUUAAAACCAAUAAAAAUAGUCACUCCAAUGAAUGGUAAUUAAGAGAGAAAAUAAUAAAGAAGUGAUAUCACAUGCCCUCACCAAGAUGAAAUAAAUAUGCCCUCAGCUUAGAAAUAAUACGAUCUCAAGUCAAAUAAAAAUGCUAGUCAACCCAAUUUAUUUAUCUUUUUUAUUUAUUUAUUUAUUUAUUUUUAUUAUGCACCACUACAUCUUUUUAGCCCAUAUAACUAGCUUCUACUUCAAACUAUAGUUCCCUAAAAUUAAGAAGGACUUUUAUUAGGACGUAACGUAGGCUAGGGAUAUGGCUAACAAAGAAGGGAAAUAAGGAAAACAAAGUGUAUGUUUGAGAAAAAUGCAGAGAUUUUUUUUUUUUUGGAAGUUGCAAGGUGGAUUUCACCUAUUAUUUUUAUUUUUUUAUUUAUUAUUUUUUUAAACAACAAUUUUUGUUUUGUUGUUUUUUUUUUUUGCUUUUAUUUGGCAUAACUUCACUGAACAAAAAUAGGUGAUGGAACUUAUAAGACAUUAGUAAUACUCCAAAUCGGAGUGGGUCAAGAUAAGUUUAACAAAUAAAAGGUUUUUUUUUUAAAAGGCUCAAAAUGGUUAACUAUGGAUAUUUCAUAAAAGGGAUGGCUAGAAAGGCUCAAACGGGACAAAGAUGGCCUUUCCAUCGUCUUUUAGGGCUCUAAAUAAUCAUCCAUAUCUACUAGUUAGAUGGGCCUCCCAAUGUAGCAACACACAUUUUUUUUUCUUUUUUUUUCUUGUUUGUUUUUUUUUUUUAAGGGUUAACUCAACAGAAAUCUAGAGAUCGUGUAUACAAUAAUAAACUGUUAAGCUGUAUAAAGAAUGGGCAAAAGGGUUACUCUCCAAGAAAAAUAAUAGGCUCAAAAACUCACUUGGCACUUAUUUAUGACAUGUUCAUUCCUUCAAGCAACUCAUAUUUGUCUCCGACAUCAACAUGUAGAGUAGCAAAUAUAAUGUAACAUCACUUAAGACCAAAGAUAAUACAAAUACUAAAAUUUGAAAUUAAUCAUGUCAUCCAAUGUUAAAACAAAUCACACAAUUUUUUUUUUAAACAACAUUCUACCCCCCAACCGAUUCUAAACAUGAAAGGAAAAUAUGCAUGCAGAAAUGUGAAAAUGAUGCAUAAAAACUAAUUAGAAAAGUUACAUGUAAAAUGAUAGAAAACGAAAAUGAUUUUUUUUUAAGAAGAUGCGUUUCUAGAGGCACUACACUCCAUAUUCAGCCAUCUUCGACUCAAAAGUUGGAAAAUGGAUAUUUAUAGACGAGAAAUUAAAAAGAAGAAGAAAAAUGAACAUAAAAACUUAAUAAAGAAAAAGAAAAUUUUGUUUUUAUUAUUUAGUUUUUUUAGUUUUUUUUUUUAAUUUUUUUUAAACGAUGAAGAUGCGUUUCUAGAGUCACUACCCUCCAUAUUCAGCCAUCUUCAACACGAAAAGUUAGCAACAGUUAGUUUCUACAACAAAAAAUUAGUAAAAACUUAACCAAAAUUUCACAAUUGUCGACUAUUCCCUCCCCCCAACCAGAACGAAAUAUUGUCCUCAAUGUUUGAAAGGAAAGAAGUAGAGUUUAGAAGACAUCACCUGGGUGGUGCAACACAGAAGAAAAUAUUUAUAAGCGGAGAGUUAAAUCUAAUUUGUACUUCUUACUGCGGCUACUGUUACCAUCAUUAUUUGGGCGCUGCAACACAAAGGUCCAAGGGUCUUACUCCGGUUUAUAAGCUUGUAACAUAUCAAGUAGCUCAUUAGCAGUGUGAGCACAAAUAAAAAGUUUUUUCACAUUAGAAGGAAUGAAAUAGUUUUUUAUUGCAUGGUUAAGAAAUGGGAUAAAACCAUCAUAAAAGUUAUUGACAUUUAACAAACCGAUGGGUUUUUGGUGGAUGUGCAGAUGGGCCCAAGAUGCUAGCGUGAUAAGUGCCUCCAGUGUUGCAAGAUCUCCUGGAAGGAAAAUAAAAGCAUCAGCAUGAUUAAGCAUUUCAGUUAUUCUUUCUUGCAUACCUGAGACGACUAAUUCUUCUCCAGUUGAUGAGUCAGACGAACUGCCCAAUGGUUUUAAGACUCUUGGGAUGAUGCCUAACACUUGACUUUCUCUGAUAAAAGCUGCUUCUGAGACCAUUUUUGAUAACCCUCGAUUACCUCCUCCAUACACCAAUUGUAAUUUUCUCGCUGCUAUGCUUCGACCAAGAUCUAUGGCUGCCUCAACGAACUCUUUAUGUUUGCCAUAUGUAAAUCCAGAAAGCACACAAAUGUUCUUGAAUUGUCUAUUGGGAGUAGCUGCCAUUGUGAUACUUCUCAAAAAUAAUUUGUGAGUGCUUGACAAAAAAGAAAUCACAUUUAAGAAUCUUGGUGACAGUGGAUUACAGUUGUGUAUGAGGUAACAUGUCAGUGUCAAAUAACGCGUAAAGCACGUGUCUCGCUAGUAAAAAAGGAAACAGUAAAAGGGAAAAAGCAAACAGUAAUAAAAUUAUUAAAGACAAUAAUGCACACAAUAAAACAAUAGUGAAAUAAAAUAACAGUAAAGUGAAGGGAUAUUUACAGGUAGUUGCGACUGUGGCUCACAUCUUCCUCUGGUUUUACGUCCAGAAAUGGCUUGAACGCCCUCUAUGGGUCGAGGAUAGGCUUCCUAUCCAGUUUUCUUAUAAACUGGCAAACAGGGUCGUUUAUAGUCAGAUUCCCGAGACUAUAUCGUGCAUGCUCUUUCUGGAAUAAUGGCUAUAACUGGAGAAUCGCUCCUUGCACAUAUCCACUAGGAUGCGUUUCAAGAGACAAAAGGAUAUCAUCCAAUGACUCCUUAUUCAAGCCAUCCCUAAUGAAUUGAAUCUUAUCUUCCCUGCUAUCAGACAUCAUUCCUAAAGAACAUGGGUUUUUAUUGCAACUCAUUCUGGCACACUUAUGACAAGCAACAAAAAUUCUUCGAGCUCGUCGUUUUCUUGCAUAAUUUCCUUUACCACAACUAGGCAUGUAUGCAAUAAAUUUUGGAGGUAACUCACCUGCCGAUCGUACUUUAGCCUCGAUUAACCAACGGAUGUCAGCAGGUAUGUUAUUUCUCAUGAGCAAUCGCAUGCAUUCAGACCGAGCUUUAUAGAUCGUAAGGAGGGCAUUCUGAGGAAGUGAAGGGAAUCGCUUGUGAAGCUUCGCUAGAGUCUCGUUUCUGUCCAUAUCUUCGCUUCAGAAUAUCAGUUAUUAUGGGAAACUGAAGUAACUGACUUGAUUGUCACGAAGUACCGUUAUCCGCCACUUCACCGGGGUAACAAACUAAAGCACACAAACAAAAAAAAAAUUAAAACACACAAACAAAAUUAAAAUCGUCCUCUUAUUGAAUUUACCUCAAGCUCCAACUGGAUAUCGUAAACACUUCUCUCAAUGUCUCGGAGUUGGCAUUCUAAACCCUCAACAUAGGCUACUAACUCUGGUGGUUGUAGAGCCCAAAUGCGAUGUGUUUUACAAAAUUGAAUCUACCUUUUGAGAUGAGUUUUGACACGUUGAAGUGGUUUAAGAAUGUUCAGGAGGAACGGUCUAAGUAAUGUACUCAUGAUUAAAAAUGAUAAAAGAAAACUUAAUAGUUAAACAAACACAUUUAUGCAAAAAUAAUUUCAAUUAGCAGAAGAAUAAUAUAAAGAAAGAAAAAAAAUCAAAUCAACGAAAAGAAAAAAAAAUCAAUUUAGAUCUGGUGGGUCACUCAAAUUUAUUUCGGUGUCUUCUCCAUGUGGUUGGUACUCUAGAUAUGGCUUUAAUCUUUGACCAUUAACUUUAAACGUGACACCAUUCUUUGGGUCCUUAAUUUCAAUUGCCCCAUGUGGAAAAACAGUAUGUAUAAUAAAUGGGCCAGACCAACGAGAGCGUAACUUACCUGGGAAUAGGUGCAAGCGAUAAUUGAAUAAAAGCACUUUCUGACCUGGAGUGAAAGAUUUUCUCAUAAUUUGCUUGUCAUGGAAGACUUUCAUUCGUUGCUUGUAAAUCUUGGCAUUUUCGUAUGCGUCAUUGCGAAUUUCUUCAAGUUCUGCCAGUUGUAAUCUUCUUUCUGAGCUGGCUUGCUGCAUGUCAAAGUUGAAUUUCUUGAUGGCCCAAUACGCACGAUGCUUGAGUUCCACAGGUAGGUGGCAAGCUUUUCCAUACACUAGCCUGUAGGGUGACAUCCCAAUCGGGGUCUUAAAAGCCGUUCUAUAUGCCCAUAAUGCAUCAUCAAGUCUUAAUGACCAAUCUUUUAUGUCUGGCCUCACCGUCUUUUCUAAUAUGUGCUUUAUUUCUCGAUUGGAGAUCUCAACUUGGCCACUGGUUUGCGGAUGAUACGGGGUCGCCACUUUGUGAGUGAUUGAAUACUUUGUCAAAAGAGCUUUGAAUGCUUUGUUAAAAAAGUGGGCACCACCAUCACUGAUUAUUGCUCGAGGGAAUCCAAAGCGUGAAACAAUGUUGCUUUUCAAAAAUCCUGUCACCACCUUGUGAUCAUUGGUUCUACAGGGAAUUGCUUCUACCCAUUUCGAUACGUAGUCAACAGCAACCAAUAUGUAUUGAUGGCCAAAAGAAAGGGGAAAUGGUCCCAUGAAGUCGAUACCUCAUACAUCAAAAAUCUCAACCACUAAAAUUGGAUUUAGUGGCAUCAUGUUCCUUCGUGUAAUGCUCCCCAUUCGUUGACACCUAUCACAUGAAGAACAGAAAGUGUAAGCGUCUCGAAAUAUAGUUGGCCAAUAGAAACCACAUUGUAAAACUUUAGUUGCUGUUUUCUUAGCACUGAAAUGGCCUCCACAAGCUUGUUCAUGGCAGAAUGAAAGAAUAUUCUGAAUUUCAUUUUCUGGGACACAUCGUCUAACAAUUUGGUCUGCACAAUACUUGAACAAAUACGGGUCAUCCCAAAAGAAAUUCUUUAUCUCUGCAAAGAAUUUAGCCUUAUCUUGCUUGGUCCAAUGCUCUGGAAGUUGACCUGUAAUAAGAUAAUUCACGAUGUCAGCAUAUACCACAGUAAUACUUCCACAUUCAUCAAUUGUUCAUCAGGGAAUGACUCAUUUAAUGGUAAUGGCUCUGUAGUUGUGUCAAAAUGGAGACGAGAGAGGUGAUCCGCCACAACAUUUUCUGUGCCUUUUUUAUCUUUGAAUUCCAAGUCAAAUUCCUGCAAAAGUAACACCCAACGAAUUAGUCUAGCUUUUGCAUCUUUCUUUGUGAGAAGAUAUUUAAGAGCAGCAUGAUCUGUGAAUAUAAUUAUUUUACAACCAAUGAGAUAAGAUCGAAAUUUCUCUAAUGCAAACACUACUGCUAGCAUUUCUUUUUCAGUAGUUGAAUAGUUCAACUGUGCAUCAUUCAAUGUCAUACUAGCAUAGUAAAUAACAUGGGGAAUUCGAUCAACUCUUUGUCCUAAUACUGCUCCUACUGCAUAAUCAGAUGCAUCACACAUGAGCUCAAAUGGUAAGCUCCAGUUUGGGGCUUGAAUGAUGGGUGAUGAUGUCAACAACUGCUUUAAUUUUUCAAAAGCCACAAGACAUGAAUCAUUAAAGAUAAAAGGUACAUCCUUAGCAAGUAGAUUGCAUAAGGGUCUAAAAACUUUGCUAAAAUCUUUAAUGAAACGUCUAAGAAACCAGCAUGCCCAAGGAAAGAUCUUACUUCUCUGACUGUUUUGGGUGGAGGAAGAUUAGAAAUGAGAUCCACCUUGGCUUUGUCAACCUCAAUACCUUUGCUCGAAAUGAUGUGACCGAGAACAAUACCUUGUUUUACCAUAAAAUGGCAUUUCUCCCAAUUUAAGACCAAGUUCUUCUCGACACAUCUCUGCAGAACUAGUGUUAGAUGAUGUAAACAUUGAUCAAACGAGUCACCAAUGACAGAAAAAUCAUCCAUAAAGACUUCAAGGAAUCGUUCAACCAUAUCAGAAAAAAUGCUCAACAUGCAUCGUUGAAAUGUAGCAGGUGCAUUGCAUAAUCCAAAUGGCAUUCUCCUAUACGCAAAUGUGCCAAAAGGGCAAGUGAAAGUAGUUUUUUCCUAAUCUUUUGGUGCUAUGGUUAUCUGAUUGUAUCCUGAGUAGCCAUCUAGAAAGCAAUAAAAUUCAUGACCUGCUAAUCUAUCAAGCAUUUGAUCAAUAAAUGGUAAAGGAAAAUGGUCUUUACGUGUGACAGAAUUGAACUUCCUAUAAUCAAUGCAUACACGCCAUCCUGUAGUCACUCUAGUGGGUAUCAAUUCAUUAUCGGCAUUGGUAACUACAGUGACUCCUGACUUUUUGGGGACAACUUGCACAGGACUGACCCAUGAAUUAUCAGAAAUGGGGUAAAUGAUACCUGCAUCUAAUAGCUUAAGGACUUCUGUUCUAACAACUUCUUUCAUAUUAGGAUUUAACCGACGUUGCAUUUCCCUAGUAGAUUUAGCAUUUUCAUCAAGAUGAAUGUAAUGCAUGCAGUCUACUGGAUUUAUACCUUUUAUGUCUGCUAUGGUCCAUCCUAAUGCCCCUUUGUGCUCUUUUAAAACAUCCAACAACUUACCUUUUUGUUCAUCAUUGAGGGAUGAUGAGAUGAUUACCGGCAGAGUACUUUCUUCUCCUAAAAAUGCAUAUUCCAAAGUGUUGGGCAAUGGUUUGAGCUCGAGUUUCGGUGGUGAUUCUGAUGAUGGGAUGAGUUUCUUCUCUGAUGGUGCUAGUUGCUCAACUCUUGACUUCCAUUUAUUAGUAUCCAUAGAUGGUGCUGAGUCAAGCAGGGCGUUGACCUCAUCGACCGAUCUGUCAAUAUCAAAAUCCAAACCAAAGUGAGUUAAACAUGUUUGUAAAGGAUCAUCGACCGAUCUGUCAAUAUCAAGUAGGGUGUUGACCUCAUCGACCGAUCUGUCAAUAUCAAAAUCCAAACCAAAGUGAGUUAAACAUGUUUGUAAAGGAUCAUCACUAAGGUUUGAAACAAAAGUAUCAUCAACUAAUGCUUCAAUUAAAUCCACAUCAACAAUUCCAUCAUCUGCACUGUGAGGUUGUUUGGCAAUGUUGAAGAUGUUCAGCUCCAUAGUCAUGUUGCCGAAGGACAACUGCAUAUUUCCAGUCCUGCAUUGAAUGUGAGCAUCCGCAGUUGCCAAGAAAGGUCGGCCUAGAAUAAUGGGGAUGUGCUUCCUCGAGUCCUGUAUUGGUUGAGUAUCAAUUACAAUGAAAUCAACAGGAAAAUAAAACUUGUCUACCUGGAUAAGCACGUCCUCCACAAUUCCACGAGGUAUUUGUUGAGUGUUAGAAAAUGCAUAUUUAUAAAGGAGAAAACCGUCAUUUUACAUUUCAAGUCUUACUACAACCCUUACUUUUAUGUAUUUAACCUUCUUGUGAUUUAAUUACAUGUGUUUUAUUUUAAUUAAGUAUUUUAUGUAUUUUAGGGGCAUUAUAGUCAUUUCACAAUAAAGGAGAGAUCAGACGGCAAAACGGACAUCACUUUUGAACUCAGGACAGUCGAAAACCUUAGGAGGAGCAUAAAAAGAAAAAUGGCACUAUUCAUAUGUACGGUACUAUUCACGUGUACGGUACUAACUACGUUACUGUUCACAACACUGUUCACAUAGACGGAUCGAUGACGUGGCAUUGACCGAUGAUGUGGCAUUGACUGAUGAGGUGUCACGAUCCUGUUGGGCUAAAAUUCUUAUGUACUGUUGAUGGUGACGUGGCAUCAUAUCAGUGGAUGAAAAAUCUCGCAUACGGUACAUGCAUCACACAGGAUUAUUUUCAACCAAACCGCGUUACUGUUCAUCCGAGUCAAACCGCGUCACUGUUCAUCCGAGUCAAACCGCGUUACUGUUCAUCCGAGUCAAACCGUGUUACUGUUCAUCCGCGUGGUCAAACCGUGGACUGUUGACUGAUGACGUGGCGCAAUCCUGAGCGUCCAAACUGUUUUUAAUCCGAUGGUCAUGAUUUACUCCAUGUAUCUAUAAAAAGGGGGCCUCCCCCCUUAAUUGGAGAUCUCUGAAUCCAUUUUUGGGAUCCAUUUUCUGUAAUUCCUUCUCCAUCUUGUAUUUUCUUCGUAUUUUAAUAAAUUCCCAUUUUGCCCCUAGUUCAACUAUGAGUGGCUAAUUUUCUUUCAAGCUUGGGUUGAAGGUGAAGUCUCAACAUGUGUCAUGGGCUUAAUUUGGUAAAUUUAUUUUCUUUUCCCCUCUAGUUUUUGUGGAUUUUUUGGCUUCUCGUCGACAAAUAAUACUAAUCUUGUCUAGUACUGCCUUGGUUUCACCGGCCCUCUAGUACAAGGUUAUUAUUAUUUGGCACGAUAAGCUCUUAGCACCAUAUUGAUUAGAGCGUGGUUCAUGAGGUGUGGAUUUCCCCCUCAUGAUUUAAUUGGCAUUAAUACAGAUUAUUUAGCCCAUGAUGCAUGUUGAUACGGAUCCAGAUACCCAAGUACGUCAUUUUAAUAGAAUUCUCUUCAAUUUAUUCUCGCAAUUUCUAUUCCAAUUUUAGAAUUUAUUCUUGCCAUUUUAAUUUAAGUCUUAGCAUAUUCCAAAUCAUUUCCACCACAAAUCCAAUCACCCAUUUACAAAAUUAAUUCUACACAAUUAAAAUCCACCUCCUCGUGGGAUCGACACUCGUCACCAUUGAUCUAUACUAUAAUAGAUUCGUGCGCUUGCGAGUACAUUAAAAUUUGCACAACAAGUUUUUGGCGCCGUUGCCGGGGAGGUAAGUAAUUUUAAUUCAUAGAAUUAAUUUUUUGGAAUAAUUUCUUUUAUUUGUUUUCUUGUAUGUUUUUUUAUUAUAAAAAGAAAAAAAAAGAGUGAAUCUACAUUUAAAGGUUAGUAUUCCUUUCCUUUUUCUCUUCUUUAAAAUUCUGUAAUUUAAUUUUCAAUUUAUUUUUCUUUGUAAUUUUUUUUGUUUAUUUUAUUAAUUUAAUUUUUAGUUAAUUUAUUUCACGUAUUUGUUUUUGUGUAUUUUUAUAUAAAGGUUUUAAUAGCGCAAUAAGGUUAGUAUCGUAAUUUCUCCCUCUUCUUUAUUUUUAUUUGUUUUGUUCUCAUCCUUAUUUUUUUUUUAUUAUUUGUUUUGCAUGCAUGGUCGUAGGUCAUUAUUACCUAAUCUUGAACCUAUAGACCUUGAAUUAGAAAAAACACUUCGCACACACAAACAAAUUAAAAAUAAAAUAGAUUUACAAGCACCACAGGAGAGGCCAUUUAAGGACUAUUUUAGUGCCUUAGCUAAUUUGAGCACAUCAUGCAUAAGAUACCCAAAUGUAGCUGCUAGGAGUUUCGAAUUAAAACCUAGUGUGCUAAAUUGUCUCCCCACAUUUUAUGGCCUAGAAAAUGAGGAUCCAUAUAAUCAUCUGAAUGAUUUUCAUGCCAUUUGUCAAACUUUUAAAUAUGAAAAUUUUUCAGACGAUGAUGUUAAACUUAGACUAUUCCCAUUUUCUUUAAAGGAUAGGGCUCGUUCAUGGCUUAAUACAUUGCCUGCUAAUAGCAUUGCAUCAUGGGAACAAAUGGUUACAAAAUUUUUGAAUAAAUAUUUCCCAGUACAUAAAACCAAUGCUAUUCGCAGGGAAAUCUCGGAGUUUACCCAGAGAGAGGACGAGCAUUUUUUCGAAACAUGGGAGCGAUUCAAUGGGCUACUCUUGAAGUGUCCACAUCAUGGGUACGAGAAAUGACACCAAUGCCAAUACUUUUUGGAGGAAUUAUUGCCGAAUGUGCAAGAAUGGCUAAUGGCAACAAGUAGAGGAGAGCUAAUGUCAAAAAGUGCAUCAGAAAUUUGGGAAUUCUUCCAGCGACAAGCAGAUAAUUCCCAACAACGGAGUCGAUCACUCAGGACUACUAGAAGAAUUAAAGGAGUGAAUGAGGUUCAAAUUGGCGAAUCAACUUCAGGAAUCAAAGAAGUCAAGGAGAUGGUUGAAGGUCUUGCUCGACAAAUAGCAUCGUUAUCGACUGCUAAAUCAACAUAACCACAUGACCAUGACUCAUACUCCGAUCAAGCCAAUGCCAUAGGUGUAAUGAGAAAACCAUCGAAUUAUAACCCAUACUCCAACACAUAUAACCCUGGAUGGAGAGACCACCCCAAUUUUUCAUGGUCUCAAGGAUUCCAAGAGAAUGGACCAGCAGCUCCAGCUCCACCAAUUCCAUAAAAUCCUCAAGCCUCUCAGCCCCCAUUUAGACCAUACAAUCAGAACCAGAACUACUCUCAACCUAGACCAUGGGAGGAUUCAUUCCAUAAUCUCAAGAAUCUUACUCACUCUACGAUUGAGCAACAGAACCGCACCAUUGAUGGACUACGAAAUGAAUUGAGAGCAGGCUUCAACUCACAAGCCCAAUCAGUUUCAAGCCUUGAGAAGAUGGUGGGACAACUUGCUUCUUCAGUUCAAACCUUGGCAAUGACCGUUGAGAAAGGUAAAUUUCCAAGUCAACCAGUGCCUAACCCUAAAGGAGUGCAUGAAGCAAGUACCAGUUCACCACAGCAGCAUGGAGAGGUCAAAGCCGUCAUGACCUUGCGAAAAGGAAAAGAAGUCGACAACAAAGUGGAGAUGCUGGUGACAAAAGAAAAUCAAAUUGUACCUGUGAAUGUUGAGGAAUCAUCACCGGAGGAGAAAGAAGAAACCAACCCACGAGAAUACGUUCCGAAAGCUCCAUUUCCUCAGAGGUUAGCGAAAGGCAAGAAGGGAAAAUCCACAGGUGAGAUUCUUGAAAUCUUCAAACAGGUAGGUGUUAACAUCCCUUUGCUUGAUGCUAUUAAACAAGUUCCAUCUUAUGCCAAGUUUCUUAAAGACCUUUGUACUAAAAAGAGAAAUAUGCAUGUUCAAAAGAAGGCAUUUUUAACAGAAAACGUUAGUUCUAUACUCCAACAUAAAAUUCCUUUAAAAUGCAAAGACCCAGGCUCCCCCACUAUCUCAUGUAGUAUAGGGAACCACACAAUUGAGAAUGCUUUGUUGGAUUUAGGAGCUAGUGUAAAUCUGUUGCCUUAUUCAGUAUUCGUGAAACUUGGACUGGGAGAAUUACACCCAACUCCAGUGGUGUUACAACUUGCAGAUCGGUCCACGAAAAUACCUCGUGGUAUUGUGGAGGACGUGCUUAUCCAGGUAGACAAGUUUUAUUUUCCUGUUGAUUUCAUUGUAAUUGACACUCAACCAAUACAGGAUUCAAGGAAGCACAUCCCCAUUAUCCUAGGCCGACCUUUCUUGGCAACUGCGGAUGCUCACAUUCAAUGCAGGACUGGAAAUAUGCAGUUGUCUUUCGGCAAUAUGACUAUGGAGCUAAACAUUUUCAACAUUGCCAAACAACCUCACAAUGCAGAUGAUGAAAUUGUUGAUGUGGAUUUAAUUGAAACAAUAGUUGAUAACACUUUUCUUUCAAACCUUAGUGAUGAUCCUUUACAAACAUGUUUAACUCACUUUGGUUUGGAUUUUGAUAUUGACAGAUCGGUCGAUGACGUCAACGCCCUGCUUGACUCAGUACCAUCCAUGGACACUAAUAAAUGGAAGUCAAGAGUUGAACAACUAGCACCAUCAGAGAAGAAACUCAUCCCAUCAUCAGAAUCACCACCGAAACUCGAGCUCAAACCAUUACCCAACACUCUGGAAUAUGCAUUUUUGGGAGAAGAAAGUACUCUGCCGGUAAUCAUCUCAUCAUCCCUAAAUGACGAACAAAAAGGUAAGUUGUUAGAUGUUUUGAAAGAUCACAAAGGGGCAUUAGGAUGGACCAUAGCAGACAUUAAAGGUAUAAACCCAGUAGACUGCAUGCAUUACAUUCACCUUGAUGAAAAUGCUAAAACUACUAGGGAAAUGCAACGUCGGUUAAAUCCUAACAUGAAAAAAGUUGUUAGAACUGAAGUCCUUAAGCUAUUAGACGCAGGUAUCAUUUACCCCAUUUCUGAUAGUUCAUGGGUCAGUCCUGUGCAAGUUGUCCCCAAAAAGUCAGGAGUCACAGUAGUUGCCAAUGCUGAUAAUGAAUUGAUACCCACUAGAGUAACUACAGGAUGGCGUGUUUGCAUUGAUUAUAGAAAGUUGAAUUCUGUCACACGUAAAGACCAUUUUCCUUUACCAUUUAUCGAUCAAAUGCUUGAUAGAUUAGCAGGUCAUGAAUUUUAUUGCUUUCUAGAUGGCUACUCAGGAUAUAAUCAGAUUCCCAUAGCACCAAAAGAUCAAGAGAAAACUACUUUCACUUGCCCUUUUGGCACAUUUGCAUAUAGGAGAAUGCCAUUUGGAUUAUGUAAUGCACCUGCUACAUUUCAACGAUGCAUGUUAAGCAUUUUUUCUGAUAUGGUUGAACGAUUCCUUGAAUCUUUAUGGAUGAAUUUUCUGUCUUUGGUGAUUCGUUUGAUCAAUGUUUACAUCAUCUAACACUAGUUCUGCAGAGAUGUAUCGAGAAGAACUUGGUCUUAAAUUGGGAGAAAUGUCAUUUUAUGGUAAAACAAGGUAUUGUUCUCGGUCACAUCAUUUCGAGCAAAGGUAUUGAGGUUGACAAAGCCAAGGUGGAUCUCAUUUCUAAUCUUCCUCCACCUAAAACAGUCAGAGAAGUAAGAUCUUUCCUUGGGCAUGCUGGUUUCUAUAGACGUUUCAUUAAAGAUUUUAGCAAAGUUUCUAGACCCUUAUGCAAUUUACUUGCUAAGGAUGUAUCUUUUAUCUUUAAUGAUUCAUGUCUUAUGGCGUUUGAAAAAUUAAAACAGUUGUUGACAUCAUCACCCAUCAUUUAGGCCCUAAACUGGAGCUUACCAUUUGAGCUAAUGUGUGAUGCAUCUGAUUAUGCAGUAGGAGCAGUAUUAGGACAAAGAGUUGAUCGAAUUCCCCAUGUUAUUUAUUAUGCUAGUAUGACAUUAAAUGAUGCACAGUUGAACUAUUCAACUACUGAAAAAGAAAUGCUAGCAGUAGUAUUUGCAUUAGAGAAAUUUCGAUCUUAUCUCAUUGGUUGUAAAAUAAUCGUGUUCACAGAUCAUGCUGCUCUUAAAUAUCUUCUCACAAAGAAAGAUGCAAAAGCCAGACUAAUUCGUUGGGUGUUACUUUUGCAGGAGUUUGACUUGGAAUUCAAAGAUAAGAAAGGGACAGAAAAUGUUGUGGCGGACCACCUCUCUCGUAUCCAUUUUGACACAAUUACAGAAUCAUUACCAUUGAAUGAGUCAUUUCCAGAUGAACAAUUAAUGAAUGUGGAAGUAUUACCUUGGUAUGCUGAUAUAGUUAAUUAUCUUGUUACAGGUAAACUUCCAGAGCAUUGGACCAAGCAAGAUAAGGCUAAAUUCUUUGCAGAGAUAAAGAAUUUCUUUUGGGAUGACCCGUAUUUGUUCAAGUAUUGUGCAGACCAAAUUGUUAGACGAUGUGUCCCAGAAAGUGAAAUUCAGAAUAUCCUUUCAUUCUGCCAUGAACAAGCUUGUGGAGGCCAUUUCAGUGCUAAGAAAACCGCGACUAAAGUUUUACAAUGUGGUUUUUAUUGGCCAACUAUAUUUCGAGAUGCUUACACUUUCUGUUCUUCAUGUGAUAGGUGUCAACGAAUGGGGAGCAUUACGCGAAGGAAUAUGAUGCCACUAAAUCCAAUUUUAGUGGUUGAGAUUUUUGAUGUAUGGGGUAUCGACUUCAUGGGACCCUUUCCCCCGUCUUUCAGUCAUCAAUACAUAUUGGUUGCUGUUGACUAUGUAUCAAAAUGGGUAGAAGCUAUUCCAUGUAGGACCAAUGAUCACAAGGUGGUGAUAGCAUUUUUGAAAAGCAACAUUGUUUCACGCUUUGGAUUCCCUCGAGCGAUAAUCAGUGAUGGUGGUGCCCACUUUUGUAACAAAGCAUUCAAAGCUCUUUUGACAAAGUAUUCAAUCACACACAAAGUGGCAACUCCGUAUCAUCCGCAAACCAGUGGCCAAGUUGAGAUCUCCAAUCAAGAAAUAAAGCACAUAUUAGAAAAGACGGUGAGGCCGGACAGAAAAGAUUGGUCAUUAAGACUUGAUGAUGCCUUAUGGGCAUAUAGAACGGCUUUCAAGACCCCGAUUGGGAUGUCACCCUACAGGCUAGUGUAUGGAAAAGCUUGCCACCUACCUGUGGAACUCGAGCAUCGUGCAUAUUGGGCCAUCAAGAAAUUCAAUUUUGACAUGCAGCAAGCCAGCUUAGAAAGAAGAUUACAGCUGGCAGAACUUGAAGAAAUUCGCAAUGAUGCAUACGAAAAUGCCAAGAUUUACAAGCAACGAAUGAAAGUCUUCCAUGAUAAGCAAAUUAUGAGAAAAUCGUUCACUCCAGGUCAGAAAGUGCUUUUGUUCAAUUCUCGCUUGCACCUAUUCCCAGGUAAGUUACGCUCUCGUUGGUCUGGUCCCUUUAUUGUUCAUACUGUUUUUCCACAUGGGGCAAUUGAAAUUAAGGACCCAAAGAACGGUGUCACGUUUAAAGUUUAUGGUCAAAGAUUAAAGCCAUAUCUAGAAUACCAACCACGUGGAGAAGACACCGAAAUAAAUUUGAGUGACCCACCAGAUUUGAAUUGAUUUUUUUUCUUUUUUUUCGUUGAUUUGAUUUUGUUUUCUUUCUUUAUAUUAUUCUUUUGCUAAUUGAAAUUGUUUUUGCAUAAGUGUGUUUAUUUUAUCAUUAAGUUUUCUCUUAUCAUUUUUAAUCAUGAGUCUCAUACUUAGACCGUUCCUCCUGAACAUUCUUAAACCACUUCAACGUGUCAAAACUCAUCUCAAAAGGCAGAUUCAAUUUUGUAAAACACAACGCAUUUGGGCUCUACAACCACCAGAGUUAGUAGCCUAUGUUGAGGGUUUAGAACGCCAACUCAGAGACAUUGAGAGAAGUGUUUACGACAUCCAGUUGGAGCUUGAGGUAAAUUCAAUAAGAGGAUGAUUUUAAUUUUCUUUGUGUGUUUUAAUUUGUUUUUCUAUUUGUGUGCUUUAGUUUGUUACCCCGGUGAAGUGGCGGAUAACGGUACUCCGUGACAAUCAAGUCUGUUACUUCAGUUUCCCAUAAUAACUGAUAUUCUGAGGCGAAGGUAUGGACAGAAACGAGAUUCUAUCGAAACUUCACAAGCGAUUCCCUUCACUUCCUCAGAAUGCCCUCCUUACAAUCUAUAAAGCUCGGUCCGAACGCAUGCGAUUACUCAUAACGAAUAACAUACCUGCUGACAUCCGUUGGUUAAUCGAGGCUAAAGUACGAUCGGCAGGUGAGUUACCUCCAAAAUUUAUUGCAUACAUGCCUGGUUGUGGUAAAGGAAAUUAUGCAAGAAAACGACGAGCUCGAAGAAUUUCUGUUGCUUGUCAUAAGUGUGCCAGAAUGAGUUGCAAUAAAAACCCAUGUUCUUUAGGAAUGAUGUCUGAUAACAGGGAAGAUAAGAUUCAAUUCAUUAGGGAUGGCUUGAAUAAGGAGUCAUUGGAUGAUAUCCUUUUGUCUCUUGAAACGCAUCCCAGUGGAUAUGUGCAAGGAGCGAUUCUCCAGUUAUGGCCAUUAUUCCAGAAAGAGCAUGCACGAUAUAGUCUCGGGAAUCUGACUAUAAACGACCCUGUUUGCCAGUUUAUAAGAAAACUGGAUAGGAAGCCUAUCCUCGACCCAUAGAGGGCGUUCAAGCCGUUUCUGGACGUAAAACCAGAGGAAGAUGUGAGCCACAGUCGCAACUACCUGUAAAUAUCCUUUUACUUUAUUAUUUCACUAUUGUCUUAUUGUUUGCAUUAUUGUCUUUAAUAAUUUUAUUACUGUUUGCUUUUUCCUUAUUACUGUUUGCUUUUCCCUUUUUACUGUUUUCUUUUUUACUCGCGAGCCACGUGCUUUACGCGUUAUUUGACAUGGACAUGUGACCUCAUACACAACUAUGACCCACUAUCACCAAGACUCUUAAAUGUGAUUUUCUUUGUCAAUCACUCACAAAUUAUUUUUGCGAAGUAUCACAAUGGCAGCUACUCCCAAUAGACAAUUCAAGAACAUUUGUGUGCUUUCUGGAUUUACAUAUGGCAAACAUAAAGAGUUCGUUGAGGCAGCCAUAGAUCUUGGUCGAAGCAUAGCAGCGAGAAAAUUACACUUGGUGUAUGGAGGAGGUAACCGAGGAUUAUCAAAAAUGGUCUCAGAAGCAGCUUUUAUCAGAGGAAGUCAAGUGUUAGGCAUCAUCCUAAGAGUCUUAAAACCAUUGGGCAGUUCGUCUGACUCAUCAACUGGAAAAGAGUUAGUCGUGUCAUGUAUACAAGAAAGAAUAACUGAAAUGCUUAAUCAUGUUGAUGCUUUUAUUUUUCUUCCAGGGGAUCUUGCAACACUAGAGGUACUUAUCACACUAGCAUCUUGGGCCCAUCUGCACAUCCACUAAAAACCCAUCGGUUUGUUAAAUGUCAAUAACUUUUAUGAUGGCUUUAUCGCAUUUCUUAACCAUGCAAUAAAAAACUAUUUCAUUCCCGCUAAUGUGAAAAAACUCUUUAUUUGUGCUCACACUGCUAAUGAGCUACUUGAUCUGUUACAAGCUUAUAAACCGGAGCCAGACCCCUGGACCUUUGUGUUGGAGCAUCCACAUAAUGAUGGUAACAGUAGCCGCAGUAAGAAGUACAAAUUAGAUUUAACUCUCCGCCUGUAAAUAUUUUCUUCUGUGUUGCACCACCCAGGUGAUGUCUUCUAAACUCUACUUCUUUCAUUUCAAACAUUGAGGACAAUGUUUCGUUCUGGUUGGGGGGAGGGAAUAGUCGACAAUUGUGGAAUUUUGGUUAAGUUUUUACUAAUUUUUUGUUGUAGAAACUAACUGUUGCUAACUUUUUGUGUUGAAGAUGGCUGAAUAUGGAGUGUAGUGACUCUAGAAACGCAUCUUCAUCGUUUAUAAAAAAAAAAAUUCAGACAUUUUCUUUUUCUUUAUUAUGUGUUUAUGUUUAUUUUUCUUCUUUUUAAUUUCUCCUCUAUAAAUAUACAUUUUCCAACUUUUGAGUCGAAGAUGGCUGAAUAUGGAGUGUAGUUCCUCUAGAAACGCAUCUUCUUUAAAAAAAAAAAUCAUUUUCGUUUUCUAUCAUUUUACGUGUAACUUUUCUAAUUAGUUUUUAUGCAUCAUUUUCACAUUUCUGCAUGCAUAUUUUCCUUUCAUGUUUAGAAUAGGUUGGGGGGUAGAAUGAUGUUUAAAAAAAAAAUGUGUGAUUUGUUUUAACAUUGGAUGACAUGAUUAAUUUCAAAUUUUAGUAUUUGUAUUAUCUUUGGUCUUAAGUGAUGUUACGCUAUGUUUGCUACUUUACAUGUUGAUGUCGGAGACAAAUGUGAGUUGCUUGAAGGAAUGAACAUGUCAUAAUAAGUACCAAGUGAGUUUUUGAGCCUAUUAUUUUUCUUGGAGAAUAACCCUUUUGCCCACUCUUUAUACAGCUUAGCAGUUUAUUAUUUUAUACACGAUCUCUAAAUUACUUUUGAGUUAACCCUUAAAAAAAAAAAGAAAAAAGAAAAAAAGAGCGUGUUACUACAUUUGGAGGCCCAUCUAACUAGUAGAUAUGGAAGAUUAUUUAGAGCCCUAAAAGACGAUGGAAAGGCCAUCUUUGAUCCGUUUGAGCCUUUCUAGCCAUCCCUUUUAUCAAAUAUCCAUAGUUAACCCUUUUGAGCCUUUAAAAAAAAUAAAAAUAAAAAAAACCUUUUUCUUUGUCAACUUAUCAUCUUGACCCACUCCGAUUUGGAGUAUUACCCAAUGUCUUAUAAGUUCCAUCACCUAUAUAUGUUUGAGAAAAUGUAAAUAAUUUUGUUGUUCAGUAAAGUUAUGCAAAAAAAAAAAACAAACAAACAAACAAAACAAAAGUUGUUGUUUCAAAAGAAAAAAAAUAAAAAUAAUAGGUGAAAUCCACCUUGCAACUUCCAAAAAAAAAAAAAAUUCUCUGCAUUUUUCUCAAACAUACACUUUGUUUUCCUUAUUUUCCUUCUUUGUUAGCCAUGUCCCUAGCCUACGUUACGUCCUAAUAAAAGUCCUUCUUGAUUUUAGGGAACUAUAGUUUGAAGUAGAAGCUAGUUAUAUGGGCUAAAAAGAUGUCGUGAUGCAUAAUAAAAAAAAAGAGAUAAAUAAAUUGGGUUGACUAGCAUUUUUGUUUGACUUGAGAUCGUAUUAUUUCUAAGCUGAGGGCAUAUUUAUUUCAUCUUGGUGAGAGCAUGUGAUAUCACUUCUUUAUUAUUUUCUCUCUCAAUUACCAUUCAUUGGAGUGACUAUUUUUAUUGGUUUUAAUUUCUUUGUGAGAGUGUCACUACUUCCAGUGAGAUUUUGGGGUUUGACAUGUCAUUCUUGAAAGUAGCUAUGACAAAGUCUGCUGGGCUGAUUCAUGUGGAUGGUUGAUGUGGGUGUGAUGUUGCUUUAGACUGGAGAUAAUGCUUAUACUUUUAUUUGAUUGCUAUCAUUAAUCUGACGGAAUAAAUACGAAUGUUUCUAUUAAAUAAUAAUAAUAAUAAUAAUAAUAAUAAUAUUUUGAAUUUGAAUUUUGUUUUCGCUUUAUUUGCUAGGGACUAGCAAUAAGCUGGUUGGGGGGUGUGUUGGGCAAUGGUUUGAGCUCGAGUUUCGGUGGUGAUUCUGAUGAUGGGAUGAGUUUCUUCUCUGAUGGUGCUAGUUGCUCAACUCUUGACUUCCAUUUAUUAGUAUCCAUAGAUGGUGCUGAGUCAAGCAGGGCGUUGACCUCAUCGACCGAUCUGUCAAUAUCAAAAUCCAAACCAAAGUGAGUUAAACAUGUUUGUAAAGGAUCAUCGACCGAUCUAUCAAUAUCAAGCAGGGUGUUGACCUCAUCGACCGAUCUGUCAAUAUCAAAAUCCAAACCAAAGUGAGUUAAACAUGUUUGUAAAGGAUCAUCACUAAGGUUUGAAACAAAAGUAUCAUCAACUAAUGCUUCAAUUAAAUCCACAUCAACAAUUCCAUCAUCUGCACUGUGAGGUUGUUUGGCAAUGUUGAAGAUGUUCAGCUCCAUAGUCAUGUUGCCGAAGGACAACUGCAUAUUUCCAGUCCUGCAUUGAAUGUGAGCAUCCGCAGUUGCCAAGAAAGGUCGGCCUAGAAUAAUGGGGAUGUGCUUCCUCAAGUCCUGUAUUGGUUGAGUGUCAAUUACAAUGAAAUCAACAGGAAAAUAAAACUUGUCUACCUGGAUAAGCACGUCCUCCACAAUGCCACGAGGUAUUUGUUAAGUGUUAGAAAAUGCAUAUUUAUAAAGGAGAAAACCGUCAUUUUACAUUUCAAGUCUUACUAACAACCCUUACUUUUAUGUAUUUAACCUUCUUGUGAUUUAAUUACAUGUGUUUUAUUUUAAUUAAGUAUUUUAUGUAUUUUAGGGGCAUUAUAGUCAUUUCACAAUAAAGGAGAGAUCAGACGGCAAAACGGACAUCACUUUUGAACUCAGGACAGUCGAAAACCUUAGGAGGAGCAUAAAAGGAAAAAUGGCACUAUUCAUAUGUACGGUACUAUUCACGUGUACGGUACUAACUACGUUACUGUUCACAACACUGUUCACAUAGACGGAUCGAUGACGUGGCAUUGACCGAUGAUGUGGCAUUGACUGAUGAGGUGUCACGAUCCUGUUGGGCUAAAAUUCUUAUGUACUGUUGAUGGUGACGUGGCAUCAUAUCAGUGGAUGAAAAAUCUCGCGUACGGUACAUGCAUCACACAGGAUUAUUUUCAACCAAACCGCGUUACUGUUCAUCCGAGUCAAACCGCGUCACUGUUCAUCCGAGUCAAACCGCGUUACUGUUCAUCCGAGUCAAACCGUGUUACUGUUCAUCCGCGUGGUCAAACCGUGGACUGUUGACUGAUGACGUGGCGCAAUCCUGAGCGUCUAAACUGUUUUUAAUCCGAUGGCCAUGAUUUACUCCAUGUAUCUAUAAAAAGGGGGCCUCCCCCCCCUAAUUGGAGAUCUCUGAAUCCAUUUUUGAGAUCCAUUUUCUGUAAUUCCUUCUCCAUCUUGUAUUUUCUUCGUAUUUUAAUAAAUUCCCAUUUUGCCCCUAGUUCAACUAUGAGUGGCUAAUUUUCUUUCAAGCUUAGGUUGAAGGUGAAGUCUCAACAUGUGUCAUGGGCUUAAUUUGGUAAAUUUAUUUUCUUUUCCCCUCUAGUUUUUGUGGAUGUUUUGACUUCUCGUCGACAAAUAAUACUAAUCUUGUCUAGUACCGCCUUGGUUUCACCAGCCCUCUAGUACAAGGUUAUUAUUAUUUGGCACGAUAAGCUCUUAGCACCAUAUUGAUUAGAGCGUGGUUCAUGAGGUGUGGAUUCCCCCCUCAUGAUUUAAUUGGCAUUAAUACGGAUUAUUUAGCCCAUGAUGCAUGUUGAUACGGAUCCAGAUACCCAAGUACGUCAUUUUAAUAGAAUUCUCUUCAAUUUAUUCUCGCAAUUUCUAUUCCAAUUUUAGAAUUUAUUCUUGCCAUUUUAAUUUAAGUCUUAGCAUAUUCCAAAUCAUUUCCACCACAAAUCCAAUCACCCAUUUACAAAAUUAAUUCUACACAAUUAAAAUCCACCUCCUCGUGGGAUCGACACUCGUCACCAUUGAUCUAUACUAUAAUAGAUUUGUGCGCUUGCGAGUACAUUAAAAUUUGCACAACAGUAUUUUCGUGGACCGAUCUGCAAGUUGUAACACUACUGGAGUUGGGUGUAAUUCUCCUAGUCCAAGUUUCACAAAUACAGAGUAAGGCAACAGAUUUACACUAGCUCCUAAAUCCAACAAAGCAUUCUCAAUUGUGUGGUUCCCUAUGCAACAUGAGAUAGUGGGGGAGCCUGGGUCUUUGCAUUUUAAAGGAAUUUUAUGUUGGAGUAUAGAACUAACAUUUUCUGUUAAAAAUGCCUUCUUUUGAACAUGCAUAUUUCUCUUUUUAGUACAAAGGUCUUUAAGAAACUUGGCAUAAGAUGGAACUUGUUUUAUAGCAUCAAGCAAAGGGAUGUUAACACUUACCUGUUUGAAGAUUUCAAGAAUCUCACCUGUGGAUUUUCCCUUAUUUCCUUUCGCUAACCUCUGAGGAAAUGGAGCUUUGGGAACGUAUUCUCAUGAGUUGUUUUCGUCUUUCUCCUCCGGUGAUGAUUCCUCAACAUUCACAAGUACAAUUUGAUUUUCUUUUGUCACCGGCAUCUCCACUUUGUUGUCGACUUCUUUUCCUUUUCGCAAGGUCAUGACUGCUUUGACCUCUCCAUGCUGCUGUGGUGAACUGGUACUUGCUUCAUGUACUCCUUUAGGAUUAGGCACUGGUUGACUUGGAAAUUUUCCUUUAUCAAAAGUCAUUGCCAAGGUCUAAACUGAGGAAGCAAGUUGUCCCACCAUCUUCUCGAGGCUUGAAACUGAUUAGGCUUGUGAAUUGAAGCCUGCUCUUAACUCAUUUCGUAGUCCAUCAAUGGUGCGGUUCUGUUGCUCAAUCGUGGAGUGAGUAACAUUCUUGAAAUUCUGGAAUGCAUCCUCCUAUGGUCUGGGCUGAAAGUAGUUCUGGUUCUGAUUGUAUGAUCUAAAUGGGGGCUGAGAGGCUUGAGGAUUUUGAGGAAUUGGUGGAGCUGGAGCUGGAGCUGCUGGUCCAUUCUGUUGGAAUCCUUGAGACCAUGAAAAAUUGGGGUGGUCUCUCCAUCCAGGGUUAUAUGUGUUGGAGUAUGGGUUGUAAUUCGAUGGUUUUCUCAUUACACCUAUGGCAUUGGUUUGAUCUGAGUAUGAGUCAUGGUCAUGUGGUUCUGUUGAUUUAGCUGUUGAUAACGAUGCUAUUUGUCGAGAGAGACCUUCAAUUAUCGCUUUGACUUCUUUAAUUUCUGAACUUGACUCGCCAAUGUGAACCUCAUUCACUCCUUUAAUUCUUCUAGUAUUCCUGAGUGACCGACUCCGUUGUUGGGAAUUAUCCGCUUGUCGCUGGAAGAAUUCCCAAAUCUCUGAUGCACUUUUUGACAUUAGCUCUCCUCCACUUGUUGCCAUUAGCCAUUCUUGCACAUUUGGCAAUAAUCCCUCCAAAAAGUAUUGGCAUUGGUGCCAUUUCUCGUACCCAUGAUGUGGACACUUCAAGAGUAGCCCAUUGAAUCGCUCCCAUGUUUCGAAAAAUUGCUCGUCCUCUCUCUGGGUAAACUCCGAGAUUUCCCUGCGAAUAGCAUUGGUUUUAUGCACUGGGAAAUAUUUAUUCAAAAAUUUAGUUACCAUUUGUUCCCAUGAUGAAAUGCUAUUGGCAGGCAAUGUAUUAAGCCAUGAACGAGCUCUAUCCUUUAAAGAAAAUGAGAAUAAUCUGAGUUUAACAUCAUCGUCUAAAAAAUUCUCGUAUUUAAAAGUUUGACAAAUAGCUUGAAAAUCAUUCAGAUGAUUAUAUGGGUCCUCAUUUUCUAAGCCAUAGAAUGUAGGGAGACAAUUUAGCACACUAGAUUUUAAUUCAAAGCUCCUAGCAGCUACAUUUGGGUAUCUUAUACAUGAUGUGCUCAAAUUAGCUAAAGGACUGAAGUAGUCCUUAAAUGGUAUCUCCUGUGGUUGCAAAUCCAUUUUAUUUUUUACUUGUUUGUGUGUGCGAAGUGUUUUCUCAAGUUCAAGGUCUAUAGGUUCAAGAUUGGGUAAUAAUGACCUUCGACCAUGCAUGCAAAACAAAUAAAAUAAAAAAUAAAGAUGGGAACAAAAUAAAUAAAAAUAAAGAAGAGGGAGAAAUUACGAUACUAACCUUAUUGCGCUAUUACAAACUUUCUAUAAAAAUACACAAAAAUAAAUACGUGAAAUAAAUUAACUAAAAAGAAUUAGUAAGAUAAACAAAAAUUACAAAGAAAAAAAAAUAACUUGAAAAUUAAAUUACAGAAAUUUAAAGAAGAGAAAAAGAAAAGAAAUUACUAACCUCUAAAUGCGGAUUCACUUUUUUUUUUAAUAAAAAAUACAAGAAAACAAAUAAAAGAAAUUAUUCACAAAAAAUUAAUUUUACGAAUUAAAAUUACUUACCUCCCCGGCAACAGCGCCAAAAACUUGUUGUGCAAAUUUUAAUGUACUCGCAAGCGCACGAAUCUAUUGUAGUAUAGACUAAUGGUGACGAGUGUCGAUCUCACGAGGAGGUGGAUUUUAAUUGUGUGUAGAAUUAAUUUUGUAAAUGGGUAGUUGGAUUUAUGGUGGAAAUGAUUUGGAAUAUGCUAAUACUUAAAUUAAAAUGGCGAGAAUAAAUUCUAAAAUUGGAAUUGCAAUGGAGAGAAUAAAUUGAAGAGAAAAUCUAUUAAAUUGACGUACUUGGGUAUCUGGAUCCGUAUCAACAUGCAUCAUGGGCUAAAUAAUCCGUAUUAAUGCCAAUUAAAUCAUGAGGGGGGAAUCCACACCUCAUGAACCACGCUCUAAUCAAUAUGGUGCUAAGGGCUUAUCGUGUCAAAUAAUAAUAACCUUGUACUAGAGGGCCGGUGAAACCAAGGCGGUACUAGACAAGAUUAGUAUUAUUUAUCGACAAGAAGUCAAAACAUCCACAAAAACUAGAGGGGAAGAGAAAAUAAAUUUACCAAAUAAAGCCCAUGACACAUGUUGAGACUUCACCUUCAACCCAAGCAUGAAAGAAAAUUAGCCACUCAUAAUUGAACUAGGGGUAAAAUAGGAAUUUAUUAAAAUACGAAGAAAAUACAAGAUGGAGAAGGAAUUACAGAAAAUGGAUCCCAAAAAUAGAUUUAGAGAUAUCAAAUUAGGGGGCGAGGCCCCCUUUUUAUAGAUACAUGGAGUAAAUCAUGGCCAUCGGAUUAAAAACAGUUUGGACGCUCAGGAUUUCGCCACGUCAUCAGUCAACAGUACGCGGUUUGACCACGCGGAUGAACAGUAACACGGUUUGACUCGGAUGAACAGUAACGCGGUUUGGUUGAAAAUAAUCCUGUGUGAUGCAUGUACUGUACACGGGAUUUUUCGUCCACUGAUAUGUUGCCACAUCACCAUCAACAGUACAUAAGAAUUUUAACCCAACAGGAUCGUGACACCUCAUCAGUCAAUGCCACAUCAUCGGUCAAUGCCACAUCAUCGAUCCGUCUAUGUGAAUAGUGUUGUGAACAGUAACGUAGAUAGUACCGUACACGUGAAUAGUACCGCGCAUAUGAAUAGUGCUAUUUUUCCUUUUAUGCUCCUCCUAAGGUUUUUGAUCGUCCUGAGUUCAAAAGUGAUGUCCGUUUUGCCGUCUGAUCUCUCCUUUAUUGUGAAAUGACUAUAAUGCCCCUAAAAUACAUAAAAUACUUAAUUAAAAUAAAACACAUAUAAUUAAAUCACAAGAAGGUUAAAUACAUAAAAGUAAAGGUUGUUAGUAAGACUUGAAAUGUAAAAUGACGGUUUUCUCCUUUAUAAAUAUGCAUUUUCUAACACUCAACACUUAUCCUUAAGGGAUUCUUGUGGGGAGGUAGCUGGCAACGUCUUUUUCUUUUUCUACAAUGGGCUAGUGGGAGGAGUUGCCAUUGGGGCAACCUGUUUGGUUGACACAUAUCUGGUUCUUUUUGGUUUUGGUGAGGCUGCGGCAGCAAUGCCUCCAGAAGUGCCUCCCUUUCUUUUGGUAAAUCCUCUAGGACUAACACAAACAUGUUUAUUGAGAGUUUGCUGUGAAGGAGCUGGAGCUGGGGCAUUAGUUGCAUGUCCCUCAGCUGUGAUGGUGGCAAUGAUGUCAAGCAGCUGCUUAGCUUCUGUGGGUGUACGAGUGACUUUGGUUGCUGCAGCUUCCAACUCUACAUCAACUUGCUCAGCUUCAUCUUCAGAGGCAGGAGGGGUAGCUAUUUUUUCCUUGCCCUUUCUAGAAAUGACUGGAAUAAAGGGCUCCUCUUCAGGUUCAUCUUCUUUCUCUUCUUGGAUAAGGUGUUUUUUUCUAGAUUUGGAGGAGGUCCUGACUAGGGUUCCUCACGUUCUUUCUCAGACUCUUCCUCUGCCUCUGUUGGUGAACUAUCAGUUGCAGAAUUGUCACCCUCUUCCUCAUGUUGGUCAGAUUGUUCAGCAGCUUCUGAGUUAGCCUCUGCUUGUGGGUUUACUGCAGCUUCCUCUUCUGGUUCAUCCAUGUCAGUGGCUUCUUUACUGACCUUUGCUGGGGCCUCUAUAGUGUUGGUGUCAAAAUUAUACUGCUGGAGCAAUGAAUCGGGGAAAUUCCGGUGGGUACUUUUCAUGUAUAGAGAAAAUUAGUGUAAGUGGCUUUCCAGGUGCUGUAAGUAGCUCCAAAACCGAUCGUUUUCCCUCUGCUAAGCCUCAGUACAUUGAGUGAUGCUAGUGCUCAGUGCUUGUAUUCUCUGAUAGUUCACCAACAGAGGCAGAGGAAAAGUCUGAGAAAGAACGUGAGAAACCCCAGUCAGGACCUCCUCCAAAUCUAGUUCACCAACAGUUUGUCACCCUCUUCCUCAUGUUGGUCAGAUUGUUCAGCAGCUUCUGAGUUAGCCUCUGCUUGUGGGUUUACUACAGCUUCCUCUUCUGGUUCAUCCAUGUCAGUGGCUUCUUUACUGACCUCUGCUGGGGCCUCUGUAGUGUUGGUGUCAAAAUUGUACUGCUGGAGCAAUGAAUCAGGGAAAUUCCAAUGGGUACUUUUCAUGUAUAGAGAAAAUUAGUGUAAGUGGCUUUCCAGGUGCUGUAAGUAGCUCCAAAACCGAUCGUUUUCCCUCUGCUAAGCCUCAGUACAUUGAGUGAUGCUGGUGCUCAGUGCUUGUAUUCUCUGAUAGUUCACCAACAGAGGCAGAGGAAAAGUCUGAGAAAGAACGUGAGAAACCCCAGUCAGGACCUCCUCUAAAUCUAGUUCACCAACAGACUUGUCACCCUCUUCCUCAUGUUGGUCAGAUUGUUCAACAACUUCUGAGUUAGCCUCUGCUUGUGGGUUUACUACAGCUUCAUCUUCUAGUUCAUCCACGUCAGUGGCUUCUUUACUGACCUCUGCUGGGGCCUCUGAAGUGUUGGUGUCAAAAUUGUACUGCUGGAGCAAUGAAUCAGGGAAAUUCUGGUGGGUACUUUUCAUGUAUAGAGAAAAUUGGUGUAAGUGGCUUUCCAGGUGCUGUAAGUAGCUCCAAAACCGAUCGUUUUCCCUCUGCUGAGCCUCAGCACAUUGAGUGAUGCUGGUGCUCAGUGCUUGUAUUCUCUAUUCUAGCCCAAUAGCUCGUCUCGCUCAUGUUGCAGCAGCUGGUUUAGAUGUGGCUCCAGCAGUUUCACCAGCAAUUCUCUCAAUAGUGCGUGCUGUAAGGGCACCAUCAUUCUUGACAUGUUCAUCUUUUGCAUCAAGACAAACUCCUGAUACUACACAGAUGCUGGUGAAGAGUGAAGGAAAUAGCAAGGCAGCACCUUUGUGGUUCUUCAUGGCACAGUCCCAAAUUUUAUUUUUCGAUAAUGCUUCCCACAUCUAUGGGAAGCCCUCUAAUAAUAACAUACAACAAUACCAACCUUUCUUAUGAGACAUUAGUGGUGUGGGUGGUUGGCAUAAGCCUGGAUUUCAAAUAUUUCACCUACACCUUAGCAAUGGGUUUUAAAUCUAUCUUGUUAAUUACAUGCCCUUCCUCAUUAGCCCACGAUGUACCCUUUACUGUAAGUGUCGUGAAAAUUGUGUUCCAUCUUUGCGGGGUCAAUUUGUCAAGCAACUUGGCAUACUCACAAUUAAUUUCAGCAGGUAAAUUAUAGAAAGCAUUUAUAACUCGAGAGUCUAAUGGAACAAGUGAGUUUCUUACCCAAGCAUUGUGCUGACCAGGGCUUACCAAAUUGGCGUAAAAUUCUUUUACAACUGGCAGCAUAGGGUCUCGAGGAUGGUUACAAAACUCUAGCCACCCACGCUUUGCUACAGCAUUGUGUACUGAUUGCACAAUUCCUUGGGUUGAGGUGGGAAUUGAAACCUUUUUUCUUUCAGAAUUUUGCGUGGUUCAAUGAAUUCUUCAUAUUUUUCUUCCGCAUCGUAACUUUGGAAGCGUGAAGGAUCUUUUUGUCGACUGGCUGUCCUUUUAUACCUUGGCAUUGCUAUAGCAGUAAGAAUUCGAUGGUAAUAUGCCUGAGAGUAAAAUGAGAAGAAUGAGUUAAGAAUUAUUGGAGUCGUGAUUUCGAAGGAGAGGGGAAAUAGUGUCAGAAGUCACUAAGCACCGUAACUCCCUUUUAUAGUUGAAAUUAAAUGAAAAUAAAUCCGGUAAAGAGAGAUAAAUUAGGGAAGAAUAUAUUUUAAAUUCAUUAAGCAUAUCCCAUAAAAAUAGGCAAGAGAAAUUAGUGCAUUAAUUUUGAAGAUUUUUCUUCUUCAAUUUCUAUCCAAAUUCAUUCAUCCAUCUGGCACAUGUUAUCCCCAACGGUAAGUGAGAGGCUCCCUCUUUAAGUUACUGUAACGGUAAUAUUGGUUGUUGCAGCACCCAAUUGUUUGCUCUAGUAAUGGUUACAUAGUCUUCUCCAAUAGCUGCUGACACAUGGCUUGCCACUGUACUCUAUUAACAACACAGCCCCAAUUGUUGGUAUGGAAUCCAUUUUUCACACACGUCUCGUGAGAGUUUCAAAAAUAAAUAAGACCAAUCCUAAACUACAGAGAAAACCAAUUUUAAAAGACAACACAUAAAAGUUAAACAAUCCUAAAUAAAAGAAAUAGAAAUAAUUAACGGAAAUAACAUAAAUAAAAAUUAAAAUAAAGUAAAUUAAGAGGAAAAAAAUAUUUAUUAAAACCAAGGAUGAUCCUUCUUGUUUGAGGUGAUUGCCUCCGCAAUGGGUUGCCUCCCAUUGAGCGCUUGAUUUAAGGUCCUUCAGCCUGACCUUUCUUGAGUGUUCAUAAACUCGGUUCUUUGAAGAGUAAGACCUCCUUUGAGCAAUCCGCAGCUGAGUGUAUGUAAUGCUUAUCUCUGUGCCCAUUGACUUGGAAUUCCUGGCCUGUCUUUUCAUCUAAGAGAUCAACAACCCCAUGAGGAUAAAUUCUGAGCAGCUUGAAGGGUCCAGACCAUCGAGAUUUCAGUUUCCCUGGAAAUAGUUUAAGCCUCGUAUUAUGGAGCAGUACUAGUUGACCAGGGAUUAAUUUCCUUGGUUGGAUAUGUUUGUCAUGCCAGUGCUUUGUUCUCUCUUUAUAAAUUCUUGCAUUUUCAUAUGAGAACAUACGUAAUUCAUCAAGCUGACAUAGUAGAAGCUUCCUUUGCUCUGCUGCAGCAUGUAUAUCUCAAUUUAAUUGCUUCAGUAUCCAGUAUGCUUUAUGCUCUAGCUCAAGUGGCAAGUGACAAGCUUUCCCAUACACAAUUCGGUAGGGAGACAUGCCAAGUGGUGUUUUGUAUGUUGUUUUGUAGGUCCAUAAGGAGUCAUGUAAACGCAAGGACCAAUCCUUCCUGGAUGGAUUCAUCACUUUUUCUAAGAUUUUCUUAAUCUCUCUAUUAGACACUUCUGCUUGGCUAUUUGAUUGUGGGUGAUAUGUUGUUGUUACUUUAUGCCUGACUCCAUAUUUUACCAUAGUCGCAGCAAAUACUUUGUUGCAAAAAUGAGUACCCUCAUCACUAAUAAUUGCUCUUGGAGUGCCAAACCUGGAAAAAAAAUUUCUGAAGAAAGUCCACUACUGCUUUAGCAUCAUUGGUAGGUAAUGCUGCAGCUUCUACCCAUUUGGAGACAUAAUCCACAACAAUCAGGAUAUUUAAGUUCCCAAAGGAUGGUGGAAAAGGACCCAUGAAAUAUAUUCCCCAUACAUCAAAGACUUCUACUUUCAGAAUGUUUGUCAAUGGCAUUUCAUGUCUUUGAGUUAUUUUUCCUGUCCUUUGACACCUGUCAGAACAUUUAGUAAAUUCAUAAGCAUCUUUAAAAAUAAAAGGCUAGUAAUAACCUGAUUGCAGAACCUUAGCAGCUGUUCUGUGACCACCAAAAUGUCCUACAUAUGUUGCAGCAUGGCACAAUUCCAGUAUAUGAGGAAUCUCUCCCUCUGAAGCACAUCUUCGUAUACUUGAUCUAAGCAUAACUUAUACAAAUACAGGUCAUCCCAUUGGUAGCUUCUAACAUCAUGAAGACAUUUCUUUUUCUCUUGAAACUUCAACUCAGGUGGUAGCAAUCCACUUACUAAGUAGUUAGCAAAAUCUGCAUACCAUGGAGGUCCUGCUUGCUGCAACAUUUGUGCUUGCUGUACAACUAACAGUUGUUCAUCAAGAAAAGUUUCAGUGAUGUCCUUUCUUGUCAAUGUGCUUGUUUCUGCUUCUAGGCUCGACAGAUGGUCUGCUACUUGAUUCUCAGUCUCCUUUCUAUCUUUAAUUUCCAGAUCAAACUCCUGAAACAAUAAGAUCCAUCGUAUUAAUCUUGGUUUAGCAUCAUUCUUUGAGAUUAAGUACUUUAUGGCUGUAUGGUAUGUGUACACUGUCACUUUAGUACCCACCAAGUAAGCUCUAAAUUUAUCAAAAGCAAAUACUGAAAUGCAAGUAACACAACCCAAGAGGGGGGGUGAAUUGGGUUUGUAAAAAUUAUGCAAUAUAAUUCGAACAACAAAUCAAUCUAACGCCUUAAUGAAAUAGAGAACAAUAAAUUCAAAUAAGCGUAAACAUAAAAGAGCAAGGGAAGAGAAAAACAAACAUGCGGAUUUUUACGUGGUUCGACAAUCCCCGCCUACAUCCCCGCCUCUAAGCCAACCAAUCUCGAGGAUUUCACUAUCCAAGCCUCCCAAGGCUUCAAGUUCUUAUAAUUGACUUGCAAGGUGUCAAUGAACCUUUACAAUCAAGAGAUUAUCUCCCCAAUCUAUUCACCCUAAGUGUUUCCCACACUUACACACUCACAAUUUGAUAAGAAAUGAAAAUUAUAACAAAAAAACUCUCUCUAAGAGUGGAUAUGCAAAUAAUAGCUCAACAAUGAUUCAAUCUAUGAUGAUUUGCAUUUUGGAAGCUCAAUAUAUGCUGUAUGAUCUUAUAUUUGCUUGCAUUAGUCCUUAGAAUGAAGUUUGAGUUGACUUUUUAUAGUUGAAGCACGAAAACUAGCCGUUAUAGGCAAAUUCCCGCGCCCAAGCCGUUAGCCGCUUGAUUUAUCCGGCUAGCCGCUCAGAAACAGUGAUAUUACUGUUAUUUUUUAAUUUUGCUACAGUAAUACUGUUCACUAAAAUUACAGUUUGGCUUAAAAUUUUUUGUAAUUAUACUAACGCCCAAAAUGUUAUAAAACUUUGCAAAUAAGUCCAAUUUCAGAACUUCCGAAGAGUAGUUGUCUUUCCCAAACUUUCUAAAAUUAUGAUAUGACCGCAAAGAUUUUAUUAUUUCGCACAAAGGUCCUUUUCAACAUAAUACCCAUAUUUUUCAAAGUUCUCAAAACCUUUCACUUUAGUCCAAAAUAUUCAUAAAUUAUAGUAUGGCCCAAAACAUUUCAAACGUUUGUAAUAACGUCCAACUCCGAAAUUUAAUACUUAUUUAAAAUCAAAGAUUUCAAAACUUAGCAUUUAAGUCCAAAUUACUCAAAUCCACAAAAUACUUUACUUUAUAAAAAUAAAACCUUUUAGUUUAUGAAAAGUAUUUAAUUAAAUUAAUCUCUUGAGCUUCUCAAAUGCUAAAUCAUGCAUCAAUUAAAUCAUACCGGCUUUACAAGAAUUUAUCGCACUAAUUUGUUCGUUGAGCUCUAAACUAUAUUCUUGAUGUCGCCGUUGUCCGUUGAGUGUCUUCAAUCUUGAUUUCACUUGAUUCACUUGCAUAAAUAUUAUCCUUCAAAAACUAGUGAAAAUGUGAAAUACAAUAUUUAUUAUUUUUACUUAAGACCCAUGUUUGUUAUCAUCAAAAUUACAUUAUGUGUAGCCUUUUAGGCUAACAAUCUCCCCCUUUUAGAUGAUGACAAACAUCUCAUGUAUUUUGACAUUAAACUCCCCCUCAAUACAUGGCAUACAUGACUUCAACUUAUAAAUCAAAUUUAAGAAUAAAACUCCCCCUAAAUAUAUGAUCUAUUACAAUUUGUAAACUCCCCGUUAAUAUUUCAUAACCAUGCACAAAUAGUUUAAGAUUAAAAUACAUAUUAUAUGUCUCUGUAUUCAAAAUACAUGAUCUCUCCCCCUUCAUCAUCAAAAUUACUAGAAAUUUAUGCCAAUUAAAAAAAUAGAACCAAAAUUACAUUAUCAAAAACUUAUCAUAUUUAUUUCCCCCUAAAAAAAAUAGAUAUAUGCAAUUUGAAACAAGAUCAUCAAAAAUAAUUAAAUGAAGAUAUACUCAUUGUGUGCGAGCAAAACUUUCGGCAGAGUCUCCCCUUAAAAAAGAACAAAUCCUCAAAUACAUAAUGUGGUUAAAAACACUUCCAUAUAAGCUUAAACAAGUAUAACAAACCAACAACUCCACCAAGUCAUCAAGCAACACAUAAGAAUUAAGCAUAUAAUAACCAAUCCGAAAACAUCAUCCAAAUAUAACAUAUCCGAAGAUCAAAUAACAAGCAUCCUUAAUCCACAAAUUAAAAACAACAUAUCCAAAUAUCAAACAACAAGAUGUCAUCCGCAAAUGAAAUAUAACAAUGCAUGAAGAAAUGUAGUGCAGAGUGACAAAUAAAAAAAGAUAGAGUGCUAAGGAGAUGGUGGAUGUGAUGAAGAGGAUGGUGGUGGAAAUCCAAGAGCUGCAAAAAGUUGCUACUGGCCAUCAAGAAGCUGCUCUUGUUGAGCAAAGAGACGCUCUCGCUCGAAAAUGGACUGAAGUUGAAAAGCUUCAAGCAUAGACUGAAGUUUGUCUUGCCGCUCAGAAAGUGAAUCCACUUUAGUUAACAGCUGCUGUAACGGAUCCUCAGAGUCAGCUGAAAUUGAGUGGGAAGGACCCUCGGAAGGUGGAGGUCGUGAGAGAUAUGGAGCACUAAGAUUAGGAAGCAAGUGUGGGGGACAGACAUCGUUAAAGAAACGAUGAUCUGUAGGAGCAAUGUCCCCAACCUUUUUGUUUCUUUCAUCUUUAUGCCAUUGAUCAUCCCUCCAAUAAAAACCCAAAUUAGCAAUUGAUUAAUCGCCUAAUUCCCUCGAAUUCAAGGAGAUUGGCUCAGUUAUAGGGACACGGAAAUACUCUAGAAGUCAGGUAAUAAUACUAGCAUAUGGAAGGGAUCUUUUGGCUAAGUUGGGAGUACUAAGCAUGUGAUGAAGGAUAAUAUACCCAAUAUUUAGCACCCUCUCCUCUAGAAUACAAUCCAAAAUGGCUACAUCUAAACGGCUAACUCCAUCCGCAUGACCGGCCCUAGGAGUAAUCACAUGAUGAAGAACAUAAUGAAGGAUUCGAGUUUGAAGAUGUAAGGCUUGAGAUUUCAAAGGUGAGUUACAGAACGCAGUGGACAAAUCAUGCCGUAGACAAAUUUUUCGAACGGCAUUUUCAAGUGAGAACCAAGGUUGUUUGAUUUUGGCUCUAGCACUAUAUAGUACCAAUCCCUCAUUUGGAGUGCCAAUGAUAGAAUUUAGCAAAGCAACAUCAAAUUCAAUAUGAACUCCCCCAACAUUAGUAACAAUUCUAUUCGAAACUUCCGUAUCCAUAUUCGAAUAGAAAACCUUGACUAAAUUUUCAUAGUAAUGUUCAUUAACAACCAACACAUUCUUCCAUCCCAUAGCAAUAAGUAAAUCUUUAAGAGAUUUAUCACAAAUUUCUAAAUUCUCCAUAUUUCUGAGAUUGACAAAAUAAGGAGUAAUGACCGACCUUGGCUUGAAAUGGUCGAGAAAAUGUUUCCGAAGUUGGAGUUGUGGAAAAUGAAUCAACAUAAAGUCUGAAUAAUCUCCAUGAUCAUCCUUACGCUUCUUGGCCACGUGUUUUCCCUUGGACUUGUCACCACCCCCAUUGUUGGAAGAAAAAAGAGCUUAAAAAUGCAAUUUCGGGUUUAACAAAAAUUGAGUGAAAUGGAUAUGUUUGAGGCAAGAAAAUCAAUCCUAGAGAUGAAUGAAACUAAUUUAUGAUGUAGAUUGAAUUAAAAAUGGGCUAAAGGAAGCUUGAAAAUGAAGAGAGAGAAACGGGUUGAGUGAGAUUUUUUAUUUUGGGUUUUAUGUGGAGAGUUGAUGAAAUGAUGUUUUGAGAGUGAAAAUUGAAGGAGUAAUGGAUGAAUAAUAAGUUGGAUGAUUGAUUUUAACAAGAAAAUGAGUGAAAGAUGAAGAUAUUUGAGAAAGAAAAUGAAGAACACUAUUCACGCGUGAAUGGAAUGAGGAUGGAAUGAUGAAGAACAAGUGAAGAAAUCAUGAUGGAGAUGUGUUUAAUGAAGAUGAAAUGCAUGGGUAUUAGUUUGAAUGGUUGAUUUGGGCAUAAAAAUGGAUGAAAAAGGAAGAAAUUGGAAGUGAAAAUGGAUGGGUUGUUCACGGUUUUGAGUGAAGGAGAAAACAAGUGCAGAAAAUUAAAAAAGGAAGAAGAAGAAGCAAAAACAAAUUGCCAAACCCGUGACAAAGCGGCUAGCCGCUUGCUCUCGGGUUUGGGACAGUUUUCCAAGCGGCUAGUCGGCUAGCCACUUGGAACAGGCGGCUAGCCGCCUGGUUGCUGUCCACCUGCACGCUACUUGCUUUCCGGCUAGUUUUGAUCAAUUCCGUGACCAUUUUGUGAUCCUAAAACAUCUCAAGAGCCAAUUUAAUGCAUGAUUCAAUAUUUUAAACAUCCAAAAGAUGAUUAAUUCAAACUAAUAAUCCAUCCAACAAACAUAUAUUCAUGAAGCACAUAAGCAUUCAAAAAUUAAUAAAUCAAACACCUCAUAUAUCUAAUAUGCGCAAACAAUUCAUAAACAUUAAAAACCAUCAAGCAAACAAUUUUAGUAGAUUCAAUAACAUAAAUAGAGAUGUUAAUGCGAAAAUUUCAUCAUCCCAAGUUCGUGCCAAAUUUUUGAAAAUUGUUCUUCGCAAAGGUGUUUUGUAAAAAUAUCGGCAAGUUGUUUUUCCGUAGAGAUAAAUUCUAAUGCAAUAUCACAUUUUUGAACAUGAUCUCUCAAGAAAUGAUGUCUAAUCUCUAUAUGCUUGGUUCUAAAGUGUUGAAUGGGAUUCUUUGAAAGAUUUAUGGAGCUAGUAUUAUCACACUUGAUAGGAAUUUGUUCAAGAUUAAUACCAUAGUCUCUAAGUGUUUGUUUCAUCCAAAGUGCUUGUGCACAACAACUGCCUGCGGCAAUAUAUUCUGCCUCAGUAGUUGAGAGUGCCACCGAAUUUUGUUUCUUACUAAACCAUGAAACAAGUGAAUGACCUAGAAAAUGGCAAGUUCCACUAGUACUUUUCCUAUCAACCUUAUAACCGGCAAAAUCGGCAUCCGAAUAACAAGUUAAAUCUAUAUGAGUUCCUCUAGGAUACCAAAGGCCAAUAUCUAUGGUUCCACUCAAAUAAUGAAAAAUUCUUUUAACAGCAAGCAAAUGAGAUUCCUUGGGACAUGAUUGAAAUCUUGCACACAAACAUACACUAAACAUGAUAUCGGGUCUACUUGCGGUUAAGUAAAGUAAAGAUCCGAUCAUACCUCGAUACUUUUUAAUAUCAACCUCUUUAUCAUCUUUAUCAAGCUUGAUUGUUGUACUCAUUGGAGUAUUCUGGUGUUUGAUUCAUCAAUGCCAAAUCUCUUGAGCAAGUCUUUGACAUACUUAGCUUGGUUGAUGAAGAUCCCCUCAUUGUUUUGUUUGAUUUGAAGUCCAAGGAAAUACUCCAAUUCUCCCAUCAUGCUCAUCUCAAAUUCCUUACUCAUACAAGAGGAAAAUUCUUUGCACAAAGAUUCAUUAGUAGAACAAAAAAUAAUAUCAUCAACAUAAAUUUGAACAACAAGUAUAUCUUGAUUUUUAUUUUUAAUAAAAAGGGUAGUAUCCGCUUUUCCCAUCGAAAAACCGUUAUCCAACAAGAAAUUUUUAAGCCUAUCAUACCAUGCUCUAGGUGCUUGUUUUAAUCCAUACAAAGCUUUUGAUAACUUAUACACAUGAUUUGGAAAUUUUUCAUUUUCGAAACCAGGGGGUUGUUUCACAUAAACUUCCUCCAUAAUAUAACCAUUUAGGAAAGUACUCUUGACAUCCAUUUGAAAUAAAAUAAAAUCUUUAUGGCAUGCAAAUGCUAACAACAUCCUAAUGGAUUCUAAUCUAGCUACAGGUGCAAAGGUUUCAUCGAAAUCGAUUCCUUCUUCUUAGUUGUAUCCUUGAGCCACUAAUCUAGCUUUAUUUCUUACAACCACACCGGAUUCAUCCAUUUUAUUUCUAAAUAUCCAUUUAGUGCCUAUAACGGAUUGAUGUUCCGGUUUAGGAACCAAUUCCCACACUUUAUUUCUCUCAAAUUGAUUUAACUUCUCUUGCAUUGCUAUAAUCCAAAACUCAUCAUUUUCAGCAUCCGUAAAAGAUUUGGUUCAAUUUGAGAAAUAAAUGUAGCAUGCUCACAUGUGUUUCUAAGUGAUGAUCUAGUUGUAAUACCUCUUGAAGGAUCACCUAAGAUUAAAUCCUUAGGAUGAGAGGAAAAAUACCUCCACUCCUUGGGGAGUGUUUGAGAAAUACCUUCUUGUUGCUCCAGCUCCAUAUUUGAUUGUUCUUCUUGUCCAUCCUCUUGAUUUUCUUGUGGUGCAUUCUCUUGUUUCUCUUUUGAUGAUUCUUCUUGUAACUCUCCAUCUGCAUCAUCAUUAACAACUCCUUUCUCCACGGAGGAGGGGUUAGAUUCAUUAAACGUAACAUGCAUGGAUUCUUCCACAACUAAAGUUCUUUUGUUAUAAACUUUAUAAGCUUUGCUUUAGUUUGAAUACCUGAGAAAGAUGCCAACAUCAUAUUUUGGAUCAAAUUUACCAAGAUUAUAUUUUGUGUUUAAAAUAAAACAUUUGCAUCCAAAAACUUUGAAAUAACCAAUGUUGGAUUUUCUAUCUUUCCAAAGCUCAUAGGGAGUUUUAUUGAGAUGAGGUCUAAUCAACACCCGAUUUAAAACAUAACAAGCGGUGUUGACGGCUUCGGUCCAAAAAUAUUUUGGUAAUGCAUUUUCAUUUAACAUGAUCGUAGCCAUUUUUUGAAUAGACCUAUUCUUCCUCUCAACAACUCCAUUUUGUUGUGGAGUCCUAGGUGAUGAAAAUUGAUGCUCAAUGCCAAAAUCAUUACAAAAGUUUUCAAAUGCAUGAUUUUCAAACUCUCCACCAUGAUCACUUCUAAUACAAGUAAUAGAAUAACCCUUUUCAUUUUGAACAUUUUUACAGAAAAUUCUAAAUGCAUCAAUGGCAUCAUCCUUAUUAGCUAAGAAUAAUACCCAUGUGUAUCUAGAAUAAUCAUCUACAAUUACAAAUGCAUAAAAUUUUCCACUUAAACUAGCAUAUCUUGAGGGUCCAAACAAAUCUAUGUGAAGUAAUUGAAGAGGUUUUGAAGUAGAGAUAUGAUUCUUGUUUUUUAAAGAGGUUUUGAUUUGUUUUCCAAAUUGACAUGCUUCACAAAUUCUAUCCUUUUGAAAACCAAUUUUUGGAAGACCUUUAACUAAAUCAUUUUUCGAAAUUUUUGAAAUUAAAUCCAUGCUUGCAUGUCCUAGUCUUCUAUGCCACAACCAACUAUCAUCAUGCAAUGCCGAAAAACAUUUAUCAUGAGUAGAUGCACACUCUAUAUUAAUCGUGUAAACAUUGCCACGUCUAUUUCCCAUAAACAAAAUUUUCCCAUCACAUGCAUUCUCAAUAACACAACUUGAUUUAUCAAAGGCAACUUUAUAACCUUUGUCACAUAAUUGACUAAUGCUAAUCAAAUUAUGUUUCAAAUUUUCAACCAAACACACAUUUUCAAUUAGAGUUGAAGAAAUUUUACCAACAUUUCCAAUUCCGAGAAUUUUUCCUUUUGAGUUAUCUCCAAAGGAUACAUCUCCACCAUUUUCGAUUUUGGUGAAACUUGAGAACUAUGCAUAGUUUCCAGUCAUAUGCCUAGAACAUCCGCUGUCCAAGUACCAUUUAUUUUUCUUUUUCUUCAAGCCCUGCAGAGGAAAUCUUAUGUCUUAGGUACCCAAACCUUUUUGGGUCCUUGAGCAUUAGCAACGGUUCCUUUUGGAACCCAAAUACAUUUGACACCAUAAUAUGCAUUCCUUUUUACGGGACAUCUAUAUUUCAUGUGACCAUUUUGAUUACAAUAAUGACAAACACUCUUAAAAAUGAUCACUUGUGGAUGUAGCUUUAACAAAAUAAUUCUUGUAAUGCUUUUGCUUCAAGUUAGACUUAUACCCAAGUCCUCAUUUAUCAAAAACACAUAUUUGAGAAUUAAACACGUUAUCCAACAUCUUUUGCCCAUUUGUAAAUUUUAGAACAACAUUACUAAGUUCAAUAUUCUUUUUCUUGAGCAUUUCAUUUUCCUUUUUCAAAUCAUGUACAUGUGACUCUAAAUGCUCAUAUGAAGUGCUAGGUUUUUCAUUUGAUAAUGCAACUCUAUUAUGCAAGGUUUUAUUAUCUAAUUCUAAUCCUUUAAUCUUCUCAUUCAAUGACUCAUUGUAUCUUUGCAUGGCAUCCUUUUCAUUUGUAAAUUCUAGCAAUUUCUUUUUAAGGCAUGCAUUCUUUUUACCAAUUUUCAUCAACUCAUCAUGCAUUUCUUUAAAAGCAUCAUACAAUUCAUCAUAGGUUAGAUCACUUACCUCAUUAAGAUCAUCAUUAUCUCCUAGUGCCAUAAAUGCUAGGUUUGAUACUUCUUGCGACUCUUCUUCAUCACUUGAAUCUUUGUCGCUAUCAUCCCAAGUAGCAACCAUAGCUUUCUUCUUGAGUUUGUUGAGAAGUGGGCAUUCCGAUCUUAUGUGGUCGGGCUUUUUGCAUUCAUAACAUAUGAUUACCUCUUUCUUCUCCUUUUGGUUUUUGAAGUUUCUAAAUUUCCUUCGGUCAUCGGUUUUCUUGAAAAAAGUUUUGAACCUCCUUGCUAGCAUAGCCAACUCCUCAUCAUCCGGCUCACUUUCCCCAUCACUCUCAUAUUUUGUGGCUUUGAGAGCAAUAUUUUUCUUCUUUUCCUCAUUUCCUCUUUCGGCUGCCAAAUCUUCCUCAUAAGAAAUAAGAGAACCAAUUAAAUCAUCAAUAGGUAAGAUAUUCAAAUCUUUAGCUUCCUCAAUGGCAGUCCUUUUUGGUCUCCAUUCCUUAGGUAAUGACCUAAUAAUUUUCUUAACUUUUUCGCUAUUUGAAAAGGUCUUUCCUAGGGCUCCUAGAGUAUUUACUAUGUCCGUAAAUCUAGUAUACAUAGAAUAUAUACUCUCAUUUUUUUCCAUUUGGAAUAAUUCAUAUUACCGAGUGUACCUACUAAUCUUAGACUCUUUCACUUGAUUCAUGCCUUCAUAAACAACUUCAAGUUUGUGCCAAAUUUUAUUAGCACUUUCACAACUAGACACUCUAUGAAACUCUUUCUUAUCGAGUGCACAAAACAAGGCAUUCAUGGCUUUGGAAUUUAGAGAAGCUUUUCUCUUUUCCAAUUCAUUCCAUUCCCGUGAAGGUUUUGGAAUGUCUUCCCCGAAUUCAUUUUUAGUCAAAGGCAUAAAUGGACCAUCACAUACAACUUCCCAAAUUUCAUAAUCUAGUGCUUGUAAAUAAAUUCUCAUCCUAGUUUUUCAAUACGGGUAGUCAUUUCCGUCAAAGAACGGUGGCCUAGUUGUGGAUUGUCCUUCCCUAAAGGUUGAAUCAUUUUGGGUUGUCAUGGAUCUUUUACUCUAGACGGUUAAGUCCUAAUAAGAGAACCAAGCUCUGAUACCAAAUGAAAUGCAAGUAACGCAACCCAAGAUGGGGGGUGAAUUGGGUUUUUUAAAAUUAUACAAUAUAAUUCGCACAACAAAUCAAUCUAACGCCUUAAUGAAAUAGAGAACAAUAAAUUCAAACAAACGUAAACAUAAAAGAGCAAGGGAAGAGAAAAACAAACACGCGGAUUUUCACGUGGUUCGGCAAUCCCCGCCUACGUCCACGCCUCCAAGCCAACCAAGCUUGAGGAUUUCACUAUCCAAGCCUCCCAAGGCUUCAAGUUCUUACAAUUGACUUCCAAGGUGUCAAUGAACCUUUACAAUCAAGAGAUUAUCUCCCCAAUCACUUCACCUCAAGUAUUUCCCACACUUACACACUCACAAUUUGAUAAGAAAUGAAAAUUACAACAAAAAAACUCUCUCUAAGAGUGGAUAUGCAAAUAAUAGCUCAACAAUGAUUCAAUCUAUGAUGAUUUACGUUUUGGAAGCUCAAUAUAUGUUGUAUGAUCUUAUAUUUGCUUGCAUUAGUCCUUAGAAUGAAGUUUGAGUUGAGUUUUUAUAGUUGAAGCACGAAAACUAGCUAUUAUAGGCAAAUUCCCACGCCCAAGCGGUUAACCGCUUGAUUUAUCCGACUAGCCGCUCAGGAACAGUGAUAUUAUCGUUAUUUUUGAAUUUUGCUACAGUAACAAUGUUCACUAAAAUUGCACUUUGACCUAAAACUUUUUGUAAUUAUACUAAGGCCCAAAAUGUUAUAAAACUUUGCAAAUAGGUCCAAUUUCAUAACUUCCUAAGAAUAGUUGUCUUUCCCAAACUUUCUAAAAUUAUGAUAUGACCGCAAAGAUUUUAUUAUUUCGCACAAAGGUCCUUUUCAACAUAAUACUCAUAUUUUUCAAAGUUCUCAAAACCUUUCACUUUAGUCCAAAAUAUUCAUAAAUUAUAGUAUGGUCCAAAACAUUUCAAACGUUUGUAAUAACGUCCAACUCUGAAAUUUAAUACUUAUUUAAAAUCAAAGAUUUCAAAACUUAGUAUUUAAGUCCAAAUUACUCAAAUCCACAAAAUACUUUACUUUAUAAAAAUAAAACCUUUUAGUUUAUGAAAAGUAUUUAAUUAAAUUAAUCUCUUGAGCUUCUUAAAUGCUAAAUCAUGCAUCAAUUAAAUCAUACCGGCUUUACAAGAAUUUAUCGCACUAAUUUGUUCGUUGAGCUCUAAACUAUAUUCUUGAUGUCGCCGUUGUCCGUUGAGUGUCUUCAAUCUUGAUUUCACUUGAUUCACUUGCAUAAAUAUUAUCCUUCAAAAACUAGUGAAAAUGUGAAAUACAAUAUUUAUUAUUUUUACUUAAGACACAUGUUUGUUAUCAUCAAAAUUAUAUUAUGUGUAGCCUUUUAGGCUAACAAAUACUAUUGCUAGCAACUCUUUUUCUGUAGUGGUGUAAUUAAUCUGAAUUUGAGUAAGAGUUUUACUUGCAUAGUAUAUAGAUUGAAAAAUCUUAUCCUUCAUCUGCCCUAACACUGCCCUAAUAGAAUGGUCACUGGCAUCACAUAUCAGUUCAAAUGGUAGAGUCCAAUCUGGUGAUAUAACCACUGGUGCAGUGAUCAAAGCUUUCUUUAACUCUCCAAAAGCUUGCAGACAGUCUUUAUCAAAAUGAAAAGGCUUGUCAUGUUCCAGCAAUGAGUAUAAUGGUUUAGCUACCUUAGAGAAGUCUUUAAUGAAUCUUCUGUAAAAUUCAGCAUGGCCUAAGAAACUCCUAAUACCCUUGAUUGAGGUGGGGGGUGGCAGUUUAUCUAUCACUUCUAUCUUUACUUUAUCUACCUCAAUACCAUUCUUGGACAACUUAUAACCCAACACUAUGCCCUCUUGCAUCAUGAAAUGAUAUUUUUCCCAAUUGAGUACUAAGUUAGUCAUCUCACAUCUUUUAAGAACUUCUUCCAAGCUAUGUAAACAAUCAGUAUAUAUCUCUCCAAAAACUAAGAAAUCAUCCAUGAAAACUUCCAAUGUUUGCUCCACCAUAUCAUAAAAUAUAGACAUUAUACAUCUCUGAAAAGUUGCUGGAGCAUUGCAUAAACCAAAUGGCAUCCUUCUGAAGACAAAAGUUUCAUAAGGACAGGUAAAUGUAGUCUUUUCCUGAUCCUUUGGAGCUAUAGCAAUUUGGUUGUAGCCUGAAUACCCAUCUAGGAAACAAUAGUACUAUUUUCCAGCAGGUCUGUCCAAUAUCUGAUCUAUGAAUAGGAGUGGGAAGUGAUCAUUCCGUGUGGCUUUGUUGAGCUUCCUGUAAUCCAUACAUACCCUCCAUCCAGUCACUAUCCUUAUAGGAAUAAGUUCAUUCUUCUCAUUUGCUAUCAAUGUUAUUUUUCCCUUCUUUGGAACACAUUGGACUGGGCUCACCCAUGAGCUGUCUAAUAUCGGGUAUAUGAUUCCAGCAUUCAACCAUUUGAUGAUUUCCUUCUUCACAACUUCCUUCAUAAUAGGGUUUAACCUUCUCUGUUGCUCCACUGAAUUACUGUAACAGUCUUCUAACAGAAUUUUAUGCAUGCAUAUGGAUGGGCUAAUCCAUUUGAUGUCUGCCAUAGUCUAUCCAAUUACUCUUCUGUAUUUCCCAAGCACGUCUACUAGGCUCUAUUCUUGACCUGCAUCCAAAGUAGAUGAAAUUAUUACAGGGAGUGUGUUGUUUUGACCAAGAUAAGCAUAUUUCAAAUAGAUGGUAAAGUUGUUUUUACUUCCCUGUCUGAAAGAUUCAGAUGCUCAACAAAUCUGUUAUGUCUAUCAGAUUUCUUUCCCUCCAUCCAAUCUAUCUGGUUUGCUGCAACAUCUUCUUCUUCAAAGCUCUCAAAUGUGGUAACUUUGAUGAUCUCAUUACUGCAGUAUCUGUCGAUUCUGUCUGCUACAACAAAAUCCACAACACUCAGGAAAUUGCAAUCUUCUGCUUAUCAGGUUUCUUCAUAGCCUCUAAUACAUUAAAUGUAACUUGCUGAUCAUUCACUCUCAUUGUUAGCUCUCAUUUCUGCACAUCUAUCAGAGUUUUUCCGGUUGCUAGGAAAGGUCUUCCAAGUAUAAUGGGUACUUCUUUAUCAGCUUCAAAGUCUAAAACAAUAAAGUCCACUGGAAAGAUGAAUUUGUCAACCUUCACCAAUACAUCCUCAAUUUUUCCUUCAGGAAAUGCAUGAGAUCUAUCAGUUAAUUGUACAGUGACUGUUGUUGGCCUGCAUUCUCCUACUCCCAACUGCUUAAAUACAGAUAAUGGCAUCAGAUUAAUACUGGCUCCCAAAUCACAAAGUGCUCUGCCAUUAUACCUAGUUCCAAUGGAACAUGGUAUUGUGAAGCUUCCUGGAUCCUUCAAUUUUUGAGGAAUCUUACUUUGGAGCAUGUGACUGCUUUCCUGUAUUAAAGCAACCAUUUCAAAUUCUCCCAAUCUUCUCUUUCUUGCCAAAAUGUCCUUUGGGAAUUUCACAUAAUUAGGCAUUUGCUCCAAUACUUCCACAAAAGGGAUGGUAAUGUGUAAUUGCUUCAGCACUUCCAAGAAUUUACUAAACUUCUUGUCUUGUUUUUUUUUUUGGAAUCUUUGUGGGAAAAGAGGUGGCUGCCUAAAUUGCUGAGUAGCUUCAGGAAGUGCCAAUCUCUGCUCAUUUGGUUUGUUAUAAGCUGUUACCAUUGGUGUUGCAACUUUUUUUUCAGCAUUUAUUGGUUGAUUCCCUUCUAUAGUAACUGCAGUUUGACCACUAACAUCAGUAUCUUGAUGGCUGGAUUGUUCUAACAUACUCUCCUCUUAAGGUGGUUCUUGUGAGGAAUUAAGUUCCACCCAUUUUUAGUCAUAUUAACAAGAAUAUCAACAUUAUUUCCAGAUCUUAAGUUGAUGACCUUGCAAUGUUCCUUUACCUCUCUCUUUAGAUCUUCUGUGUUGCUGGGCAAGCUUCCUUAAGAUCUGUUACUCAUUGCUGUGGCAAGCUGACCAAUUUGGUUUUCCAGAUUUCUUAGAGAUACGGCUUGACUUUGCACAAUUGCUUCAUUCUUUGCAAUGUAUUCCUUAAUCAGUGUUUCUAGUGAAAUGAGAGGAUUAUGUCUGGUGUGUUUUUGCCCUUGAUUUUACUGAUGAAAACCAGGUGGUUGAGUAUUUCUGUUCCGUCCACUCAAUGCUGGAGCAUUUUGAUUCUGAUUACUCAACGAGAAAUUUGGGUGUUGCUUCCAUCCAGGGUUGUAAGUAUUUGAGUAUGGGUUGUUUUGAGGCUGUCGGUUGUAAUUACCCAUAUAAUUUACUGAUACUGGAUUUCCAGGACAGUUAUCAAAUUCAUGUUCUUCACCACAGUACACGCAAGACAAUUCAGCAACUUGCUUUACUACCGCUGGAGCAGAUGUCAUGGCUUUCACCAUGUUAGUCAAUGAAGUUACUUGUGCUGAUAAAUCUGUAAUUGCAUCUAUAUUAUGUACCCCUACUGCUCCUCUUGCUACUGGCUGUCUAGUUGAUGGCCACUGAUAAUUAUUUUUGGCAAUUCUCUCCAAAAUUUCAUAAGCUUCAGUGUAAGAUUUGGAUAACAAGGCUCCACAAUCUGAAGCAUCAACCAUCAAUCUCGUACUUGGAUUCAAUCUGUUAUAGAAAGUCUCCAAUUGUAUGCAACAAGGAAUGCCAUGAUGAGGACACCUUCUGAGCAAUUCUUUGAAUAUUUCCCAAGCCUCAUACAAAUUCUCAUCUUCAAGUUGAUGGAAAGAAGUGAUCUCAUUAUGCAAUUUUGCAUUUUUUGUUGGUAGAAAAUAUUUCAUUAAGAAUUUAUCGGCCAAUUCAUUCCAUAUAGUGAUGGAAUCAGAUGAUAAUGAAUUCAACCAUGCUCUUGCUCGAUCUCUUAAGGAGUAAGGAAAAAGCCUUAGUCUUAAAGCAUCUUGUGUUGCUCCAGCAAUUUUAAAAGCAUCACUCACUUCCAAAAACAACUUAAGAUGGAGGUGAUGAUCUCCAUUUGGCAGUCCAUUGAAUUGACCCACUGUUUGCAACAUUUGAAACAUCAUUGGCUUCAGUUCAAAGUUUGCGGCUUCCACUUCAGGUCUGAUUAUCCCAAGGUGUACAACUUGAGGAGUUAACACAGUAUAAUCUCUGAUAGCCCUGUCUCUGUCAUUUGCCAUGUAAAUGAUAUUAUUGUUGCCUGGCUAUCUCUGGUUAACAUGCUUAUUCUGCUCCUCUUGAAUGUUGACGGGUUGUAAUGGCCCGUGAGGGUCUAAAUUUCCCAUAUCCUGCAAAUUAUCCAUGUCUGAAACAUUUUUUGAAUUCUUUUGUUCUCUUCGCAGUCUCCUUACAGUCCUUUCAAUCUCAUGAUCAAAUUGGAACACAACAUACCUGUCUUUGCGCUUGCAAGUGUUGAUCUGUUAAUAAAUAGAACAAAUCAAAUCAAAUUGGCACUAUCAAGACUUACUUCACACUUCGAAAAUAAACAAUCAAUCCCCGGCAACGGUGCCAAAAACUUGUUGGUUAAUUUUUAAUCAAAUGAUAUUGAUGCCAAUGUGCAAGUGUACACAACAAGUAAUAAAGUGAUGAAUAUUCAAGAUUGUCUCCACACGGAUUGAUGUUACCAGAAAUGCUACAGCAAUCACAAUAGUGCAACCUACCUUUAUUUUGAAUGAACAAAUGUGAAGUUGUUUACUACCAAAAUUUAUAAUUGUGAGAAAAUAAAACAAAAUAAUGUAGUGAUGAAAUAAAGUAAAUAAAUUGCGUAGAAUGAUCAAAUGAGAAUAAGGUAGUUAAAUGAUCAAACUCUCUUUAUGGGUUGACUGCUUUUCAUCAAAUUAACACCAGUUGCUACAGCACUGGGCAGAAUUACUUUGCAUCCUCAGCUGUCACGUGUUGGAAUUCUCAUACCCUUAAGUAUCUUAGCAAUGACCAGUUGCUAUUCUACCUUCGGCAUGACAUUACGAACAUCUAUUCUCUCCACCCUACAAGGUGAGUACUUAUGUUUAGUUUGUCACAAAUCUUAACUUCAAGUAUAGUCCUUAUGAUAUUCAAGAUUAACUUAAUCCAGGAAACUCGAAUUAAGAUCAAGUAUUACUCUAAUAAUAUCCACUAAGACAUGCCCUUUUGCGGCUCUAUCUUAACUUGAACCAUUAAAUGGGUGGUCAACCGAAAUAACAAUUAUAAUAAUAGCUACUAAAGUAAAAUGCUAUAGCAAUUAUAUAGCAACUCAUAAGAACAGUCAAGAACCCAUUAGAUUGUUUGUCAUUCAACUACAAGCAAGUUUAGUUCAUAUUUUGAAAGAGAAAAACAAACAGCAACAUAUUAGACACGAAAUACAUUAGUUCAAUCAAAGAGUGAAGAAAAGAAUAAGUGGAGAACGACAAAAAGUGAAUUCAAAAUAACUCUACUGGAUUCUUCAAUGAUGCAACAUUGGUUCCCUUGAAUUUUGAUUUUCUUCUUCUUUUUCUCUUGAUUUUCUCAAUGUUAAUUCCUUGUCGCCAUUUUAUGUGAUGCGCGCCCCUUUUUAUAACUGAAAACUAGGGUAAACAAAAGCCUAAGGUGUACAUGAGUCAAAUUAGGAAACUGCAGAUUGCAAUUCUGCAGCUAUCUCGCACUAAUUUUUCUCCCUCAUUGUUCUAGGAUUGCUACAGCAAUGGUUGCUCCAACAACGGCUAUAACACUGCAUUAUUCUAGGUUGUGUUUCACUUCUUUUGUGGCCAUAUUCUUUCUCCUUCUUGCUAGACUAAUGCCUCAGCAUCCCUUCAUGGAUUAUAAACUUCUGAAAACCUACAAUUAUGCACAUGUUUCAAACACAAAUUACUUUAAAUUAAGCAAAACUUAUUAAGACUAAAUUAAAAUGGAUGUUUAUGCAAAACAUAAACAAAAUGUAAUAAAAACACAUCAUUUACUCUCUAAAUGGUCUUGAUAAGUCUAGAAUUACCAUAAUAACUCUCAUUUCAUAGAGUUAUCUGUAACCAAUAAAAGUAGAUGAAAGCAAAGAGAGAAAGAAUGAUUUAAGAAAUUAGGGAUUUUAGAGAUAUGAAAAGUUUUUGCCGCCACAUGAUUUAAGAACGCGUGCCUUGAGGGUGUUAUAACAGCCCGUUUGAAAUAUAAAUGGUUAGUCUGAAUGUGUGCCACAUCACACGCAUUUAAAAACAAUGUGACUCCUCGAAUGAAUGGACACCAUCAACCCAUGAAUGCAAAAAAUGCUUUUGGCAGCCUCCUGCUAUAGAGUCGAGCAACCAGGAAAGUAGGUCGAAAGGAUACAUAUUAAGUUUCUAGUUUUGAUUCGUUUAACUCUCAACACUAGAAACUAGGGGACUGUUGUUUAAGGAAGAAAAAACACCGCGACUAAGAUAGCGCGAGCAGAACAUGCUCCCCUGGGCUUAAGGGGAGGCUGAGGCGGAUUGCACGAGUACAAUAGGCCUGAGAGGGUGUGAGGAGGGGACAAAAUUAAGUCAGAUCAAAGACUUGGUCAAAGGUCAACAUGCAGAUUACCUCCAAAGAGCUUAACCACAAAGCCUACUCAACAAUCGUUGUAACAUGUAGGUUAUCUCCAAGGGGCUCUGACACGAAACCCACUCAACAACAAUUAUGUUGUUUAUUUACCCAUGAUUGUAUUACUAUGCCAACAAUGAUCGUGGGGAAGAGGAAGCCGAUAAUUUUAGUUGGGUAUAAAAGCUACAAUAAACGAAAGUAAAGGGGGUCAGACGAUUUCUGACUGGACUUAAAAAAUACUUUCUCUUUCUCUCACCCUCUUGAUAAUUCUAUACUAUGUCUAUCUUUCUCUCUGAAAAUUUAGCUUCUCAAUUUAAAGUAAAUAUAGUUAAGCCACGAGUUUAUGGCAUAAGUUUUUUCAAAAAAGGCUCGAUUACUGACUUGAGCAUCCAAAGGUUUUCACCGGAAAAACAUUCAACGCCCCUCUAACUGGAUAUUGUGAGUCCAGGUUAUCCAGAGUGAGUUUGUGGUCGACAUUAUCUAUUCGAGUGGGAUAGCAGCAAUGCUGAGUCAUUUCCCCAACAAACCAAAUUUAAACGUUGACGUGGACACCUAGUUGCAACUCUAUUGACCAUAUUCUUGCAUUAACACUCAUGUUCAUCAUCAUGUUCAUCCACGCUUGUAGAACUUCUACCAAAACAUAAAAGAGCUUUAGAAAACAUAUUUUGACAACACACAAAAGUUUAAGGCACCUAAAUUUUUAAUACCAAAUAAUUACUAAUUCAAAUGCUUAAAAAUACAGACAAGUAAAAAAGUGAAACUCACUAAGGCAUGUUUUUUACAGCGCAUGCAAACUGAGACUCCGCUAAGAGUGUGUCGACAAAGGAUAAAGAAGUGCAGGGAGAAGAAGAAGAAGAUGAUGAUGAAAAAGAAUGAACUAAAACUUUUAUAAGAAUGAAAGAGGAUGUUUUUAUUGGGUUCUGGGUUUUUGUUUUAUGAGUGGAAAUAGGUUAUGUUGGUGGGUUAGCUGUUUGUACAGAAGACAUUUGAAGGAAUAACCCAAUGAGAAGAACUACAUUGCUACUCUGCUUUACUCAGAUAGUUGUUUAUCUAAGGGUGGGUCUUCGACUCACAAAGGACUCAAAUUAUUUAUUUUCUAUCGCAAUUUAGUUCCCUCCCUUCUAAGUAGGAAUAAAUAUCUGGAGUAAACAUUUCAUCACUAAUCAGUGUUGAUCUGCAAGCUCUCUAAACUAUUAUAACAAUUCAAGAAAACUAUAAUUAUUUAUUAACAUAAAGCGGCAAGUCAAUUGGAUUGGAUUGGAUUGGAUCUAAUAAUUCAAUAUUGUUUCACCUUCACACACAUUGACAAGAGCUAUUGCCACCCUAUAAAACUUUCAUAAAACCGUGCCCCGAAAAAGAAUAGAGUGGAGUUAUUGGCACCUCUAAAAGAAUUCUUGUAUUUUCAAUUUACAUUUUUAACUUUAAUCAAAUCGUGUUUGACAAUUCAUCUCUCUUCCUCUAGCCUUACAUGGGUUUUAUUUUUAUUUUUAUUCUUGAAUUAGUGGUUUCUGUUGGAUUGAAAUUUUUAGUUCAUUAUUUUCAAAUUAUGAAAGGCUUAUUUUCUUUUACCAUUAUAGCUCUUGAUUUCAUUGAUUUAUGUGUCCAUAUAAAAGCACGUAGAAUUGUCACAUUCAAAGCAUUAGAUGAUAUUGGAUUAGCUUCUAUCAAUCUUUUUGAAUAUAAAAGAAAUAUUUCUUUAUUAUUUUUUCUCUCUCUCGUACUGAAGUUAGUGAGAACAUUUGUUGAAUUAAAAUAGCUCCGCUCAAGAGAAUAGCCUAGAGUAUUUCCUAUCUAGUUUUUAGAUUCUAUUUUUUACUGGUUUAACUUACUUCAUAGAAAUAGUUUGAUAUCUUUUCCCAUGGAAUGAUAAAAUAAAGUAAUAAUAUGAAUUCUAUCUUAUGAGAAUCAUAUAUACAUAUAAGAAUAAGAAUAAAAAGAUGGAAAAAGAAGUUCAAAGAAUUCUAAACUGAAAAGUUGAUUCUUAUGGACAGAAAAGGGCUUUUAAUUAAAUUGGAGAAAAAGUUUUGUAAUAAAAGAAUUUCGUUUUCAUAUGAUUUCUCAAGAAAAAAAGAGUAUAUAAGGUUAUUUCUGAAAUUAACAUAGGUGUUGUUAAAAGUAAAGUGAUUUACAUAUGUUUUUAAGAGUCAUUUAGAAGAGAGGUUUUAUGAGGAGUUUAAAGUGGUGCUAAUAGUAAUGGGUCAAAAAGAACAUCCAAAAGAUACUUGUAAUGAAACAAAAAAUAAUUAAUUAUAUUUUACAACUCAAAAUACGCUAGAAGAUCUUUAAUAUUUCUUAGUUUACUCUAUGUUACUAUAAGUACAUAAAAUGUUUGGCUGAUAAAAUGGGGCAACCACAAUCAAGCUUUCCUUGAAGCUUCCUUAUGAUUGCCUUGUCACUUAAAACGGCCUGAAGGAAAUUUGGCGAGGAGGAGUAGGCAGGAGGUAGUUACUUCGAACAAACCUAGUCAAAACAACAUUUCCACUUCAUCUGGAAACCCAGGGACUUAGUUUUAUCCACAAAACCCACAACUCCAUGAUCCUAAAGAGUAAAGAAAAUGGACUUAUAUCCAAAUAACUCAUCAUCCUAGAAUUUAUGGGAGAUGAAGGAGGAGCCCUAUCCAAAAACCCACUUCACUGAGAUCUAAGGGAGAGAGAUUUUCAACUCCUAUAAAAUUCCCAAAGGGCAAAAGGAUAAGGGUCCAUAAUUUGAAUACCCUGGACCCUUGUUUAAUAUUUGGAAAUUCAAAGAUUUAUAUUUGAUUUUCUUUACCCCUUUUAUUUUUUUAUCAUCAUCCCUUUGUAUCAUCAUCUUUUCUUAUUUAAGGGAGAGUUUCUUCUCACUUUUCUCUUUUUGAUUCACUUUGAUUGAUUUAUUUUAGGUAGACAUUCAUAUACUCAAUUAUCCCACGAAAAUCCAUGAUACUGACUUGAGCAAGGUUAACGUUGAAAAACCUUUUGGCACCCCAGACCAUUCUUUUUGUUGCAAGUACUCGCCAGGACAACACCAUGCUUGCCAAUUCCUGCUCAGACUUGUCGAAUACUUGGUUGCCAACUUUCAUUCAAGUUACUAAAUUGAGGUUAGAAACUGUCUAUCCACACGAACAAAUUCAAAUGCUAGCGUUGGAAUCUGGUAGGUAGCCCACACACUGACACAACUAGAUUUUGGGGUCAACAUAUAACAAAAUAAAAUUUAUUGAUUGGUACCUUAUACUUGAUAUAAAUAAAGUAGAAAAUCUUCCACCUCAUAAAAUAUAUGGUAUAUGACAAAGUUACAUCUAAUUUUCUGCAUGCAUAUGGAAAAACAUUAAUUAUUUAAAUUUCUAAUUUAUCAUAUUGAGGUUUGAUUUCUGAAUUUUUUAGUUGUCAAAUGGAUUAAAUUUUCCCCUAUAAACAUUGUCUACAGAAACUCACGAAUCUAAACAAACCAAACCAAUAUUGUUUGGUGAAUGAAAUAAUGUGACCCCAAUAAGGUGUUUGCUCAGACGUCAUUGUACUCUCCUCAAAGUAAAAAGCGAGCAAAUAGUCGAUAGGCUAGCAGGAGAAAAUUCUAGUGACCUUGAGUAGACCACCUUGACCAGGUGCUUAUUUUGAUGAUCUCGAGUAGAUUACCUCGACCAUGAUGUUAUUUUGUGACCUCGAACAGAUUACCUCGACCAGGAGGUUAUUUGAUGACUCAAGCACAUCAUCUUGACUAGAAGAUGAGUCUGGUGACCUUGAGUACGUCACCUGGACCAGAAGGCAAUUCUAAUUACCUCGACCAGAUAAGUUUUGAAGAGACAUUGGACAAAGUCACCAAGAAGCAAGACAAAGUCAAAACUUCUCUGAAAUACUAGGGACCAUAUUCUUAGUGGCCUAAAAAUUAGUGGUCUUCCUUAGAAUUCUAGAAGGAGGAUUCAGCCAAGUGGAUAACAUCCAGUUUGGGGAUUGGUACUUGGUUUUAUUUUUUCAAGCUUUUGAUCUCUGUUUUUGUUUGAAAUAGAAAUUAUUUAUUUUGAUUCUAGUAAACCUAUAAACUGACUUGAGCAUUGAAGGGUUCACAUCGAAAAAACUUCCAAUGCCUCUUACCAUCUUCUAUGAUUUUAGGUGUUCGCAGGUUAUUUAUGAGUGGUCGCAGGGCAUUCUUGACGAUUGGCAAGCCCUUUCACCACUAAAUAAAUUUAAUGCUGAUGCAAGGAUAGGUAUUGAGUCACUAACCAACUCAACCGAAUUUCGGCAUCAACAUACUUUAUUAAUAUUUUUAUCCUCAGACUCUCGGUUUUGCACUUCUGCUUACUAAUACAUUAUGGAACUUAUAUCCACAUUUUUCAUCACUCUUUUGCUGGCCUCAUGUUUGUUCCUUAAUCUUCUCUUCCUCAUCUUUUCACAUCAAUGCAUGCAUAAUUAAUUAUAAUAUGAAGGUAUUAGCAUUAAGCUAAUUAAUUGUUUGGCAUUUAUAUAUACAGGUGUGUUGUUUUAUAUUUCCAUGCCAGUGCUCAACCGGAAUCAAAAGUAGUCACAUGUAAAAGCAAUGCUGACUAUGACAAUUGCAAAAUUCGUUUGAAUGUGAUCUUGAUACCCAAGGGCAGAUUUAUUAUAAGACCAGUGGGGACUUAAGUCCCCACUAGAAAAAAAAAUCUUUUAAUAAUUAAUUUAGUUUGCCUAAAUUCCCAACAAAUUUCUCUCAAGCCCGCAAUACAUAGUUACACUUAAAUUCUUACGCUCUAAAUUUUUAAGUUCAAAUCAAAAGAGAUGGGCUUUGCAAACUAAAAUUAAGCCCAUAAAUAUUAAUAUUAAUUUAAUUUUUAGACAGCCCACAAACUCAUUACUAAUUUUUUAUUAAUCUUACAUUUUCCAAUUCCACCACUAGUCCAACACCCAUCAAAAAUCCCUAAACAUCUUUUUAUGUUGGUUUUAUGUCAAUUGUUUACAUAGAAAAAGACUUAUUUAAUAAUAUUGAUAAUGAAGUUCUAAUGCAAUGUAUCAAUGUAUGACAACUCGCAAAGGACAAUUGUAAACAUAUACUGAAGUAUUAUAAAUCUUUCAAAUAUAUAUAUUUAUUACUUUUUGAAUUUUUUUUAUUUUGUCAUUGAAUAAGCCCCCCAGUCAAUCAAUAUGUUGUCUCUGCCCUUAUUGAUACCCAUCUCUACGUUUGUGUUCCUGGCUAAAAUUCGACGUGUUGUUGAAGAAAUUAAAGCUUGUAUUGCAAGUUCUAGUGAUAUUUUGGAUGCUGAAUUGCAAAAUUUGUAAUGUUUUUUGCAAUCUUUGUUUUAUUUCUUACAUUAUACUCUCUCCGGAUAUGCAUAUUAACAUUGUGUACAAAAAUUUACAAACCAUCUCCAUGUGAUUGGUCCUAUACAAUGUCGUGCUAUACAUUUGGAGAAGUCUCUAAGACUUGGAAUUAGGGAUGGCAAAACACUGGGUUUUAUUAGCCAAGCCAAGAGCCUGAAGUUUACAUUCUAUAUUUUCUAAAAACUUUUUUUAUUAUAUUUUGUAAAUUUAUAGUGUAUAAAAUUUAGUUUUGUUUUGGUUAGAUUAGGCUUUAAAAGUUGGACUUGAAUGAUUUAAAAUUUUAAAUAUAUGUAAAUGGAUUAAAUAUAUGUUAAAAGUUGUAUUUUAAUUAAAAUAUAUAAUAUAUAUUUUUAAAAUUUUUAAGUAGCUUUUGGGCUUUCGAGUUGGACUCAGGUUUUUUUUACAAAGCUCGAGUGCAGCCACAGUACUUAGAAAACAUGCUCUAGUUGGAUUGGAUUUUUCUGCCAUUCCUACUUGGAAUUCGAUUAUCAUUGAUUUCAUUAAUUGAUUGUUAUUUUUUUAACAUUAAGGACCACUACUAGAAAAAUAGGCUUUACUGACACCAAUUUAGUGUCAGUAAUUACUUUUACUGACACUUGUUAAUUGUGUCAGUAAUGCUUAAGCCAGAACACACUGACACUAAUUUUUUGUGUUAGUGAUUUUUGUGUCAGUAUCUUGUGUCACUAUAGUAUCACCACAAUAGUGAUACUAUGGUGUUAGUAUCAGUUGAUACUAUUUCUAUGUCAGUAUUUUGUGUCACUAGAGAGUCACAAGGAUGGUGACUCAAUCGUGUUAGCAUUUAAUGAUACUAUUUACAUGUCACUGAUUUAUGUGACUACAAAAUCAGGAAUCCACUGACUCAGUAACAUCAAAAAUUCUUAUCGUCAUUUAAAUAAUUAGUAUGAGUAUUAACGGUGCUAUACCGGUUGUGUUUUAUUUUUUUUAAUCACAUUAUUCCUGUUUAUUUUACAAUUAAAAUAAACCCAAAAUAUAUUAAACAUACCAAAUCUUGUAAUGCAAUUCACAUAAUACACAUUUCAAAUACAUCAGUUAAAUUAAAAUAGUUCAAAUACAUCAUUGUUUGGGGGUAAAAAACAAGUUCAAGUACUAAAUUAAGCUUUGAACAAGUAGUAUACACGAUAAAGUACUAAAUUAAUUUUGGAAAAUUUAGCCAAGAAGAAAAAAUAGAUAACAAUGUCAUUGAUUUUGGAGUCACUGAUUUUGGAGUCCGCAUAUGCCUUCAUUUUUUUUCCACCUACAAGUAUAUAAAAUCAAUUAGCACAACACAAAAAAUAAGUCUUGUAUAUUUUUAAGGAAAAAUAAUCAUAAAUUACUUGUAUGUCACCUCACGAUUGUAGGCUGUAAUUAACUUGGCAACGUAUGUAGCCCACUGAUCACGAAGUCGUGAGAGGUCCUUGACAGUGUAUUCCUCAACUCCCUUGAACUUUAAUUUUAAAACAACAAGUUAUUCACCGAAAAUCCUUGACUAAACCACUUAAUUAUCAUUCAUUUAAAUAUAUUUGUGUGUUAACAAUUAAAGCCAACAAAUAAACUCCAACAAUGUUACUAUUUUAUCCAAAAUUAUAUAGGUAAAUACUGAACAUCCUGAUCAUGGUAAUUCCAAAAAAAAAAAAAAACAACUUGUGAACCCCAACAGCAACAAUAUUUGAUAGCCGAAGCAACUUGUGAACCCCAACAGUACGCGAUUUAAUACAAAUAUGGAUGUAGAUACAAAACCUUAAUUAGGAUGACAACUUAUCCUCAUCAAAGUAAAGUACAAGCAACGACACCAUAGCACAUCCCCACUAACAACUACUUUGCAACCCAAACAAUUGUUUUGUGUUGGGAUAUGCAGUACAUUGUGUAUAUCCCAAAUCCUAAUUCAUGUCUAUAUGGAUAUUCAUAUAAUCUAUUCAACAGUAUGCAACAUAGUCACCGUUAUAAGUACCCUCACAGUUUAUAAAAUGCAUAAAAUACGCAAUAAAAAGAUAACUAUAAAGAAGCACACAAUAGGUGUUUGAGCUGAUUCAUUUCACAAUAAAUUAAAACAAUAUGAUGCAGUAUUGUAAAAAUCGUUUUCAAUACUUACAUUAUUUUUCAGAACGUUCACAUUUGUGAUGAUAUCUUGCAUGUAUUUCAUCAUAUAGUAACCACAUUCAAAGUUGCUCGGCUGCCUCGAACACUACAGGAUCAAAAUUACAUUAAUUUUUUACUGUACGUUAACAAUAAUUAGUUAGGUUUGUCUGAUUUUUACCUUGACAGGUAUCCAUUGAACAUUGGCCUUUGCAUCAAAAUUUAAACUCUGAUGUAUUCGAAUCCCCCUACAAUUAAGAGACAUAGCAAACGUUAGCAAAUAAUUAGCAUAAGACAUAAAAAUAAAACAGCAUGAUCAAAGAUACAAAUAACAAACUUAACUGAUUGACAAUCUGCAUUAGCUCUUCAUCAGGACUACCUUCCAAAGGAUCAAGAUAAUAGGUUGUACGUCUCACCAUAUCAAUUGCCAAUAACACCCAGUGGGCACUAAACAAAGUAAAAAUUGUUCUCACACAUGAAUUACAAGUAAAAGUUUUUAACUUCAUGAUUAAUCUACAAAUUAAAGAAUAUAACUAGCAAAUGAAAAAGGUUAUACCCAGGGUUAUACGAGAAUACGAUGACUUGUCCCAAUUCUGCCAAGCCUAACAGUUUUGAAAUGUAUUGAGUCUUGUCUUUGAAGCUGACCCUUGGAUAUAGCUUCUCAAAAAGCCCAAACGGAACUGGUUUAGUACUUUCAUUGCUCUCCGUCUCCUCAUACAGGUGUCUAAGAGGAAACAAAUAUAUAUAAUGAAGUAAGUUUGAAUAUAGGAAACAAAAUAAUAGGGCCAAGUUUACUAAAACAUAAGUUAUAAUUUACCGUACUUGAUCCAUAUGUUAAUGAUGCAGUUUGAGACCUCUUUAAACUCGAUGAUUUCAGCACAAAUCAUUUUUUCCAAGUGUGUUUCCCAAAUUUCACCAAAGGUUGCUGUGUCAUGCCGAAUCCUGAUCAACCGAGGUAAAGAAUUCUCGAUGAACAUGGUAAACAUGUUCAUAUAUUCACUCCUGUCAUUCUUUCUUGAUCGUGCUGCUGCCCGUGUAUUCUUCACACGUACAUUGAGGUCUUUUACUGCUGGUCUGAUGACUCAGGGUUCUUUUUUGGUUACUUCUGCUGGUCUGAUGACUCUGGGUUCUUUUUUUUUCUACUUCUGCUGGUCUGAUGACCAGUGGUUCUUUUUUGGGUACUUCUACUGGUCUGAUGACUAGUGGUUCUUUGUUGGGUACUUUGUCAUGAUAGGAGAACUGCCUAUCUAGUACUUUAGAAGUUAGUCUAGGAGAUCUUCUCGGUGUGGGCUUUGAAGUAAUUUCACACUCUACUUUUUCGGGGGUUUGUUGAGGAGUUGCUUGAGAAAUUGUGGUGGGACUGUCCUUGAUUUUACUCUUCACAGAUUUUGGAGUCGACUUACCCGAUGGGAAAUCAGCCUAUGCAAUAAUCAAAAUACAUACCAUUAGUAGUAAUACAUGCAUAUACAAAUAGAAAUAAAAUAAUGACAUGUAACAGGCCAUAUACCUUUCUUUUUCCAAGAGUUUCAGGGGAUUGUUGAUCAUUGUCAAUCUGAACACCAGUGGAAGUUUUGGGCUUAGGAAAGUUAGAACUUCCAACUUCAGUAUUGCUGUAUGCAUUUAACCUUGCAUUCAUGCGUUCUAAUUGAGCAGACAUGAAUUGGAAACUCUCUUGAUACAUCUUUCUUUCUCUUGCUAACUCAAUGGCAUCAGGGACAUGAAAGUACAUAGAUGGGGUGACGAAUUGCCCCACUCCUUACACCCUGCUUCCAUUUGGCUGCUUCUGAAGAGCUUCACCUAGAAUGUCAUGUGACCCUUGUGAUUGGAAUGUUCCUUGUUCAACCUGACUCUUCAGCUCAUUCUACAAAAAAAAAAUAUUGUAAAUCCGCAAUUACGAGUACAAGACAUCAGCUAAAUUAAAAUUCAUAAGAAUUAAGUAUACAAGUGACUUACUAUUUUCUCAGCAAUUGGCAUCACAUCAGAAGCAUAUUUACCAUCUCGGUCUGCUCGUGCCAUUAACCAAGCUUCACUGCGAUCAAUCUCCCGCUCAGAAACUCCACUCUCUUUUUUCUGUUACAAGGUGACAUAAAACAUAAAUAAUUGGUUCUAUUAUAUUAUACGUAUUAGAUUACUUAUGUUACUGUAAUUACUUCAUAUUACCACACUUACUUUUCUAUACAACAUGCCACCAUAUCUUGUGCUACCCAAGCGAUGGUUGUAGACAUUCUUUGCUCUUUUGUCUUUUGCCUUCUUACUUUUUUCCUGCACAAACAGUUUAUAUGAAGAACAAAAAGUUACCAUUGAUUAUUAGUAACUACUAACAAUUAAAUCAGGCAAUAUUAACAAACAACACACCUGAAAUUGUUCAGACAAAACUUUGUCAACAAAAAGUUUCCAAUCUUCUUUUUUAAUGCUUGGAUAUUCAAUAGGAGGCAACUUUAGUGACUUUCGAUCAUCCUUGUUAGGUAGAACUAAUUCAGUUGCCAGUUCACAUUGAAAGUUUCUUGAUGCAACCCCCAUCCACUUUAAUACUUGGCUUUUGCAUUUCAAGCUCAAUUUGAAUUAUUUUCUGUAAACCAAUAACAUGGAUUAGAAACAACUUUAAACAAAUCUGGAAGUUAUAUAAAAUCUUUAAACAUACUAUGAAACAAGAAAACAAAACCUGAAAAUGAACCCACAAAGUUUCCUUCAUCUCUAGUGGCACACGCCUCCAAUCAUCAAGUAAAAUUGAAAUUGUUUUACGUACAAUGACUCCAAUGUAACUCCUAAGAUCAUUUCUUCCCUUUCCAACUGGAACACCAUAAGAAUUGUACUCAAUUGCAGCUUCAUGACUAACUUCUUAUUUUUAGAAACCUUUUUUUUUUGUUUGUUUUCUUCUCCUUGGUCUUCCGUCGAGCUCCGGAAGAGUGAACUCAACAUCGUCAGCCAUCUCCUACAAUCCUGAAAAUGAUUAAAAUAAAUAAGUAUAUCAUUUAGAUUAAUAAGUUAAUACAAGAGCAAUAGCAUAUAAUGAAAUAAAUAAAUCACUUACUGGAAAACUGUGAAAAUUAGUGCUGGAAACUAACUACAAUAAUGCAUUCACUGAUUUUCUAAAUCAAUAUCUAUUGGAAUAACAUCAGAAUCUUUUUUGUCAUAAAUUCCUUCAUCAUCUUUCUCAUCCAACUCACAUAUUGGAAGUUUGUUAGAUAAUGGAGAAAAUACAUCCACAUCUUCACAUCUUUCCCCAUUUAACUUAUAAGCUUUGUCGGUCACUAAACAAACUAUUGAUUUAUUAUUAUCUAACUGGUCCUUUACAUAAAAUACUUGCUUUGCAUGACAAGCCAGAAUAAAGCAAUCAGAUUUAUAGCCAAUCCGAUUUAAAUCAACUACAGUAAAACCUAAAUUGUCAGUGCAAACCCCUCUAUCAUCUACCCAAUCACACUUGAAAAGUAUUUUUUUAACCCUCAGAUAAUCAAGCUACCAAAUCUCAUCAAUGACUCCAUAAAACGUCAUGUCUCCAAAAUGAGGACUUUUAUCUUUUGAGCUUGAAAUCUGUAGAGUGUUAGCAACAACCCUAACAUCACUAUUUUGGGUCACACGAUUACAAUCCUGGUCCCUCGUUGUAAAAUUGAAGCCAUUUAUCUCGUAGCCAGAGAAGGUCACCACGCUUGAGCGUGGUUUGUUUGACAACCAGCACGCUAUUUCGUCAAUCGGCACAUUAUUUGCUUUAUCAUGUGCCACCUAUAAAUUAAAUUAACAAGUACAAUAAUUAAUAACAUGUAGAAAAAUCUUGUUAAGUUUAUAUCCUAUAUUGUAUUUAGUUAAGUAAUUCUAACCUUUGCUUGUAACCAACCAGAAAAUGUACGUAUGUGUUCAUUUUGCAACCACAUAUUUGUUUUUGGCUUAUAGGGGUUUCUUGAUGCCAAAUAAUGCAUAUGCUCCCUACAGUGAGACCAUAUUAAGAUUUAAAAACUAGUAUAUUAAUCUAAUAAUACAAUAGUAAUAUUUUUUUUGGAAAAAUUAACAACUUACUCGAUAUAUAUUUGGAUUUCAGGGGUGUUCAUUAGAACACACCGGUGUGCUUGUGCCAACAAAUGAUCAUCAACCACCUUUAUGUUUGCACCUCCCAAAGGCUUUUCGAUAGAUAAAUCAGUUGGACAACCAGUAGGCAGCCCAAUAACAUCACAAUUUGAGAGGUACUCAGCACAAAAUGCAAGUGCUUCUUCUGCAAUAUAACUUUCUACAAUACAACCCUCAGGGCGGUAGCGAUUACGAACAUAAUCCUUGAGAGUUUUCAUUUGUCUCUCAAAAGGAUACAUCCAUCGAAGAUAAACAGACCCACAUAACCUAACUUGUUCAACUAAGUGGACUGUUAAAUGGAUCAUUAUGUCAAAAAAGCUAGGUGGGAAGUACUACUGCAGUAAGCAUAAAGUGAUUACAAGUUCCUCUUGCAAUUGGUCAAGAGUAUUAGGAUCUACCACUUUACAGCAUAAUGUAUUAAAAAAGAAGCACAUCCUGAUUAUGGCCCUUCUCACAUUUAUAGGCAAACAGUUUCGAAUGGCUAAUGGUAGAAAUUAUUGCAUCAAAGUAUGACAGUCAUGGGACUUAAGGUCUUGAAGCCGACAAUCAUCUAUUGAAACAAGGUUUUGGACAUUGGAAGAAUACCCAUCAAGGACUUUCACACUCAGCAAGGUUUCACAAAACUAUUUUUUUUCUUUUUUACUCAAAGUAUAGGGAGCUGGAGGUAGGACUUUGUUUUUUUUGUUUGUUUCAUCAGGAACUAGUUUUCUAGCAUUAAUCCCAUCUUUUGUUUUGCCUGGUUGAUGAAGUAAUGUGCCAUAUAUGUUCUCGCACACAUUUUUUUCAAUGUGCAUCACAUCUAAUUGAUGGCGAACUAAUAAAUGCUUCCAAUAAUCUAACUAAAAAAAGAUUGACUUUUUUUUUGUACAACUUUUCAGUUAUGUUCUCAUCACCAUCACCGCCACCGCCGCCAUCAUGUUUCCGCUUUUUGGCCUUCUUUUUCCUAAACUUAAUAUCUAUAUCUUCCACCAUAUUAAAGAUUUCCUCACUACACAAAGUUUUAGGAGGCUCAUUCCACUCUUGCUUCCCAUUAAAAACCUUUUUCAGUUUUCGAAAUAGGUGACCGAGUGGUAGAAAGCGGCGAUGGCCCAUAUAUGACAUUUUCCUACUAUGUGGCAACCAACAUGCACAAGUGUCUAUCCCACAAAUUGGGCAAGCAUAAUAGCCCUUAACAGUACAACCAGAGAGGUUUCCGUAUGCUGGAAAGUCACUAAUUGUCCACAUCAAGAUAGCCCGUAAAUUAAAUGUUUCUUUUCUAUAAGAAUCAUAAACAUCAAUACCUACAUCCCAUAGAGUUUUUAAGUCCUCAAUCAAAGGUGUUAGGUAUACAUCUAGAUCAUUUCCAGGUUAUUUAGGGCCAGAUAUCAAAAGUGACAACAUCAAAAACUUUCUCUUCAUACACAACCAUGGAGGAAGAUUAUAUGUUAUUAAUAUAACAGGCCAACAACUAUAAGUAGUGUUAAGUGUACUAUGUGGGUUAACCCCAUCAGUUGAGAAAGCUAAACGGAGAUUUCUAAGUUCUUGUGCAAAUUUUGGCCACUUAUUGUCAAUUAGUUGCCAGGCAGGUGAGUCUGCUGGGUGGUAAAGUUUGCCAUCUCUAAUUCUUUUAUUACCAUGCCAUGUUAAAUUUGAGUUGUUUGUGGUGAUUGAAACAAUCUUUUCAACCUAGGAAUAGGUGGAAAAUACCAUAAUACCUUUUUAGGAACCCCUUUCCUAAAUUUUGUUGAGCUAUCUUUUUUUAUUUGAUACCUAGAUGCUCCACAAUUUGGGCAUUCAGCAAGAUCAGCAAUUCAUUCCUAUACAAAAUGCAGUCAUUUGGACAUGCAUGUAUUUUUUCAUACUCUAAGCCUAGCACUUUCAUUGUUUUCUUAACCUCGUACAUUGACAUAGGUAGAGUAUUAUUAUUUGGCAAAAUAUCACCAAGGACUUCUAACAAAGCAGAAAACCCUUUAUCGGACCACCCAUAGUUCCCUUUCACAUUGUAAAGUCUCAUUAAACUAGAUAACUUUGAAUGUUUUGCACCCGGGUACAAAGGCUUUUCAGCAUCUUCAAGCAUAUCCUUAAAAGAACUAGGAUCUCUAUCACAAUGCUCGUAAGCAUCUUCGACCAUGUCAAUUAUAUUACUGUAAUCAUGACAUCUAAAUCUUUGACUAUGUGAAUGGUCUUCACAGUUUAUAAAUGUAGAUUUAGAGUCAGUCUCACCAUGCCAAGUCCAAACAAUAUAUCUUGGGAGAAAACCUUUUUCAAAUAAAUGAUCCUUCAUCGGUUGAGGAGUAUGAAACUCCAUAUUACAACAAAAGGUGCAAGGACAUCUAAUUGACAUCCGAUUUUCAACAUUCAAAAUGGCAAAAUCUAAGAAAUCAGCAACUCCAGAACGAUACUCUACAGACAAUCUAUCACAAGUUAUCCAACUUCUGUCCAUUUCAAAUAUUUUACCUAUUCACAUAUGUAAUGUCAGUUUAAGUUUAAUUAAAUUGCAUGAUUAAUUUAAAGUUCAAUGUUAUUAUGAUUAUAGUUGCAAUAAUAAACUUAUAAUUCUGGAAAAUCAUUAAUAGCCCCUAUAAAUCAUUAAUUAUAAUAAUAAUUUAGACAAAAUCCUAAAAUUGAAAUAAAAGAAGUUUUGAAACUUAAAUAGGAGAUUAAUAGGUAAGAUGGGUAAUAAUGGCUUUUUAAGUAGUCGAACUAAUUCAUAAGUCAAGUAACUAACAAAAGUUAAGAGUUCAAAUAAAUAAUGUCUUCAUACCACUUUGCAAGCCAUUUUUAAAGAUUCUAUAAAUCAUUUUUUAACUUCAAAUACAACAUGCAAAACUACUUUAAAACAAGCAUUUCUUUAUUGAAUCAAACACAAAUCAUCAACUUUAUACAAUCUCAAAAUACUCACAACCACGAACUUAAUUAAUUCAUAUCAUAGUCAUUGUCUCUAGUACAAAUCACCCAACCAAAACAGAAUAAAUAAACAAGUAGGAUUAUAUAACAAAAUUUGCCUCUCUUCACAUGAAACAGAGAUGUAAAUAGUUUGUAACCACUAAAUACACAGUCAUUCAGCCAAUAUAACACCCAAACAAUCAUCUCCUAAUCACAAAGGCAAAAGCUAAAAUGAAAUUUCAUAUUUUAGUACAUUCAAAAUCAACUAACUUAUUGCUCAAAGUUAAGAAACGGAGCUAACAGUUUAUUUCAGAAACUAAAAAAAAAUGCACAUUCUUAGUUUUAAAUAACAAUGACUGUAAAUCACAUGCACAAAAGUUUGAAACUGACCUCAAAUGUGGCAGAAAAAAACAGAGUCGCAGUAGCAAGUGUUUUGAGUUUAAGUAAUGCACCACUUAAAAUGCCUGUAUUUUUGGACUGCAUGUGAGUGAAGAUAUAGAAAAAUAAGAACAAAAAUUUCAAGUUAAAAAUAAAUAAAAGAAAAAAAAAGAUUUGGAAAACAAAACCCACCAGGGUUGCACUACUGUUCAAUUUCUGAAUAUCUGAAACAACCCAAAAAUAAUAAUUCAAAAAUAUUAUUCAUAAGCCAAAUUAAAACAAACCCAAUAAUUAAAUUGCCCAAAAAAAUAAAAUAUUCUGCCAUUACCAGCUGAUAACCUCCUCUACAGUUCUUUCUCUAGACUUAACUUGUCAAAGAGAAUGAGAUUACCUGAAUACGGAACCGAUGGUGCCACUUCACCCCUUGUCGAUGGCUUUUACUUGCUUGCCUAGUAUAGGCACUGGAUGGUUUAGUUGGAGAAAAACCCCUUCGAUAACAAGCGAUUAGGGUUUUGGUUUGUGUUUCAAUUUGGGGAAAAUGGAAAUACGAAACAGAGUUUUAAUUUUUCAUUAUCUAUCUAAAUUAAUUGAAUUUAAUUCGUAAAUGGAUAGUGCAAAAUAGAAGAGAUCGAGAAGAGAAGAACGAAAGAGAAAGUGAACGAUGAAAGCAAGAUAGAGACAGUCGAUAUAGUCUAAAUGGGGAAAAGUCAAGUGUGUUUUAUGUUGUUGUUAUUUAUAUUUUCAUUUUUUAAUAAUUUAAAUAUUAUUAUGACUUUGACUCAUCGAGAUUUGAUGGUCUGUGCUCCAAACAUUAAAGCUUUAAAUCUUAGAGCUCUCAGGUUCGAGUUGGAGGUAAAACAAAAUUUUUAUGAAUUUUUUUAUCAUUGAUACUUUAGUGUUAGUGAUUUUUUAUGUUUAGUUUACUGACACCCUAGUAUCAUUAAUCUCUGAUUCCUAUUUGUCAAAAGCGGAAAAUGGUGCAUAUGUACAUAAGUACUGACACUUUUUGCAAAGUGUCAGUAAAGCUUAUUUUUCUAGUAGUGGACUCAAAUGAAAAUAAUUAUAAAUAGUGUCUUAAGAUAUUAAUCUUUUCAAAAAGACGAGGAUUCAUAUAUUACGGAUACUUGAAUCGAAGAAUGAUGCAAUGGUGACCAAACAACUGUAAAAUCAUAUAAUGUUAUAGUGUUAAAUAAAAAAAAAUAUAACUAUUUUUCAAUCAACAUUGUAACACUACACAAUUUACAAUUAUUUUUGUCACCCUUAUGUCUCUGUUAGAACUCUAUCAUUUUUCAUUUCUUAAAAAAAACAUGCUUAAAAGAUCCCCAAAUUUCUGUGGUAUAUGUAUAUACUUUUAAAAUGAAGAUAUAAUAAAUAUAAAAUUUUACAAACGAUCUAGUACUUUUUCUAAAUUUCGUUGAAGAAAUAAGAUACCAUCGUACAUGAUUAAUCACGUAUAUUCAUUUGAGUAAUUUUACAUUUAUAACCUUGGGAUACAAAUUUUGUUUGUGAUAUACAUGCAAGUCUCGUAAUGUAUAAUUCGUCAUCGAGGAUUUAACACAUCAACAACGGCUGAUGCUGGUAAUUAUUCUUCUGUAUCUUCAGGAUUUAAGAAGAGGGUCACAGUGGGUCUAGAUAAUAGAAUGGAGGAGUUGAUAGAUUUAUUCAUUGAGGUACCACCUCAACUUUUAGUAGUGGCCAUCCUUGAUAGCGUAAAAUCAAGUUUGUAUCAGGCCAUGAUUCUUCUCUAGGGAGGAGGAGGGAGCAGAUGAACAAGAAACCCCCGUGUAGUGGGUUGAGAGGAUUAGAUGGAGAUGCUGUUAAAACUAAGGUACGAGGCAGAGAAGCAAGCUGUGGAAGCCAAUUAGGGUGAAGACUCUCAAAAAGCAAACACGAUGAUUAGCAGUAUGUCUUUGCCUCGGCUCAUAGUGCUAACUACUUCAACUUUGUCUGUUACUUGGAAACUUUGGUGCCUUCCAUGACAAUCAUCUUGUGGCAGCAAGGUCAAAGAUUCUAUUGCUUUUGGUUUCAAUGAACAGAGCUAGCUUACCAGACAGGGUUAGCAUUUUAUUAAUUGCAAGUGGUAGCAUAUUUAUUCAUUAGCGUCACCUUCCCCUCAUCUUCUCCAACCUUGCUGCAAGUGGUAGCAUAUUUAUUCAUUACCUACAUUGAUAAAGUUUUUAAAAAUUUCCUUUUCACGAGAAAUAGUCACGGAAAAACUUGUGCAUGAUAGAGCAGUCAGUGACUAACUCCAUGAAAUAAUUAUAAAAUCAUUAUUUGUCUUUAAUUUUCAUCAUAUUAUUUGUCUUUAAUUUUCAUCAUACUCAUUAAAAAAGUAUUAUGAUUACAUAGUCAGUGUUUUAUAUUCACAGAUGACAAAAGUAACGAAGUACUGCCAUUUUGGAUUUAAUUGCAAGUUGUAUAAUUUAUUAUGCUCCAAGUCCAUAUCACAUAAACCAAUACCCAAUCUCUUUUCUACAACUACUUCCGUAUUGUACAUAUUAUCAAAAUUCUAUAAUAAAACAUCAUUUAUGUAUAGAAGAAAUUAUUGACUAAACUAACAUGCUCACACUACUUGAGUGCUGAGAGAAAGAGUUGCGUCGGUCAACCUACGACCAAUUCCAUUCAUCAACAAUAAAUGUUUCAGCGGACACAUAAAUAUUUGAAUUAAGAGCUAAGAAGUUUUAACAAUGAUUUUUUUUUUUUAAACAAAGAUUCUGCCUUGAUAUGUUCUAAUUUGAGAGUCAACGAUCUUGAUUUAACUUCUUGACUGGAGAACUAGCUAAGAGAAGGGAGGUACGGGAGCCAGCACUAAUGUUUGAAUUGAGAUCUUUAAAGCAUAUUUUCUUUUUCCCCUCUCUCUUUUAAUUAUUUCUUUGCAUGCUACAAGACUGAUUUCAGGGUGAAUCUGAGAGAGGAGGAGAUAUGGACAUCAGCUUCAGACUAUUUUCAGAGAGGCUGAGAAGGGUGUUAGCUGGUGAAGAAGUCAUGUUGUCUGAUGCUGCGAAACAACCAAUUCACAACCUUAAUGCGGAGGUUGAAAUCGUUACUUCUUGGCUGAGGGAAUUUGAAUAUGAUAUCUCCUGCCUUCUGUUCCAAAAAAUAGCAGAGGAGGAAAUUGAUGACCCAGAUCUUGCGACCGUUAUGCACAAAAUCAAUUGCUUUACGUAUGAAUCUGAGAAGGUCAUUGACACAUACAUCAACAGCAUCACUCAACAGAAGAGUCAAAGCAGAUACAACAAGGACAUUUGUGAUGCUCUGCAACGACUCCAAAGCAGAAUCACUGAGAUUAAGCAACGGGUUCAACAACUUAAGCACAUCGAUCCCGAAAUCAUGGACAACUUCAGAAGUGUUGAAGCUGAAUCCGGUUAUUUUCCUGCAUCUUCAUCUUCUAAGAAUAGGAACACGGUGGGCCUAGAUGGUAGAAUGGAGGAGUUGUUAGAUCUAUUGAUCGAGGGACCAACUCAGCUUUCGGUGGUGGCCAUACUCGAUAGCAUUGGGUUGGACAAGACGGCUUUCACUGCGGAGGCUUAUAACAGCAGUUAUGUGAAGCAUUAUUUUGAUUAUCUCGCUUGGAUUCCAGCGCCUUAUCAAUAUGACCCUGACCAACUAUUAGAUGUCGUUACUGUGAUUCUAUUGCCUUUUUCUAUGUUGAGUAAAAUAAAGGAUAAAGAUUAUGAAAUGAAAAAAGUUAUUCUUGGUGAAUAUCUAAUGACUAAGCGGUAUUUGAUUGUGCUUGAUGAUGUGUGGAGCGCAGAUGUAUUGGAUGCUAUUCAAGAAAUCCUUCCGGAUAAUCAGAAUGGAAGUAGAGUGCUAAUCACACUCACUCUAAUUGAGAUGGUCACCUCAUUUCAGUUCGAAAAUGGAGAGAACGUUCGCCUUGAUAUAGUGCCCACUAGAGGACCAUUGAGGGUUAGUUACCAAGGAUGGCCUUUCCUCAUCUUAUAUCAUGGAAGCAUCUCAUUAGAACAAAAUAUAGAGGAAGCAAUCGAGGGACCCAUGGGGCGUCUAACCGUCAUAUCUUGCAAGCUACCUUUUCGCUUGAAACCUUGUUUUCUCUACUUAUCUGUGUUUCCCGCACACCUAGAGAUAUCCACCAGGCAGUUAUAUCAGUUGUGGAUAGCUGAGGGUUUCAUUCCAGACAACAGUGAGGCAACUGCUGAGAAGUACUUAGAGCAACUAAUCAAUAGAGGCUUUGUUGAUGCAAGGAGGAGAAGAGCUGGAGGCACUAUCAACACAUGCUCUGUUCGUGGUCGUUGCCGUCCUGCGUUGUUAACAGUGGCUAUCGAGGCGGAAUUUAUCUUUCUCUCGUUCAUGGUUUCAGAACGUAAAUCAAAAAAGAAUGUUAAACGGAUCAACGUUUUUGAUAAACAGAGUGAUUUUGUUCACUUUGUUGAUGAUGACUCGCACAUGCAUUCUUUGUUGUACUUCACUUCAAAAAGCGACCACCUUGACCCAAUAGAUUGGGGGAUAAUUUGUCUAAUGUUGGAAUUUCUCAGAGUAUUGGACUUGGGAUCUCUUGUUCUCAUCCAAUAUCCAUCCGGAAUUGAAAAUUUAUUUCUUUUGAGAUAUUUAAAGUUGAAUAUCCCUUCCCUCAAAAUCCUGCCUUCAUCAUUAUUAAGCAAUCUUCUGAACCUUUAUACCCUAGACAUGCCCUUUAGCUAUAUAGAUCAUACAGCAGAUGAAUUUUGGAAGAUGAACAAACUCAGGCAUCUAAAUUUUGGGUCAAUCACACUUCCUGCGCAUCCAGGAAAAUACUGCGGCUCUCUGGAAAAUCUCAAUUUCAUUUCAGCCUUGCAUCCUUGCUGCUGUACUGAAGAUAUAUUGGGCAGACUACCUAAUCUUCGAAAUCUCCGGAUUCGGGGAGAUUUAAGUUAUUAUCAAUUUUUGUUGUCCCAAAGUAUUUGCAGAUUGAGCUGCCUCGAGUCAUUGAAGUUGGUGAAUGAAAGCAAGAUGCCACGGAUCUCCAAAAUCAUCCUUGCUGAAUACCUAUUUCCUCAUAGUCUAACCCACUUGAGUUUUUCUAAUACUGACCUAAUGGAUGAUCCCAUGCCGACACUAGAAAAGCUGCCACUUCUUCAAGUGCUCAAACUGAAGCAAAACUCGUAUUCAGGUAGAAAGCUGACUUGUGGAUCUGAUGGUUUUCCAAGGCUUAAUGUAUUGCACAUGAAAUCAAUGCUAUGGCUAGAGGAGUGGACUAUGGGGACUGGGGCCAUGCCAAAACUAGAAUGCUUACUUAUCAACCCUUGUGCUUACUUGAAAAGGGUUCCUGAACAGCUCUGGUGCAUAAAGAGCUUAAACAAAUUCGAUUGCUGGUGGCCUCAGCCAGAGCUGAGACAAAAGCUACGGGAAUUCAAGGAUAAGGAGCAGUAUGGCGUUCAGCUUUAUCCUUACGGAAUUUGAUUAGCCCUGAUUGAGUUUCAUGUAAGUUUUUUCUUCUUCCCCAAUAACUUCAACCUUUAAUUAUUGAUCUAAUUUCAUAUAAAAGUUUUUUUUCCUCCACAAUAGAUUUGAUAGUAUGCAGCUGCCUAAACUAUAAUCAUAAUAUAAAGUGUUUUCUACAUUCUAAUUGUGGUUGCUUCUAAUUUUUGUCUCAACAUAAACUUGAAGUGUCCAUCACAGUUCCUGAUGCUGACACCAUUCAUUAAAAACUGUAUGAUAAGAUCUUCUAUCAGUUGUAUGUGCAGGUAAAAGCAGAGCGGAAAAUAUCUUAACUGUACUGCAGCCAAAGUUUCAAUUUCAACCAGAAUCCAGCCUUCAUCCUUUCAGUGUUCACUUCUGCUGAGUUGUCUACACGUUGUUUGGUUUCUUUGUUUUCAAGGAUUUGCAUGCUAAAGUAAUAAUGUCAUGUUCGGAUUAAUAUAUUGUACAAAAGUCUGAUUAAUUGUUUUACUUUCUAUUUUCAGUUUCACUGGUGUGUAUUCAAUUUGUCAACAUUCAAAUUGAUAUAUGUUAUGUUUUUAUUUUUAUUUUAUUUCUUUCUCUAGUUUUUAAGUAGCGGUACAGUUCAACUUCAAGCUUAGUACUUCAGUUAGAAGAAUAGUAUUUGUGCUUUGAUCUCAUCUCAUCAUCUCAACACAGGCAGAACGACAUUGUUGUUCGGUUUUUUGGAAUUUCACCGACGUGUCGGUCAUUAUAAGGGCGAGAAUGCUGGUCAAAAGUCAGUUGGGGUUAGUUAAAAAAGUGCAGGAAAAUUCUGGGAUUGUUAGAGAUGGCCUUUAUGAUAGUUUAUAAGGCUGGUUGAUGGGUCAUCUUCUCAGAUCUCAUCAAAGCUAUGGGGAGGGAGGGAGAGAGAGAGUUAAAGUAGAAAGUUGUAUAUUCUUGUUCUCUGUAACAAGCUCUACAUCCUGGUAACCUUGAUUUGCGACAUAGUGAAAGCUUGAAAGCUUGUAUCCUUGUUCUUCACUGGAUUUAGGCACUUUGAUUCAAUUUUUAGUUCGGAUUUCUGAGAACGAGUCUUCAUACAUCAAAUCAAAGAUGGUCUGAGGUGUUUGAUCUUGGUACUGUCAGAGGAUUAAACACAACAAAAAGAAACUGGGACAUAUUGCCUAAUCUUCAUAGUCUUGAGAUAUAUGGAGAUUAAGCCCUUGUCAAUUUGGGUUGUCCAACAACCCUUUUAAAAUCGAAAACCAGCACUAAUCCUUGGUGAUUUGGAGCAGAAGAUUUAACGAGUAAAGUUCCGAAAGUGGAAUCAUACCAUUACCAAAGCCCUCUUUUGCAGCAGAGAAAUCCCUUAUAGCCAUUGAGAUUAAUUGAUUAAAUGGAGUUGACAAAUGAAACAAAAACGAAAAAAAAAAAAAAAACUUCAAUUCUACCAAAAUCAUUCAACCAUUAAUACCCACUUUGAAUAAAAUUCAACAUCCUUUUUUCUAUCCCUUUCAGGUAAUAAGUUGCUUCUGUUGUUUUUAAUCUCAAUAAGAUAUAUAUCAUCGGCAUAUUGAAGUUUGUGAUUAUUCUAAGAAAAAAUAGGUGCUUUAUUAUUUGAAUUAUCGACAAAAUAAUUCCAUUUCAUUAUUUUGUUAGAUCCACUAUAUGUACAUGUUUGAAUCUUAUUCACAAGUUUUGAUUUCACUCUCACGUUUCAUAUGAUGUCAAAUCAGAUAAAAAGAAAAAAAAAAAUGAAAGCUAGCUUGUCGGUAGCAAUUACAUUAGCAUUUAGCAAAUGUUAUUUUGAGUACAAGCACAAUUUGGCUCAUUUUCCAGGACCAACUAUCUUCCAUUUAGAAAUGCAUUGACAAACAGAUUAAUUGGUAAAAUGAUGGUUUCUAGAUAGAAUCUUUCCAAGUUGCACUAAACUCCUUUCCUCCAAGCUAAACAUUAAUUAAUUUGCAUUUGAUAAAAUUUUUCUUUCUAUUCUUUUUGCAUAACGAUUGGUCACCAAUCUUGAUUCAAUUUUUUGAAUGGCAACUUACUGCUGGAUUAAUUAGAGAAUCAGACAUCACUCAUAAGGCAUCAAUCGGGUAAAGUUAUUUUCAUACAAUUACUUUCUUCAUAUCACAUCAGUCUAUACAAAUUUAUUUAUACAAGAUAGUUGUUACUCUAUCAUUAUUCAUCAAGAGAUCUAAAGAGAUAUAUAUAUAUAUAUUGGGGAUGGAUCAACAGCCCCCUAAAAAUACUCUUAAUUUUACACUAAUUAAUAUUUAUUAGAUUUGAAUUGAAUCAAUGGAUGUGAUUAAUUGAAAUUAAAUCUUCAAGACCUUUUAAUAUUCUCUCUCUCAAUGUGGUUCCCACUUAAAAUUUUUCUCACUCUUUUAUUUUUUCCCUUCGUUCACGUGAUGUGCUCUCUCUCUCUUCUCUUCUCUUGUUCUUUUUAAUCUAUGAUUUUUCGUUUGCUUUUUUCUUUCUUCCUCAGUCAUAAAAAGUCUUAACUCUCUCUAGCAAAAAUUCUUUACUCUCUCCAACUUUUAACUCCACAACUCUUUUUUUCACUUUUUUUUCUCUCUCCACAUACCAUUUGAAAGCACAAAAUUAUUAAUUUUAACCAGCGGAACUAGUCCCCCAGCAAAACAAUCAUCAAACUCAAGUUUAACAAAAAAUUCUUGUGAAAAAGGAUGUCUAUUGACAACGACAUGGCAUUAGAAGUUUUUCUUCAAAUCUCAAGUAUAGAUUUGAUUGGUACAAAGAUUUACCACAUAUUAUGAAUAAAAAUAUUAUAAUCUUAAGUAUAUGAAAAAAAUAUGUGCGAAUGGGAAUAUGAUCUCUACUGUAUAUUAUGAAUAAAAAUAAAGAAAGAGAAAAUAAUAGCAAUUUUGAGCAAACAAAUAGAAACCUUGCCUUAUGCUAUUUAAAAUUAAUAGUAUUACGUCAUAAUUAAUUUGAGAAUUUGCUUUAAGUGGUCCAUAAAGUAAGUCCAAAAUGACUGAAUAAGACAAAAUUACAGAGACUUCUUUAACCAAUGAAACAAGUUGGUUGCUUCAAUAUUCCUCGUCAAUGAUUUUGGUGCCCAACUCCUUGAGUCCUCCUGGAAGGAUUUCAACAACAAUGCUACGCAAAACUGACAAUAAAAGAAAAUAAGAGGGGAAACGAAUGAAAACAACAAUGAAGAAAAAUAAGUACCAUCAAUGGUCUGCAGGAUACAACUUAAGCCUAUAGCUUGAGGCAAUCACUAUGCACAAUAAAACUCAAAUCACAUAUACAAGUGAAGAACUAAAAAUUGAAGAAGUUGGCUAUUAAACAUAUAAAUUUCAAUGAACAUAAUCAAUCAAAAUCUAAGCAUACUUACAACAAUUCUCUUCGUGAUUAUAUUGAUAUCAAUUUAACUCAUUUCUUCAUUCCGUAAUAUUUUUGCAAAUAAUCAAAAAUAAACUUUUUAGAGAGAUCUUUAAUAUUGAAAGGUAAUUAUUACAAGAUUUUAUUUACAAUUUACCUAGAUUUGAUAUUUCAAUGCUUUUUCUACUUGGAUUUAAAGGACAAAUACGCUUAUCAUGUCCAAGUUUGCCGCAUGAAUUGCACUUCCUCUUCUUCUUGCCAAGAGCCAACUCAAUACCACUUUUGAUUCUGCCAGUGUUGUUAACAUCUUUCUUCCGACCCUUGGUUUGUGAAAUAUUUGGAUCCAAAAGUAAUGGCUGAGAUGAACUAAUGCUAAAACAAGGAUCAUCUUUCUGUUGGCAAACAGUGGCUGGUUGGUUUGAAAUAUCUAACAACUUUUUUGCUAGCUCAUUUAUACCAUCCAUGUAAAUCAAGUAUGCCUCAUUUGAAGAUGCAACAGCACAUGCUAAUUUAGUAGUUUGGUGGCACAUAUGGCUUAGUCUCAAAGCCUCUAAUUCUUCUUUACCAUCAUUUUUCAAAAAAUCUCUCAAAUCAAUCUUUCUAAAUUUAUUUGCCUCUUGUCUCCAUCUUGGAAGAAUAAAAUGAUUCGGCAGCUUAUCAAUGUCUAAACGAACAAACACUUUCAGCAUAUGUCUGCAAAGUAUUCCAACGAACUCAAAUUUUUUACAAUCACAAGUACCCUCAUAAGUUUACGGAUUUAACUUCACCAUAAACUCUUCAGAUUCUCCAAACUUUGUUCUCACUAGGUACUUGAGAAAUUCAGCAUCACAUCCACUCUCUUCAACUUUGUAUCGAUUAACAUGGCUCCAUUCAUCCUUGAAUUUAUUAAAAACAUUUAUGGUAUACAAUUGGGAUGCAUGUUUCAAAAGAAAUUCUCCAUCAUUGACAAUUCGAUAUUUAUGUUAUGAUUCAAAAUCUUCAUCACUUUCUUUUUCAAUAAUCCUUUUCAACGCUCCUUCAUAUUUCACAACAAACUCUCUAAGAUUUGUCGAGGAUGUUACAAAACCAUUAAAGAAUGAAUUAAUGCCCUCACUCCGUCCUGUAGUAUUCAUUCCAGCAAAAACAAUACUACGAUUAUAAAUAGGUGCCCAAGAAGCUUGUAUUUCAUAUAGAUGAUUUAGCCAUUCAUUGUCUUCCAAUUUAUAUUCUAUAAUCAAACUCUUCGAAGUUUCUUCAAAUUCCUCUACUUUGUAAGUAGACAUAAUACAUUUUUUUCAAUCCGAUCUUGAAUCUUGACUUCUUGAAGUACACAUAUGACAACUUCUCGGCAAACUUCUUCUUAAUAUGCCAAAGGCAUAAUCGAUGGUGAGUAUUUGGAAAAACUGUCACAAUUGCUCUUUUCAUUGCCAAGUCUUGGUCAGUAAUGAUAGAAACUGGAGGAUGUCCUCCCAUAGCUUCAAGCCAUGUCUCAAAAAGUCACUGAAAUGUUACCUAUGUUUCAUCUUGUAGAAGUGCACAAUCGAAUUGUAUUAACUGUAAGUGGUGGUUCACUCUUGUGAAUGGUGCGAACGACAUAUCGUACUUGUUUGUUCUAUAAGUUGUGUCAAAUGAAACUACAUCCCCAAAACAGUGAUAUGCCAACCACGAUCGAGCAUCUACCCAAAAAAAUUUGGUUGCUUGCCCUUUUUCAUCACAUUGGAUUGCAUAAAAAAAUUUGAGGGUUCUCAGCUUGCUUUUUCCUGAAAUAUAUAAGGAUUGAUUGGGCAUCCCCUCCAUCCAAUUACCUAUGACACACAUUCCUUAAGUGAUUAUAGCAAUCUCUGUUGUUAAAGCCCAUUUACGAACCUCCUAGAAUUGAACAAACUUUUGCAAUAGGCAAAUUUUCUCUAUGAAAAGCUUCAGUCAAAUUCUUAGCAGCUUUAGGCAUGUGUUUGUUUGACUUCAUCUUUAUUCUUCUAGCAGGAGUAACUACUUUAUGAUUGUGAGAAUCCUUGAAAACCAUAAUCUUCCACUUAUUUGACCAUUUGUCAUACAUAACCCGCAUACUAGCUUCACACCCACAUUUGACAGUUGAACAAUUUCUACUUCUUUUUUUUUUUUUGUAUUUACCUCACUUGCAUCUUUUUCAUAGUGUUCUUCCAUAAAAUUAGGCUUAUUAAUCUUUGGCACAUGCUUCCCUUGAUGGGCAAAGUAAAUUGUCCACUAGUCACCUCAUUGCAGCCUACUCUACUCUUGGAAGAAGAUCGAGUUCGAAUCCAAAACCCCUCCUAUCUACCAUAAUCUUCAUAGUAGUUUCUAGCUUGCUCUAAUGUUUCAAAAAGCAUCCCCACAUAUGGUGCCUCUAAUUGUUCAAGAUUGUUUUCAACCUCUUCGCCAUUGUUCCCCUGUAAUGUGUCAAACAAUUGAAAGAAAAAUAAAUAAUAUAUAAAAAGAUAAAAAUAUUGAAAAAAUUACGAGUUAGAAAAGUUAGGUAAAAUUAAUUGUAAAAAAAAAUAAAUAAAUUAUAAAAGCAUGACACAUACCAAAUAUUCAUUAUUUUCAGGCAUUUUCACGAAGAGUUGUGGAGUUAAAAGUUGGAGAGAGUAAAAAAAUUUUGCUAGAGAGAGUUAAGACUUUUUAUGAUUGAGGAAGAAAGAAAAAAGCAAAUGAAAAGUCAUAGGUUAAAAAGAACAAGAGAAGAGAAGAGAGAACACAUCACGUGAAGGAAGGAAAAAAAUAAAAGAGUGAGAAAAUUUUAGGUGGGGAUUACAUGCAGAGAGAGAAUAUUAAAAGAUUUUAAAGAUUUAAUUUCAAUUAAUCUCAUCGAUUGAUUCAAUUCAAAUCUAAUGGAUAUCAAUUAGUGUAAAAUUAAGAGUAUUUUGAGGGGGCUGCUGAUCCAUCCCUAUAUAUAUAUAUAUAUAUAUAUAUUUUAUCAUGAUGUCUUUUAAUUAUUCAUUGAUUUGCAUGCUAGGACUACCACGUGAUGAGAGGGGAAGGGAAGGAGUCACGUUGCCCGAGGCAGCUAAACAACAUAUUCAAAACCUUCACGCAGAGAUACGAAAUCGUUACUUCUUUGUUGAGUGCCUGUGGAAACAACACAGCUUGGAUUAUGCUGCGAUCAAAUGCUGAAAAAGAUCAAAAUUGAUAGAGAAUUAGAAAAAGAUCUUCAGCCCAUUAUUGAAUUAGACUGUUAGCUCUCUCAAAUAGACUUGCUCACAUCGUUCCAACUGAAAAAUGGAGAGAACAUUGGGCUUAAUUUAAUGCCUGCAGGAGUACCACUAAAAGUUACCGAUGGCCUUUUCUCAUCUUAUACCAUGGAAUUGUGUCAUUAGAAAAGAAUUGACUAGAUACUUGGCAUAUCUCCAGUGGGUAUUAAAUGUUCGCAUAUUCCACAUUUUAGGAUUCUAUACCGAUCUGACCUACUACAAUUAUGUAAUUAUGUGUUAUUAUAUGAAAUAAAAUAAUGUAAAUCUUGACUGUAUAUAAAUAAAAAUACACAUAUAUCAGAAGAUUCUUCAAAACCCAGAUAAGUUCAAAUUAAAAGAGGAUUUAAUACCAUCUCACAUUACCUUUUUUCUUGAAACCUUAUUUUCUCUACACGUCUGUCUUUCGUUUUUAUUUCGAGAUAUCAAACAGGCAACUGUAUCAAUUGUGGGUAGCUGAAGGUUUCAGUUCAAACAAUAAUGAGUCAACUGCUGAGAAGUUCUUGGAACAACUUGUAACGCCACAAAUUCCCAUACAUAUUAAAUUAUGGAAAUUGGGCUUUCAUUGAGAAUUAUGGGUGGCCUAUAACCCUUAUUUAGAAAGGGGUACUAAUUAAAUAGAGGUUAUUUAUGAGAUCAUUUUGGAAAAGGGCUAGUUUUCCUUAUUGAAUAGGGUUUCUUAAGAUCCCCUAUAAAUACAUACUUUUCCCCCUUCCAUAACCCUAAGUUCACAACGUUUAUCCUUCUUCUCUGCUGCUCUUUACGCUCCUACCCAAAUCUUAGGAUUCAAACCUUUGUUUAGGAGAGACUCAAAGCGACGGGUAAGUUCACAACGUUUAUUCUGAACAGCAUGAGUAUCUCGAAUUUUUAAAGCUAUAUUUUCUGAACGAAUUUUCUUAUAAAAUUUAUAUUUCUGGAAACUAGACAUGUAGGGCUUCUUGAUUAAAUUUUAUUUCAUUAAAUUCAACUUCGUUUUCAAUUUUAUACGUAUUUUGGAAAUAGAAACCACUGCACUGGAAAUCCACGAUUCCAGUAUUGUGAUCAGAUUCAAAAGACUAUUUGUACCACCAAAUGAACUCAAAAAAUUCUGAAAGUUUAUAUGUAUGUUAAUAUAUGUGUCUAGGAUUCGCAGUUUUAAUUUCAUAAUUUUCUGAUUAGUAUUUUAUUUUAUAAAAAUCACGGAACCCAUUCUGUUUGGUUUAGAUUAUGUGAAAACAGUUUCGAAUUUGCUGAGAAGUAAAUAGUUUUUAAAAUGUUUUUGAUAUCGGAUUCUCUUGUAAAUUUUACAUGGGGUACUCAUGGAUGUCCAGAAUGGUUCCAUAGGAUUUUAUAUCAUUCUGAGACUUGGAUUAAGAGUUAAAAUUCUGAGAAUCAGACCUGUACGGGUAUGAAUUAGAAAAUCAAAUUCUUAGAAUACGUUAUUGAUUGUCAUAUCUUGUAUUUGUUUAAGGUUUUGAAGGUGUUUGAGGCUCUUAGAAGCUUAGAGGUGUGUUAAUCCAAGUUCAUUUGUCGAGGUAAGUAACUUCAUUCCUAGUAUACUGGAUAUGUAUAAGUAUUUUGAUAUUAUUGUUAUAAGUAUAAAUGUUUUUAUACUACUUAAAGGAUUAAUUGAUUUUGAUAACAAAAUUAGCUUUAUGUAAAUGUUUUCAAACCAUUCUUUUUAACAAAGUAUUUUAUAAAUGCUUUUUAAUAUGUAAAUGAUUUUAUGACAUGACAACCUUUUAUGAUUUUAUCUUUAAAAUGUUAUGCAAGCCUAAAUUAUUGUUAUGAACUUUUAUGAAACUGAUAUGAAUGUUUUGUACCUAUGUUUGAUUUCAAUUAUUGAUGAUUGUAUGAGAUUCUUAAUGCUUUGGCUCAUUGUCCAUAGUUAGUCUGAUUCUGAUUCUGAUUCUGAUCGUAAUAUACGAUAUAUCCGUCUGGACCAGUACUGGGUUUUUGUUCUGAAUGUACACACGAUAUUCUAAUUAUGUUUCUGGCCGGGUCACCGGGACUAUAGGUGACACUAUGUGACAUGAGCUAACCUGUUUGUUUUCUGUAUACGUAUUACAUGAGUUGAUUCGUAAGUAAAUAUGCUUUUGAAUAUUCUGAAUUAUUAAGAAUUUAUCUUAUGUUAUUGUGAUAUAUCGUUUUAUGAAAAUUAUGGAUUAUGAUAUAUGCUUUAAACAAAAGAAGGCUUGCAAUAUUUUUGGUAUCAAUAGGCCUAGUGUGUUAGGAAUGGUUUUACUUACCGAGUUGACGGCUCACCCCUCGUCAUUACUUUUUUGCAGAUUAAGUUUCUUUUGAGAGGUGCACUUAGCUUUGGAGUUAAUGAUUUCCAGUUUCCGUUUGCUAUUGAAUAAGAGGAGGAAUAGACUUGUGUUUCUAUUUAGUUACUUUUAUUAUGAACGUGUAAUUUGGAGUUUGAGACUUUUGUUAUUAUUUUUAUAUGUCCUCGAGAGAGAUUAUUUAGUAUUUGACGUUUGGAUUUAUGGAUUUAUUUGAAUAAGAAUUGGAGGAAUUUCAGUUUGAAACUUAUGAGUAAAGAUUAUGAUUUGUGAGUAACCUCCUUCUUCACGUGCUCCGCACGUGUUAGAUUUGGGGUGUUACAAUUGUGGUAUCAGAGCAACUAGGUUAGGAUUCUGUAGACUUUCUUUUACGGUUUAAUUAGAUUGUCUAAUUAAAUCGAUUACAUUUGUUUUGUAGACAUGAAGAAGGACAAUAUGGGUAUGAAAAGUGUCAAGAAUAAGGGAUGGACAGAAAUUGAUAGGACCGAACAAUUUAUCUUAGGAGGAGUUCUUGUCAAAGAUCUUAGGAGACUUCAUAAGCAGUGAAUGGAUGAUAGACUAAGACGGACUAUAGAGGUCUACAUCGAUACUCCUCCAGGACCUGGAGCUUCAAGAAAGAAGCUCAAUGAGGCUAUACGUGGACUACGUGUUUAUGGCAAGGGAGCUAACAAGAAUAAGCUUGUAAUACGUCGCCUAUUUUGGACAGGACCUCGAUUUAAGCCUUACUAUAGCAAAGGAUGGGUAUCUCCAGGUCUAAAUAAACUACCUUAUAGAACUCCUAAGGAAAUCGAGACAGAUGGAGUCACGACUAAGGAAAGGAAAGUAAAGAUAGAUCCUUUUCCUAUCCGGUUGAGUACACCUAUGAACUUUGUGGCUGUAGGACAUGAAACUCUGUAGACUUUAUUAAGGUUAAUAGAGUGAUUAAAUAUUUUAAGGCAAGGAGUAACUAGUAAUUCUAUUUUGGUCUUUUUGGCUUUCUAUGUUGCUUGUGACUUUGUAAUAACUCUUGUUAUAUGAUCUUUGGUAUUAACGUAGAAUGAAAUAUUUAUUGCUCUUGUUUACAAUAUCAAAUUUUCUUAGCUACACUACUUAUUCAGUACUCUGCGCGCUUGCACGACCUUUAGCUAUGAAUUAUUUACCCCUUUUUAAUUAUUUAUUUAUUCUCCGUGUUAUAGUCAAGAGAUGUCACGUAAGGGAGGUGCUAGGCAUGCCUCUAGCUCGAGAGAUGUUUUAGGUAUCGCUGACGACGCUGACCCAACCUUGCACGAGAUGGCUAACGAAGGAAAUCCUAUGAUGCGCGCAAUGCUUAGAUUGAUGGAACAACAAAGUAAGUUAAUUCAAGAUAUGGCUAGAGGCAGAGUUGGGGCACAAGAGAAUGUGCCAGUUGAAAGGCAAGGUGGCGCAAGAGAUCAUGGGGCUAUGGUGAACUUAGAACGAUUUAAGAAAUUGGGACCACCUACCUUUCAGGGGACUGCCGAUUCCAUGGUUGCAGAGGCAUGGCUAAAACAGAUGGAGAAGAUAUUUGUGGCUAUGGGUUGUAAUGAUGAUCAAAGGGUAAUAUUAGCCUCAUUUGUCCUUCAGGGUGAGGCAGACCACUGGUGGGAUGCCAAAUCUCGUCUCAUAAGGGCUGGCUUGCAAGAUGCACCCAUUACUUGGGAGUUAUUUUUGGAGGCUUUUCAUGAAAAGUAUUUUCCUGAACGAGUUCGACAUCAGAUGGAGGCUGAUUUCUUGAGGUUAACUCAAGGAACAAAGUCUGUUGCGGAGUAUGAGGAACAAUUUACUGCCCUCUCUCGUUUUGCUCAUACCUUGGUUGCUAAUGAAGGUAGUAAGUGUAGGAAGUUCCUGGAAGGGUUACGUCCUAACAUUAAAGGGCGAUUGACCAUCCUUAAGAUUAACAAUUAUGCCGAUUUGGUGGACCGAGCAAUUCUUGCGGAGAAGGAUAUUCUUGAAGCCCAAGUUACAAAGGAUCAGAGAAAUAAGAAGAAUCAACAAGGUGGACCGCGAAAUGGAAGUUCCUUUAGGCAGGGCACUCACUCCCAGAAGUAUAAUGGUGGAGGUAACAAAUGGGAUAACAAGGGUGUUACUGGUGACACCGCUCGGAGGAACUACCCCAUUUGUCGACAUUGUGAAAGGAGGCACCCUGGUGAAUGCCAUUGGAAAACUGGAGCUUGUUUUGCUUGUGGAGAAUCUGGGCAUAGGAUUAUGGAUUGCCCAAAGAGACGUAGCGAGACUACAAAUACUCAGACUAACGAAGGGCAGAGGAAGAAACCGAGGGUACAAGGGCGUGUUUUUGCACUAACAGAAAAAGAUGCUGAGGUGUCCAAUGAUGUAGUAUCAGGUACAUUGUCUUUAUUCUCUAGAGAAGCCAAAGUUCUUUUUGAUCCUGGUGCUACACAUUCAUUUGUAUCUUGUGUGUUUGCCCGUUAUGCUAAUGUGCCUAUCACACCACUGGAUGUUCACGUGACAAUUAGUACCCCUAUGGGGGAUUGCUAGUUUAUAGAUCAUGUCUAUAAGUCAUGUGUGAUCAGAUUGUGUGAUAAAGAAUUCCUUGUGGAUCUCCUACCUUUAGAGAUGCACGAUUUUGAUUUGAUUUUGGGGAUGGAUUGGUUAGGACCUUACCAUGUUUCAAUAGAUUGUUUUGCUAAUUAAAUUAUUUUUCGCCUACCUGGCGAGGAAAAAUUUCAUUUUCAAGGGAAUCAUAAGAGUCAUAAAGCUUUGAUUUCUAUGGUUAAGGCAAUGAAAAUGCUAAAGAAGGGGUGUGAAGGAUUUUUAGCGUAUAUAGUUGCUGACCAUCCCGAUGGGGCGUGCCUUGAAGACAUACCUAUUGUAAGGGAGUUUAUUGAUGUAUUUCCUGAAGAUCUUCCGGGACUACCCCCAGAUCGAGAGGUUGAGUUUACUAUAGAAUUAGUUCCUGGUACUACACCUAUAUCCAAGGCACCAUAUCGGAUGGCACCCAUUGAAUUAAAAGAACUAAAGGUCCAGCUACAAGAAUUACUAGAUAAGGGUUUCAUUCGUCCUAGUGUGUCGCCUUGGGGUGCUCCCGUUUUGUUCGUAAAGAAGAAAGAUGGUUCAAUGAGGUUGUGUAUAGACUACCGGCAGUUGAAUAUGGUUACCGUCAAGAAUAAAUACCCUCUUCCCCGAAUUGAUGACCUCUUUGAUCAAUUACGAGGUGCAGCGGUAUUCUCUAAAAUUGAUUUACGAUCUGGCUACCAUCAAUUGAAAAUAAGAAGUGAGGAUGUAUCGAAGACAGCUUUUCGAACUCGUUAUGGACACUAUGAGUUCUUAGUUAUGCCUUUUGGAUUAACUAAUGCUCCUGCAGUGUUCAUGGAUUUGAUGAAUAGGAUCUUCCAACCUUAUCUUGACCAGUUUGUCAUCGUCUUUAUUGAUGACAUAUUAAUUUACUCUAAGAGUAAGAAGGAGCAUGAGUCGCACCUGAGGAUUGUAUUAGAAACAUUGCGGAAGAAGAAGUUGUAUGGAAAAUUUAAGAAAUGUGAGUUUUGGCUUGAUCGUGUGAUGUUUUUGGGACAUAUAGUGACGAAGGAUGGUAUUUCAGCAGAUCCAGCCAAAGUGGAGGUAAUUGUGAAUUGGGAAAGGCCUGCUAGUGUGACUGAAGUAAGGAGUUUCUUAGGAUUGGCAGGUUAUUAUAGGCGCUUUGUCAAAGGAUUUUCUAGCAUAGCAGCACCAUUGACUAAUUUGACUAAGAAGAAUGUGAAGUUCAAUUGGGAUGAGGCAUGUGAAAAGAGCUUUUAAGAGCUCAAGAGUCAUUUGGUGACUGCCCCCGUUUUAACUCUCCCUUCUGAAGGUGGAGGUUUUGUGAUUUACAGUGAUGCUUCCAGAAAAGGUUUGGGUUGCGUUUUAAUGCAACAUGGUAAGGUUAUAGCAUAUGCUUCUAGGCAGCUAAAGAAUCAUGAACAAAACUACCCAACACAUGAUUUGGAAUUGGCUGCUAUAAUGUUUGCUCUAAAAAUCUGGAGACACUAUUUGUAUGGGGAGACUUGUGAGAUCUUCACCGAUCAUAAGAGUUUGAAGUACUUGUUUACUCAAAAGGAAUUGAAUUUGAGGCAAAGAAGAUGGUUGGAGUUGGUAAAGGAUUUUGAUUGUUCUAUUAAUUACCAUCCAGGUAAGGCAAACGUAGUAGCGGAUGUCUUGAGUAGGAAAUCAUCUGGGUGCAUGGCUCAUCUUAUCACCAUGCAAUCUCAUUUGGUAAAAGACUUGAGGAGAUGUGGGAUUGAGGUAGUUACUCAUGGGCAAGCAGACGUGUUAGCACAUUUGACAGUCCAACCCACUCUAAUUGAUAGAGUUAAGGUAGCUCAGAAGAACGACAUAGAACUCAAUAAAAUCCGUGAAGAUGUGAGCAAAGGACAUAAGCCCGGAUUUAGACUUGAUAAUGGGGAUGGAUUAUGUUUGGGACAAAGGUUAUGCGUGCCAGCAGACGAAGAGUUGAAGGCGGAGAUCUUAAGAGAAGCUCAUGAAUCAUCUUACAGUAUGCAUCCUGGUAGUACUAAGAUGUAUCGUGAUCUAAAGCAAAGUUUUUGGUGGAGGAAUAUGAAGAGAGAUAUUGCUGCUUUUGUGUCUCGGUGUUUAGUCUGCCAACAAGUAAAGAUUGAGCAUUAAAGACCAGCAGGAACUUUACAAACGCUUCCUAUUCCUCAGUGGAAAUGGGAACACAUAACAAUGGAUUUCGUUUCUGGAUUACCUCGUUCUAGGAGGGGAUGUGAUUGCAUUUGGGUAAUUGUUGAUCGAUUGACGAAAUCAGCUCAUUUCUUGGCAAGGAAGAGUACAGACAAUGUAGGGCAACUAGCUAAGUUGUUCAUUAAGGAGAUAGUGAGGCUUCAUGGGGUUCCAGUGUCAAUAGUGUCUGAUAGAGAUCCACUGUUCACUUCAAGAUUUUGGGCUAGCUUACAUAAAGAGUUGGGGACGAAAUUGAGAUUUAGCACUGCUUUUCAUCCACAGACAGAUGGGCAAUCCGAAAGGACUAUUCAAACCCUUGAGGAUAUGCUUCGAGCUUGCGUCCUAGACUUGAGUGGUGGUUGGGAAGAGCACCUAAUGUUGAUCGAAUUUGCUUAUAACAAUAGCUUCCAUUCGAGUAUUGGCAUGGCACCAUUUGAGGCAUUAUAUGGAAGAAAGUGUAGGUCCCCAAUCUGCUGGGAUGAAGUUGGUGAAAGAAAACUUUUGGGUCCAGAAUUAAUACAGAUUACUGUUGAUAAAAUCAAGUUGAUUAGAGGACGUCUUCAAACAGCUCAGAGCAGACAGAAGAGUUAUGCAGAUCGUCGUAGACGUGAGUUGGAAUUCGAAAAAGGAGAUUUUGUUUUCUUGAAAGUAUCGCCAUGGAAAGGGGUGUUUCGGUUCGGGAAGACAGGAAAGCUUAGCCCUAGAUUUAUUGGACCAUUUGAGAUUUUAGAGAGAAUUGGUCCGGUGGCCUAUCGCAUAGCUUUACCACCAAGUCUGUCUAGGCUUCACAAUGUAUUUCAUGUGUCUGUGUUAAGAAAGUACAUUGCAGACCCUUUACAUGUGCUAGACUAUCAACCGAUUCAGAUAAAUGAAGACAUGUCGUAUGAGGAACAGCCUAUUGAGAUUGUCGAUCGAGACGAACAAGUAUUAAGGAAUAGAGUUAUUCCCCUAGUGAAGGUACGAUGGAUGAAUCAUUCUAUUGAGGAAGCCACUUGGGAGAGAAGCAGAAAUGUUGGAGAAGUAUCCUCAACUCUUCCAUGCAUAAGGUAACCUUUUAAUUUCGAGGACGAAAUUUUUGUUAGGAGGGGAGAAAUUGUAACGCCACAAAUUCCCAUACAUAUUAAAUUAUGGAAAUUGGGCUUUCAUUGAGAAUUAUGGGUGGCCUAUAACCCUUAUUUAGAAAGGGGUACUAAUUAAAUAGAGGUUAUUUAUGAGAUCAUUUUGGAAAAGGGCUAUUUUUCCUUAUUGAAUAGGGUUUCUUAAGAUCCCCUAUAAAUACAUACUUUUCCCCCUUCCAUAACCCUAAGUUCACAACGUUUAUCCUUCUUCUCUGCUGCUCUUUACGCUCCUACCCAAAUCUUAGGAUUCAAACCUUUGUUUAGGAGAGACUCAAAGCGACGGGUAAGUUCACAACGUUUAUUCUGAACAGCAUGAGUAUCUCGAAUUUUUAAAGCUAUAUUUUCUGAACGAAUUUUCUUAUAAAAUUUAUAUUUCUGGAAACUAGACAUGUAGGGCUUCUUGAUUAAAUUUUAUUUCAUUAAAUUCAACUUCGUUUUCAAUUUUAUACGUAUUUUGGAAAUAGAAACCACUGCACUGGAAAUCCACGAUUCCAGUAUUGUGAUCAGAUUCAAAAGACUAUUUGUACCACCAAAUGAACUCAAAAAAUUCUGAAAGUUUAUAUGUAUGUUAAUAUAUGUGUCUAGGAUUCGCAGUUUUAAUUUCAUAAUUUUCUGAUUAGUAUUUUAUUUUAUAAAAAUCACGGAACCCAUUCUGUUUGGUUUAGAUUAUGUGAAAACAGUUUCGAAUUUGCUGAGAAGUAAAUAGUUUUUAAAAUGUUUUUGAUAUCGGAUUCUCUUGUAAAUUUUACAUGGGGUACUCAUGGAUGUCCAGAAUGGUUCCAUAGGAUUUUAUAUCAUUCUGAGACUUGGAUUAAGAGUUAAAAUUCUGAGAAUCAGACCUGUACGGGUAUGAAUUAGAAAAUCAAAUUCUUAGAAUACGUUAUUGAUUGUCAUAUCUUGUAUUUGUUUAAGGUUUUGAAGGUGUUUGAGGCUCUUAGAAGCUUAGAGGUGUGUUAAUCCAAGUUCAUUUGUCGAGGUAAGUAACUUCAUUCCUAGUAUACUGGAUAUGUAUAAGUAUUUUGAUAUUAUUGUUAUAAGUAUAAAUGUUUUUAUACUACUUAAAGGAUUAAUUGAUUUUGAUAACAAAAUUAGCUUUAUGUAAAUGUUUUCAAACCAUUCUUUUUAACAAAGUAUUUUAUAAAUGCUUUUUAAUAUGUAAAUGAUUUUAUGACAUGACAACCUUUUAUGAUUUUAUCUUUAAAAUGUUAUGCAAGCCUAAAUUAUUGUUAUGAACUUUUAUGAAACUGAUACGAAUGUUUUGUACCUAUGUUUGAUUUCAAUUAUUGAUGAUUGUAUGAGAUUCUUAAUGCUUUGGCUCAUUGUCCAUAGUUAGUCUGAUUCUGAUUCUGAUUCUGAUCGUAAUAUACGAUAUAUCCGUCUGGACCAGUACUGGGUUUCUGUUCUGAAUGUACACACGAUAUUCUGAUUAUGUUUCUGGCCGGGUCACCGGGACUAUAGGUGACACUAUGUGACAUGAGCUAACCUGUUUGUUUUCUGUAUACGUAUUACAUGAGUUGAUUCGUAAGUAAAUAUGCUUUUGAAUAUUCUGAAUUAUUAAGAAUUUAUCUUAUGUUAUUGUGAUAUAUCGUUUUAUGAAAAUUAUGGAUUAUGAUAUAUGCUUUAAACAAAAGAAGGCUUGCAAUAUUUUUGGUAUCAAUAGGCCUAGUGUGUUAGGAAUGAUUUUACUUACCGAGUUGACGGCUCACCCCUCGUCAUUACUUUUUUGCAGAUUAAGUUUCUUUUGAGAGGUGCACUUAGCUUUGGAGUUAAUGAUUUCCAGUUUCCGUUUGCUAUUGAAUAAGAGGAGGAAUAGACUUGUGUUUCUAUUUAGUUACUUUUAUUAUGAACGUGUAAUUUGGAGUUUGAGACUUUUGUUAUUAUUUUUAUAUGUCCUCGAGAGAGAUUAUUUAGUAUUUGACGUUUGGAUUUAUGGAUUUAUUUGAAUAAGAAUUGGAGGAAUUUCAGUUUGAAACUUAUGAGUAAAGAUUAUGAUUUGUGAGUAACCUCCUUCUUCACGUGCUCCGCACGUGUUAGAUUUGGGGUGUUACACCACCCGUUUUUGUGGCCUUUUCCCGCUGGACGAACUUGGCGCCCCGGCCUUCAGGCACUUGCUCAAUUCCUUCUCUGCAAAUUUGAACGCUUGAACACGCACCGUCAUCCCAGUUCCUUGCAGUCGUCUCGAAGCCCCUGCUUUCAGUAGAGGAAAGACGAUUCUGUAUAGCCAUCAAACAGAUAAGAAAAUUUGAAACAAUCCAAGGUUUCUCAGAUCAAAUGAAACCCCAAGAUCAAUCAAGACCAAUGGAUGAUCUUGUACUUAGCUCUAAAACAAACAAGUAAAACCAUCGAAGAAAUUGGAUCAAAACCAGCAGGUUUAGAUUGAUUAUUUAUAAACAUCAUACUUGCCACACUCUUGGCGUGUAAAUCCUUAGAUUCACAGGUCUUAUAUCACAUGAAUGAAGAUGCUAGUGGUGUGCCUCCAUGGAUCUCUUAGUUUUCAAGUUGUUUUAUUUGACUGACCACCUAAGUUUGAAUCGUGGUGAGGGAAGAAGAUAAAAAUUAAUUUGAUCUUUGCACCUCACUACUUUUAAAAGAGCUCAAACUUCAGACUCAGUUUUGAAUUUUAAUUAUUUUAAAUUGAAACGCUAAUUCCAUAUAUUAUAUAUAUGAGUUUUUUUUCCCAAGGUUGAAUUAAAAUAUAUAUUUACAAAAUUCUCGAGAUAUGUGAUUUUUCAAGAUUUAAUAGAAUCAUAAGUACUAGUUAUAUAUACAUCUUAAUAAAUGUUUGCCAGACCUUUAUUUGUACUAAAAUUAUAUAUAUAUCUAGACUCCCAUUACACUUUAGAUUGUAACAAUUUAAAUAAAAAUAUUUUUUUUGGUGGAAGUCGUCUAGAAUUCUAAGAUUGAAAGUCAAAUUUCAAUAAAAAAAAAAUUAAUUUAAUAUAUAUAUAUAUAUAGAGAGAGAGAGAGAGAGAGAGAGAGAGAGAGCUUCUUAAGUGCAUAUACUUAAGGGAGUCCCUAUGUUACAUUUAAUGUACCAUACACAACCCACAAGAACCACAUAAAUUGUGGGAUCCACAUAAUUGUGUGGUUCUUGUGGGUUGUGUAUGGUACAUUAAAUGUACAUUAAUAUUAUGUGGUGUUAUAGCGAAUCUACACAAAAUCUGCAUUUAGUGCAUCCACACUUGAGAAUUUCUAUAUAUCAAAACUUUCAAAUGCAGAAGUCCAAAUAUAGAUUUCGUGCGGAUUCACUACAAAAUCAUAUGAUGUUAACAUGUUUUUACAAUUGACUAUAAUACCACAUGAUGUUAACAUGUUUUUACAAUUGACUAUAAUACCACAUGAUGUUAUAGAAAAUCCACACGAAAUCUAUAUUAUAUAAAGAGAGAGAUCUCGCUUUGCUUUAUAAUUGCGGUGAUAUUCCCACCCCUCAAAUGUUGUAAACUUACCUCACCUUAAAAAAUUAAAUCAUAAAAAAUUCACAUUAUUUUUAACGAUUUCAAAUUAGUAAGAAUAAAAUUAAGCAAUUGACUAAUUAAAUCCUCAUUAAAUAAUUAAAAUACAUUUAUGAUAUGAUAUUUCAAAAAAUUUAUGCUAUUUUUCUCAUGAAAUUUAUUAAAUAUAAGAAGGAUCUGAUUGAUUAAUUGUUUAAAAUUUUAUUUAUUUUAAAUUAAAAAAUGUGAAUUAUUUUUUAAAUAAUUCUUUGAAAUGAUUUAAAUGCGGCACGUGUCCCAUCAAGUUAAAACCUAAAGUUGAUUUAAAAACGGAAACCAAGUAGCGAGGCCCCGUUCUUCAGGAAAUUCCGAGCUAAGUUAAUCAACAUUUCCACUAAUUAUUUUUAUUUUCUUCCAAAGUUUAUUUAAUUAGAUCAAUUUCUGGCUUCCUACUUAAAUUGCAUAUCCAAUUUGGGGGUUGAUUUUUGGAGAUGGAGAUAAACUGAAACAUUAAUUGAAAUCGAUUGAGAAAAAAAAAAUCGAUUGAGAUUGAAAGUUCUUUAUUACCCAACAUACAGAAUACAUAUGCAAUUAAUUCAAAUUUCUAAAAUUACUGUAAUUGUUGGCAAUGUGGGUUUUUUUUUUCGUUGGGGGGGGGGGUGUCUGAAAUUUGCAUGCAUGCCUUAAUUGAGUUUUAUCACUUUAAAUCCUAAUUACUAAUGUUUUUUCUGUUAAUGGUUGAAAAUAAGAUAAGAAGAGAGAAGGUGAACUUGAAGAAGUAUAAGAAGACAAGACAUGUAAUGAUGUUGAUGUGUUUAUGUGAAUAAAGAGAACAACGGAGGUGGAACCAUUGGACAAAUGGAAAUGGAAUCUUUGUCCAAGUUUUUCCCUUGAUGUUCUAAAGUUUGCAUAUAUAUGUUUCAAGAAACAAAUGGAAAUUAAAUAGUACUUAAAGGUGAACUCACAUCGUCAACUAGAGGUUACACUACCAUUUGCCCAAUGGUUCCAUUUCUAUUAUCAUUUUCUUUAUUCACAGAAAUAUCAUCGGCCUCAUAUUCAUCAGUAUAAGAAGAGGGACAAGGACAAGGACAAGGACAGGGUGAGUCUAUUGUAAGACUACAGCAAAUCUACAAUUUAGUUUUAUUUUUGCUGCUACACCCAGGAAUCACUAGCAUCAACCACCUCCUUUAUUGCCCUUGAUUCAUUUUUCUCCUGAAGAUUGUUGACCUGAUGAAAUAACACUUAAAAUGAGGCUGCCUUAGACGAAGCAUAUAUGUUAAUCACCUGUUGUAAUCUCAUGCCAAAACAUUUCAGUUCCUGCUCAUAAAAUUAGUUACUUCAACCUUUGUCAUAUGUAUUCUCCACUGCUUCAAGAUACUUAGAUAGUGAAUGUGUCUAAAGUCCAACUCAAAAGAUUCAUUUGAGAAAAAAUUCUUCAGAUGGUCAUGUAGAGUUCUAAUUUAUCUCCGCAUCAUACACAAAAUACUUGAAACCUACACAUCAAUGAUCAAUGUUCAUCUUUUAUUGACAAUCCCAAUUCUCAAGUGUGUUUGGAAAGAAAUUAGAUUCACAGGCAUUCUAGAAAUAUCUGGUGUAUGUCAAUGACAAUGAUGCCAAGUCAUGUCUCAUGGCGUCCAAAAAAAAAAAAUGGUGAUGUAUGUGGAGGAAGAUCGUCAGCUCAAUUAAAACUACACCUCGGUCAUUUCUGGACUCGUCAACAAGAGGUAAUUUCUUACUUUGUGAACAAAUUUUGUGUCUUAUAAUUUUUUCCGUAUUUAUAUACUUACAUGCUGUUUUGUAAUUAUAUAGCCACCAAAGCCUGGACAUGGAGAUGUGUGUUUUGUUAUGUUUAGUCCAUUUAUAAGAUCACGUGUCAUGUGAUUUAUAAGUCUACUUAAUGGUUGCAAUCAAAUGAGUUCAUGUCCAGAUUUUGAAGUUAGUUAAUUUCAACAUAUAGCAAUGAUUGUAUCCAUUGCUUUUAUGAAGUUGCUAUGUUAUUGCUUCUUUAAUAAGUGGCAGGCAUGAUUUUCUAUUUUUCCACAGCUUAAAUUGUUAAAUAAUUGAUAAUGCUCUUGUGCUUACUCUGUUCUUUUCUUUUUAGAUAAGCUUUAUGGUCCCAGUGGAAUUGUUUUCACCCUUUCUUUAUUGACAGUGGAUGUAUAAAACAAAUUGGUCUUGAUUGAUACUUGAUGAUGUUGUAGUUAUUUCUCUUUGCUUUAUUCUUUUUGCAACAUAUGGAAGACUGAGUAUCGUGAGAUUCAUUUCCCGCACUGCUCUGCCUUGAUCUGUUCUAAUUUGAGAGUCAGCAAUCUUGAUUCAACUUCUUGGGUGGAGUACUAGCUAAGAGAAGGGAGGCAUGGGAGCCAGCACUAAUUUUUGAAUUGAGGAGAUAUGGGCAUCAACUUCAGACUAUUUUCAGAGAGGCUGAGAAGGGCGUUAGCUGGCGAAGAAGUCACAUUGCCUGAUGCUGCAAAACAACCUAUUCAGAACCUUUGUGCCGAGGUUGAAAUCGUUACUCCUUGGCUGAGGGACUUUGAAUAUGAUAUGUCCUGGCUUCUGUUGCAAAAAAAUAGGAGAAGAUGAAAUUGACAACCCAGACCUUGGGACCAGAAAUCAAUUGCUUUACAUAUGAAUCUGAGAAGGUCAUUGACACAUUCUCAACAGCAUCACUCAACAGAAGAGUCAAAGCAGGUGCAACAAGGACAUUUGUAAUGCUCUGCUAGGACUCCAGAGCAUAAUCAAUGAUAUAAAACAGCGGGUGCAACAACUUCAGUACAUCGUUUCCGGAAUCAUUGAUGAUUUCAAAAGUAUUGAAGAUGAAGCCGAUUAUUUUCCUGCAUCAUCAUCUUAUAAGAAUAGGGGCAUGGUGGGUCUAGAAGACAGAAUGGAGGAGUUGUUAGAUAUAUUGAUAGAGGGACCACCUCAGCUUUCAGUGGUGGCCAUCUUGAUAGCAUUGGGUUGGGCAAGGUGGCUUUCGCUGUAGAGGCUUACAGCAGCAGUGAUGUGAAGCAUUAUUUUAAUUGUCACACUUGGGUUCCAGAGCCUUACAGCUAUGAUGCUGAUGAUGACCAAAUAUUAGAUAUCAUUAUUAAGUUUCUAAUGCCUUCAUCUAGGUUGAGUGUAAUAAAGGAUAAAAUUUAUGAAAUGAAAAAAAAAUCUUCAUGAAUAUCUAAUGAUAAAGCGGCAUUUAAUUGUGGUUGAUGAUGUGUGGAGAAUUGAAGUGUGGGAUUUUAUUCGAGAAAUACUUCCGGAUAAUCGGAAUGGAAAUGGGGUACUAAUAACACUCAUUCAAAUUGAUGUCGUCAUCUCAUUUCAGUUCAAAAUCGGACAGAAUAUUUGGCUUGAUUUAUUGUCCACUAGAGGACCAUUGAGAGUUGUUUACCUUUUUGCUUAAAACUUUGUUUUUCUUACUUAUCUGUGUUUCCUGUACAACUGGAGGCAUCCACCAGGUAGUUUUAUCAGUUGUGGAUAUCUGAAGGUUUCAUUCCAGACAAUAGCGAGGCAACUACUGAGAAGUACUUGGAACAACUAAUGAAUAGAGUCUUUGUUGAUGCAAGGAAGAGAAGCGAUGGAGGCAGAAUCAACGCAUGCCCUAUUCGUACUCGUUGCUGGCCUUCAUUGUUGCAAAUGGCUCUCAAAGCAGAAUUUAUCUUUUCCCCUAUCCUGGAUCAAAAAGGUAAAUCAGAAAAAAAUGUCAAACGUGUCUAUGUUUUUUUUUUAAAACAGAGUGAUUUUGCUUACUUAGAUGAUUGUGACUUGCACCUGCAUUCUUUGUUGUACUUCAGAAAGCGACCACCUUGACCCCAUAGAUUGGGUGAAAAUCGGUUGAGUAAUGGACUUGGGAUCUCUUGUUCUCAGCCAAUUUCCAUCCAAAAUUGAAACUUUAUUUCUUUUGAUAUUUGAAGCUGGAUAUCCCUUCCCUCACAAGCCUGGCUUCAUCAUUAUUAAUAAAUCUCUGAAUCUGUACCCCAUAGCCAUGCCCUUUAGCUACAUAGUGUAAAUAUUUAGAGUCUGAAAAUACUAUUUUCUUCUUUCAUUCAUUCUACAAGUUACACUUAAAUAGAAUGUAGAAAACAAACUCCUAAUAGAUAUCCCUUAAUUGUAGGAUACUUAUCUAAGCUUGAAUUUUAAAAAAUGAUUAUCUAAAACUUUAUUUCGAUAAGACUUUAAAACUAAACUAAUUAUCUAAAACUUUAUUCUGAUAAGACUUUCAAACUAACUGAAAAAUCCUAACUUCUUAACACUCCCCCUCAAGUUGGUGCGUAGAUGUCAAUCAUUCCCAACUUGCUGACAAGAUGUCCAAAGUUAGUUUUGAGGAGUCCCUUGGUUAGGAUAUCAGCUAUUUAUUGUUUUGUUGGAAAAAAUAAUAGGCAGAUAAUCUUAUUCUCAAGUUUCUCCUUGAUGAAGUGACGGUCAAUUUCAACAUGCUUGGUCCUAUCAUGUUGUACUGGGUUAUGUGCAAUGUUGAUUGCUGCUUUGUUGUCGCAGUAUAACCUCAUAGGUAAAACUAUAGGUCUUUUCAAAUCCUCGAGAACUUGUUUCAGCCACAAUACUUCACAAAGCCCAUGUGCCAUAGCUCUAAAUUCAGCUUCAGCAGUACUUCGUGCAACCACAUUUUGUUUCUUACUCCUCCAAGUCACUAAAUUACCCUAUACAAAAGUGCAAUAGCCAGUAGUAGACUUCCUGUCUGUAACUGAACCUGCCCAAUCAGCAUCAGUGUAUACCUCAAUACCUCUCUAUUCUCUGUUUUUCUAAACAAAAGUCCCUUUCCUGGAGUACUUUUUAGAUAUAUGAGAAUUCUGUAAACAGCUUCGAGAUGUUCUUCCCGAGGAUGAUGCAUGAAGCGACUUACUAUACUGACUGCAAAAGCGACGUCUGGUCUAGUUUUAGAUAUCGUCGUGCAUCCACUAAGGCUUUUUCUCCUUCACAUAGUUUUAGAUUGUACUCCACAAGCGUAUCAAUUGGUUUGCAGCCACUCAUUCCAGUUUCCUUCAAUAAAUCAAGGAUGUAUUUCCUUUGUGAGACAACUAUACCUUUCUUGGAACGAGCAACUUCCAUUCCAAGAAAGUAUUUCAAGGCACCUAAGUCCUUGAUUUCAAAAUCAGUGGCUAGGCUUUGCUUCAAUCUGUCCAUUUCAACUAAAUCAUCUCCAGUGAGAAUAAUGUCAUCCACAUACACUAUAAGCACAAUGGUUUUACCUUUAGCUGAAACUCUAGUGAACAUUGUGUGAUCAGCCUGACUUUUUUUGUAACAUUGUCUAUUCACAGAUGUAGUAAAUUUCUCAAACCAAGCCCUAGGCGAUUGUUUGAGACCAUAUAAGGACUUUUGCAACUUGCACACAUUUGACCUAAAUUUUUCAGAGAAACUAGGAGGAGGAUCCAUGUAUACUUCCUCUUUUAAAUCCCCGUUGAGAAAUGCAUUCUUCACAUCCCAUUGUUGUAAUGGCCAAUUUAGGUUUGUAGCAAUAGACAAGAGAACUCAUACAGUGUUUAACUUUGCUACUGGUGCAAAUGUCUCUGAAUAGUCAAUCCCAUAGGUUUGAGUAAACUCCUUUGCCACUAGGCGAGCCUUGUAUCUCUCAAGUGAACCAUCUGAAUUGUAUUUGAUAGUAAAUACCCACUUGCAGCCAACUGUUGACUUCCCUUUAGGCAAAUUGACCACCUUCCAAGUCUGAUUCUUCUCAAGAGCAUUCAUCUCUUCAAGGAUAGCUGCCUUCUGUUGAGUGUUAGAAAAUGCAUAUUUAUAAAGGAGAAAACCAUCGUUUUACAUUUCAAGUCUUACUAACAACCCUUACUUUUAUGUAUUUAACCUUUUUGUGAUUUAAUUACAUGUGUUUUAUUUUAAUUAAGUAUUUUAUGUAUUUUAGGGGCAUCAUAGUCAUUUCACAAUAAACGAGAAAUCAGAUGGCAAAACGGACAUCACUUUUGAACUCAGGACGGUCGAAAACCUUAGGAUAAGCAUAAAAGGAAAAAUGGCACUGUUCACUUGUACGGUACUAUUCACGUGUACGGUACUGUAUACGUUACUGUUCAUGACACUGUUCACAUAGACGGAUGAUGACGUGGCAUUGACCGAUGAUGUGGCAUUGACUGAUGAGGUGUCACGAUCCUGUUGGACUAAAAUUCUUAUGUACUGUUGAUGGUGACGUGGCAGCAUAUCAGUGGACGAAAAAUCUCGCGUACGGUGCAUGCAUCACACAGGAUUAUUUUCAACCAAACCGCGUUACUGUUCAAAGUCGGGUCAAACCGUGUUACUGUUCAUCCGCGUGGUCAAACCGUGGACUGUUGACUGAUGACGUGGCGCAAUCCUGAGCGUCCAAACUAUUUUUAAUCCGAUGGCCAUGAUUUACACCAUGUAUCUAUAAAAAGGGGGCCUCUCCCCCCUAAUUUGAUAUCUCUGAAUCCAUUUUUGGGAUCCAUUUUCUGUAAUUCUCUCUCCAUCUUGUAUUUUCUAUGUAUUUUAAUAAAUUCCGAUUUUGCCCCUAGUUCAAUUAUGAGUGGCUAAUUUUCUUUCAAGCUUGGGUUGAAGGUGAAGUCUCAACAUGUGUCAUGGGCUUAAUUUGGUAAAUUUACUUUCUCUUCCCCUCUAGUUUUUGUGGAUGUUUUGACUUCUCGUCGACAAAUAAUACUAAUCUUGUCUAGUACCGCCUUGGUUUCACCGGCCCUCUAGUAUAAGGUUAUUAUUAUUUGGCACGAUAAGCCCUUAGCACCAUAUUGAUUAGAGCGUGGUUCAUGAGGUGUGGAUUCCCCCCUCAUGAUUUAAUUAGCAUUAAUACGGAUUAUUUAGCCCAUGAUGCAUGUUGAUACGGAUCCAGAUACCCAAGUACGUCAUUUCAAUAGAAUUAUCUUUAAUUUAUUCUCGCCAUUGCAAUUCCAAUUUUAGAAUUUAUUCUCGCCAUUUUAAUUUAAGUUUUAGCAUAUACCAAAUCAUUUCCACCAUAAAUCCAACAACCCAUUUACAAAAUUAAUUCUAUACACAAUUAAAAUCCACCUCCUCGUGGGAUCGACACUCGUCACCAUAGAUCUAUACUACAAUAGAUUCGUGCGCUUGCGAGUACAUUAAAAUUUGCACAACACCUUCCAUUCAGGUACACUUAGAGCAUCCUGUACAUUUUUUAGAAUUUCUACACUAGAAUGCUGUGAGGUAAAUGCAUAGAAAGGAGGUGAUAGGUUGUGAUAUGAAACAAAGUUAGACAAUGGGUAUUUGGCACACACUAUUAAAAAAAUGACUUUUACUGACACUUUGGAAAAAGUGUCAAUAAUUACCUAAUUAUGCAUCAUUUUCCGCUUUUUACAAAUAGAUGUCACAAAUUAUUAAUAUUAAUGUAUCAAUAAAUUAAAUAUCAGAGAUCGCUGAUACUUCAGUAUCAGAGAUUUAAAAAAAAUCAUUAAAAUUUGUUUUGAUUUUUACUCGAACCUGGACUUCUAAAACUCAAAACUUUUACGUUUAGAUCGCAAACCGCUGGACGCCAUAAAAUUGAAUUGGAAUUACAAUGUUAUAUAAAAUGUUGACAUAUAAAAAACCAAACCCUAAUUCCCCUUCUCCAUUGUGCAAUAGAGCCCAUGCCGCAGCCGCUGUGUAAUUUCCUUGUCUUUCUUGACUUCUUCUCUAUCGUGAAAGAUGGAGAAUGACCAAGCCCAAACGCCCACAUCCACGGCCGCGCCCAACCUCCACGGCCACGCCCAACCUCCACGGCCACGCCCACCCCCACGUCGUUGCCUCUAUCACUUUCGUUCAAGUGGUUCGACACUGCAGGUACUAAAUUAAGAAUUUAAAGCAUGUAAAACGAAAGUAAAACAUAUCCCAAACUUAGCAAUUGUCCCCAUCUCGCUGUCUUUUAUACACACAAAUCUCUAACCCAAACUCAAACCCAAAAUUGUCUCUUGCCUUUCUCUUUCUCUUUCCUUUUUCUCUUCUCGAUCUCUUCCUUUUUUUUUUUUGGUCCAUUCACAAACUCGUUCAUUUAACUCAAAUAGAUAAUAUAAAGCUAAAACCUAAAGUGAGGCUUUUCUUUCCUUUUUCCUUUUUUUCCCAAAUUGAAAAAUGGAUCAAAACAAUAAUCGGGGCUUCUUUCAGCAAAUUAUUUUUCUUUUUAUGGUCAAAUUUCACUUUUUUUUGUUCAAUAUUCGAAACCCAUUUGCUUGAAUUUGAAUAAAAUUAUUGAGAAAUUAGUUAAUUUUCUUGCUAUGGAAGAGAUACCGCACCUUAUACGUAGACAUGUGAAGGAGAUUUUCAAUGACUCUAAGGGCAAACAGGUUGCCUUGAUUAAGGCUUUAACUGUUGGUAAUGGCUUAAUAUUUUAUUUUCUUUGUCAAAUUAAUUAACAGGUUUUUUUAUUUUAGCUUAUGAUUAUUAGGGUUUUUUGUUAAUUUUAAUUUUCUGGGUUGUUGCAGAUGUUGAGAAACUCUACCAGUGUGCAGUCUUGGUAGGAUUUCUUUUCCAUAUCUAUUUUUUGUUUAUUUAAUUGUAAUUUGAAUUUUUUUCUUUUUUUCCUAUAUUUCUAUAUUAUAAAGAUUGAAUGGUUGUGUAUUUAGUAAUUAUUACAUGUUAUUUACUGCUCUGUUUCAUGUAAAGAGAAGCAAAUUAUGUUAUAGAAACCAACAUGUUUAUUUAUUUAUUUUUUUCGGUUGGAAGAUUUUUAAUAGAGUCAAUGACUAUGAUAUGAAUUACCUAAGUUCAUGCUUGUCUGAAUGUUUUGAGAUUGCACAAAGUUCAUGAUUUGUCUUUAAUUCAAGAAGAAAAUGCUUGUUUUUAGGUAGUUUUGCUUGUUGUAGCACUUGGAGACUUACAUUUUCUUUCUUCAUUUGCACGGUUAGUUUCGCUCUUAUUCAAAAGUUUAUGUGUUUCCUCACUUGCAUGGUCAUUAAUUCAUUCCAUGAUUUUUCUUCUAUAAACACACUUUUAUUUGCCUUUCACUAGUUUGAAGGACUUUAUUUUUUUUAAUUAAAAAAUUCCAAAGAUUGAAAUGAAUUGAAAUUGCUGCUAUAAUGUACUUUCUUUGCUGCUGAAGUUCAAGGAAUGUCUAUUUAAAUGAACUAGAACUUGAAAAAUCUUGUAGUGUUGUUGUACCCAUAGACUUCAUUUUUUUUCUUGCACAUUACACUUAUUUUGUUCAUCUUCUUACCUUCAAUUUGUCGUAGAGGUAAACAAUGCUUGACGGGAAAUGGAGGUUUGCAUUUACAGCGGCUGAAUCUCAUGAACAAGAAGUUGGCAAACUGAGGUCUAUAUUUUUUCCUCAAAUUCAUAGUUGAAUUCAUAGUAAGCUCAAAGCAAUUGAUUGAGGGAGAAAGUAAAUUGAGUUUUAUUUAUUAGUACAAUUUUUGUUAUUCAGUGCUUUACACUCUUCAUGACAACUUCUGCGAUCUUGUCCUAUUACCUUAAGGUACUACUGGAUAUUUGAGAAAAAAUUAAAAAUGAUUAAGCUUAUCUUUCUUUGAUGGUAGAAUUACAGUAUGUCUCCUCACUUAUUGUAGUUCAUCCAAUUUUAUUUUUGUUGCGCAGUCUGUGGAAAUCAGAGUACCACAUUUAAGAGUUUUUAUAAAAUGUCUCCUUUACCUUUCCUAUUAUUUAAACUAAUUUCAUGUGUUUUUCUUUAGUUAAUGAUUGAUUUUCAAGCAAUUGAAGGAAAGUAACUUGUAGAACCUCCUUCUAAAAUUGGUCUGGAACCUUUGUGUGCAAUGGUUAGUGAAAUCAUAAUCCGUGGCUUGUGUUAAUAUGCAUCGAUUGUGUGAAAACUAUUGUUUACUAUUUUCUGUGGCUGGUUAUUAACAUGAUUCACAGAUAAACAACAAUAGACUCAUACCCAUAUGCUUGCUUGCUUUCAACAUGCACUUUCUUUCUUUUUUUCUGUAGUUUUUUUUAUGCGUCUCUCUUUGAAGAAUAAUAUUAUUAGCUUACACGAAAAGGGGGAAAUUGCCGUUAUCUUGCUGCAAGUUUUGUCCCGGUUCUAUAGUUCUACUAUUUUGUAUCACCUUGGAUGACAUGUCGAGUGAAUCCUGAAACAUCAUUUGUCAACCUUUUGAUUCAGUAAUAAUUUAUUAAUUUUGAGAAAUUAGUUUCAUUUUAUCUUGUUUGUACCUAUAAUGCAUUGUGUUCAAUGUUCUUGAAAUUUUUGGGCAUGGCUGCAAACAAAUUUAGCAGUUUUUAAUAGCCAACUAUAGAGACACUUUAAAAUUUGUUUGGGUGAUGAGUUUUUAUGGUUUUGUAAUUGGGGUGAAGGGUAGCAAAUAUCAAUCUUGUCUAAAGAGCACUUGUGUAAGAUUACUUUUGAGUAUAGUGGGGCAGCCUAUAUUAGUAUUUUUAUGAAAUAAGCAGAAAAAGGAAUCCCUUUCUGCUGUUAGCAAUAAAAAUAAUUUUCAAAAAUGUAAAUACCAAGCUUUCUAGUUGUCACCGUUAUUUGCAAAGAUCUUUUCAAUGUAUUUGUAGAUCCCAACAUAUCUUGAUGCAUGAUCAAUUAGUAUAUGAUAGCAUGGGUGAUGAUCUUUCCAUUUGCUUCUCUUUUUCUAUUUUUUUUGGGCAUCAUCGUCUAACGUAAGCAGGCCUCCUCCAUGUUGAUUUUUUUUAAAGAGUUUGGAGCUUAUGCAUUCGCAAUUCUAAAACAUGGGCCAAUAUGCUUUCUACUUGUUAAUCUAUUUACUUAUUGUCAAUUUUGCAGGUUAAUUUUGAAGAUGCGCAGAGAGGUUUUGUAGAGGUUGGGAAGGUAUUUAAAACUUAAAGCUUUUAAUUCUUCUUUCCCCUGCUUAAUAUAUGUUUUCCCUAUAUAGUGUUUCAACAUGACCUGAUUUCAUGCCGCCUCAUUUAUUCCAACAUCCAUAAACACUGAAAUUGACCUGAUUAGUUUUUCUCCCAAAAAUCCAAGAAUUAUUUUUUUGUGGUAUACUAAUUGAUUUUAUGUACUUGUAGGUGGAAAAAGAAAAAUGAAGCCGCUUGUGGAUGUUCAGUGACAUUAUGUGCUUCUUUUUGUUGGUUAAUAUUUGUUGAAUCUUAGCUUAGUACUUUGUAGUUCAGAGCUUGUCCAAGACUUAAUUUAGUACUUAUAUUUGUCUUUUCCAAACAAUGAUGUAGUUGAAUUAUAUGAAUUUAAGUGAUGGAUUUGAGAUAUUUCUUAUGUAAUUGUGUUGCGAGAUUUUGUAUAUUUUAAUAUACUUUGAGUUUUCCUUUGGUUGUAAAACGAACAAGAAAAUAUAAUUAAAAUAAAAGUAUACUAUUAACCAAAAGAAUCAUAACAUCAUUGAAUACUGACACUAAAUGUUUAAAAUGACAUUAAUAAUUUUUGAUGUUAUUGAGUCAGUGUGUUCUUGAUAUUGUAGUCUCAUAAAUUAUUGACAUAAAUAGUAUCAUUAAAUACUAAUGCUAUCGUGUCAUUAUUUUAGUGAUACCAUAAUGACAUGAAUUACUGACACAAAAAUCAUUGACACUAAAAAUUAGUGUCAGUGUGUUUUGGCUGGAGCAUUAUUGACACAAUUAACAAGUGUCAGGAAAAGUAAUUACUGACACUAAAUUAGUGUCAGUAAAGUCCAUUUUUCUAGUAGUGACAACUUCUAGUACCUUUCCUAAGAGCAAUAGGUAUGUCCAGAUCACUAAGAACCUGAGAAUUUAAAUUUAACUCACAAGAAGGAUUAGAAUUACAAUUACCUGAGGAAGAAGAAGUUUGAUUUGACCUUGGAUUGGAAUCAUGGCCUUGCUGCAAAGUAGGGUUUUCUCUUCUUUGAUUAGUACCCUUUCUUGAGUAAACAAUAAACUCAGAUUGUUUAUUACCCUGUCUUGCACACAAAUCUGGUUCUAAUGGCACAUUAGAGGGCUGUCCAGGUUGAUUAGCAUUUACAUUAUCAGAUUUAGUGAGGUUUUCUUGUGGUUCGGGUGCAUUAGGUUCUAAUAUGGGAUCAAGAAUGGUAUAACCAGGUAUAGCAAUGUUAGGAACAUGUACAACAGUAUUAGGUUCAGGUAUGGCAGCCUCGAGACUUUUUUCUGGACGGAGGGAGUCUAGCACAGAAGAAAUAGAAGGGUUUUCUAGGUGAAUAGUGUUAAAGAUAGAAGGGGUUUCUAGGUGAGUAGUGUUAAAGAUAGAAUCUUCACUCCUAUUCUCCCCCUGAAGAUGACUAUCUACAUAAUAUCUUCGUUUUUCAAAAAAUGUAACAUCCAUGGUAACAAACAUUUUUUUUUAAAAUAGGAUCAAAACAUUUAUAACCCUUUUGUGUUGGAGAAUAUCCAACAAAAAUGCAUUUUCUAGCCUUUAGAGCAAGUUUGCCCCGAUUCUGGUUGUGAAUAUGAACAAAAGCAACACAACCGAAUAUUUUGGGCGGAAGUGUGACUGAAAUUCGUGAGGUAGAGAAACAUUGAUUAAAGAAAUCAGAUAGAGUUUAAAAUUGUGGAACUUUUAAAGGCAUUCGAUUUAUCAAAUAGGCAGCGGUGAGUACAGCUUCCCCCCAUAAAUACAUAGGAACUUGAUUUAUAACAAGUAAGGAUCUAGCAACUUCAAGAAGAUGCUUAUUUUUGCGUUCAGCAAUUCCAUUUUGUUGGGGGCUAUCCGUACAUGAACUUUGAUGAAAUAUGCCAUUUUCCACAAAAAAAUCUCCCAAAAACUUGUUAAAGUAUUCUUUCCCAUUGUCAGUUCGGAAAACUUGAAUUUUAGUUUGAAACUGAGUUUGUACCAUGUUGUUAAAAGUUAAAAAUAAUUCACACCUAUGAUUUUUCCUUCAUUAAAUAUACCCAAGAAAUAUGGGUAUGAUCAUCAAUGAAGGUAAUAAACCAUCUUUUUCCUGUUAAUGUAGAAAUUCUAUUAGGUCCCCAAACAUCACUAUGAAUCACAGAAAAAGGUUUUGAGGCUUUGUAGGGUUGGGAAGGAAAUAAUGCACGAUGAUGUUUUGCUAAUUCACAAAUUUCACAUUUAAAGGAAGAAGAACUUUUAUUAGCAAACAAGUUGGGAAAUAAAUAUUGCAAAUACUGAAAACUAGGAUGGCCUAACCUAAAGUGCCACAACAAAACUUCAUUGUCAUUAUUAACAACAGAAACAGAAUUGAAACAAAUACGUGGAGGUUGUUGUCUCAAACUUGGUACUUCUUCAAAGAAAUACAGCCCCCCACUUUGUCUAGCACUGCCAAUCAUCUUCCCCGAGGUCAAAUCCUGAAAUUCGCAAUGAUUUUGGAAGAAACUAGCACAACAGUUCAGGUCAAGAGUUAAUUUGCUAAGGGACAAAAGAUUGCAAGAUAGGUUAGGAACAUGCAGAACAUUAUGAAGAGUGAGAGUGGAAGAAAGAAUGAUAGACCCUUUUCUAGCAAUAACCGAAAGGGAUCCGUCAGCGAUCUUAAUUUUUUGAUUUCCUGCACAUGGCUUAUAGGCAGAAAACAAAGAUGGAGAGCCUGUAAUGUGAUCGGUUGCUCCUGAAUCGAUAAUCCAAGAACAAGGAUUCGAAUGAUGAGAAACAAGGGCAGCAGAAAGAUAAUUACCUUUUUGAGUUAAUGAGCAAGAGGGAGUAGAUGAAUUGAAGGAUGAGGAUUGAAACAAUUUAUACAAGUGCUCUAAUUGAUCCUUGGUGAAAGGUGAUGACUCUGAAGAACCUAAUUUCUCUUUAUCUGAAGUAGCUUGGAAGGCUCGUCCAUCACCUCCUUGUUUCUUCUUCACAUGAGGAGGCUUGCCAUGUAACUUCCAGCAAGUUUCUCUUGUAUGCCAAGCCCUUUUACAGAAGUUGCACCAAGGUUUCUUUGAAUUCCUUCGAUCUCCAUCAGGUUCAGGUGCCUUUAAAAUAAGAGCAGAACUCUCUGAACUCUCUACUUCACUGGUGGCUUUAACAUCAUUAAGCAUGACAUUCCGUCGCGCUUCUUCUCUUCUUACCUCAGAAAACACUUCUCAAAUAGAUGGAAGGGGUUUCCUGCUCAGAAUUAUGCCUCUCACUUUGUCCAAAUCACGGUUUAGCCCAGCUAAGAACACAUAUACUUUGUCAUUUUCCAACAUCUUUUUAUACCUUACACUAUCACUCGAACAGUCCCACUGCUCAUCAUAGCAAAGAUCUAAUUCCUGCCAAAGGAUCAACAGUUCAUUAUAGUAAGUUGUGACCAACCAAUUACCUUGCUUGGAUUGGCACAAUCGAGUUUUCAACUCAAAUAUCUGAGAUGAAUUUUCUAAAUCAGAAUAGGUAUCUCGGACUGCAUCCCACACCGCCUUGGCUGUCGGUAAGAACAGAUAAGGCUUACCAAUCCUAGGCUCCAUUGAGUUUAUCAACUACGCAAUAACCAUCGAAUUUGUUGAUCCCCAGGUCGAAAGAGAAGGAUCUCCAGUAAUUGGUUUUGUUACUUCACCAGUCAAAUGCCCCAGCUUUCCCUUUCCAUCAAUUACCAACUUAACGCACUGUGCCCACUCUAAGUAAUUUUUUCCAUUCAAUUUAUGAACAAUUAGUUGCAAAGAAAAGCUAUCCUGGUUAUAUUCAGACUGCUGCAACAGCGGCUGAGGAGUUCUGGUGUUACUAUCAUCAUCUUCGGCGGUAGAUGCCGAUGAGCUCUUUGUAGCUCCAGUCAUGGCAGUUUUCACCAUUGAAAAAUAGACCUCUAAAUAUUCAUUGCUCUGAUACCAUGUAAAUAUUUAGAGUCUGAAAAUACUAUUUUUCUUCUUUCAUUCAUUCAACAAGUUACACUUAAAUAGAAUAUAGAAAACAAACUCCUAAUAGAUAUCCCCUAAUUGUAGGAUACUUAUCUAAACUUGAAUUUAAAAAAAUGAUUAUCUAAAACUUUAUUCCGAUAAGACUUUAAAACUAAACUAAUUAUCUAAAACUUUAUUCUGAUAAGACUUUCAAACAAACUGAAAAAUCCUAACUUCUUGACACAUAGAUCAUACUGCAGAUGAAUUUUGGAAGAUGAACAAACUCAGGCAUCUAGUCAUUGAAGAUGGUGAAUGAAAGCACGAUGCCAAGGCUCUCCAAAAUCGUCCUUGCCAAAUACCUACUUCCUCAAAGUCUAAUCCCCUUGAGUUUCUCUAAUACUGAACAAAUGGAUGAUCCCAUGCCUGUGCUAGAAAAGUUGCCACUUCUUCAAAUGCUCAAACUGAAGCAAAAAUCAUAUUCAGGUAGAUAGCUGACUUGUGGGUCUGAUGGUUUCCCAAAGCUCAACAUAGUGCACUUGAAUUCAAUGCCAUGCCAUUUAAACAAAUUCGAGUGUUGGUGGCCUCAGCCGGAGCUGAGACAAAAGCUACGGGACUUUGAGGAUAAGGCGCAGUAUGACAAUCAAGUAUAUCAUUAUGGAAUUUGAUUUGCAUGGAUUUAAUUAGAUGUAAGUUUUUCAUUUUAUACAAUAUCAUCAACCUUUAAUUAUUAAUCUAAUUUCAUACAUAUGUUUUUUCUUCUCCUCAAUAUAUUUGAUAGUACGCAGCUUCCUAAUGCUAUCAAGUGUUUUCUAAUUGUAGUUGCUUCUAAUUUUUGUCUCAACAUUAGAGAUGAAGUGUUCAUCACAGUUCCUGAUGCUGACCCCGACCAUUUUCCCUUGUCUAUUGAUUGUUGAACAGUCAGGAAAAACUAUAAUUUCAUUUCAGAACCCUUGUGUAUUGAUCGUUGAGCAGUGAGGAAAAACUAUAAUUUCAUAUCUUAAAUUACUUGCGCCGGUGAAAUCAGAGCGGGAAAUAUGUCAACUGUAGUGCAGCAAAAGUUUCAAUUUCAACUAGAAUCCGGCCUUGAUCCUUUUAGUAUUCACUUCUGCUAUCUACACAUUAAUGAGUCCUUAGGAUUGAUGCAGGAUAUUAUUGGGUUUCUUUGUUUUCAAGGAUCUGCUACAAGCAAUAAUGUCAAGUUUUUGGAUUCACUGUGUAUAUUUUAUUCAUGUGUCUUCAUUCUUGUAAUGUGCUUGAAACUCCACCUUAGUGUGGACGUGUGUGGUUUGGUCGUACCAUGUGCAAUACAUGUAAAUUGUCAUAAUUGUCUUAAGGGAAUUCUGCAUCACUUCCAUUAGAAGAAAACUUUGGAUGUAGGCACCAUUGCCGCUGAAUCUACUUUUGAUUUGCUCCAUGUUUUCUAUAUUUUUUUAAUUCAAUUUUGGAGAUAGGGUUUCUAGCAUUGAUUGUUGAUACAUCAGAGGACUAAAUACAAGAAAUAAAAACUGGGGCAUAUUGCCUAAUCUUCAGAAUCUCCAAUUUUAUGGAGAUUUAAGCCCUUAUCAUUCAUAAAUAACUUGAGUGUUGGAUUGUUAUUAUCUUAGAUUCUCUAAAUAAUAAUCCGAAUAAGAAUGUUGGAAAAAUAUUGAUUAUAAAUACUUGUUUUGAACAAAUACUACCUAUUAUUUUAAAUUUUGGACUUAGAAAUUAUAAAUAGUAUUAGCAUGUGAAUUUUAAGGUAUUAGCUGAUUCUGUCCAAUUUUAGAGGUUGAUCCAUCAUGCUAAACUUAGUCAUUGGUUUUUGCUGAACAAAUGAAUGUGUAUCAUUUUUUUUUCCUCUUUUUUUUCUGUUAUACUUUGAUUCCCCUGCUUCUAGCUGAUUCUGUUCUCCUUUAUAACGAGAAAGAAGUUGUCUUUUGUGCUCUUAUAUAUACAUGUUAAGCCUGGAUAUGUGUGGUUUUGUUUGUUUUAAUAAUAUGAUUGUGUGGUGUCAUCUGUAAUACUUUUUAAGGGUGCAAAUCAAAUGAGUUUAUACCUUAUAGUGAAUUUGGUUAAUUUCAAGAUAUCAUUUUUUGGGAUCUUCGGCUCUAGUUGCUAAUACAAAAUUCCUCAAAUCUCGUUUGGAAUUUGGGAGUCCGUCCUAAAUGAUACAAGAUUUGAUAAAAAUUUCUCAUUCUGAUUUAUUAAUCGAGUUGAGAUUCAAGAUCUAGUUUUCUUCUAAUUUAAUAUUCAAGACGGGAUUUGAGACGUCUGAAAAUCUCAUUCGAGAUCCCUUAGGCAAUCAAAUGAGUUCAUAUCCUUAUAAUGAAUUUGGUUAAUUUCAAGAUACCCUUUUUUGGAAUCUUCCGCUCUAACUGUUAAUACGUGAACCUAGGCUGGCAAAAUUAUCCAGAUACCAAUCGAGAUACAAACCCUAUAUAAGAUUUGUUACAAAUUUCUUAUCCCUAUUUUCAAUGUAGGUCAGGAUUUGGGACCCCAUUUUAUACCGAUUGAUAAAUUUCUUUAUUUAGACAAUAACUGAUGACAGAUUAUUAGUUUAAAGCUCAUGGAGUAAAGGUUGAAUUAUUGGUUCAAUCAUCCGUAAUUUUCUGCAAGCAUGCAAUAUAUUAAACAAGAGAUUAUUUAAUUAUUUUUUGGGUUCUGUUAUUAACAAUAAUGAUUUUGAAGAUAUUAGUGGGAGAAAAAUGGUUCUUUUAAAUCAUUUUCAAUCUUGAGAAAAAGUUUUCUUGCUGCCAUACACUGUCCUUUCUCUAUAUUUAUAUUUAAUUCAUAUGUACAUAUAUCAUACAUACAUUAAAUGAGUGUAAUUCAAUAAAAACAUUCUAUGAUCUUUCUGCUAUAUGAAAAAUAACCUAAAAAAUAUAUAUAUACAAUUACACAAGCUCUAUUAAUACUCUACCAAUUAAAUUGAGCACGUGUUCUUUUUAAUAUCCUCAUUUCAGCUAAUUGUAUCCAGCCCAGUGGCCGCAUUUUUUUUUUCUCUUUUUGUGUGUGUGUGUAACCAAAGCUUUUUAUCUUUCAUUUGCAAUUUGAGAACCCAUUAGCCAGACAAUUAAAUGCAGAUUCCAUGAAUUUUGCACCGUUGACUUAACUCGAAGAGUAAGACUUCGAUGUAACUACGGAGUCAACAAAUAUGCUUGUCAUGGAAAAUCUCAUAACGCGUACAUUUACUUUUUCAUAUAUUGUGUCUCUAUUCUACCUCUCCAACUUAAAAUUCCUUGCUCGUGUUUUAAACAUGACAUAGAAGUUCUGGUUUGGAAAUGGUAGAGAUAGUUAGAUGUCACAGUUGCAUACAAGUGUACACAAUUUCUUUGUCAAAUAAAAUCUAGUCACAUAUUUAUUCUAAAACUUAAUUAUAAACUAUGAAUAAAUAAAAAACAGUGGACAUAAUUUUAUUGACUGUCCCAUUAAAUCCGUCGCACCUAAUUUUAUUUGCUUGCAGUGGGACGACUUUAAAUGUUGUCAUGUGGCUGCACAAAUGGACUAAUUCCUGUCACAACUUGAUAGUCUAUAUUAGCGCGGACUGUUGUGACAAAUGAACCUCUAUUUCGAUUGCGUACUCCAAUAUGUUAAAAAAAAGAAAAAAGAAAAUAAAAAGAAAAUAGGACAUCAUCAAGUAUCAAUCAAAGAUCAAUUUGUUUUAUCCACUUUCAAGAAAGAAAAGGUAAAAACAAUCCCACUGGGGACCAUAAAGUUUAUCUCAAAAGAAAAAGCACUACAAUAGUCGAACACAAAGAAGAGUAAUAAUGAGAAAGGAGUUGCAUAUAAAUUGAAGAUUUUUAUUUUUUUUAAAGAAGGGCCCGACAUCAUGAUUGCUUUCAUUUAGGAAAGGAUAUAUGAAAAAGAGAUGAAUAUUGCACUUUAGAUUUGGAUAAUUCCGAUUGGAUUUUGAAUUGUUUGGAUUAGGAAAAACAAAUCAUUCGAAUCCAACCUGAAUCUCAAAUACAAUCGAUCGGAUUUAAAAUAAAUCAGAUCUGAUAAAUAUUUCAGAUACAUUUAGUUUCAGAUUGUUUCGGAUUUAAAUGAUAUUUUAGAUUCAAAUGGUAUUUUAAGUUCAGAUUGAAUUUGUAUUUGGGUCUUUUUGAUAAUUUUUACAUAAAAUUCAUAAAAUCUAUAUAUAUAUAUAUGAGUAGUGCUAAAUGUCGGGAAGGCUGAGAUAACCCUGAGAGAAAUGGUAGCUUGUGCUGCCAUUUCGCGCGUGUUCUCUUGGCCCCGCCCCCCAUGUUUCUUUCUCUUUUCUUUUUAACUUAACGUUUGCUGUAGUCAGCCUUUUGCUGCAGUCAACUCAUCUCUCCAGCACCAAAAACUACCGUAUCUUCUCCCUCCCCUCAAUUUCAUCGGCACUCUCUCUCAUCAACGGCAUCGUUACCGACAGCCACCUCUUUCUCUUCAGCUCGUCACGACAGACACCACCAGUUUGGUUCGUCACUUCGUCCGGAUCUCUCCAUUAUUCCAAGUGUGUUUCCCCUAUUUUUUGUUCUAAAAAACCCAAAAAAAUGAAGAACAACACCUGUAUUGAUUUCGAUUUUUUGAUUCCAAGUCAAAGGGGUGCUUGACUUUUAAUUAUACAAGAUAGAAGAUGAAACCAAAUUUUGAUGUUGAUGAAGAAGAAGAAACAAAACUGACAGGAGGAAGAAGAAGAUAAUUGUGAUGAUGUUGUUGAUGAAGAAGAUGAAAUUGACGAUGGAGAGAAGUAACGAAGAAAUUGGAGAAGAGAGAGAAAGAAAAAAGAGAAGAAGAAGAAGGUAAAAGAAGAAAAAAAUAUAAGAGAGAUAAAAUAAUAUAAAAAAAAGAGGAAAUGUUUAAAGUAAAGUGGGGGUGGGGCCAAGAGAACACGCGUAAAAUGGCAGCACAAGCUGCCGUUUCUCUCAGGGUUCUCUCAGCUUUCUCGACGUUAAGUAUUUUCCUAUAUAUAUAUAGUAGUGCAAUCUAAUCGAAUUGUUUAAAUUAAAAUGGAUCCAAUCCAUCGAAUGCACAAAUUUUAUCCAAUCGGAUAUAAAUGGCAACAUCCAAAUCCAAAUCAGAUCGAAUCAUAUCUAUCCGAAUCUGAUCCAUGCACACCUUUAGCCCUAUUGGAAUGAUUAUCUAACGAUUCAAACUAUAACGUAUUUUGUUGUAGUUUGUAGAGCGCUUGAAAAGAAAAUCUCUAAACAAUAGUGACUAUUAUGAAUUAGAUGCAUCAAUCAAUUGUUGAAAAUUGAUUAAAAACAAAAAAAGAAAGGUUGUUGACCAAAAUUUGUUGAUCAAAUUUGAUGGCUAAGCCACCAAUUUUGAUCAAAAUUGGUGGGCAUAGUUAGGCAAGUUUUUGCCUAUAAAUAGGAGGGUGCUCCUCCUCACUUUUGUAUCCAAUUGAGAGCAUUCAAUUGGUGAAUGCAAGAAAAGCAUUGAGAGCUUCUAAUGGGAGAGAAAUAAUCUUAAGCAUGUAGAUGUAUUAUAGGAGUAUUUGGCUCCUCAAUGUGGGUAUUACGGGUUUGCUCUGUUAAAGAAUAUUUUUCGGGAUCAUGUAUUUGGGGCUUGGGUGAGAAAAAUUAUUUCUGAAAGUGUGGUUGUAAUAAUUUUUCACAUAAUGAAUAUUUUUUUCUCUGGUUGUCUUUUGAUAACGGCCGUAGUUUUUUUUCUGGAUUUAGAGUUUUCCAUGUAAAUCUUGUAUUGUGUGACUAAUGUAUUCUCCGUUUAAUUUUUUCUGUUAAUUUAUUGUUUGACAAAUUGUUUGUAGUGAUCUUGGGAGAAAACUCAAUUUCCUAACACGAAUCAGAUUCUAAGGAGAUGUUUUUUCUCUCUAUACAAGCUUUAUGGUCCCAGCGGAAUUAUUUUUAAUCUUUCAGUCUUUUGAGAGGGCAAAAAAGAAACUAGUCUUGAUAGCCUAUUUUACUUUCUUCAUACACAUAUAUAUAAAACACAAAUUAUAAGACACCCUUUUAUCUUCUUGCAUAAAGAAUAUUUUAUAUACACGUGCAUUAUACCUCAGGUUUUGUGCAGAAAAUCAUUAUUGUAAUGUUUUGGGAGAGAUUAUUUAGUGUUAGACAUUGGAAUUUGUGGGUUUGUUUGAAUAAGAAUUUGAGGUAUUUUAGUUUAGAAUCUAUGAGUAAGGAUUACGAUUUGUAAGUAACAUCCUUCUUCACGUGCUCCGCACGUGUUAGUUUUGGGGUGUAACAUAACUAGAUCCUAAGAUCUCGAUCCACAGCUUAGUAAUCUGCAGAUACUUCAUACGAAGCCGAAUCCGCUGAAUCAGGAGUAAGAAUCUUAUAUACGUGUAAGAAUAAAAAUAAAAAGUUGGAAAAAGAAGCUCAAAGAAUUUUAAAUUGAAAAGUUGAUUUUCAUGUGCGGAACAAGGGCUUCAGAUUAAAUUGUUGAAAAAGUUUUGUAGUAAAAUAUUUUUGUUUUCAUAUGAUUUUUUAAGAAAAAAGAAUAUAUAAGGUUUUUUGUGGAAUUAACAUAGGUGUUGUUAAAAGUAGUGUGAUUUACAUAUAGGGGCGGGCAAAAAAAUCGUGCACUAGAGAAAACAAAACUGAACUGAUCCGAACCGUUCCAUUCGGAUCAGUUUUAAUUUUAAAAAAUAAACGAAAUAUAUGGUUUGUAAAAAGAAUCGAAAUGUAGGUUUGGUAUUUGGUUCACUUAGCUGAACCAAAAAACCGAACUAAAAAACCAGAUUGUUCUUGGAAUUUUAUUUAAAUAGACAUGUGUUAAAUUUUAAUUGGUUGCGUAAGAUAACUAAAAUAGGCAUGCACACACACGAUUAUGGGUAUAUAUAUAUGUUACAAUUUCUGCACCCAAAACAAACCUAAAGGCUAAAAUCAAAAACGAAAUCAACUCGCAAGCCAAAUCCUUUUAGGAGUUCUUUAACUCAUAAAACAGUCAAGUCAUUAAUCUGUACUCAAAAUUGGUUUUACUCAACUCUCUUAGGAGAGCAUACAAUACAACCAAGUCAGGAGGAAGCUGAAUUCUAUGAAUUAGUUGAAACAUGUAAUAUUGUAAUUUAUUAUGUUAUUUUUUGUUACUUAUAACAUUUUGUAUAUUAGAAUUAAUGAUUUUAAUAUAAUUGUUUCAAUUUCUUGAAGAAUUGUUUAGGCUAAUGCAAUCUCAACAACAACAAGUAGCUGAGGAGUAAAUGACAGUUGACUGAUGUUGCUGACCAGUAAGUUUUCUUUAUUUUUUUUUAAAAAAUAGUAUCUUAUUUAUAUAGAUUUUUAUUUAAUUAUUUAUUUUUUUAAAUUUUUUUUAUAGAUCCAAAUAUUGAGUUGGAAAAUGCCUAAAGUUGAUACUGAUAUUGAUGGGGAUAGGAGAAUGUUGUUGUCAUUUGUUUGCAAUUUAAAAAAAAAAAAUUUUGUGAAGAUGGGAGAAUGUUGUUGGUGUUUGUUUCCAAAUUUUCUUUUUAUUUUGUGUUGUAAGUUUUAAUUGUUGUUAUUUUUAUUUGUCUUUACAACAUUAUGUUUAUGUAAAUGGAGUAUUGGAGUUUAAUUAUGUAUUUUGAACUCUUAAUAUUUCAUAUUUUGUAAGUAUCUUAUUAGUAGUUAGUAAGAUAUUAGUGAUAAAAUAUGUUUUGAAUAUUUUGUAUUUAUUGUUAAUAUUUGUAAUGAAAUUAGGAUAAAUUAAUUGUUGAAAAAAAUAAUUACAUUCAUGAGGCCUAAUGAGCUAAAAAUUUAGAAAUUCAAAAUAGGCCCAAUAGGCCCAAAACCGAAAAAAUCGAACCGGACCGAACCGAUCUGAGAAGAUCCGUUUAUAUUCGAUUUUUAUUGUGUUCGGUUCUUAUUUGGUUCUUUUAAUAAAAUAACCUAUUUAAAUCGAUUUUGCUUAAUUUCGAUUCGAACCAAACCAGACUGAACCAUGCCCACCCCUAUUUACAUAUGUUUUUAAUCGUGUACUUUUAGAAGAGAGGCUUUACGAGGAGUUUAAAGUGGUGCUAAUAGUUUCACUUAUUGACAAAUGGGUCAAAAAACAUCCAAAAGCUUCAAAGACCUUUCAUAAUACUUGGAACACAAAAUAGUUAAUUAUACUUUACAAAAAAAUUUGUUUUUUAACAUUUUACAACUCAAAACACGCUAGAAGAUCUUUAAUAUUUCUUAGUUUACUAUAAGAUACUAUAAGUAUAUAUAACAAAACAAGAAUAUAUUGAUUGAUACCAUAUAUUUGAUACAAGUGAAUAGAAAAUCUCUCACUUGAUAGAAUAUAUAUAGCAUAUGACAAGUUACAUACAUCUAAUUUUCUGCAUGCAUAUGGAAAAAAAAUUAAUUGUUUAAAUUUCUAAUUUGUCAAAUCAAGGUUUGAUUUCUGAAUUUUUUUAGUUGUUAAGUGGAUUAAAUUUCCCCCCAUAUACACUGUCUAGAGAAACUCAUGAAUCUAAAUAAACCAAACCCAUAUUAAAUUUAAUGAUAUCAUUAUCCUCAGACUCUCAGUUUUGCACUUUUGCUUACAUAAACAUUAUGGAACUUAAACUUAAAUCCACUUUUUUCAUCAUUCUCUUGGUGGCCUCAUGUUUGUUCCUUAAUCUUAUUUUCCUCAUCUUUUUAAUGCAUCCAUAAUUAACUAUAAUAUGACAACUAAUUGGCUGGCAUUUAUAUAUGCAGGCGUGUUAUUAGCAUUAGGCUAAUUAAUUGAUUGCCAUUUAUAUAUGCAGGUGUGUUGUUUGAUAUUUUCAUGCCGGCAGUUGAUGCUCAACCGGAAUCAAAAGCAGUCACUUGUAAAAGCAAUGCCGACUGUGACAAUCCCUGUCAGUCGUUUCGAAUGCGAUCUUGAUACCCAUCUCUGCGUUUGUGUUCCUGGCCGCAAUUCGAUGGGUUGCUGAAGAGAUUAAAGCUUGUAUUGCAAGUUCUAGUGAUAUUUUGGAUGCUGAAUUGCAAAAUUUGUAACGUUACAAUCUUUGUUCCGUUUCUUACGUCAUGUGUCAAAUAAAAGUAUCAACUAAGAUUGCUGCCUCUCUUCUGAUAUGCAUACUAAAAUUGUGUACAAAAAUUUACAAAUCAUCUCCAUGUGAUUGGUCCUAUUAUACAAUGUUGUACCAUUCAUUUGGAGAAGUCUUUAAGGCUUGGAAUUAUACAAUUUUUAAAAUUUUCAGUAUUUUUUUUGGCUUUCGAGCUGGGUUCGGACUUUUAACCGGAGCCCAAGACCAGCCAGAAUACUUAGAAAACAUGCUCUAGCUACACUUGAUUUUUCUGCCAUUCCUACUUAGAAUUCCAUUAUCAUUGAUUUCAUUGAUGGAUUGUUAUAUUUUUCACACUAAGUGCUCAAAUGAAAAUAAUUAUAAAUAGUGUCUUAUGAUGUAAUCCUUUCAAAAAGGUGAGAGUUCAUAUAAUACUGAUAUUUGAAUAAAAAAAUGAUACAGUGGUGAGAAAACAACUAUAAAUUUUAUUUAUAAUGUUAAAUAAAAAAUUAUAACUAUUUUUCAAUUAAUAUUGUAACAUUGCACAAUUUACUAUUAUUUUUGUCACCUGUUGUUAGAACUCUUUAUCAUUUUUCAUUUCUUAGAAAAGAAUGCUAAAAAGAAAAUUUAACAUAUAUUAACUAUAAAAUUUUACAAACGAUUUAGUACUUUCUCUAAAUCUAGUUGAAGAAAUAAGACAGCAUCACACAUGAUUAAGAAUGCAUAUUUAUUUGAGUAAUUUUACAUUUAUAACCCUGGGAUACAAAUUUUAUUUGUGAUAUAGAUACAUGCAAGUCUCGCAAUAAAUUUAACAAUUAACACCAGACAUGAUUUUGCAUUUUUCCACAGCUUAAUUAUUAAUUAUUAAAUAAUUGAUAACGCUCUUGUGCUUGCUCCGUUCUUUUCUUUUCAGACAAGCUUUUAUAGUCCCAGUGGAAUUGUUUUUACCCUUCCUUUCUUAAAAGUGGAUGUAUAAAACAAAUUGGUCUUGAUCGAUACUUGACAAUGUCCUGUUUAUUUUUCGCUGCUUUAUUCUUUUUUCAUCAUAUGGAAGACGAGAUUAUUGUAAGAUUCUGCCUUGAUAUGUUCUAAUUUGAGAGUCAACGAUCUUGAUUUAACUUCUUGACUGGAGAACUAGCUAAGAGAAGGGAGGUAUGGGAGCCAGCACUAAUGUUUGAAUUGAGAGCUUUAAAGCAUAUUUUCCUUUUCCCCUCUCUCUUUUAAUUAUUUCUUUGCAUGCUCUUAGACAGAUUUCAGGGUGGAUUUGAGGGAGGAGGAGAUAUGGACAUCAACAUCAGACUAUUUUCAGAGAGGCUGAGAAGGGUGUUAGCUGGUGAAGAAGUCACGUUGCCUGAUGCUGCAAAACAACCUAUUCACAACUUUCAUGCCGAGAUUGAAAUCGUUACUUCUUUGCUGAGGGACUUUGAAGAUGAUAUCUCCUGCCUUCUGGUGCAAAAAAUAGGAGACCUUGAAAUUGACAACCCAGAUCUGGCGACCGUUAUGGACGAAAUCAACUGUUUUGCGUAUGAAUCUGAGAAGGUUAUUGGCACAUUCAUCAACAGCAUCGCUCAACAGAAGAGUCAAAGCAGGUACAACAAGGAUGUUUGUGAUGCUCUGCAAGGACUCCAAAGCAGAAUCACUGAGAUUAAGCAACGGGUUCAACAACUUAAGCACAUCGAUUUUGAAAUCAUGGAUGGGUUAAGAAGUGUUGAAGCUGAAUCCAGUUAUUUUCCUGCAUCUUCAUCUUAGAAGAAUCGGAACACGGUGGGUCUAGAUGAUAGAAUGGAGGAGUUGUUAGAUCUAUUGAUCGAGGGACCACCUCAGCUGUCAGUGGUGGUCAUACUUGAUAGCAUUGGGUUGGACAAGACGGCUUUCGCCGGAGAGGCUUACAACAGCAGUUAUGUGAAGCAUUAUUUUGAUUGCCACGCUUGGGUUCCAGGGACUUAUCCGUAUGAUGCUGACCAAAUGUUAGAUAUCGUUAUUAAGUUUCUGAUGCCUUCAUCUAGGUUGAGUGAAAUAAUGGAUAAAAAUUAUGAAAUGAAAAAAAUAAUUCUUCAUGAAUAUCUAAUGACCAAGCGGUAUUUGAUUGUGAUUGAAGAUGUAUAGACCAUUGGUGUGUGGGAUGUUAUUCGAGAAAUACUUCUGGAUAAUCAAAAUAGAAGUAGAGUAUUAAUCACACUCAGCCGAAUUGAGAUUGUCACCUCAUUUCAGUUCGAAGACGGAGAGAACAUUGGGCUUGAUUUUGUGCCCACUGGAGGACCAUUGAGAGCUACAUACCAAGGAUGGCCUUUCCUCAUCUUAUAUCAUGGAAGCAUCUCAUUAGAAGAAAAUAUAGGGGAAGCAGUGGCGAUACCCCUUGGGCUUUGGUACUUCAAAUAUUGCAGGUUACCUUUUUGCUUGAAACUUUGUUUUCUCUACUUAUCUGUGUUUCCUGCACACCUAGAGAUAUCCACCAGGCAGUUAUAUCAGUUGUGGAUAGCUGAAGGUUUCAUCCCAGACAAUAGUGAGGCAACUGCUGAGAAUUACUUGGAACAACUAAUCAAGGGAGGCUUUGUUGAAGCAAAUAAGAGAAAAGCUGCAGGCACUAUCAACACAUGCUCUAUUCGUAGCCGUUGCCAUCCUGUGUUGUUGUCAGUUCCUUAUAGGGUGGAAUUUAUCUCUUCCCCUUUCCUGGAUCCAAAAGGUAAAUCACCAAAACAAGUCAAACGGUUAAACGCUGUUAAAAGACAGGAAGAUUUUGCUUGCUUAGAUUAUUAUGACUCGCAACUGCAUUCUUUGUUGUGCUGCUCUCCAGAAAGCCGCCACUUUGACCCCAUGGAUUGGGAGAAAAUUUGUGGAAUGUUCCAACUUCUCAGAGUAUUGGACUUGGGAUCUCUUGUUCUCAUCCAAUAUCCAUCCGGAAUUGAAAAUUUAUUUCUUUUGAGAUAUUUGAAGUUGAAUAUCCCUUCCCUUAAAAGCCUGCCUUCAUCGUUAUUAAGCAAUCUUAUGAACCUCUAUACCCUAGACAUGCCCUUUAGCUAUAUAGAUCACAUGGCAGAUGAAUUUUGGAAGAUGAAAAAACUCAGGCAUCUAAAUUUUGGGUCAAUCACACUUCUUGCGCAUCCAGGAAAAUAUUGUGGCUCUCUGGAAAAUCUCAAUUUCAUUUCAGCCUUGCAUCCUUGCUGUUGUACUGAAGAUAUAUUGGGCAGACUACCUAAUCUUCGAAAUCUCCGGAUUCGGGGAGAUUUAAGUUAUAAUCAAUCUUUGUUGUCUAAAAGUCUCUGCAGAUUGAGCUGUCUCGAGUCAUUGAAGCUGGCGAAUGAAAGCAAGAUGCCACGGCUCUCCAAAAUCGUCCUUGCUGAAUACCUAUUUCCUCAUGGUCUAACCCACUUGAGUUUUUCUAAUACUGACCUAAUGGAUGAUCCCAUGCCGGCACUAGAAAAGCUGCCGCUUCUUCAAGUGCUCAAACUGAAGCAAAAUUCGUAUUCAGGUAGAAAGCUGAAUUGUGGCUCUGAUGGUUUUCCAAAUCUCAAGGUAUUGCACCUGAAAUCAAUGCUAGAGGAGUGGACUAUGGGGAUUGGAGCCAUGCCAAAACUAGAAUGCUUGAUUAUCAACCCCUGUGCUUACUUGAAAAAGAUGCCUGAACAGCUCCGGUGCAUAAAGAGCUUAAACAAGUUCGAUUGCUGGUGGCCUCAGCCGGAGCUGAGGCAAAAGCUACGGGAAUUUGAGGAUAAGGAACAGUGCGGCAUUCAACUAUUUCCCUACGGAAUUUGAUUAGCCCCUAUUGAAUUUGAUGUAAGUUUUUUCUUCUUCCCCGAUUACUUCAACCUUUAAUUAUUGAUCUAAUUUCAUAUAAAUGUUUUCUUCUCUACAAUAGAUUUGAUAGUACGCAGUGCCUAAACUAUAAUCAUACUAUAAAGUUUUUUCUACUAAUUGUGAUUGCUUCUAAUUUUUGUCUCAACAUAAACUUAAAGUGUCUACCACAGUUCUUGAUGCUGACAGCAUUCAUUAAAAACUGUAUGAUGCGAUCUUCAAUUAGUUGUAUGUGUAGGUAAAAGCAGAGCGGAAACUAUCUUAACUGCACUGCAGCCAAAGUUUCAAUUACAACCAGAAUUGAGCCUUCAUCCUUUCAGUGUUCACUUCUGCUGGGUUGUCUACACGUUGUUUGGUUUCUUCAUUUUCAAGGAUUUGCAUGCUAACAGUAAUAAUGUCAUGUUCGGAUUAAUAUAUUGAACAAAAGUCUGAUUAAUUGUUUUACUUUCUAUUUUCAGUUGCACUGGUGUGUAUUCAAUUUGUCAACAUUCAAAUUGAUAUAUGUUAUUGUUUUUUUUUAUUUUAUUUCUUCCUCUAGUUUUUAAGUAGCGGUAUAGUUCAACUUCAAGCUUAGUACUUCAGUUAGAAGAAAAGUAUUUGUGCGGUGAUCUCAUCUCAUCAUGUCAACACUGGCAGAACGACAUUGUUGUUCGGUUUUUUGGAAUUUCACCGACAUGUCGGUCAUCAUAAGGGUGAGAGUGCUGGUCAAAAGUGAGUUGGGGUUAGGUAAAAAAGUACAGGAAAAUUCUAGGAUUGUUAGAGAUAGCCUUUAUCGUAGUUUAUAAGGCUGGUUGAUGGGCCAUCUUCUCAGAUCUCAUCAAAGCUAUGGAGAGAGAGAGAGAGAGAGAGAGAGAGAGAGAGAGUUGAAAUAGAAAGUUGUAUAUUCUUGUUCUCUAUAACAAGCUCUACAUCCUGGUAACCUUGAUUUGUGAAAUAGUGAAAGCUUGAAAGCUUGAAAGCUUGUAUCCUUGUUCUUCACUGGAUUUACGCACUUUGAUUCAAUUUUUAGUUUGGAUUUCUGAGAAUGAGUCUUCAUACAUCAAAUCAAAGAUGGUCUAAGGUGUUUGAUCUUGGUACUGUUAGAGGAUUAAACACAACAAAAAGAAACUGGGGCAUGGAGAUUAAGCCCUAGUCAAUUUGGGUUGUCCAACAGCCCUUGUAAAAUCGAAAACCAGCACUAAUCCUUGGUGAUUUGGAGCAGAAGUUUAACGAGUAAAGUUCUGAAAGUGGAAGAUUUAAUCGAUAGUGCUGCACGUUUUGGAAGCUCUGUUAGAAUUGAUGACUGAAUUCUUUCUCUAUUGAUUGAUUAGCAGCCCCAUAGCAUGCUAAUGGUUUUCACAUUUUUCCCUCCACAGCAUGCAGAGGGUGUCUGUAGUGCAAAGAAGUUGAUGGCACGCAAAUAAGUUGCUUGUGUUGUUUUUAAUCUCAAUAAGAUAUAUAUCAUCGGCAUAUUGAAGUUUGUGAUUAUUCUAAGAAAAAAUAGGUGCUUUAUUAUUUGAAUUAUCGACAAAAUAAUUCCAUUUCAUUAUUUUGUUAGAUCCACUAUAUGUACAUGUUUGAAUCUUAUUCAUAAGUUUUGAUUUCACUCUCACGUUUCAUAUGAUGUCAAAUCAGAUAAAAAGAAAAAAAAAAUGAAAGCUAGCUUGUCGGUAGCAAUUACAUUAGCAUUUAGCAAAUGUUAUUUUGAGUACAAGCACAAUUUGGCUCAUUUUCCAGGACCAACAAUCUUCCAUUUAGAAAUGCAUUGACAAACAGGUUAAUUCGUAAAAUGAUGGUUUCUAGAUAGAAUCUUUCCAAGUUGCACUAACCUCCUUUCCUUAAAGCUAAACAUUAAUUAAUUUGCAUUUUAUUAAAUUUUUCUUUCUAUUCCUUUUACAUAAUGAUUGGUCACCAAUCUUGAUUCAAUUUUUUGAAUAGCAACUUACUGCUGGAUUAGUUAGAGAAUUAGAUAUCACUCAUAGUGUGUCAAUCGGAGUUGAGUUUCAUCAACAACUAAAGUUAUUUUUAUACAAUUAAUCUUUUCAUAUCACAUUAAUCUGUACAAAUUUAUUUAUGCAACCCCAGCUGAGGUUGGCAUGGAGACACACCGCACAAAAUAUUAUGAUGAGACAGUAAACAUGGAACAUAUGUUGUUGGAUUUAGAUUUGCUUGAUGAGAAGAGAAAGGCGACAAGAAGUCGAGCAACAAUUUACCAGUAAAAAGUGGCUAAGUUCUACAACAAGAAUGUCAGGCUACGACAAUUUCAGGAGGGGGACUUGGUGCUCCGUAAAGUCAACCAAUCAACCAAAAAGCCAGCUGAUGGAGUUUUAGGGCUGAGCUGGGAAGGACCAUACAAAGUACUACACUCAUUUGGUAAUGGCUCAUAUAAGUUAGGUUAUCCAGAUGGCAGGGUCGUCGGCAAGGCAUGGAAUGCAGAGCACCUACGAAAAUACUAUCAGUAGGCCAAUCCUAUUUAUGAUGUUCUUGUUUGUUUGUUUUCUUUAAAUAUGUUAUGAUAGUUUGUUUCUUUGUUAUUUUAAUUCGUUAUGUGUUCAAUUUUGUAAUUUCUGCUAUAUUAAUAUCAAUAAGGUUAUUGAAAAGUGUGACUCUAUUUCUUACCUACUUGUGACCGGUCUUAUUUGAGAUCGGCAUAUUUGGGCCUUAUUGAGGUCUAACAUAAAAAUUUUGAUAAAAUCUUAUUGAGAUUGAGAUCAACAUUUGGGCCUUGUUGAAGCCGAAUGUGAAAAUUUAUCCAAUCUUAUUGAGAUUGAGAUAGGCAUUUUGGCCUUAUUGAGGUCCAACGUGAAAAAAUUUAUCCAAUCUUAUUGAGAUUAAGAUCGGCAUAUUUGGGCCUUAUUGAGGUCCAACGUGAAAAACUUGAUCAAAUCUUAUUGAGAUUGAGAUCGAUAUUUAGGCCUUGUUGAGGUCGAACAUGAAAAAUUUAUCCAAGCUUAUUGAGAUUGAGAUCAACAUUUUGGCCUUGUUAAGGUCCAACGUGAAAACUUGUUGAGGUCGACCAUAGCCAUAACAUUUAAGUUCUACAAUUUUCAACUUGUUGAGGUCGGUCGUACCCAUAACAUUUAAGUUCUAUAAUUUUCAACUUGUUAAGGUCGGCCAUAGCCAUAACAUUUCAGUUCUACAAUUUUUAAUUUAUUGAGGUCGACACUUUAGAUUUGUAAGGCCUAUGGUUGGGGUCGACAGUUUAGUUUUGUGAGGUCUACAAUUGAGGUCGACACUUUUGCGUUGUGAGCUCUACAACUGGGUCGACAUUUUAGUUUUGUAAAGCCAACGGUUGAGGUCGACACUUGCUUUGUGAGCUCUAUGGUUGAGGUCGACAUUUUAGUUUUGUAAAGCCAACAGUUGAGGUCGACACUUGCUUUGUAAGCUUUACAUUUGAGGUUGACAUUUUAGUUUUGCAAAGCCUACGAUUGAGGUUGACACUUGCUUUGUGAGCUUUACGGCUGAGGUCGACAUUUUAGCUUGGUAGGAUCUAAAACUGAGGUCGACACUUUAGAUUUGUAAGGCCUACGGUUGAGGUCAAUAUUUUAGCUUGGUAAGAUUUAUGAUCGAGGUUGACACUUUUGCUUUGUGAGCUCUACAUUUGAGGUCGACAUUUUAGUUUUGUAAAGUCUACGGUUGAGGUCGACAUUUUAGUUUGGUAAGAUCUACAACUGAGGUCGACAUUUUAGUUUUGUUAAGCCUACGGUGAAGGUCGACACUUGCUUUGUGAGCUCUACAUUUGAGGUCGACAUUUUAGUUUUGCAAAGCCUACAGUUGAAGUCGACACUUGCUUUGUGAGCUCUACGGUUGAGGUCGACAUUUUAGCUUGGAAAGAUUUAUGGUCGAGGCUGACACUUUUGAGUUGUGAGCUCUAUGAUUGAGGUCAACAUUUUAGUUUUGUGAGGUUUACAAUUGAGGUUGACACUUUAGAUUUGUAAGGCCUACGGUUGAGGUCAACAUUUUAGCUUGGUAAGAUCCAUGGUUGAGGUUGACGAUUUUGCUUUGUAAGCUCUACGGUUGAGGUCGACAGUUUAGUUUCUUGAGGUCUACGAUUGAGGUCGACACUUUAGAUUUGUAAGGCCUACGGUGGAGGUCAACAUUUUAACCUUGUAAUAAUUUAUAAUGAAGUCAGCUUCGCGCUUCUUAAGGUCGACUUUCCAGCCUAGUUACAAUCGGCAAUAGCCUAAACAUCUUCAGUCUUGUUGUGGUCGACAUUAGCUUUGUUAAAAAUUAGCGUCUAGGCUAUGUAACAAUUAUCCGAAUACAAAAACAAAAUGAAAGCUCAACAAGAGUUAUCAGUUUGUAACACUACAAAAAGGAAAGCCUUAUAACAACUUUUCAAAUCUACUUAGGAAGCAUUCUCCUCGUCUUCAACAACUCUGCUAGUUAAAGAUGUCUCACCCUUAACUCUAAUCUCAUCACCCUUAAGAACUCGAUUUGCUUUUUGAUCCGUACUCGAUGACUUCUUUUUAGCCUUUUCUUUGCUCACAUAAGCAGUCAACAUCCAUUGAAAGUCCAUGUCCGGGUGUUUCUCUUGGAACAAUUCGAUACAUGUCUGAAUGACAUCCGCCUUCAGUUGCCUUUUCUCCAGUCGAAUGCAUUGAUCAACAUCAGACUUAACUUUUUCCAACUCAUAGCUAAGAUCGGCAAUCUUGGAGUCUUUGCCCGCAUUAGAUUUCUUUUCGGCUACUAAGUCUUCUGCCAAGUGAGUAUUUUCAUCGUUGCGAGCAUUGAGGUCACGCUUGAGCCGAUCUCGCUCGCUUGCCGUCUUUUCAUUCGUGAGGUUUUCUUUUAUCAAAGUGCGCUCGAGUUCUUCUAUUUUUGCAUGGCCUUUCAAUGACUUUGCAAACAUCUCAAUAUGCGCGGCCAUGAUCAAGGAUUGCUGGGAAAGAAAGCAUGACGGUUAAGAUGAAAAGUAUAAACAUCAAAGAAAUAAAGAUUGUGAAUUAAUACCCACCUCAGCUUGGUUUUGAGCAAGCGCUUCAAGGGCAUGAGUAGCUGACAAGUGGGAAAAAUUCUUGAGGGUAUCCUGGCUCACAAAUCAAGUAGCUAAGUUCACCAUGGGUAGUAAGUCUUCUUCUCUUCCUUGCUUUGACUCUAUGAUGUCACUGCUUUCAAGCAAGCUUCCUUUUGGACAUAUCGGGGAAGGGGUAGAUGGUAAAAUGCACAAGGGACGAGAGUCGCUAGCUCGGUCACUUUUGCUCUGAGGUAGCAUGUUGCAAGCAGAAACAGCGGGUUAUUUUUCUUUUUUCUCAUCAGCUUUGUUUUUAUAUGAUGCCUACCGUGGUUUCUUACUAUGUGGUUCGCCUUCCUCGUCUGAUAUCUCCUCGAUCAAGGCUUUUGCAAUUUCUGCAGGGGUACACUUGGUGGUAGACAUGUUUCCUGCAUUUAGCAAUCCUUUCUCAACUCUAGCACUCAGCUUGUCACUUAUAUUAAUUUCUUCUUCCAAGUCACUAUAGUAAAAACAUGUGUUAGAUUGUAUCCUUAUUUUGACCUCAACCUGAACAAAACUUGAAUUACCUGGUCUACUAAAAUGAGUGGGAACUUUAAACCAAUCCUUGGUCAGCUCUACACCCCUACCCUAAUUUCCACCCACCACGAAAUACUUAUUUUUCGAACCUCUACAUGAGCCUGGAAAGUCAAGUACUAUUCUUCUACUCGUUGAUUUUGACAUAAAAUAGUACCAUCCUUUGUGAUUGAUCCCAUGCUCAUUACAAAAAUAUAAGUGAGUAAACUCCUUAAAACACGGCUCGGUUCUAUUCUGCUCAGCCCAUACAACAUACAUACCACCUAAAACCUUCCAGCCAUUUGGGUCAAGUUGACUUGGACUGAAACCCACUCUCACCAACAUUCGAGCAAAAUAAGGUUGAAUGGGCAACCUAAAACCAAGUUCAAAAAUUUCCAGAUAAAUCGCAGUCUCUCUAUUACCCAAUUUACUUGCCACCUCAUCUUUGCCCAACAACUUAAGUGUAAUAUGGUCUGGAAUAAGAUAUUCCUUCCUCAACUCUUCAAUCUCUUUCUCUGUUGCAUCAAAGUUUAGUAUGUUCACGCCGUAUUCUUCAUGCUCAUCUCCCUCAUUUUCAAAUUGUGCACAACUCGAUUCCUCAUUCACCUUAUUUCCGCGUCUUAUUCCAUAUUACAAUUUAAUUCUACAUUAUCUUCCCUGACUUUUCCAUUAUCAUCUACACCCAAUGCAAUAUCACUGAGCCCAUCCAACAACUCCUUAUUCGCAUUUUACGAAUCGCUACAAAGUGACCCAUCUUCACUCCUUAAUUCUAUUACUGCCUAAUGUUACAUUUAACAAAACCUCAUUUCCAGCCAAUAUUAACACCCAGUAUGUAAACAGCAAAUUACAAGCAACCUUUCAUUGUCAACAUCACAUCCAACACAAUACAAAACACAGCAACAAGCAAAUGCGCUUGGGAUGAGACAACUCACCGAAUCUCCUUUAGCCAGAAUGGAUUCCAAUUUUGCUGAUGGUCAACAAUAGUAACAUCAUUCAACAUUGGUUCUACAUCAACAAAAUGCAACAUUAGCUAAGAGUAGUUUAAAAAAAAAGAAAAAGAGAAACACAGCAAAGAGAAGAAGAAGUUCGGGUUUCGACAAUAACAAAGAGAGAGGGAGAAUGCAAAAAAAAAAAGAGAGAGAGAGAGAAACACAACAAAGAGAAGAAGAGGUUGAGUUGUGACAAAAACAAAAAGAGAGGCGAGUUCUGUUUAUAUAAAAAAAAAAAGGCAUUUGGUUUCAAUACACAUAUAUAGAUAUGGUAUUUAUUAAAAAAAAAAGCACUCAAAAGAGAAGAUGGCGCGCGAGGUACUCACCAACAGGUUUGAUUAUGGCUCAGUAGCGUCGUUGCUCAAUUUGCCCAAAAAUUGCAUGACGACGACAGCUCAAUAUUUCACUUUUAUUGUGAAAAAGUGUGGAGGAUGAGGAAGAAAUGGAAGCCCAAACGAAACAGAAGCCAAAAGGUAUUGAGAAAAGACAAAAUGUAUGUUUUCAAUUUGCCUUUAUCAACUAUUCCACAAUUAUCAACUAUUCCCUCCCCCCAACCUGAAAAAGACAUUGUCCUCAAUGUUUUAAAAGGAAAGAGAAAGAGUGUAGAAGAAAUACAACAUAAACUCCAUAAGCAUUUUCCCUCUCUCCCUCAGAAUGCCCUCAGGAAAAUUUACAAAGCUCGUUGUGAACGAUUGCAUUUGUUAAUGAUCAAUGGCAUUCCUUCUGACAUUUGUUGGUUAAUUGAAGCAAAGGUCCGAUUAGCAGGUGAGUUUUUUGGUCAAUUUGUUUCUUACAUGCCUGGUUUUGGUAAAAGUACGUUUGCUAAGAAAAGGAGAGCUAAACGACUUGGCUCAAAAUGUCAUAACUGUGUAAGACUUGGUUGCAAACGACCAGAUUGUAAAUCUUUAGGAAUGGUUUCUGAUACUCGUGAAGAUAAAAUUAAAUUCGUUAAAGAUGGCAUGAGUAAAGAAUCGUUGGAUGAUAUCUUACGAUCUCUUGAGACGCAUCGAAGUGGAUUUGUGCAACGUGAGAUUUACAAUUUGUGGAUACUAUUCCAAAAACAAAGUGCACAGUUUAGUCUUGGGAAUCUGACUCAAAAAGACCCUGUUUGCCAGUUUAUAAGAAAACUGGAUAGGAAGCCGAUCCUCGACCCAUAGAGGGCGUUCAAGCCGUUACUGGACGUAAAACCAGAGGAAGAUGUGAGCCACAAUCACAACUACCAGUAAAUAUCCUUUCACUUCACUGUUAUUUUACUUUACUGUUAUUUUAUCAUUUGCAUUAUUGCAUUUAGCGAUGUGAUUUUGUAUUUAAUAAAUAUUUGGUUUUCUUUUACUGUUUGCUUUUUCUAAUCAUUACUUUCUUUUUACUGUUUGUUUUUGAAUUAUUGAGCCACGAGCUUUACUCGUCAUUUAACAAAUAUUGCCAACCCAUUUACAGCUGUUUCUCAUUAUUUAUGUUACCAAGAUCUUUAAAUAUGAGCUCAUUUUUCAAACACUCACAACUUGUUUUUGAAAAAUUAGUCCAAUGGCAUCAUCUUCGAGUAAACAAUUCAAAAACAUUUGUGUGCUUUCUGGGUUUCACUAUGGAAAGUACAAAGAGUUCGUUCAGGCAGCUGUAGAUCUUGGUCGUGUCAUAGCAGAGAGGAAACUGCAUCUUGUAUAUGGAGGAGGUGAACGAGGGUUAUCAAGACUUGUCUCAGAAGCUGUUUUUACCAAAGGAAGCCAAGUACUCGGCAUUAUCCCAAAACCCAUGAAACCGCUAGUGUGCAUGUCUGGCCCACCAAUUGGAGAAGAAUUAGUGGUAUCAAGUAUGCAAGAGAGAAUAUCUGAAAUGAUGAAUCAUGCUGAUGCUUUUAUUUUCUUGCCAGGAGAUCUUGCAACUUUUGAGGCACUAAUUACAUUUGCAUCUUGGGCCCACUUGAACAUUCAUCAAAAACCCAUCGGUUUGUUAAAUGUUAAUAAUUUUUAUGACGGCUUGCUAACUUUUAUUAACCAUGCAAUAAAGAAUCAUUUUGUUCCACAUUCUGUAAAAAAACUAUUUAUCUCUGCUUCUACUGCUAAUGAGUUACUUGAUCUUUUACAAGCUUAUACACCAGAGCCAGAUCCACAGACUGUUGCACUGAAUUGGUCGACUAAUGAUGGUAACGGUAACAGUAGCAGUAAUAAGAAGUGCGAUUUAGAUUUAACUCUCCGUUUGUAAAUAUUUUAUGUUGUAGUGUUCAUGUGAUGUCUUCUACACUCUUUCUCUUUCCUUUUAAAACAUUGAGGACUAUGUCUUUUUCAAGUUGGGGGGAGGGAAUAGUUGAUAAUUGUGGAAUGUCUUGGUCCUGGUUAUGUGUUUACAAGAAAAAAAAAACAUUUUUUUUUCUGUAAAGACUAACUUAGGACAAAUUUGAGUCGAAGAUGGCAGGAUAUAGAUAAUGUAGUUUCUCUAGAAACGCAUCUUCUUAAUCUUAAGAGUGUUGUUAAAAAAAAAAAUUGACUUUUUCUUCAUCUUUGUUAUCUACUUUUAAGCUUCUGCAUCAAGUUCAGGUGAGAUCUCCUCUUCUUCUUCUUUUAUUAUUCUCUUUUAUUUUUAUUUAUUUAUUUAUUUUUAUUUUUUGCAUAUCUGUAAAAUUAUAAAAUGUUAAGAUACUUUUUAGAUUAGGUUGUGGGGUGGGGAUAAUUGACGUAUGUUUUAAAUAUGUGUGUUGUAUUUCUCUUUUCUCUUUUCUUUUCUUUGUUAAAAAAAAACCAAAAAAAAAAUUGUUUUUUGUCUAGGAUGGCCGUGUAAAGAGUCACGACUUUUGAGACACAUCCUAAUAGUCUUGUUGUAUUAUAUUUUGAUUUUGAGAUUCAUAGUAAGUUGUUUUUGUUCCCUUUUCUUUGAAUUACUCAAAUUUGUGAACUCUCCACUUAGUUAUUAAGUUAUUUAAUUGUUUACUCAUUUAACAGGUAUUAUUGAAUCAUUCUUCACACACACAUUAUGACACAUACUAGUGGGUUGUAAGUUAAAAUUUUACAGCAUUUAGUUCUUUUGAUUUAUUAGGAAUAGUAUCUAAGGUGGUAGAAAGUGUAUAUUUCUAAAAAAAAAAAUUAAAAAAAAGAAAAAAAAUGUUUUUAAUUUUGUUAUAUCUAGAAACCCGAGUAAUUAAGUCCAUAGGGGUGCUUCAACACCUAGUGCCCUAAGGUCAACUGGUCUGGGAGUCACUGGCCUAAAGCUCGCUACAUGGGUAAUAGAUAUAUUGUUUGUUUAUUAGAAACCCGAGUAAUUAAGUCCGUAGGGGUGCUUCAACACCUAGUGCCCUAAGGCCAACUGGUUUGGGAGUCACUAACCUAAAGCUCGCUAAACGGGUUAGAAAUGUAAUAUAUAAAAAAAAAAGUGUGAAUAAUCUAUUGCCUAAAGAUAUAAUUUCUAAUGAAUUUUAGAACGAAAAUGUUGUUUUUCUUUUAAUGAAGCCCCAUAAGUAUUGUGUUAAUUACUUGAGCACAAAAGAAGGUUUGAUGAUAUUCUGGAUAAUGAGUGAACAUCAAUGUGGUGAAGGAAUUUGGGAGAGUUCAUUUAUUUGGUAAUUUAGAGGAUAGAUGAACAACUAUUAACUUGCAUGUGAAUUUUAUAAAUCUUAAUAUAACGCUUUAAUUGCUAGAGGGCUAGCAAUAAGCUGGUUGGGGGGUGUGAUUAGUAUUAAAAAUUGUUUAAUUAUCAAGCGAUAAUAUGUUAUUUUAUGCUUAUAUUAUAAUUUAUAUUUGUGUUUAUGUAAUAUAUUAUGAAUUAUUAAUUAUGUUUUAAAUAUAUUUAAUUUUGUGUAUUUUUAUGUGUUUAUUAGGAAAAUUAUUAAUUUCACGUACUUCGAGGCUCCAAACAAAUAAACAGAGGUCAAAUUUGGAUUCCAGAGGUCCGAAAACCUUAAGAUCAGUCAAGAUUGGCUUAAAAUUGGGCUUGUGUAAAAAAAAUUGACUUUUCCUGUUGACCGAGCACUGAUUGGAUGAUGAAAUGAGCUUACAAUAGAUAUGAGUGCAUGGGAUAACUGGCAAUCUUGACUAAAUCUCAACCGUUCAUGAUUCAAUGGCCAUGAUUGUGCCACGUGGCAAUGGUUGGUGAAGCAAGUUGGAGGAUCCGAAUCUUUGUAUUCGGGUCGACCCGAUCCACCCAUUAACCUGUCAAAUCUCAACCGUUCUUUGGGCAAAUCGGACGAGUCAAAUGAUGCCAUGUGUGAUGUUGACUUUUGAAGUUUGACCAGCCAUUGGAUCUUGAUCUAAGGGUUGUGAGGAGCACAUGCAUGAAGCCUAUGAUGGACCGCAAAGCACUGGAUUAUGAAUUUAUUUUUCUAUAAAUAGGGCCUCAUUUUUAUGUUUUAAUCAUCUCUCUACAACUCUCUUCUUCUCAAAUUCUCUCCAUCUCCUUGUAAUCUUGAUUUCCAGGUGUGUUUUUAAUAUUUUGUAUAAUUAUUUUCAUUAAUAAAAUUAGUUUUAUUUCCAAUUUUAGUUGUUUUUAUUUCUUUUAAUUAUAAGUAAUUCAAUUUUACUACUUCUUUUUAUUUUAAUUAUGCUUAACUAAAUAAUAUUAGUUAGGGGAAGGUGAAACUCUUAAGAAAUAAAUAUGAUUUAAUCAAAUUCUAUGUUUAAUUUUAUAGAUUAAAUUAUUUUCUAUUUAAUUUUAUACAUGUUUUAUAUUUUGAAAAUUUGAUUUAUUGUAGACAAACAAAUGAAUUUGGCACAAUAAAUUCUUAAGAUCUUAAUAUAAGGCUUGGUGAAAUGGUAUUUUGACUUAUUGUAGACAAAUUAAAUUUUGGCACAAUAAAUACUUAAUCCAUCAUAAAUUUAAAGGGAAAAUAAUAAUAAUUUGUAUAAUUAAUCUGUUUCCAAUACCGUUCAUAUCUUCUCAGUAUUGAAAAUUAGGGGACUGGUGUUCGGUUUGUAAGAAUUUUUCUAUUUUUCAUUAAUUAGUUUCUAACAUCGAAAAUAGCUUCCCGAUGUUGAAAACUAGGGGACUGGUGUUCGAGUUGGAUUUUUCUGAUAACCUCUAGAAAGAGUCAACAUUGUUCUGGUUGGAUUUUUCUAGUAAUGUUUAGAAAUAUAGUCGACCCCAAUCUACUCAGAACUCAUUGUCGUCGAGCUAACCUCGUAAAUAUAACUUGGAGCCUAAUUUGGCGGCCUGAUUUACAAGUACGACCUGAGAUUUAUGUAAAUGACCUAAUUUAAGAAUACAACCUUAAGCCUAUAUGAGCGACCAGGAAAUUCACCAGUCCGACCUUGAAAUUUAUUUGUCCGACCCGAGAAUUAGCUUGACAUAGAAAGCUAUCGGUUGAGAUAACAUGGCCUAGUUUCUAGGAAAGUUGUGAGCCACGAUCAAUUUAAACUAUUUCUAAUUGAUGACCACGUGCAACUGCUGAAGAAAGUGGGCAGAAGUUAAGGUGGUAACCACCCACGACCAAGGGCCUAUUUAAGCUGAAAAGGGCAACUGAGGAAGGGGUUAGAAAAAUGAACCAAAAUUUCUAUAAGUCACCUAUCUAAAAAUCUUAGGGUUCCCGAUAAUAUUUUUAGUUUUUUCUACCGAAAAAAUUCGUUAAUUUUCACUUUUCACAAUUCUCCCUCCUCGUUUACCUUUUUCUUAUACACAAUUUCUGACUUAAGAAUCAGAGAGUUUACGUCAGGACCCCACCGGCGUAUCCUAAUCGUGUUUUCUGGUUGUCAGGUAUAUAAAGCUGGGUUCAGACCGACGUUUGAGCUUGGAUUCGUGCUGUAAUUCCCCAAAAGAAAACAAAUUCAACUGUUGAGGUUGUUUUUCGGCAUCAACAACGAACAUCAUACUUGUCACACUCUUGGCCUAUAAAUCCUUAGAUUCACAAGUCUUAUAUCACUUGAACGAAGAUGCUAGUGGUGUGCCUCCAUGGAGCUCUGACUCAAUAGUUUUCAAGUAAUUUUAUUUAGCUAACCACCUAAGUUUGAAUCGUGGUGAGGAAAGAAGAUAAAAAUUAAUUUGGUCUUUGCACCUCACUACCUUUAAAAGAGUUCAAACUUCAGACUAGGUUUUGAAUUUUAAUUAUUUUAAAUUGAAAUGCUAAGUCCAUAUAUUAUAUAUGUGAGUUUUUUUUUUUUUUUUGCCUAAUGUUGAAUUAAACUAUAUAUUUAUGAAAUUCUUGAGAUACAUGGAUUUCAGGUUUUAAUAGAAUCAUAUGUACUAGCUAUAUAUACAUCUUAAUAAAUGUUUGCCAGACCUUUAUUUGUACUAAAAUUAUACAUAUCUAGACUCCCAUUACACUUUAGAUUGUAAGAAUUUAAAUAAUUUUUUUUUUCGUAGAAGUCGUUUGGAAUUCUAAGAUCGGAAGUCAAAUUUCAAUAACGAUUUUUAUUUAAAUAUAUAUAUAUAUAUAUAUAUAUAUAUAUAGGGAGAGAGAUUCUUGAGUGCAUAUACUUAACAUUAUAUAGUGUUAUAGCGAAUUUACACAAAAUUUGCAUAUCGACACUUGAGAAUUUCUAAAUAUCAAAGUUUUCAAAUGCAUAAGUCUAAACAUGGAUUUAGUACGGAUUCACUACAAAAUCAUAUGAUGUUAAAAUGAAUUUACAAUUGACUACAAUACCACAUGAUGUUAUAGAAAAUUCACACCAAAUUUGUAUUAUAUAAAGAGAGAGAUCUUGCUUUGCUUUAUAAUUGAAUAUAGGGUGAUGAUAUUCCCACCCCUCAAAUUUUGUAAACCUACCUCACUUUAAAAAAUUAAACCAUAAAAAAUUCACAUUAUUUUUGACGAUUUCAAAUUAUUAAGAAUAAAAUUAAGCAAUUGACUAAUUAAAUCCUCAUUAAAUAAUUAAAAUACAUUUAUGAUAUGAUAUCUCAAAACAUUUAUGCUAUUUUUCUCAUGAAAUUGACUAAUUAGAAGAAGGAUUUGAUUGAUUAACAGUUUAAAAUUUUAUUUAUUUUAAAUUGAAAAAAUGUGAAUUAUUUUUUAAAUAAUUCUUUGAAAUGAUUUAAAUGCGGCACGUGUCCCAUCAAGUUAAAACCUGAGAAGUUGAUUUAAAUUUUAUUUUGGAACAGAAACCGAGUAGCGAGGCCUCGUUGGUCAGGAAAUUCCGAGGUAAGUUAAUCAACAGUUCCACUAAUUAUUUUUAUUUUCUUCCAAAGUUUAUUUAAUUAGACCAAUUUCUGGCUUCCUACUUAUAUUGCAUAUCCAAUUUAGGGGUUGAUUUUUGGAGAUGGACUGAAACAUUAAUAAGCUCAGAGAAAAAAAAAAAAGAAAAAUAGAUUGAGAUUGAAAGUCAUUAUUAACCAACAUACAGAAUACAUAUGCAAUUAAUUCAAAUUUCUAAAAUUACUGUAAUUGUUGGCAAUGUGCUUUUUUGUUUUGGUUUUUUUUGGGGGGGGGGGGUUUCGGAAAUUUGCAUGCAUGCCUUAAUUGAGUUUUAUCACUUUAAAUCCUAAUUACUAAUGUUUUUUCUGUUAACGGUUGAAAAUAAGAUAAGAAGAGAGAAGGUGAACUUGAAGAAGUAUAAGAAGAAAAGACAUGUACUGAUGUUGAUGUGUUUAUGUGAAUAGAGAAAUGGAAUCUUUGUCCAAGUUUUUCCCUUGAUGUUCUAAAGUUUGCAUAUAUAUGUUUCAAGAAACAAAUGGAAAUUAAAUAGUACAUAAAGGUGAACUCACAUUGUCAACUAAAGGUUACACUACCAUUUGCCCAAUGGUUCCAUUACUAUUAUCAUUUUCUUUAUUCACAGAAAUAUCAUCGGCCUCAAAUUCAUCAGUAUAAGCAGAGGGACAAGGACAAGGACAAGGUGAGUCUAUUGUAUGACAACAACAAGUCUACAAUUUAGUUUUAUUUCUGCUGCUGCACUGAGGAAUCACUAGCAUCAACCACCUACUUUAUUACCGUUGCUUCGUUUUUCUCAUGAAGACAGUUGACUUGAUGAAAUAACACUUCUAAUGAGGCUGCCGUAGAGAAAGCAUAUAUGUUAAUCACCUGUUGUAAUCUCAUGCCAAAAUCAUUUCAGUUUCUGCUCAUACAAUUAGUUACUUCAACCUUUGUCAUAUGUAUUCUCCACUACUUUAAGAUACUUAGAUAGUGAAUGUGUCUAAAUUCCAACUCAAAAGAUUCAUUUGAGGAAAAGUUCUUCAGAUGGUCAUGUAGAGUUCUAAUUUAUCUCAGCGUCAUACUCUAAAUACUUGAAAACUACAUGUCAAUCAUCAAUGUUCAUCUUUUGUUGACAAUCUCAACGAUGUGUUUGGGAAAAAAUUAUCACAAUUAUGUUUAGUCCAUUUAUAAGACAAUGUGUCAUGUGAUCCAUUAGUCUAUUGAAAGGUUGCAAUCAAAUGAGUUCAUGUCCAGAUUGUGAAGUUGGUUAAUUUCAACAUAAUAGCAAUGAUUGUAUCCAUUGCUUUUAUCAAGUUGCUAUGUUAUUGUUUUUUUAAUAAGUGGCAGACAUGACUUUCUAUUUUUCCACAGCUUAAAUUGUUAAAUAAUUGAUAAUGCUCUUUCGCUUACUCUGUUCUUUUCUUUUUAGACAAGCUUUAUUGCUUUCGCCCUUUCUUUCUUGAGAGUGGAUGUAUAAAACAAAUUGGCCUUGACUGAUACUUGAUGAUGUUGUAAUUAUUUCUCCCUGCUUUAUUCUUCUUACAACAUAUGGAAGACAGAGUACUGUAAGAUUCAUUUCCCGUACUGCUCUGCCUUGAUCUGUUCUAAUUUGAGAGUCAGCAAUCUUGAUUUAACUUCUUGGAUGGAGUACUAGCUAAGAGAAGGGAGGUAUGGGAGCCAGCACUAAUUUUUCAAUGAGGAUAUAUGGGCAUCACCUUCAGACUAUUUUCGGAGAGGCUGAGAAGGGUGUUAGCUGGCCAAGAAGUCACAUUGCCUGAUGCUGCAAAAGAACCUAUUCAGAACCUUCAUGCCGAGGUUGAAAUCGUUACUCCUUGGCUGAGGGACUAUGAAUAUGAUAUGUCCUGGCUUCUGCUGCAAAAAAUAGGAGAAGAUGAAGUUGACAACCCAGACCUUGGGCGGAAAUCAAUUGCUUUACCUAUGAAUCUGAAAAGGUCAUUAACACAUUCUCAACAGCAUCACUCAACAAAAGAGUCAAAGCAGGCGCAACAAGGACAUUUGUGAUGCUCUGCUAGGACUCUAGAGCAGAAUCAAUGAUAUAAAACAGCGGAUGCAACAACUUCCGUACAUCGAUUCUGGAAUCAUUGAUGAUUUCAAAAAUAUUGAAGAUGAAGCUGGUUAUUUUCCUGCAUCUUUAUCUUCUAAGAAUAGCGGCAUGGUGGGUCUAGAAGACAGAAUGGAGAAGUUGUUAGAUAUUUUGAAAGAGGGACCACCUCAGCUUUCAGUGGUGACCAUCUUGAUAGCAUUGGGUUGGACAAGGUGGCUUUUGCUGCAGAGGCUUACAGCAGCAGUGAUGUGAAGCAUUAUUUUAAUUGUCACGCUUGGGUUCCAGAGCCUUACAACUAUGAUGCUGAUGAUGACCAAAUAUUAGAUAUGAUUAUGAAGUUUCUAAUGCCUUCAUCUAGGUUGAGUAUAAUAAAGGAUAAAAAUUAUGAAAUGAAAAAAAAAAUUCAACAAUAUCUAAUGAUCAAGCGGUAUUUGAUUGUGGUUGAUGAUGUGUGGCGCAUUGAAGUGUGGGAUGUUAUUCGAGAAAUUGUUCCGGAUAAUCAGAAUGGAUGUGGAGUACUAAUAACACUCAUUGAAAUUGAUAUCGUCAUCUCAUUUCAGUUCAAAAGCGGACAGAAUAUUUGGCUUGAUUUAGUGCCCACUAAGAGGACCAUUGAGAGUUGUUUACCUUUUGGAAGUACAUGGAACAACUAAUGAAUAGAGUCUUUGUUGAUGCAAAGAAGAGAAGCGUUGGAGGCAGAAUCAACGCAUGCCCUAUUCGUAGUCGUUGCUGGCCUUCAUUGUUGCAAAUGGCUCUCAAAGUGGAAUUUAUCUUUUCAUCCUAUCCUAGAUCAAAAAGGUAAAUCGCGAAAAAAAUGUCAAACAUGUCUACGUUUUUUAAAAACAGAGUGAUUUUGCUUACUUAGAUGAUUGUGACUCGUACCCGCAUUCUUUGUUGUACUUCAAAAAGCGACCACCUUGACCCCAUAGAUUGGGUGAAAAUCGUUUUGAGUAAUGGACUUGGGAUCUCUUGUUCUCAGCCAAUUUCCAUCCAAAAUUGAAACUUUAUUUCUUUUGAUAUGAAGCUGAACAUCCCUUCCCUCAAAAGCCUAGCUUCAUCAUUAUUAAGAAAUCUCUGAAUCUCUACACCAUAGCCAUUCCCUUUAGCUACAUAAAUCAUACAGCAGAUGAAUUUUGGAAGAUGAACAAACUCAGGCAUCUAAAUUUUGGCUCAAUCAUACUUCCUGCACAUCCAGGAAAAUAUUGCAGCUCUCUGGAAAAUCUCAAUUUCAUUACAGCCAUGCAUCCUUGCUGUUGUACUGAAGAUAUAUUGAACAUACUACCUAAUCCUCAAAAUCUCUGGAUAGGAGGAGAUUUAUAUUUUUAUCAAUUUUUGAUGUCCCAAAGUCUUUGCAGAUUCAGAUGCCUCAAGUCAUUGAAGAUGGUGAAUGAAAGCAAGAUGCCAAGGCUCUUCAAAAUUGUCCGUGCCAAAUACCUACUUCCUCAAAGUCUAAUCCACUUGAGUUUCUCUAAUAUUGAACAAAUGGAUGAUCCCAUGCCUGCACUAGAAAAGUUGCCACUUCUUCAAGUGCUCAAACUGAAGCAAAACACAUAUUCAGUUAGAUAGCUGACUUGUGGGUCUGAUGGUUUCCCAAAGCUCAAGAUAGUGCACCUGAAUUCAAUGCCAUGGCUAGAGGAGUGGACUAUGAGGCUUGGAGCCAUGCCAAAACUGCAAUGCUUGAUUCUCAAUUCUUGUGCUAACUGGAAAAAGAUUCCCGAACAGCUCUGGUGCAUAAAGAGCUUAAACAAAUUCGAGUGUUGGUGGCCUCAGCCGGAGCUGAGACAAAAGCUACGGGACUUCGAGGAUAAGGUGCAGUAUGACAAUCAAGUAUAUCCUUAUGGAAUUUGAUUUGCAUGGAUUUAAUUAGAUGUAAGUUUUUCAUUUUAUGUAAUAUCAUCAACCUUUAAUUAUUAAUAUAAUUUCAUACAUUUGUUUUUUCUUCUCCUCAAUAUAUUUGAUAGCACGCAGCUUCCUAAGGCUAUAAAGUGUUUUCUAAUUGUAGUUGCUUCUAAUUUUUGUCUCAACAUUAGACAUGAAGUGUUCUUCACAGUUCCUGUUGCUGACCCCGACCAUUUUCCCUUAAUUAUUUUUAGAAGAGGAAGAACCCUUGUUUAUUGAUUGUUGAACAGUCAGGAAAAACUAUAAUUUCAUAUCUUAAAUUACUUGCGCAGGUGAAAUCAGAGCGGGAAAUAUAUCAACUGUAGUGCGGCAAAAGUUUCAAUUUCAACCAGAAUCCGGCCUUGAUCCUUUCAGUAUUCACUUCUGUUGUCUACACAUUAUUAAGUCCUCAAGAUUAAUACAGGACAUUGUUGGGUUUCUUUGUUUUCAAGGAUCUGCUACAAGCAAUAAUGUCAAGUUUUUGGAUUCACUGUGUAUAUUCUAUUCAUGUGUCUUCAUUCUUGUAAUGUGCUUGAAACUCCAACUUAGUGUGGACGUGUGUGGUUUGGUUGUACCAUGUGUAAUACAUGUUGAUUGUCAUAAUUGUCUUAAGGGAAUUCUGCAUCACUUCCAUCAGAAGAAAAGUUUGGAUGUAGGCACCAUUGCUGCUGAAUCUACUAUUGAUUUGCUCUAUGUUUUCUAUUUUUUUUAAUUCAAUUUUGGGGAUUGGGUUUUUAGCAUUAAGUGUUGAUACAUCAGAGGACUAGAUAAAAUAAAUAGAAACUGGGGCAGAUUGCCUAAUCUUCAGAAUCUCCAAUUUUAUGGAGAUUUAAGGCCUUAUCAUUCAUAAAUAACUUGAAUGCUAGAUUGUUAUUAUCUUAGAUUCUCUAAAUAAUAAUCCGAAUAAGAAUGUAGGAAAAAUAUUGAUUACAAAUGCUUGUUUUGAACAAAUACUACCUAUUAUUUUAAAUUUUGGACAUAGAAAUUAUAAAUAGUAUUAGCAUGUGAAUUUUAAGGUAUUAGCUGAUUCUGUCCAAAAUUUAGUCGUUGGUUUUUGCUGAAAAAAUGAAUGUGUAUAAUUUUUUUUCCCUUUUAUUUUCUGUUAUACAUUGAUUCCCCUGCUUCUAGCUGAUUCUGUUCUCCUUUAUAACGAGAAAGAAGUUAUUUUUUGUGCUCUUAUAUAUACAUGUUAAGCUUGGAUAAGUGUGGUUUGGUUUGUUUUAAUAAUAUGAUUGUGUGGUGUCAUCUGUAAUACUUUUUAAGGGUGCAAUCAAAUGAGUUUAUACCUUAUAGUGAAUUUGGUUAAUUUCAAGAUAUCAUUUUUUGGGAUCUUCGACUUUGGUUGCUAAUACAAAAUUCCUCAAAUCUUGAUUGGAAUUUGGGAAUCUGUCCUAAAUGAUACAAGAUUUCAUAAAAAAAUUUCAUUCUGAUUUAUUAUUCGAGUUGAGAUUCAAGAUCUAAUUUUCUUCCAACUUAAUAUUCAAGACGGGAUUUGAGACGUCUGAAAAUCUCACUUGAGAUCCCUUAGGCGAUCAAAUGAGUUCAUAUCCUUAUAAUGAAUUUGGUUAAUUUCAAGAUACCCUUUUCUGGAAUCAUCCGCUCUAACUGCUAAUACGUGAACCUAGGCUGGCAAAAUUAUCCAGAUACCAAUCGAGAUAGAAACCCUACACAAGAUUUGUUACAAGUUUCUUAUCCCAAUUUUGAAUGUGGGUUAGGAUUUGAGACCCAUUUUACACCGAUUCAUAAAUUUCUUUAUUUAGACAAUAACUUAUGACAGAUUUUUAGUUCAAAGCUCACGGAGUAAAGGUUGAGUUAUUGGUGCAAUCAUCCGCAAUUUUAUGCAAGCAUGCAACAUAUUAAACAAGAGAAUAUUUAAUUAUUUUUUGGGUUCUGUUAUUACAAUAAUGAUUUUGAAGAUAUUAGUGGGAGAAAAUUCAUUUUUUUAAAUCAUUUUCAAGCUUGAGAAAAAGUUUUCUUGCUGGCAUACACUGUCCUUUAUCUAUAUUCCAGUCUUCCAUUAUGUUAAAAAAAAACAAAUAUGAAAAUAAAAAGAAAAUAGGACAUCAUCAAGUAUCAAUCAAAGAUCAAUUUGUUUUAUCCACUUUCAGGAAAGAAAAGGUAAAAACAAUCCCGCUGGGGACCAUAAAGUUGGUGUUUUUUUUGAGGGUUCGGCAUCAUGUUUGCCUUCAUUUAGCAAAGGAUAUAUGAAAAAGAGAUGAAUAUUGCACUUUAGAUUUGAAUAAUUCCAAUUGGAUUUUGAAUUAAUUAGAUUAGGAAAAAAAAAUCAUUCGAAUCCAACCUGAAUCUCAAAUAUAAUCAAUUCGAUUCAAAAUAAAUUGAUAUUUCAGAUGAAUUUGGUUUUAGAUUGUUUCGUAUUUAAAUGAAAUUUUAAAUUCAAAUAGUAUUUUAAACUCGGAUUGAAUUCGGAUUUAGGUCUUUUUGAUAAUUUUUACAAAAAAAUCAUGAACUCUGUAUAUAUAUGUAGAGUAGUGCAAUCCAAUCGGAUUGUUUAGAUUAAAACAUCCAAAUUCAAAUCAGAUCUAUUCGAAUCCAAUCCAAUGCACACCUUUAGCCCUAUUGGAAUGAUCAUCUAACCAUUCAAACUAUAACGUAUUAUGUUGUAGUCUGUAGAGCGCUUGAAAAGAAAAUCUCUAAACAAUAGCGACUAUUAUGCAUUUGAUGCAUCAAUGAAUCAAAUUCUAAGGUGAUGCUUUUUCUCUCUAGACAAGCUUUAUGGUCCCGGCGGAAUUAUUUUUAAUCUUUCAGUCUUUUGAGAGGGCUAAAAAGAAACUAGUCUUGAUAGCCUAUUUUACUUUCUUCAUACAUAUAUAUAUAUAUAUAUAUAUAACACAAAUUAUAAGACACCCUUUUAUCUUCUUGCAUAAAAAAUAUUUUAUAUACACGUACAUUAUACCUCAGGUUUUGUGCAGAAAAUCAUUAUUGUACAUCAAUAAUUUCUCAAUAUAAUUCCUCUUAUCAAUCAGUAUCCCCACGGCACCUGCAGCAUCUAGGUUUAAGAUUCAUUUUCCAGUACUGCUCUGCCUUGAUCUGUUCUACUUUGACAGCCACCUGAACUUGAUUCAACUUCUUGAGAGAAGGAGGUAUUGGUGCCAUCCUCAGUUGCUUAUGUUGACUAAUGUUGAAGUAAAAGGAGAGCUUUUAACCAUUUUUUUUAUAAUUGUUUUCUUUGCAUGCUAGGGCUGCUGGCUACUGACUACCGAGAGUGAAGGAGAUAUGGACAUCAACCUUGGACUAUUUUCAGAGAGACUAAGAAGGGUGCUAGCUGGUGAAGAAUUCACGGUGCCCGAUGCUGCUGAACAACCUAUUUAGAACCUUUACACUGAGACUGAAAUCGUUGCUUCUUGGUUGAGGGACUCUAGAUACAACACUGCUUGGUUUAUGUAGCAAGUCAAUGCAGAAGAGGGUCAAACUCUUGCAGAAUUAGAAGAUUUUAAGGCUAUCAUUGACAAAAUUCGUUGCUUUUCAUACAUAUCUGAGAAUGUGAUUGACACAUUUGCUAUCAGUAUCACUCAACAGAAGAGUCAAAGCGGAUGCAGCAAGGACAUUUGUGAUGCUCUGCUAGGACUCCAAAGCAAAAUCAUUGAUAUAAAACAACGGAUGCAGCAAGUUCAGCACAUCCACUCCAGAAUCGUUGAUGAGCUCAAAUCGUUUGAAGCAAAAGCUAGUAAUUUUCCUGCAUCCUCAUCUUUUAAGAAUAGGGACACGGUGGGUCUAGAUAAUAGAAUGGAGGAGUUAUUAGAUCUACUAAUAGAGGGACCGCCUCAACUUUCGGUAGUGGCUGUUGGAAAAUUUUCAAAAUAAAUGUGUCUUAUGGUAAAGACAUGUCCUAUUAAUUGUGCCUUAUAGAAAAGGUACCUUUCACUAAAGGCAUGUCUAAUUAAAUGAUGUCUUGUUGUAAGGACAUGUCCAUUUAAUUGUGUCUUGUAGAAAAUGUAUCUUUUUACUAAAUGAUAUAACUUUUCAUGGCAACAUUUCACUUAGAGAUGCAUCAUUUCAUGGUGACAUUUCAUUUGAAAUGGUGAUGAUUCAAUUUGGACCAUUGAUUAAAAUCAAAUCUAGAUCCAAUGGCCAUGAAUGAAGGGGUAUCAUGAAAUAUGACAACCCAAAUGAGGGGGCACAAGUAUAUCUAUAAAUAGGGGUCAUGUUUAAGCCAUUUAGACAUGAAAUUAAUGAUCCUACACCACUUUUUUCUUAGCAUUCCUUUCUAGUACGAAUUUCAACACAAAACACCCAUUUCUUUUGUGCAUUCACAUUCCAAUAUAUUGUUUUCUGCAGGAACAAUAUAUUGUUUCUUGGCAGGCUUGUAACAUUCAAGAGUAUUCUGGUUUGCUUUCAUCGAUGCACAACACAAGCAAACAAACAAGUGCUUCAUUGUAUCCUGGAGGCGUAUUUGCUUAACCCAUGUGCAUUACUCAAUCGGUGGGGGCAAAUAACAUCUUAAGGAAAGUGACAUUUGUAACGCGCCUUGAAGUACACAAAAUUUCUGCAGUUUACUUAUUACUAUUAUUUUUCUUCUUACAUAAGUUGUAAACACAUUACUUUAUGUAAUAAAGUUCCGUCAUUAUUGUUACAUUUGCCAUUCCCCACAAGUUCAACCUCCAACAGUGGCCGUACUUGAUAGCAUUGGAUUGGACAAGAUGGCUUUCGCCGCAGAGGCUUAUAGCAGCAACUAUGUGAAGCAUUAUUUUGAUUGUCACGCUUGGGUUGAAGAGUCUUUACCAUAUGAUGCUGACCAAAUAUUGUACGACAUUAUUAAGUUUGUGAUGCCUUCAAGCAGGUUGAGUGAAAUUAUGGAAGAAAGUUCGGAAAUGAAAAAAAUUAUUCUUCAUGAAUAUCUAAUGACCAAGCGUUAUUUGAUUGUGCUUGAUAAUGUGUGGAGAAUAUCAGUAUGGGAUGUUAUUUGAGAAAUACUUCCCGAUAAUCAGAAUGGAAGUAAAGUAUUGAUAACACUCAGUCGAAUUGAGAUCGUCGCCUCAUUUCAGUUCGAAAAUGGAGAGAACAUUGGGCUUGAUUUUGUGCCCACUGGAGGACCAUUGAGAGUUACAUACCAAGGAUGGCCUUUCCGCAUCUUAUAUCAUGAAAGCAUCUCACUGAAAGAGAAUAUAGAGGAAGCCCUUGAUGAACCCCUGGGGCUUCAAGUCGUUGCAUAUUGUAUGUUACCUUUUUACUUGAAACUUUGUUGUCUCUACUUAUCUGUGUUUCCCGUACACUUUGAGAUAUCCACCAAGCAAUUAUAUCAGUCGUGGAUAGCCGAAGGUUUCAUUACAGACAACAAUGAGGCAACUGCCGAGAAAUACUUAGAACAACUAAUCAAUGGAGGCUUUGUUAUCCUCAUUGAAGAAGCCAAGGGAUUAGUAUUUAUAUAUAAACACUUAACCAUGCAUGAACAAGAAUUUUAAGGAUAAAGACUCUCUCCACACGAGCGUACGUGGGGCGAGGGGGACAAAUCCAUGACCAAUUUGGUUGAACUUGUGUGCGCCCUUAAAUGUCAGCCCAAGCACCGAUGGAACGUGUUUUAUUUCCUUUUAAAUUUGUUCUAACAGUUUCACACCUUUUGAAUUCAGAAGAUUUGUAAUAGCUUCGCAAUUAUUUUGGGCUGGUAUGCAAUUCAAUUUUUGAAUUGAAUUGUUUAAAAUUCAAUGGCUAUUACAGCAAUUAAAUUGCAUAUAUUGAAUUCUGAAAUUCAAUUUUUAUGUUAUUGUUACGUACCCACAUGAGUAUAAAAAGGCACAUUCCUCUUCUGUUUUUACACACAUUGAAACUAGCACACAGAGCACUUACAAUUUUUCUUUCCUCCUUUCGUCUUGUUUUCUGAUUGAGUUUACCGCUGUUGUGGUUCGCCGAAAUUAUCUGUCUGUGCUUGACAGAAAAUUUGUGCCCGUUGUAUCCUGAGAAACAGUUACCAGCAAACUUAAAGCACUUCAGUAGGUAGUAAAUCUGUUUUAAGGACACUGUAUUACAGGCCUCAAGUUUAUUUUCUUCAGUUGCUAUUUUUCUUUUCCUGUUGUUUAUAAGUUGCUGUUUUGCUGUAGUCAAAUUAGCUACUAGUUUAUUUGUUUAACUCACUGUGAUUAUUUUUUAUAACAUUGAAAUCGUCGCCUCAUUUCAGUUCGAAAAUGGAGAGAACAUUGGGCUUGAUUUGUGCCCACUGGAGGACCAUUGAGAGUUACAUACCAAGGAUGGCCUUUCCACAUCUUAUAUCAUGGAAGCAUCUCACUGAAAGAAAAUAUAGAGGAAGCACUUGAUGAACCCCGAGGGCUUCAAGUCGUUGCAUAUUGUAUGUUACCUUUUUACUUGAAACUUUGUUGUCUCUACUUAUCUGUGUUUCUCGUACACUUUGAGAUAUCCACCAAGCAAUCAUAUCAGUUGUGGAUAGCUGAAGGUUUCAUUCCAAACAACAAUGAGGCAACUGCUGAGAGAUACUUAGAACAGCUAAUCAAUGGAGGCUUUGUUGAUGCAGGGAAGAGAGGUGACAGAGGCAGAAUCAACACAUGCUCUAUUCCUGGGCAUUGCAGUCCUGCGUUGUUGACUGUGGCUUUCGAGGGGGAAUUUUUCAUUUCCCCAAUCAUGGAUCAGGAAGUUAAAUUAUGGGAAAAUGUGAAACGCUUCACCGCUCAUGGAAAUUUGAAUGAUUUUUCAUUUUUAGAUCAUUUUGACUCGUUCCUCCAUUCCUUGUUGCACCUCACUUUAGGAAGCCACUACCUUGACUCCAAUUAUUGCGAGAAAAUCUAUAAAAUGUUCAAAUUUCUCAGAGUAUUGGACUUGGGAUCUCUUGUUCUCAUUCGAUAUCCUUCCGAAAUCGAAUAUGUAUUUCUUUUGAGAUAUUUGAACUUGAAUAUCCCUUCCCUGAAAAGCCUGCCUUCAUCGUUAUUAAACAGUCUUUUGAACUUGUACACCCUAGACAUGCCCUUUAGCUACAUAGAUCAUACAGCAGAUGAAUUUUGGAAGAUGAGCAAACUGAGGUAUCUAAAUUUUGGCUCAAUUACACUUUCUGCACAUCCAGGAAAAUAUUGCGGCUCUCUGGAAAAUCUCGAUUUCAUUUCAGCCUUGCAUCCUUGCUGCUGUCCUGAAGAUAUAUUGGGCAGACUACCUAAUCUUCGAAAUAUCCAAAUAUGGGGAGAUUUAAUUUAUUAUCAAUCUUUGUUGUCCAAAAUUCUCUAUAGAUUGAGCUGCCUCGAAUCAUUGAAGUUGGCAAAGGAAAGCAAGAUUCCACGGCGAUCCAAUAUCAUCCUUGCUAAAUACCAAUUUCCUCCAAGUCUAACCCACUUGAGUUUUUUGAAUAUUGAGCUAAUGGAUCAUCCCAUGCCGGCACUAGAAAAGCUGGCGGUUCUUCAGUUGCUCAAACUGAAGUAAAACUCGUAUUCAGGUAGAAAGCUGGCUUGUAGCUCUGAUGGCUUUCCAAAACUCAAGGUGCUGCACCUUAAAUCAAUGUUAUGGCUACAAGAAUGGACUAUGGGGAUUAGAGCCAUGCCGAAACUAGAAUGCUCGAUCCUCAACCCUUGUGCUCACUUGAAAAUGAUUCCUGAACAGCUUUGGUGCCUAAAGAGCUUAAACAAAUUAGAGUUGUGGUGGCCUGAGCUGGAGCUGAGACAACAGCUACGGGAAUUCGAGGAUAAGGAGCAGUAUGGCAUUCAGCUAUAUCCAUAUGGAAUUUGAUUAGCGUGGAUGGAAUUUGAUGUAAGUUUUUUUCCUUUUUAUCCAAUAACUUCAACCUCUAAUUAUUUAUCUAAUUUCAUGUAAACAUCUAUUCUGUAUGAUUGAUUCGAUAGUACGCAGCAGCCUAAAUAAUAAUGAUACCAUAAAGUGUUUUCUAUCUAAUUUUUGUCUCAACAAAGACUUGGAAGUGUCCAUCACAUUCCCUGAUGCUGACACUAAUCAUUAAUCUCUUAUUAAUAGAAGAGGCAGAACCCUUAUGUAUUGGUUAUUGAAAUAAUCAAGAAAAACUGUAAAAUAAGAUAUUCAAUUACUUGUAUGUGUAGCAGUGUAGGUCAAAGCAGAGCGGAAAAUAUCUUAACUAUACUGCAGCCAAAGUUUCAAUUUCAAUAAGAAUCCAGCCUUCACUGAAAUUGUGUGGUUUCUCUUUUUUUUUUUAUAAGAAUUGUUUGGUUUCUUUGUUUUCAAGGAUUAUGUCAUAUUCGGAUUAAUAUUUUGUACAAAAGUUUUAUUGAUUGUUUUACUUUCUAUUUUCACAUUCACUGGUGUGUAUUCAAUUUGUCAACAUUGAAGUUGCAUAUAUGUUAUUGUUUUUUAUUUUAUUUUAUUUUUCUAGUUUUUGAGUAGUGAUACAGUUCAAUCUCAUUACUUCAGUUAGACGAAAAAUGUUUGUGCUGUGAUCACACCUCAUUAUCUUAAAACUGACAGAACGAUUUUGUCGUUCGGUUUUUUGGAAUUUCGCCGACGUGUCGUCCAUUGUAAGGGCGACAAUGCUGGUCAAAAGUCAGUUGGGGUUCGUUAAAAUAGUGCGUGGAAAUUUCGGGUUUGUUGGAAAUAGCCUUUAUUGUAGUUUAUAAGGCUGGUUGUUGGGUCAUCUUCACAGGUCUCAUCAAAGCCAUAGAAAGAGAGAGAGUUAAAGGGAAAAAGUUGCAUAUUCUUGGAAUGAUUGUGAAAUGGUCCUUGUUCUUCAGUGGAUGUAGGCACUUUGAUUCAAUUUUGAGUUUCGGUUUCCGGAACGAUUCUUGAUACGUCAAAUAGGGUCUUAGGUGUGUGAUCUUGGUACUAACAGAGGAUUAAACACAACAAAAAAGAAACUGGGGCAUAUUGUCUAAUCUUCAUAGACUCCAAAUAUAUGGAGAUUUUAGCCCUCGUCAAUCUGGGUUGUCCAACAGCCCUUGUAAAAUAAAAAACCAUCACUAAUCCUUGGUGACUUUAGGGAUCCAGUAAGGACUAGGUAGAAUUGAAGAGGAGAUUUAACGAGUAAAGUUCUGAAAGUGGAAGAUUUAAAAUUUAAUCUGUAGCGUUGCAGGUUUUGGAAGCUUCGUUAGAAUUGAUGACUGAAUUCUUUCUCUGUUGGUUGAUUAGUAGCCCAAUUGCACUAAGAGAAUAAAGAGCAGCUGUAAUCGUUUUCACAUUUUCCGUUCCAGCAUCCAGAGGGUGCCUUGUAAUGCAGUGCAAUGAAGUUGAUGGCGUGAGGAUGUGCUGCUGCUCACUCAAUUCCUUACAGUCACAUCAAAGCCCUUGUUUGCAGCAGAGGAAUUCCCUUUUGUAUUCAAAUUAAUCCUUCUGCUUUGGUUGUCAUUGGAUUCUUUCCACUCUUUAGCCAGUAACAUAAUGUUGAGUUUAUUGAUUUUGCUAUCUUAAGAAUGUCCAAGACAUUUUGUAAUCAUGAUAUAUUGUCAUUUUAUUUUGAGACAAAAGACUUUUUUCCCAGUUAGCAAAUGCUUAUUGCUUUCAUUUUUUGGAUUGGAAAAACAAAAAUUGGAAGAAGAAAAAUGAAAAUUAAUAAACAAAAAAAAGAUUACAGGACAGCAGCAUCAUGUUCUUUUCUUUGAACUAAGUCUUUGUUUAACCUUUCACCUUUUCCAUUUUGUGAGUUUGGUAUCUCUUUCUUUUCUUGAACCAAGAUUUUUACUUUACUUACAAGUAAAGUUUAAAUGAUCUUGAUCGUUUAUUUUUCUCUGAACUUAUUUUUCUUUCACAUGCACGAUCAUUUUCAAUUCUAACAAAUCAUUCAUCUAUCAAUACCCAAUUUGAAUAAAAUUCAGCAUUCCUUUUCAUAUUCUUUCUAUGUAAUAAUUUGAUUGUGUUGUUUUUAAUCAAAAUAAGAUAUAUAUCGUCAGGAUAUUGAAGUUUGUGAUCACUUUAAGAAAAAACAGGUAGUUUAAUAUCUGAAUUAUCCACAAAAUAACUCCAUUUUAUUAUUUUUAUAUCAUGAAUGUGAGGUUCAUGAUUUAUUUGCGUUUGAUUCUUGUUUACAAGUUAUGUUUUUCCUCACACGUUUCAUAUGAUCACAAAUCAGAUAAAAAGGGGGAAAUUAAAAAAAAAAGAUUGAAAGCUAGCUUAUUUUGAGUACAAGCAAAAUCUUGCUCAUUUCCAGGGCGAAAGUAGCAGGGACGUUUUGAGGUGUUUUUAAAAAUACAGGGACUAAAUGGACACUAACCUCAUAAUAUAGGGACUAAACAAGCUUUUACCCCAUUUAGAAAUGCGUUGACAAAGAGAUUAAUUUGUCACAUGAUGGUUUCUAGGUAGAAUCUUUCCAAGCUAAUUUGCAUUUUAUAAAAUUUUUCUUUCUAUUCGUUUUACGUAAUGAUUAGUCACCAAUCUUGGUUUGAGAAUGCAUACUCAACAUGAGGUUAUAAGAUUCAUUUCCGGCACUCUACCUUUCAUCUCUUGUAAUUUGACUGUCAGCAAUCUUGAUUUAACUUUUUGAAUGGCAACACUCGGCAUGAUUAAUUAGAGAAGGAGGUAUCAGGCAUAGGGUUCUGAGUAGAGUUUCAUCAACAAUUAAUGCUGGUUAAUGUUUGAAUUGACAGACAUAAAAAUUUCUUAUUAUUAUUAUUUUUAAUCUUUUAAUAAUUGUCUCUCUCAAUUAUGUCUCAAUUUGCAUGUUAGGACCACUAGGCACAGAGAGAGGAGGAGAUAUGGACAUCAACUUCAGACUAUUUUCCGAGAGGCUGGGACGGGUGUUAGCUGGUGAAGAAGUCACGUUGCCUGAUGCUGUAAAACAACCUAUUCAGAACCUUCAUGCGGAGGUUGAAAUCGUUACUUCUUGGCUGAGUGAAUUUGAAGAUGAUAUCUCCUGGCUUCUGAUGCAAAAAAUAGGAGAAGUUGAAAUUGACAACCCAGAUCUUGGGACCGUUAUGGAUGAAAUCAAUUGCUUUACUUAUGAAUCUGAGAAGGUCAUUGACACAUUCAUCAGCAGCAUUACUCAACAGAAGAGACAAAGCGGGCGCAGCAAGGACAUUUGUGAUGCUCUGCUAGGACUCCAAAGCAAAAUCAUUGAUAUAAAACAACGGAUGCAACAAGUUCAGCACUUCGAUUCCGGAAUCAUUGAUGAAGUCAAAUCAAUUGAAGCUGAAGUCGGUAAUUUUCUUGCAUCUUCAUCGUCUAAGAAUAGGGAGACGGUGGGUCUAGAUGAUAGAAUGGAGGAAUUGUUAGAUCUAUUGAUAGAAGGACCACCUCAACUUUCAGCAGUGGCCAUACUUGAUAGCAUUGGAUUGGACAAGACGGCUUUCGCCGCAGAGGCUUACAGCAGCAACUAUGUGAAGCAUUAUUUUGAUUGUCACGCUUGGGUUCCGAGCCUCACAGCUAUGAUGCUCACCGAAUAUUAGAUCUCAUUAUUAAGUUUCUAAUGCCUUCAUCUAGACUGAGUGAAAUGAAGGAUAAAAAUUAUGAAAUGAAAAAAAAAUUCUUCGUGAAUAUUUAAUGACCAAGCGGUAUUUGAUUUUUUUUUAUAAUGUGUGGAGAAUAUCAGCAUGGGAUGUUAUUCGAAAAAUACUUCCCGAUAAUCAAAAUGGAAGUAGAGUAUUAAUAACACUCGCUCAAAUUGAGAUUGUCACCUCAUUUCAGUUUGAAAACGGAGAGAACAUUGGGCUUGAUUUUGUGCCCACUGGAGGAGCAUUGAGAGCUACAUACCAAGGAUGGCCUUUCCACAUCUUGUAUCAUGGAAGCAUCUCAUUGGAAGAAAAUAUAGAUGAAGUAUUGACCAUGUCCCUUGGGCUUCAAUGCAUCAUAUAUUGUAUGUUACCUUUUUGCUUGAAACCUUGUUUUCUCUACUUCUCCGUUUUUCCCGCACACCUAGAGAUAGCCACCAGGCAGUUAUAUCAGCUGUAGAUAGCUGAAGGUUUCAUUUCAGACAAUAAUGAGGCAACUGCUGAGAAGUACUUAGAGCAACUAAUCAACAGAGGCUUUGUCAAAGCAAAUAAGAGAAGAACUGGAGGCACAAUCAACACAUGCU
rnacentral:lncRNA from 1 species